rnacentral:lncRNA from 1 species
AAGUAAACCUAGAGUUGAGAUCUAGGAGAAAGAAUAUAAAACCUAGUGUAAAUGAACCUAGGUUAUGAGGUAAAGAAAUACUCAGUAAAAAUAAACUAAGUUAUGAAUUAUAGUGGUAAUACGACCACUAGAAAGUGAAUGGUAUAGACCUAGAAAGGUCGUCGACAUAGGCUAAAAGAGUAAACCCUUAAGUUGUAAAAGUGGAUUCCGGAAUCCCUAGGAAUGUGUUGUUGGCAAAAAUAGAAUCAGAACUACGGGAUCGACGGUUCUCCUCUCCCGGUAGUGAUUCAACGGGAUCGACGAUUCUCCUCUCCCGGUGUGAGCUCAACGGGUUUGACGGUUCUCCUUGCCCGUUAAGCUUGAGCGACUUACGGUCACGGGGAUCGAUGGUUCUCCUCUCCCUGUGAUGGACCUAUUGUCGCGUGGACUUAAGGCUGAGGUGCUUGUGAGACGUCCUUCACCUCGAGCCUGACUUGACGCGGUACUCCGCGGUUGAUUGACUCAAGACCGAGUCGAGUGGCUAGAUGGCUAAGGUAAAGUAACCUUAGGAAAGAAUCGCCAGUGAGCACAAUAAGAAUAGAGAAUAAAGAAUAAAGAAUAGCUAAUGAACGUGAAUAGCUAAUAAAGAAAGGAAUACUAUUGAGUAAAGAAUGGUUGAUAAUAUAAAGUAGAAUCAAAAGAUUCACUUAUGAUAGUACAUUCUUGCAUGAUUUACAUAUUGCAUAUCGCGAGGCAUACAUGUUUUAAUUUCUGCAUAAAUUAUUAUGAUUAUUUGUUGGACUAACAUGUUACAGUGCCUCCUUUGGACCUGGUGGGUCGAGCUCUUCCCUUGGGUGGCCGUACCCACUGGGAACUAUUUUAUAUAGUUCUCACCCCCGUGUUGUUUUUGGGGGUACAGGUUCGCACGUGAGCGGCGCGGCGGCGCGAGGACAGGGCGUAGCUCCGUAGAUAGCCCCCUACCACCGAGACCAGAGAUAGCGGUACCCUGAAGCAGUCUAGCUCAGAGUUCAGAAUAAAAGAAACAAACUUGUAUCAAAUUUGUAUAAGUUGUAAUAACUUAAAGGUAUUCGAAAUUUUCUAAAUGUAAAAUUUUGAGAUGAAUGCUUGUAAUAGCAUAGUUAGCAUUUUAUGUUUUUGAUACUUAUGCAAUCUAUGUUUGAAUGCUGUUCCUGGUUGGGACCUCUUCUACUGCAUCGUAUGGAUUGUGACGCCUAGGACGUACAGGAAAAGCUCUGUCCGUUCGGCGGUCUGUCGGCGUGCCCGAAUCUGACUAAAUUGGCGGAGCUCGGGGGGUGACAAUUUCAGUUUUUAAAUUUGAAUUUAAAAUUUUAAAUUUCAAAUUUUGGAUUUUAGAUUUUAGAUUUUAGAUUUCAGAUUUCAAAUUUAAAUUUUCAAAUUUUUAAUUUUAAAAUUUACAUUCGCAAUUUUAAAUUUGAAUUUUGAAAUCUAAAAUUUCAAAUUUUAAAUUUAAAAAUUUUAAAUUUUAAUUUAAUUAUAAAUUUCUAAAUUUUAGCUUUAAAUUUUAAAUUUCAAAUUUUAAUUUUUAAAAUUUAACUUUGAAUUUUAAUUUUAAAUUAUAAUUUUUUAAAUUUAAAUUUAAAUUUUUAAAUUUCAAAAUUUUAAAUGUUAAGUUUAAAGUUUUAACUUUCAAUUUUGAAAUUUUAAAAUUUUCAUUUUUAAAUUUCAAAUUUAACUUUUAAAAUUUUAGAUUUUAAAACUAAAAAUUUUAAUUGUUUGAGAUCUUCGAGAUCUUGUGGAAUUGUAUAAUCUGUAUCGAACUGUAGAAUUUUUUAUAGUUACAGAAUCUUUUAUUUCGUGCAGAUCAAAACCACAUGAUAUAAACACCAUUAAAUUUCUUAGGACCUAAGGUGGACUUGGCCCAACUUGAGCUUAUUGGAAUCGUACUUUCGGCCCAAUUUUUGAUGUUUUGCACAUACAAGGCCAAACUGCGUUAUGUCACCAGAUGCAAUAAUAACUCUACGGUUCUACCAGCCGACUUGAAUGCGGAAGCCCAAAAAUUGUAGCUUCUGCGUUAGAAUUAAUCGAACUAACUUACAGCGCAUAUCGUUUGGUUCGGAAAUAAGCAAAAAAUUGCUAUUCUAGAAAUAAGUAUAAAUUAAGGUAUAAGUGGGGAUUAGAUUAAUUUUGCGUUUGGAUGAAAAUUGAGUUGUUCCUGAGAAUAAAAAAAAUAGCGUUUAGUUAGAUAAGAUAGAAUAAGAAUUAAAAUGGAUAGUUAUAAAUAAAAAAUAAUGAUAUUAUUCCAUUCUUUAUAUUAGAAUUAGAAUUUUUAUAUUUUAUAUUUAUAUUUUAUAAUUUAAAAUAUAAACUUUUAAAUUUUAAAAAUCAAAAUUAAAUUUUAAAAUUUUAAAAUCUCAAAUUUAUAAUUUUAAAAAAUUAAAAAACAUAAUAAUAAUUUUAAAUUCAAAGAUUUAAAAUAUCAAAAAUUAAAUUUAAAAUUUAAAUUUUGGAAUUUAAAUUAUAAAUUUAAUUUUGAGAUUACAAAUUUUAAAUUUUGAAAAUUUAAAUUUUAACUUUUUAAAUUUAAAUUUUUUAAAAUAAGAAUAUGGGGCGGAACAAUUAAAAAAAUAAUUUAUUAUAAUAAAUUUAUAAAUUUGAUAAAAAAAUUUUUUAGUAAAUUUAUAUGUUAUAAAUUUUUUUAAAAUUCUACUUAAACAUAAAUUUCAUAAAAAUAAUUUAUUAUAAUAUUUAAAUAUAAAUAAUAUGUAUUAAGUACAAUUAAUAAUUUUAUAAUAAAAAUAAUGUAUUAUAAUAUAUAAUAUAUUAUAUUUAUAUGAUUUAUUUUUAAUUUAAUUUAUAAUUUUAAUUAAGCUUGAAAUUAAGCAUUGUAAGGACUAUUCCACCAAAAUGGUGAAAUAGUAAAUCUCAAGCUAUUCCGGGAUAACCGGGAAUAAUAAGGUUUGACCGGAAUAAAAUAUUCCAGCAAAAAGUCAUCCCGUUUGGCGGAAUAGCAAGGAUAACUUUCGUUAUCCCCGCUUAUCCUCUGAACCAAACGGUAAAUGCUGAGCAGGCCCUUCGAAUUUUUUUAUUAAUAUACUUAGGCUUAGUUUGGUAUCGAGACCCAUCUAAUUUUUUUAGAUAAAAUAGGUAAAAAUAUAUAGGGAUAUACUUCUGCGUUCUCCGGUGGGACCGUAGAAAAUAUAUCGUAAUCGACUCAUCGCGAUAUGUGGAAUAUAAUAUUACGUACGGAAACAAACAUGAUAUUUUUCUCACCGCACGUAACGCAAUCUCAUCGCAAUCCUAAAUGAAGCUUUAGAAAAAUACUAUAAUUAUAAAAUAGUUCUCUAAAAAUAUCAUAUACAAAAUUAGGUCUAUACAGUGAAUAAAUUACAACUUUCUAAAUGUGGUAAAUCAUUCACCGCUUUUUUCAAAGAAUUAAACUAUUUUUAGUAUUUAAUACUAUACAUCUUUUGAAGUUUCGAUGUAAAAAAUACAUCAAUUAGGGUAAAAGUGGUGAAUAAUUCAUCGCUUUUAGAAUGCGGUAAAUGAUUCACCGUUUUUAUCAGUCUAUUUUUACAAAUAAAAAUUUUGAAUAUCUAUUUUUAUAUUUAAUAGCCCAAAAACUCUAGGCCUAUCCCUUUCCUAUGUGUCUGCAGUACAGAACAAUUUAUCAACAUUUUAUAAUAUAUAAUAAAUAUUUUGGUCAUUUCAACAUUCUGUGAUACUAUACAAUACUUUGAUAAGAUAUUUACCGUAAAGUUUUCUCUAAAGAGCUGCUUGAUUCCACAUAAAAUUAUGAAAAAUAAAUUUUGAUCAAAUUUUUUUUGGUGAAAAAUAAAUUUUACACUCUUUAAUAUUUUAUUUGUAGGAAAAAAAAAUAAAAAAAAGAUAAAUAAAUCAUACUAUAUUUAUCAUUAUUAUUAUCAAAAUUAUAUUAUAUAAUAAAUUGAGAAGCAUAUAAUAUAAUAUAUAUCAUAGUAUUUGUAUAUUAUAAAUAUAUAAUAAAAAGAUAAAUAUAUAUAAUAAUUUUUUAUCCCCUCUCUCUCAUAUAUAUAUAUAUAUAUAUAUUAUUAUAAUAACACACCACGUAGAGAGAGGAGAAAAUAUAUAUACAGGAAUAAUUUAUAGAUGCCCCUCUAGAAACUAUAAUUUCAUCAAUACCCUUCCAAAAUUAAUAAUAUCACAAAUACCCUCCAAAAUGUGAAAAUUAUCAUAAAUACCCUCCUCUAGUUAAGAUUCAUUAAAGCCAUUUGAACGGAGUUAAAUUUUUUUAAAAUACUUUUUUAGCCCUUUAUCUCUUUUUAAUAGUAGAAUACUAAUAGGUAUUUCAAAAAUAAUUUUUGUAAAAUCUAAAUUUGAGUAUUUAAUAUAUUAAAUAGUUAAUUAAAUUAUUAAUAUAUAUUAAUUAAUAAAAAAUAUAUAAAAAUUGUAUUUAAAUAUAGUAUGUUUUAUCUGAUUUUGGUUUGUUCUUGUUUUGGGUUUCGGUUCAGAUUCGGUUUAAAUAUAGACCAAAACUAUAUAACUGAAUUUACAUAACGACGGGAUUUUAUUUUUUGGUAUCUAUAACUAAAACUAUCCCUAUUCAGCAUUGAUUAAACUUAUCCCAUUUUAAAUCGAGUUUAGAUAAAUUCGUAUUUAUAUCAAUUCACUUCCUAAUUAUAAUAGUAAUUUUGAAAUAAUUAUAGAUAUUUUAUUUUUCCUAUUUAAAAAUAAAUCACAUAAAUUGUUUUGUCGAUUGAAAUAAAAGAGAGUUUUGUUCAAAGCUAAAAUAUUUAUAUUUCAAGUUUUGUUAAUACCUUAAUGCAGAUAAAAUUAUGCGAGAAUAAUUUGAUUCAAAAAAUUUUUAAGUUUUCAAGAUGAAAGAACAGAUCGUAUUUCUUAACAUAUAUUUCUAUUUAAAUUUUAUAUAUAUAGUUAUUUAUUUUGAUAAAAAAAUAAUAGCCAUUAAUUUGUAAAAAUCCAUCACAAAAACUAAAAAAUUCUUUAUUUUUUUUUAUACACUGAGAAUUUAGGUUUUUUUAUAAAGAAAAUAGUAAUGGGGUAUGCAACUAAAAUGAAAUGUGAGGAGCUGUAUUCCUCAAAAAUGCAUAUAGUUGAGGGGGUUUCACCAUUUUUAGUUAAAAGUAUUUGAGGGUAAAUAAGUCAAUUAAAAUUAACCCAUCUUUACCAUGUAAUAACUAUAGUACAAUAACGUAACUAACAGUAGGGUAUUAAUGAUUAAUUUUUUGUUUAUAGGGGUAUUGGUGAUAUUUAACUUUAUAGGGCAUCUAUGAUAUUUUAACUUUGGAGGGUAUCCAUGAAUUUGCCCCUAUACAUAUAUACACACAUAUAUCCAACGAGAGGAGAGAGAGAGAGAUUGAGAAGAGAGCGAGAGAGAGAGAGAGUUGAGUGAGUAGGUCCAGCACGUGUCAUGAUCACUAUACCUCUGUGGAUCGCGAUGCUUUUUAAUGCACGUGAGCGGCGUUUUCUUCUUCAAGUUCUCGUUUGCACAAAGAUGAACGAAAAUAAAAGUUGAGUUUUUCUUUAAAUUCGUAAAUUAAUUUUUUCUUUUACAUCAAAACAAUUGAACAUCUGAAAAAACUUUCAAGCCUGAAAAAUUUUUGAAAUAUUAUCAUUGUCUAGGCCUCUUAACAAAAUAAAAUUUCCUAUCUGACUCUUUUUUGAAAAAUAUUUUCAAUCUAGCCUCAUUUUUAUAGAUUAGGAAAAAUGAUAAGUUAAUAAUUUUUAUAUAGAUUAAUAUGUUAAGUGGGUGGAGAUUAUCUUUUUUUUUCUCUUAUUUUAAAUUAAGUGAAUAUAAUGUGAUUUUAUAUAUGAACACUUUUAAAUUAUAUUGACUUAUAUAAUCAAAUUAAGUACUAGUAGUACUAAUAAAAAAUUAUAAUUUAGAAAUAUUAUUAUUUAUUAUUAUUAAUAAAUAAAUUUUUUAUUAAGUGUUUAUAUAUAAAUCACAUUACAUUCACUUAAUUUAAAAGGAGAGAGAAAAAAAAGAUAAUCUUCACCCACUUAACAUAUUAAUCUACAUAAAAAUUAUUAACUUAUCAUUUUUUUCCUAAUCUAUAAAAAUAAGGUUAGAUUGAGAAUAUUUUUCAAAAGCAGGUUAGAUAGGAAAUUUUUUUUUGUAAAGAUAGAGGCUAGACAAGUAAAUGAAUCUUCAGCUGCUUUCAAUUGAAACAAAACACACCCUAAUCUACAACACUUUGAAAAGAACUAAUCCAAACACUCUAUAAUGUUUUUUCUACCACACAAUUUUAUAUUGUUAGAAAAUAACCGGCACAUCAGAAAAAACACGCAGCGGAAAAUAAUUUUGUAUUUUUAAAAUUUUUCGGAAGCUAAAUACAUAUCACAUAUGAAAACCGAAAACCAAUAAAUCAAACCGUUGCCGGCGGAUCAUUCUCAUGUUACUAUGCAAAAAUUUAAUCUAAACAAAAACUCUUUAUGUUUAGAAAUCUUACCGUGGACCAGUUAAGGUCUCUUGAUCUACUGUACGUUUGAAACUGAAUAUGACGAACAGAGAUUCCGAUUAGCCGUGCACAUGCCCGGCCUCUACGCGUAUCCACACGGAAUCGGCGCAUACCCAAUCGAUCUUCGUCUCACGAACCGGAUGAGUCACGGACCAUCUGGACGGUGCUAGCAAUCACUUCAUGAUCUUUCAGUCGAUGAAGAAUAGAGAAGUUGAUCGGAAAGAAACACGCGCGCAGAAGAGAGAUCGGAGAGAGAUCGAUUUCUAUAUGUAUAUAGAUCAAUAGCUAUCAUGGAUCCAAUUAAAUCAAAUCUAGUAAAAAAUCUUAUCUUAUAAGAUAUUAUGAAUAUUUAAUUAUUCUUUAAUCCAAUUAGAGAUAAAUAUUAAUCUCUCCAAUAUUUAAUUAGAUCUUAUCUAAUUUUGAUCUUAUCCAAUAAGAUUACUCACUAAUAUUUAAAUCUCAUUUAAAUAUCUUUUAUGAUUAAAUAUUAUCUACUAAUCUAAUUAGAGAUAAAUUUAAAUCUUGCGCAUAAUUCUCUAACUGAUUCUGAGAUCCUAACUAAUUAGGACUAUCAGUUAUAACCGAAUCGAAUAAUUAAAUCUAAUUUAAUUAAGCAGCUUCCUUUUAUUUUCUUCGCUUAUACUAAACUCUUUAGUGAACGACUCUCAUCCAAACGAUUCGGGUGUACACAAUUCCUAAUGUGUGUGACCGCAUAGGUUCAUUACCAUUCGACAGUGGAGCUCAACAUCAAACUCUUUGAUAUUUAAUUAGAACUCUUCUAAUCGAUAAAUAAGAACAAUUCAAUUCGAAUCAUUCAUAUUCUCUCACUGUCCGUGAGUGACACCUAGCAGUAUAUCACGGCAAUCCAGAAUGGUGAUGAAGAAUGAACCUUUCCGCUUACAGUUACCAUGUGAUUAAUUCCUUCCAACAUACAAUGUCCCAAUCGAACUAAGGUCAUGGUUACUCGCCAAACCUUAUCAUUCGACCAUAUGACUAGACUAUCUGAAAUCAACUCAAUAUGGCAACACGGUUGGAAACUCUUUCCACAUACCAUGUACCCUGGCCAGGGGUUUUCCGAGUCGAGUUUGAUAGACUGCAUAGGACAUUCUCCCUCGUCAUUGAGAGUGUUGGAUCCCUUAUUGCGCAUUCACAUGCCUCCUCGCAUAAAUCACUACAGUCAAUCAGUACCGAACAUAAACACGUGUCUAGAGUCUAAGUAUUAGUACUGUCAAACGGUAACAAUUUAUACGUGAAGCAACUAUGAUGCCUCAGGUCCAAGGAGUACUUCACACAACUGUAGCAAUGAACUUGUCACUGGCGAGAAUAGAACCAUAUGACUGUUCAACUAAAUAGUUACGCUCAGUGUACUUGUUCUCUAACAAGCACCUAUAUGCUUGUUCUAGUGUCCCUACAUUAGUGACUUGAGAUUCGUCACCUCAAUUAGAAACAUAGCAUAUACCGGCCUAUCCGGAAUAUCACCGUCCCUGUAAUAUUCCUCUGGCUAGGAGCAUUUAAAGAGUCUCGUACAGAAAAAUACAUAUCUCAAAUUUCUAACUCUUAGGAAUAUAUUUUUUCAAACAAAGACUCUAUGGACGAUUCAUGACAAUAUUGAAUUGCUAUACCAUAUACAUGAAUAGAAUAUGUAACACACUAGACCUUUGCAAAUUGCGAGGUUCGAGUGAUUGGCCGUGUUCUGAGCUUUUCCAGAUUUUCUGGUAGGUCGUUGACUGUGUUCCGACCUACGGCACGUGUCCCGAGAAGUGUGGUACAAAGCCUUGCACCAAAACUCGAAAAAACGGGAUUUGGUUGACUCUCGGAUUGAGUCCUGGCAGGCUUGUACCGGUACAAGGUUGUGCUUGUACCGGUACAAGGUUGAUGGAUGUACCGGUACAGCCAUCGGAGCUUGUACCGGUACAGAGCCGCAGAGCCCAGCAACCCGAGCCUCGGGUUUGGAUUUCGUGGACCUUAUACCGGUACAAGAGCCCGUGUACCGGUACAAGGGGGCUGAUUUCGUGCAGUUUGAACUGCAGGGGGCUUUUUGCGAUUGUGGACUUCUUAUUAGUACCCCCCACGCCCUAGGGGUCUUCUUCUGAGCUUGGGACCAGCAAGAGGAGAGGUAAGGGAGCCCUCUUUGAUUUCCUUUUGAUCUAUUUGGAUUUUGGUAGGAUUUUAAGAGAUUAAACCUCUCUUUUGCUUCUUUUGCUUGAUUGGAGGCUUUUCCACCUUUGGGGCUUUGUUUUGGAGCUUUGUUGAGGGAAGAACUUGGGACUUAGAGCAUUUAGAGCUUGAUUUAAAGCUUCCAAGAGGUAAUCCACUUGUUCUCUUCCUCUAAAAUAGAGUUUUAUUGAGAAUUUUGUGAUGAAACCCUAGAUUGGAGAUUUAGGGCUUAUUUUGGGCAUUUUGAUUUUAGGGCUUUUGGAGCUUGAUUGAUUGGAUUAGAACCUUCCUCUAGGAUAGAUUGGAAGGAUUCUAGCUCCCCUUUGGAGCUUAGGAGAGGAUUUCUUCUUGUGAGGUGAGUUUUGGCCUUUUGCCUUCUAGUUAAUGCUUUGAGCUAUUCGCUCUUCGUUUCUUUGGGUGCCCCAUUUUUGUAUGUUCGUAGGGUACUAGGAAGCUUGUGGAAACCUCCGUUCGGUCGAAUACGAAAGUUUUGAUUUUGUGGGUUUGACUAGCCUAUUGUAAUUGAGAAAUUCUCAUAUCUCUUGUUUACUGCCUUUAUAAAUGAUUAAUUCUUGCAUUUGCCAUGCAAAUACAUUUAUUGUGAUUUAGGAUGCUUAACAUGCUGACUUGGUGUGAAUGAUUUUGAACCUUCUAUAUAGUAAGAACAACAUGCGUGAACUAGCAUAUGAUCGGCAUCCUAUCAGAUUUAGCACAUGUUUUCUAUUGUAAAAUGAGAGUGGAUUCACGGCAUUUACCACCUAAUUUAAUUGAGGCAUCGAGAGAUAACAUGAUUGCCAUAAAGUGCAACCGAAUUGGGAAUAUCACUGUGAAUUAGAGAGCUAAUGUCAUCAAGCGUCAUUGAGGCUUCAGGACAUGUGGUGACUAGUGGAUGAGGCCAUUGAGGAUUGAAUAUAUGUUGAACAUCAAAUUUCUAAGUGUCAUCAGGAGGCAAUCUAGCCGUAGCAAAUGUUGAAACUUCAUAUUGUGACUGUAAACUAGUAUCUUCGGAGCUAGGACUAGUACAUGUUAAGUACAUGAGAUUGGAUCUUGAGACUCUGUACUAUGCUUGCUUGCCAUUUGUGGCUCCUUGCACUAUGUUUGUGAGUGGUCGCUCUCCCUAACAAGCCGGCACUCUAGAGUUAGCUCUACGCGACCUACUUUCGACCGUGCGUAGUGCGAGAAGACCUACGGUCGGGAAGGCUAUAGACCAUUCCUAGAGUGGGAAUGUGUGGGCUACCACCGACAACUUAGGCGCACAAGCUGGAUUACAAUAUGUACGGACCUAUAAUAUAUAAUUGUUUGAUGAAUACAUUUGUAAUCCCGGGAAGUAAUCCACCUACUAGACGAUAGGUUUAGUAGUUGAAUUACAUUUAUCAUGCUUUCUACAUAGUGUUGAACAUUAGUAUACUUGAUAGAUCUUUUAUUGCAUCAACAGAUACUUGGUGCCAUGACACGAACUUUAUGCAUCAUGUAUUGAUAAAGUGUUAGUGACAUUCAACUAUUACCAUUGACUAUCUAUUAUGAUAUUUCGUAGAAUGUAGCACGCAUGACAUCGUGUAUACUUGAGCUUUAGUAAUUUAGCAUUUUAAUUGUGCUUUCAUAUCGCAGUCAUUAUUCGCUAUUAUUAUUGUACUUCGCUUUAACUUUGGGGCCUAGUGGUGCAUAGAGCUGAGGUCAGUAAUUCUGCCACGGAACUAUAAAUUAUAGUUCUCCACCUAGCGCCCUCUUUUUCUCGAUAUUUUCAAGCCUCCGCGUAGGGUGAGGCUCAGGGAUCGCGGUGAAGGAGUUGCUAGCGAAGCUAGCUUCCUUACGAGAACUGAGUUGUUAGGUGGUCUAACUUCUCGAUGAUUUACUUUUGGUGCCGAGAGUUUGAGGGCUUUCCAGUGUAUACGAGACCACCAUUUUUGUACUAGAAGACAGAUAUUGUACUACAUUAUCGGUUUUUUUAUUGACUCUAACUCUUAUUUCUUUACUUUGUGUAGAUGAUAGAACUUACUUGCUCUGAUAUCAUUAGUUGUAGUUAGUUCAUCUUUAUUUGUUCUAUCUCCUGCUUUACUUCCGCUUUUAUUGUAGACGCCUUAUAUGUGUAGAUAUAUGGCGGGUCUGGGCACGCUACCGGGAGGGCCUUCUCCGGUCCCGGGGCGUGACAGAAUAUCUGCCCUCCUAUUAUAAAUUAUAAAUAAUUAAUACAUAAAUACCCUUAAGCUAGUGUCACCAUAUUGGCUUUUGGGCAUAUAACUAACAUAUAUCUCCCGUGGCACGUUAAAAUAGCACCAUAUCAAACAACUUGACCAUACUAGUAUUAAAGCUGCAUGAAAUUGCGGUCAUAAUGUAAGGGUCAGGGUCCGUUUAUUUUGGUAUAAAUAGAGGAAUGAAACUCAAGUUCCAUCACUUUCGUCAUUUAUUUUAGUAUAAGUCAAAAAUAUAAUAUAACUCAAGUUACGUUAGAUCUUCACUUCACCUAUUCUCGAUUUUCUUUUCUAGUUAAAGUGCCGAACUCGACUUCUGCCACACUCAAUCUUCUCUAAAAAAUUUAUUUAUUUUUUUUGAGAGAUAGGUAGCAUGCUAUCCGCUUCGUUUAUUUCUUUUAGAAAUAAAAUUAGCUGGAAAUGCGAAUCAACUAGACUUAGCUAGAAAUGUGAAUAAACUAGGAUUCGAUCUUGGGAUCUCGGGUACCAACCACCAAGCCCUUUGCCACUUAGACCAAGGACGGUUGAUCUCUAAAAAAUUUAUUAAAUAGUAAAACCUAAACUCUACUUCCUUUAUAAUGGGUUAGAAUUACCUUAUUUAUAAUAAAUUAUUAUUAUCUUUAAAUAAUAAUGAAAAAUUUAAUUAUAUAAUAGGUUAAAUUUUAUAGCGAUAAGUUUACCACUAUAUUUAGGAGAUAACGUGAUUUAUUUACUUAUAUCAAAACAAAUAAUGAAACUCAAAAAACUAAUUUCACUAGCAUCAAGUUACAUCAAAACAAACAGAAGAAAUAAUUGAAUUUAACUUUCAAAUUGUACGAGUUAUGUCAAAACAAACAACAAAAAAAUAAUUGCACUUCAGGAAAACUCAAACAUCAUUGCACUUAAGUUACGUUGGAUUUACGAAUUCGUCAAUCCAAAUGCCCCCUAAGCCAAAAACAAUUAACACGGUCUAUCAUAACAAACCAACAUGUGUGGAUGGAGCUUAGCAUUGAAAACAGAUAAGAUAUUAUCCAAUAAUAUUCAUAUCUAUUCGGUAUUAUUCAUAUCUAGAUAGAAAAUGUUCAAAUCCAGUCAGAUAUGGAUGUGAAUAUAAUUUUAGAAAGUCAAAAUUAUCCGGAUAUCGAAAAAAACGAAUACGGGUACAAAUAUACAAUACCCCAAUAUCUCAUUCUCCUCAUUCUCUUAUCCCAAUAUCCCAAUAUCUCUGUUGUGGCUCGAACAGAACUUUCGAAAUGUUGACCAAGUCAAGCUAUUGACCGGGUCAAUUGCAUCUUCAGACUUGUGGAUCGGUUUUUGAAUUGACUCUCGAGUGCGUCAAAAUCAAGCUAUUCAGUUGAGAAGGGAUUGGCUCAACCAUGUUCUCUCUCAAUGUGUAAAAUGAACCGAAUUCAAGGAAUAGGAACUAAUUCGGCUGAAACUAGAGCCGAACUAAUUUAUUUCAUUUCAUUAAUAUAUGAAAAUUAUAGGAACUGUAGAUCACUAGGACUUUGAUUAGAGAAAAAUUAAGGACUAAUCUCUAAAACUGGAAGCUACUCCUAAGAAAACAGAAUAUACUGGAAAUGAAGGGUUACAGACUACUACGAAAGUUGUAGAUACUGGAAUUAGAAGGAGAAUUUAAAAGUAGCAGUCUUGUGUUCGGAAAAAGAUUGUGUUAGAGAAAAGAUUCUUAUCACAGGCAACCUUUCACUAUUUACAGCACUCUUGCCAGCUCUUCGUUACCUUGUGGUUACCGGACAGUUCGCAUAGUGGGGUAGUGCUCUGGUGUCACGCCGCGGGGCCGAUUUUAAAAACCUUUUGAAAACAGAGUUGCGGAAAGCGUGCCAUUUUUUUUUUUUCAACCUGGCCCACGUGACGUACAGACCCGCCACAAAUACAAAGUUCCUCUGUCCACUCGGGCAGAGUCUCCUUUGUAUUUGCACGGCGUACCAACGGAUACAACAGGAUCUCAACCACAACCUACAUUUACCAAUCAACAACCAAAGCAUGAUAUGCAUUUCCAUACAGCUAACAAUCCUUAGAAUGAUGCAUGCCUCUAAGCACAUCUUAGGCGCUGGAUGAUGCAAUGCACAAUACAACAACCAUCCUAUUUAAAAGUGCUCCCCACACAGAAGCUUUUAUUUUUGAACUCUAAUUCAUUCAUCAUGAAAAAUCAUUAUAGAGAGAGGAUGGUUUCGACUGGACUUGAUGAGGUGACGACGAGGGUCGGUGUCGAAAUAUAACACUCUCGGAAUCCGAGAUUCGUAAAUUAUUCCGAACUUUAAUGUGAGUUGCGGCUAUCUGUGUUUGCUGCCAAGACUCAAAUUGGAAAGUUGUUUGUGGGGCAAGCAGUGACUCGUGACACGAGUCGUUGAGUUCGGAGGCACUAGUGUUUCCCGGGACGCGUCCCGGUUGAUUUCUGGACUUCCGGUGAGUUACGAUUUAUCGGUGUUGGGAAAACCGAUACGGGGAUCCGUGUUAGGGGUUUGUGAGUGCUCAGUGCUUUGUUUAGUGAUGAAUACUCGGACUUUGGUGAUCUUCUUUAGGUUCCGGCGACUUGUGUCGUACCCAGGUGUUCCGAGUGCGACAUGUACAGUCGUGCUUCGAGCUGGUAGUCGUGAGAGGCGGUUCACCGCCUUCUCACUGGUUUAUUUCUAUUCCAGUAAUUAGCUCUAACAUGUCAGUUGUCUGGUUAUCGUUUGUUUAUCGUAUUUCGUGACCUGCAUUGGUUAUGAUUGAUAGGACAUUAGAGCAAGUUGCAUUUUAUAUUUCAAUGUAUCUCUGUGGACCUGUCUAGCAACACAUCGACUUCUCCUGUCGUGUGUUCCAUUGGUUGGAUCAGGUUUCGGCGUUGUACCCUAGCUUUAUUUUAAAAAUUGGUGCAUUGUACGCGCCGUCCGUUGUUGCCUUCGGCCUAGGCACCCGCUUUAGCCGGGUUAUGUGUUUGUUUGAGCAUAUCCAGCAUGAGCUUAGUCACAAGGCACUCUGGGUAACUUCUAUGACACCUGGGUCUCCGGAGGUCGGUUUGGCCACGAUCGGCAGGUGUACUUAGCCGGAUAGGUCGUCCUGCGGCGUAUUGGAUCCACUCGUGCAGUUAGUGCCGAAGGCAGCGGCUUGAGUCUGGCGUACAAUACAGCAGGGUAGAUCGAUUCGCGUAACAUGUUUCUAUUCAGUACUUUGAGGCAUUCCUUUUUGCAUUGUUAUCUAAUACAGUAGCAGGUUUGUUUGUAUUGCUGUCUUAUUUAUCUGUUUUGUUAGCUACUGUAGACUUUCAUAUCAGCAUUAUAUUUGUUUUAUAUCUAGUCUCCAUUUGAUUUUGCGGUGAUGUACGCUUGCCUUCGUGGUCUGUCGCGACCCACUGAGAAAACCAAUGGUUGUCGUUGCUCACCCCCAUUCCCCUUGCCCCAAAAGGUUGACAUAAGACGAGAGUUGGAUUUGGGCUCGAACGAGUAGGACUCUCGCUUAAUCUGGUUUAGCGAUCGCGGCACACUGGGUGUAUUCUGUCCCGGCCUUAUGUAGUCAUUUAAAUAAAAUGGUUCAUUUAGAUGUUUGAAUGUUGAUUUUCAUUAUGUCAUGAUAAAUAUCUAUAUUGCUUUAAAUGGAAGUUGUUUCUGCAUAUGCAUGAGAAUUAUGGAUGUCUUAUUAUGCAGAUUGGAGUUUUAGAUACUGUGUUUUGGAUCCUUUGUUUCAGAUUGGAUUUUAUACGCUUUGUGGAUUUCUGAACUACCUACGAGGUACUGGUUUUCAAAUAGUAGUUCCGUGUGGGAAAUAGUUUUAGAGAGAGAGUUUCACANNNNNNNNNNNNNNNNNNNNNNNNNAUUAUUGUAAGGUGAAUUCCUCAUAGCUUAUGGUUUUCAAAAGUUAAAUCACCAUAAAUCUUCAAUUUACAAGCUCCGGAAGGAGUUUCGGCGCUGAUCUCGCGUGAAAGCCGAGGAGUCGGUGGACGCUUCGAGGAGUUGAGGCCGUUGACGUGCGAGGAGUUCAGCAAGGUCCGAUUGGGGAUCCUAAUGUUGGGUGCGAACAAGGAGUCAGUUACAAUGUGAAUUUGCAUGUUAUUUUCUUUGAUUGAGCCAAAGAAUGUUGAAUGAAGCUCUUGUUGAUGAAUAUUGGAUAAAUAUAUGCAAAAGAACUUGUCAAUUUGUCGCAAUGAUGUAUGGAGAUUGGUGCCUCGCUGCUGAGCAACAACACGAUUAUUGGUACCAAAUCGAUCUUAAGAAUAAGAAAAAUGAGUGUACUAUCGUACGGAACAAAGCUAGACUUGUGCUUCAGGGGUACUCUCAAAUUGAGGGAAUAGACUUUGAAGAUAAUCUUUGCUCCGGUUGCCGUCUCGAAUCUAUUCAUAUCUUGUUUCGCGAUUGCUUGUCAUUUAAAAUCACGCUCUUUCAAAUGGAUGUCAAAAGUGCAUUUUAAAUGGAUUGUUAAAAGAGGAAGUUUAUGUUGAACAACCGAAGGUUUUAUAGACUCAAAAUUUCCAAAUCACGUUUCGACUGAAAAAGGCACUUUAUGGACUAAAAACAAGCCUCGCGAGCAUGUACGAACGUUUGACAAAAUAUCUUUUGGAAGGGAUAUAACGAGGGGAGCAGAUAGAACUCUUUUGUGAAACACCUGAAGGAUAAUUUCAUUGUAGCACAAAUAAUAUGUGAGAUGACAUAGUUUUUGGCGGCUACUAAAGAUAAGGAUGCCGCUGAUUUGCAAAGUUAAUGACCGCUUGAGUUGAGAUGUCAAUGAUGGCGGUGAGCCUUAAUUAUUUACCUCGGGCUUUCAAGCAAACAAUCAAAAGAAUGGAAUUUCAUUUGUCACAGACAAAGUAUGCGAAGAACUAAUUAAGAAAUUACGAUUAGAAGAGUGCAAAGGAUUUGACACUCGAAUGGGUACAAGCCAACAAAGGAUUAGAGUGAAUUCAGAAGGUCAGAGUUGGAUGAGAAACAAUACAGAAGCAUGAAUGGUAGCCUUUGUUAUCUGACUGCCGAAGCAGACCUGACAUUGCGUUUAGUGUUGGAAUAGGUGCUCGGAUUAUGCAGGCUAAUCCUACAGGAAUAGCAUCUGAAAGCAGUUAAAGGAUUAUGUCGAUAUGUUAAAGAACCAACCGAGUAUGGACUAUGGUUAUCCUUAAUAGGUAACGUCUUGACCUAAUCGGCUUACUCGGAUGCUGAUGGGCCAGGCUCCGCAAUGAUCGAAAAAAAGUACUAGGGAGCUGUUUUUACAUUGGACAUGUUUGGUCGCCUGCACAGUUAAGAAAGCAAAAUUGCAUGCUCUUCCAGCAGAAAGCCUGAAUACAUUGCAGCUAGAAGUUGCUCUACUCAAUUAAUUUGGGAUGAAAAGCCUAACUAGCGCGACUAUCGGGAUUCUUCUACCACACUGAUCAUCUGUUGGUGACAACACGAUGUGCUAUUAAUAUUUCUAAAAACCCUGUUUUGCAUUCAUCGAUACAAAACAUAUUGAACUAAAGAUAUCAUUUUUUAGAGAACUGGUUAGAAUCAAAGAUUUACAAACUUGAAUACAUUUCAACUGAAAUCAACUUGCAGAUAUUUUAGACCAAACCUUUGGAUAAAACUUUUCUGCAUUGAGAAAGGCCAAUGGUAUGAAUCAUCCAAUCUAGAUAUAUUCUUUGAGCCACAGAUCAUGUGAUGUUGCAUAUUUUUUCUUUUCUUGCAUGUUUUUCGGAAUGUUUAUGAUUUGUUUGAUUUUCUUGCUUGAUGUUGCUUUUCGGGAAUGAGUGAUCUGUGAAUUUAAAGUAUUUCAUAUUUAGUUUUGAUUGAUCAAAUUGUCAGGGCUUACUCUCUAUUGACAUAUUUCUUGAACGAUCAAAUUCAAUUUGAUAAUAUCUUUUAACGAUAUGAAUCAAAUGCGAGCACCUCAUGCUUUUACUUUGAAUAUGUGCAUUGUUUGUUGAUAUUAGUUUGAGAUAAAAAAUCUUCUCUAUUUUGAUAAUCUGCGAUAAUAUUUUGCUGAGGUUGCACUAAUUUAGGCUGGGAGUCUUUGCAUUUUUAGCUAGUGAAAAAUUUAUGAAAUUCAGAUGGGAAAAGAUUACAUUCCCCGCUGUGGAAGUGUGAAAACUACCACCACAUGGAUGAGAAAGAGCUUACACCCGGUCAGUCCGUUCAUGUGUGCAGCUACCAAUUGAUGAUCAAUAUAUCUCUAUGAGCUAAAGCAAUAUAACGAAUGAAUCAAAAUGAGAUGUUUGUGGGAGAUGGUAAAUUCUACUACUAUGUAUAAUACAUCUCCUAGGCGAUAUAGGGAUUUGUUAAAGAUGCUCAGAGCCACUGCUUGAUCUCGAUUUUGUGAUAACUCAAGUUGAGAAUUUUUUGUGUAUUGCCUGAUAAGAGAUUUUAUUUAUUAAUUUCUUAACAAAUAUGAUGAUAAAAUGAUGCAAUUUAUCCCUAUAUCUUGCAUGAUGUGUGGAAUUAUAUUUCAUACGUUAUCAAGAAUUUAUCUUGAUGUCUCGGUAUCAACAAUAUUUGACAAUUGAUAUCUUUGAGAGUUGAUUUUUCAAAAUUUAUUUAUGAAAAUUUAUUUGGAAGUUUUUGGGAUUGGAUAUUAUGUAUAUUUAUUGCUGUUGGAUCAAUGUUUGAGGUAAUUAUAUAAAUUGUUUGACAAAUUUGGACGAAAAAUGGAUUUUUCGGUUGCGCUCUGCGGACCGGUCCCAGACUUGGAGAGACCGUCCCUCCAACCCGGGGAAAAACCGGGUUAUUAAAAGGGGUUGCGGUCCGGUUUCUUCAUCACUUUCCCAAACUGUUCUAACUUCUCCCCAGGGCUCUAGGCAUACUAAGGGCUUUUGCUCCAUUCCUCAUCAAUUAUCCACUUGAUUUUGGUAUGAUUCUGGAAUUUAUUUGUGUUGUUGCUUAUAUCCGAAUUUAUGCUUCAUUUCAUUUUUGGGAUUUGUUCUCAUUAUGUCGUUAGAUCUUUUCAUUUUGGUCUGAUCUUACCUCUAGACAUGUUAGAUCACAUUUUAUGCAUUAUUCAUAUUUUGAUUACAAUUAUUUGUUGGUUUUGCUAAUGUUUUCGUAUCUAAACUCUAAUUUUUCAAAUUUUUUCGAAAAAAUUAGGAUUUACUGAUUCUUUGAGCUUGAUUUGUCAUAUUGAUUUUCAUGGUUAAGUCUGGCCAUAGCUAUCUAGCUAUUUUCAUAUCAAUUUGCGUAAGUUUUUUUUGGAAUGGCAAUCGCAUUGUUCUUACUGUUCAAAAUAUAUAAUCAUUGUGUUUGACAGGGUUGUCUUUCGAAAAUGUACUCGUGCUACUUGUUCUUGUUCUUCUGGUUAUGGCUGAAGCGCGUGGUCGGUGGCGUAAGCGACAGCGCUCAAAAGCUAAAAGGCCGAUUUGAGUGAUUCAACAGGGGGACGAUGAAGAGACGCGAUAUGCUCCUGGCCGAUGAACCUGAGAGGAAGACGGCCGCGUAUUGGGAGACUUGUUCCCGAAGUAUUGAGCUAAGGAUAGGAUACUGCUGGAAAGGCAAAGGAAAAGGAAAGGCUCGUGGAUAAAGCAAAGGAAAAAGCAACUGAACGUCCCCAGUCGUCGUAAGAAGUCCGGGGGUUGUUGAAAUUCGAGAACCAGGUUUUGCAGCACCACGUCACAGUUCUACAAGAUGUUCAUUAGAUCGAGGUCAUGUACUUGUCGAAACACUCAUUGCGGGUGUGAGCGAGAUGUUGGGGGGCCAGUUUCAUAGUGUGCUGCCGUCUGUUUCAGGAUUUAACUUUAACAGGGAAUCUUCAUCAGAUUUGUGAUUCCCGGAGCAAAACCGGUUAUUGUUUGGAGUGAUCAAGAGAAUUUUACAUCGAGAGCAGGGACCUCAGUGAUUCCGACGGCGGUCUCCGUACGUGUUAGAAUUCCGUACGUGGUGUUGAGUUAUCCAACUCCUUGCGACAAUAGGGCUGUCAGGUGAUAGAGCAUGGAAGCGACGACUGACGUGAGUGGCAAGUAUCUUCAGGCUGGAUUCGACUCACUUCGCGAUCUGGAAACCGUGUUAGUGACACUAGUUUGUAUGCCGCUGGUACGUGAAUCAAACGGCAUAUGGUUAUUGUCAAAAGAUUUUCAAAUGAGUAACAUCGUUUCUGACUUUUUUAUAUGGAGUUUUUUGCUCCUUAACACUACAUUAUGAUUUCGUCUAUUCUACAAUAAUUGCUUCGAACACGAAAAUCUUGUGAAGUUUGUGAGGAUUCGGUAGGUUUAUCAUGUUUGAACAAUUUAUAUGUUUUGGAGACUGCAAUCUUUUAGCCACCAUGAUAAACUCAUUAUUAAUUGAGCGAGUAAUUCCAGUUAUCUGAUAUGAAUAGGUUUGUCCGUUCUGAUCUGGGCGGCGGAUGGCCCGGAAAACAUCAAAACCUCGGGCAAAAUGAUAGCGUUACCAUUUCCUAUUUAUAAGAUGCGGAUUUUUUGCGACUUCGUUGAGGGUGGAGAUUGGUGUGAAGUAUGGUCUUGACAUCAAAUAACUCUUAGUGGGCAUCUACUUGAUUCUCGUAAGAAGUAUCGAGUAAAAACGAAGAAUCAAGCCGAUGUUGAUUGCUAGAAACUCAUCAUGUAAAUCUAAGCAUUGAAACGGGGAGAAACAAGUUUCUAGGGUUUAGAAUUGGUAAAGUAUUCAAAGCCUUAAUUUUAGAUGACCCACAUAGCUUAUUUAUAGGUUUAGAAGACUUAGAAGUAGACUAGGAUUGCAAAAAAAUCGUUUUCAAAAACCUGUGUCGUCCUCAGAGACCGGUCCUCUCGAGGAGACCGGUCUGUGAGAGACCGGUCUCUCAAGUGAGGAACCGGUCCCUCUCUGCGUGACCAAAAACCCAACGUUCAGGAACCGGUCUCUCAAACUUGAGACCGGUCCCUCGCUGUGCGACAGAACCACCAUGGUUCGGGAACCGGUCUCUCAUCACAGGGGACCGGUUGCAUCAUGGUUUACGCAGUGAGGACCUUGGGGGAACCGGUCUCUCCAUCUCAGAGACCGGUCCCAGAACACAUGAAAGUUCAGAAAAGUUGUUUUAAAGCAAUCUAAGCCUUCUGAACUUAUUCUAAUUAUGUAUCUUCACCACAAAUGAUCUUUUAUUCAUACCUUAGGUGUCGUUCUUUCCGAAUGAGUCUUUGUCCUCCAAUUUGAAUCUUUUCUCAAAAACUUCUGCGAUCAACUCUUCAAGACUCCAAACAACUUUACGAAAUUCGCCAACCUAUAAAAUCCUUAACAGUUUGAUGGCGAGAACGUCGACCACUGGAUUGUUGAGAAGUGGUUGAUGCAUAUGGAGGAGCUUUUUCGAGACACCUUUGUGGAGGAGCGGGACAGAGUUUGGCUCGCCACUCACUUUCUGGACGGCGAGGCCUACCGUUGGUGGUUGGAUAUCCAGGACAACCCCAACACCGAUUUGGCAGCGAUUACUUGGACGAGGUUCAAGGAGCUUCUUCUGGCGCACCACUUUCCUACCAGCGUCAAGAGGAAGAUGGAGCAGGAUUUGCGCAGCUUGUGCCAGGACGAGCGGUCAAUGGCUGAGUACGAGAGGGAGUUCUCCCGGAUACUACACUGUGUACCGUUUGUUGUUAGGGAUGACGAGGACAAGGCCCGCAUAUUUGAGCGUGGUUUGCGGCCUUCUAUCUUCCGGUUGGUGCAGUCUUCCAACCUCCAGACCUAUCGAUAGAGGUUCGUGUCGCCACAAAAAAUUAUUCUUGUCAUUGAUUUGGAUUUGGGGUUGUAUUAUUUAACCCUAAUGCGAAAGCAUAUACAAAACAUAUUUCAUAUAUUUGAUAUAUGAAAGUAAUUGGUGACAAUCAUGAAUCCCGGGUGACGUAGUUAAUAUGUCAUUAUUUUAUGGUAGUUAAUUCUUUAAGUUAGCAUGCAAUUAAUAAAAGAAUUUUAAUUGCAUAUAACUUAAUCUAUUAACCUAAGUAGGUUAUAUAUAAAGGCUAAAUCAAAUUACAUAUGUUGGGGCACGAGAUGCACUAUAUGAUUUCAUCAUAUGGUCUGAGAUUAUUUGUCAUCAAUGUUUAAUAUUAUUUUGUAUUAGAUACAAAAUAAUUGCAUUAGAUGUAAUUAAAAAUAUGAUCUGAUGAGACUGAAAUAAAAGCCAAAACUUUAUAUUAUAAAUAUUAAGUUGUAACAAAGAGUGUUAUGAACACCCUUUUGUGGCCUUCUACCGUUGUAAGGUGUUGGCGUUUUUCUAAAUGUUAGAGAUUAGCUACAAAAUAAUUUAAAAAAUAUCAACGAGUCGAUCAAGCCGAGGCACGGAUAUCUCGCUCUCUUUAAGGAGAUUCAAGCCCUCUGCGGUUGGCAAAGCCUUUGAACCGAUGCAGUAGAGCACCGACUUGUCCCCUCCAGGAUACAACGGCUCGACCCUCGUCGUGUGGCUUCACCAACUCUGCACAAGUAGAUGAGCCCAAAGCUCCACCAAAAGAACACCUUUCUUUGACCUUCUCUCUCUCUCAAGUAUAAUAGAAAUAGCUUUAGUUGUAUUUGCAAAUGAAUGAAAAUGAACUCUAUAUAUAGGCCUCACAAGCUAUAGGUUACUAGAAUUAAAUGGCUUGGAGUUAACUUGCAUUCCUCCAUGAAUGCAAGAGUAUAGGUUAUCAAAAGGUUAUAGGAAUGCAACAUGAAUACAUGUAUAGGUUAUGUCAUUUUCAAUGCAAAUAUUAUUUAAUAAUAAAAUGUAACAACAUUCCCCCACUCAUUUUAUUAUUAAAAAUAUAUGAGAGUUUGAUGGCCAAAGAGGGACCGUUAUACAUAAUGAAGAUGUGCUCUGCAUUGAACCUUCACUUAGUGAGUGAUACGCAUGGUUACAUGGGCCACUUGCAUGAAGAAAGCGCAACUACCUUAUCAACAUUUGAUGUUAUGUGGUAAAAUUAAUACUGUACCCAAUAACUGUUAGGUGAGGGUUCAAUAUUAGUUUUACACACAUAAUUGAAUGGUAGAUCAAACUUAACUAGGAUGUGGGCCAAUAUCUGUUAGGUGAGGCUUUUAUGUCCUAGAGGCCAAGGAAUAAUUGCAAUAUGUUUCUGAAACAUUGGACAAGAGUUGUCCACUCAUCUAUUUGCUAAUUACCAAUAAUUGUUAGGUGAGGUAAUUUGCAAAAUUGGUGAGACUGCAAUCCCCACUAUAAACCAAAUUAAGAGGUUUCCGUUUCUGCACUAAGGGAGUGUGAAGAUCCGCAAAAUUUAGUGGGAGACACCAUUUGAUUAAAAGUCCAUAGUCAAAUGGAAUAAUGAAAAGUAUAUAACUAACUGAAUAUCUUUCCCUUCUACAGAAUAUAGCUGCUUCUAACCCUUUUACUAAAAUUCUUGAUGCCAAUCGCUAGACCGGCCCUAAUUUUUUUGAUUGGCUACGGAACUUGAGAAUCGUUCUCAAUUCUGAAAAAAUUGCCUAUAUUUUGACUACUCCUGCCCCUGAACUUCCAGCUGAUGACAAUGAGCAAGAGAGAGCUGCUUAUGAAAAAUGGAUAGAUGACGAUAACAGAGUUAGGUGUUACAUGUUGGCAUCGAUGAGCAAUGAGUUGCAACGUCAACAUGAACACAUGGACAGUGCGUUGGCCAUUCUACUUUACCUACAAGAACUGUAUGGUGAACAGAGCCGCUCUACUCGAUAUGAGAUAUCGAAACGACUAUUUCGAGCAAGAAUGUCCGAUGGCCAAUCUGUUAAUCAUCAGUGUUUGAAAAUGAUUGAGGAUAUAGAAAAGAUUGGGAAGCUCGGCCUACGGAUGGAUGCAGACUUGCAGACAGAUUUAAUUCUGCAGUCUUUACCUGACUCAUUUUCACAGUUCGUAAUGAACUUUCAAAUGAAUAAGAUUCAGUGCACUCUCUCAGAGCUCUUGAAUAUGCUGGUAACAGCAGAGGAAACAAUAAAAGGUAAUAAAGGGUCGAUCUUGGCUAUGGAAUGGGCUUCAUUCUCCAAAAGAAAGUUUAAAUGGAGAAACAAGAAAUCUAACAAGAAGCCAAAGGCUGAUAGCAAAAGACAAGUUCUUAAGAAGGCCACUAAAGGAAAAUAUUUCCACUACAAUGGAGAUGGCCAUUGGAAGAGGAAUUGCCCUAAAUACCUUGCUAGCCUAAAGGAGAAGGCAAAGGACAAGCCUUCUGAAGGUAUGUCCAACCUGCUCAUUGAGACUAGUUUGUCAGUAUGUUCUACUACUACUUGGAUAAUUGAUUCUGUAUGCACUUCUCACUUGUGCACCUCGAUGCAAGGUUUAAGACAAAGUAGAAGGCUAAAGGAAGGAGAAAUCAUCCUACGAGUGGGUAAUGGAGCAAAAGUUGCUGCAUUAGCCGUAGGAACCUAUCCUAUACUAUUACCGUCAGGCAUAGUUUUAGAAUUAAAAGAUUGUCUAUAUGUUCCUAAUGCUAAUAGAAACUUAAUUUCUGUUUCCUUAUUAGCAUUGACUGGUUAUAAAUUUAUUUUUGAAAUAAAUACUUGCUCAAUUUAUUUGAGAAAUAAAUUGAUAGGCUAUGGAACAAUAAUUAACAAAUUAUAUCACUUGCAUAUGGAUGUAAGUAUAAAUACAAUUGAGCAGGAAGUAAAUGUCGUAGGGUCUAAGAGACCUAGAGAAGAGGUAAAUCACAAGUAUAUGUGGCAUCUUAGAUUAGGUCACAUCGAUGAAGAUCGGAUUAACAAAUUGGUUAAAGAUGGGCUCUUGAGUUCAUUGUCUUUUGAGCCGUAUCUAAUUUGUGAAUCAUGUCUUCAAGGAAAGAUGACCAAAUUACCCUUUAUUGGACAAGGGGAAAGAGCCACUGAGGUACUUGCCUUGGUGCAUACUGAUGUAUGUGGACCAUUUGAUGUACAAGCCAAGGGAGGUUAUGUUUACUUCAUCACCUUUGCUAACGACUAUUCACGGUAUGGGUAUGUCUACUUGAUGAGACAAAAGUCUGAAGCCUUUGAAAAGUUCAAAGAAUUUAGACAUGAAGUAGAAAAUCAAACCGGAAAGUUUAUUAAGAUCCUUCGAUCAGAUCGAGGAGGGGAAUACUUAAGUUCGGACUUUCUAAAUUACCUCAAAGAAAACGGCAUCAUCUGUAGCACACUGGACCUUUGCAAAUUGCGAGGUUCGAGUAUUUGGAUGUAUUUCGAGCUUUUCCAUACUUGGUGGAGGGUUGUAGAAUGUUUUCCGACCUCAAAAGUUCGAAAACUGAAAUUCUGGACAAGUCCUGAGAGUUUUUACUCUCGGGGACCGAUCCCUGGAAGGAGAGACCGGUCCCCCAGUGAGCAGUGUUGCGGCAGCCCUGAGGCAACCGGUCCCUGGCGGGCGAGACCGGUCCCCGAGCGCGCCCACGCAGAGAGAGACCGGUCCCACGCAGGGAGAGACCGGUUCCCGAACGUUGGUUCUCCGGGUUCGCAGCGAGAGACCGGUCCCUGCUGGGGAGAGACCGGUCCCUCUGGGCGAAAACUGCCCAGACCGGGCUGUGGUAAUAUUGGAUUUUUGGAGGACCUAGCUGGAUUUUGUUACAAUAGAUGGUCUAUAUGACCCAUCCACCCUCUCUUCUCCUCAUUUUCCCUCCUCACACUCUCCCCACAUCCUUGCUAGAGAGAGAAGAAGGAGAAGAAGAGGAAGGAGAAGAAGAGGAGAAGGAUCUAGCUUGGGCUUGGAGCAUCCCUUUGCCUUUCUUCCUCUUCCCACCUUGUUCGUGCUUGAAGGCUUGGACUUGGAGCUUGCAAAGGAGAAGAUCUUCACCCUUUGAGCUUGGAUUGGAGCUUCUUAGAGGUUGGUAGCCCUUUCUCUCCAUCUAGACCUUGGAUUUGAGGUUUUAUUGUAUUGGAACCCUAGAAUGAGGUUUUAGGGUUGAUUUUGGGGCUUUUUGAUCUAGGGCUUUUGAGGCUAGAUUGAUUGGAUUAGAACCUUCCUUGAGCUUGGAUUGGAAGGGUUCUAGCUCUCUUUUAGAGCUUUGGAAGAGAUUUCUUCUCUUGAGGUGAGUUUUAGCCCUUUUGUUAGGUUGUUAAAGUUUGACCUUAUAGAUUGAUCGUAAUGCCCGUGUAUCUCUUCGCUCAAUACUUCUAGGGUAUUUCGAGACUCGGGGACAACUUUGUUCGGCGAAACGGGGCACUACGCGACGGUUCGGUGGGUUUGACCUAGCCUACCUAUGAGAAAUUCUCAUAUAUGGUUAUAUAUGUUCCGUAAAUUGGAAAAGCAUGCAUAUUCAUCCUAAUUGUAUUUAUUAUGAUUUUUAGAAUGCUUAAAAUGCAUAUGUUAUAUAUGAUGAAAUUUUGGACCUCUAUGUAGUAGAGAGUUGCUUGGGAGAUCUAUGGUUGCAUUUAGCAUUCUUUAUGAGACUUGGUUUCAUGCUUCUAUAGUGUAAAUGAGUUCGGAUUCAUGCAUUUAAACUUGAGUUUACUUGUGACAUGAAAGAUGACAAGAUUGCCAUUUAGAAGGUAUGUGAACUAGAGAGCUAAUGUCAUCAAGCGGCAUUGAGCUCGGGACAUGUGAGAACCUAGUGGAUAGGGCCAUUGAGGAAUGUGGAACAUGCUUAAAUAUUAAAUGUCUAAGUGUCAUAAAGGGGCACUAGACCUAGAAAAUGUUGGAACUUCAUUUGUGACUUAGAACUAGAUCUUCGAGAUGCUAGUGACUAUACCAUGUUAGAGACAUGAGGGUUGGAUACUUGAGCCAUUGACUACGCUUGUUUGCCAUUUGUGCUCAUUCGCACAUGCUUGUGAGGGUCGCUCCCUACAAGCCGGCACUCCGGAGUUAGCCUACGCGACUUAUGUUCGCUCGUGCGGUAUUGAGAAGCCUACGAGGUCGAGUGGGACAGACACAUUCCAAGAGUAGGAAUGUUGGGCUACCACAGGCACUUAGGCGGCGCAAGCUGGACUACCCUUGGUAGGUCCCUAAUUGGAAAUGGAAAUCGACACGGGAUGAGUUUGUUAUAAUCACUACUAAAUAGAGAGUGGUAGUUGGAUUACUCGGACUUGCUUCUAGCAUAGGUUUGGACUUUGGGUAUACAUAUACAUGUAGUAUGCUACGAGGCAGUGUUUAAUUGCAUUCAUAUAAACAAUGUUGCUAUGAUAAGGGAUAAUUCUCAUAAUUUCAUUUAAGCAAACCAUGACAUUAUUUAUGGCUAAGUAGAGACAUACUCUUCAUGACAGGAUAAUUGUGCAUUACAUAAAUGCCAUGUUUAAUCACAAGUAAUAUCUUAGCAUUUCAUUAUGCUCUCAUAGAUGCAAAUUACUCGUUAUUGCUAUCGCUUUUGACUUACCCUUUUCUUUUGGGCCUAGUGGUGCAAUGAGCUGAGGUCAAUAAUUGCCCACUAGGAACUAUAAAUUAUAGUUCUCACGCCCUCUGUUUCAUGUUUUCCUUCAGAGCCUUCCACGCCGGGAGAGGCUAGGGACCGUGGGAAGGGCGUCGCUUCGGGUUAGCCUUUCAGCGAGAGACGAGUUGUAAUGCACUGGAUCUUAGCAAAUUGCAAGAUUCGAGUGUUUGAUCUGUGUGUGGAGCCUUUCCACAGUUUUUGGAGGGUCGUUGAUAGUGUCCCGACCCCUGGCACGCAUCCCGAGGAUGUUGGAGUAGGACUUGGCACCAAAAUUCCAAAAUCGGAAUUUUUGGACAGCUCUCGGGUAGCCUGCAGCAGGGCUUGUACCGGAACAAGACUGGCCUUGUACCGGUACAAGGGUUGAUGGUUGUACCGGUACAGCCAUCGGGCUUGUACCGGUACAGAGCCGCAGACCGAGCAACCCGAGCUUCGGGUUUGCAUUUUCGUCGGCCUUGUACCGGUACAAGAACCCGUGUACCGGUACAAGGAGGCAGUUUUUGUGCAGUUUGGUCUGCAGGGGGUUUUUCGCGAUUGUAGCCUAUCUAUAACAGCACCCACGCCCCUUAGGGCUUUUUUUGUGCUGGGACCUGAGGAGGAGAAGGUGAGAGGAGCUCUCUCUCCCUUUCUUUGCAUUUUUACCCCCUUUGCUUGGUUUUUAUUUGGGUUUUCUCUCAUCUUUUUGCAUCUUGGUGGCUUCUCCACCAUUGUUGAUGGCUUAGAGCUUGGAGAGGAGCUUGUGGCUGAGGAGAUCUCCCACCCCACUUGGAUUGGAGCUAAGUUUGGAGCUUCUUGAGAGGUUAGAGACUUGAUUUCUCCCUUUGAUCCUUGAUUUGAGGUUUUUGUGAGAUUAAACCCUAGAAUUGGAAUAUUAGGGUUUAUAUUGGGCAUUUUGGAUCUAGGGCUUUUGAAGCUAGAUUGUUUGGAUUAGAGGCUUCCAUUAGGUUGGAUUGGAUGAGCCCUAGCUUCAUUUUGGAGCUUUAGAGGAGAUUUUUGCACUAGAGGUGAGUUUUCUACACCUAUGCUUGAAUAGCUUAAUGAUUGAGCUAGGUUUUGUUUGUUUGGCCGUGUAUGAAUGUUUUUGUAUCUAGGAUGUAGGAGAUAGAGGACCUGUUGUGAGCGCGAGGAGUUUGUUAGCCUCGGUGGGUUUGGCUUCCUCGAAAUUGGGGAAAUUCCUAUAAGUGGUUUGUUUCAUGCCUUAAUUAUCUUUAGUAGAUUUAUGGGUUUUGAUGUUGAAUAUUUGUUCGUUGAUAAGAAAUUUUCUAUUGUAGGGAGAGAAGGCAAUGUGCUUUGUUAAUAUGCAUGCGACAAUUAUUCUAUGAGUGACGAAAUCAGGUUUAUGGCUUCCGGUUUGAACUAGAUUGUUUAAGUUCUUGAAUGUUGUAUCCAUGUUGCGGCAAAUGAGCAUAGUGUGGGCCUUGGACUAGAGAUUAUUUAUGCAACAUUAGGCUUGGAAUUAGGCAAUUGACAUACAUAUUUUCCAUAUUUUGAGUAUGCAUAUUAGUGACUUGCCACGAGGACAUUUAGUAUAUUAUACAAUGUAUUGGACUGAGGUUGAUAUGGAUGUGUUUGACUAGCUUGCUUUCGUGUCAUGCAAUUGUUUGAGGGUCGCUUCAGCGUAUCCGAGAUGGCCAUGCGAUAACAUAUUCGCGGUGGGGACUUGAGGGCGCGAGUGGAUUGCGUGGGGCCAGGCUCUUAUAGGGUAGGAUCAUGAAUACCCGGGUUAGGUCGACGGCCGAAGCCUCCGGGUGCGGUUCAGGGAUAGCGCUUCGGUGGGAUUUUCGCUUGGAUUUUAUUCGUUAGACAUUUUGGAUGAUGAUGAUUAGAGUAUUAUUUUGGACAGUUGAUCGAUAGUAAACGGAAUUUACGUAUUUGCAUUGUGGCAUUUUGAUGUUGGAGAUUGUUCUUCUGAAUGGCUUGUUUCUACUUUGCUAUUUAGGUAUGAGAUUCAUUGUAGUGUAGUUAUUUUUUUCUUACCUUUCGCUUUUACAUUUUUGGUCAUUACUCUUCUUAGCUUUGGGCCUUGUGGUGCAUUCACUGAAGUCAGUAAUUGCCCACUGGGAACUAUUUUUAAUAGUUCUCAUGCCCCCGUUUUGUGGUUUACUUUUCAGAGCCUUCGGCACCGGCGGAGGCACGGGAUCGCGGCAAGGGGAUCGCUUAGCUAGCUAGCGAGGAGCGGUACUUUGCCUAGGUGGUUUACUCUUUCUUUUUGUAGUUGAGAGAGAGUGAGAGAUUUUGUAUUCAUGUAUAGAGACCACCUAUGUACCUACUUAUAGCUCUUGUAUUUGGGAUUUCCUAUUAUUCUUACUCUAUGUUUUAUUUAGUGGAUUUACUGUUUUAUCCUUAUCCCUUGUUGUAGCAUUUAGACAUUUAUUAUGCUCUGAUACUUCUAGAUGUCUUUUAUUAUUGCUGUUAUUAUUGUUGUUUUUAGACGCCUUAUAUGUUGUAGACAUAUGGCGGGUCUGGGCACGCGCCGGGCGGGCUCCCGCUGGGUCCCGGGGCGUGACACAAGUUUAGGUGGUCUACCUCUCGAUGUUUUAUUUUGUGAGAGGUUGAGAGUUGUACCCGUAUAUGUAUAGAGACCACAUUUCUUUUGGAUCUUGGUAUUUCUUUAGAGGAGUUAGUUUUGUAUCACCUUAUGUUUUACUUUCUUCGUCUUGGUAUAUUUCCUUUACUCUGGUUUAUAUGAUAGAACUUUGCUCGCUCUGAUAUCAUUAGUUGUUACUAUUCUAUUUGUUCUAUUUCUUGCUUUUACUUCCGCUUGUUGUAGACGCCUUAUAUGUGUAGACAUAUGGCGGGUCUGGGCACGCUACCAGGAGGGCCUCCGCCGGUCCCGGGGCGUGACAUCAUCUCUCAUGGACUCCUCCUGGCACUCCACAACUUAAUAGAGUAUUUGAAUGGAGAAAUCGUACUUUAUUAGAUAUGGUGCGAUCCAUGAUGAGUUUCACAGAUUUGCCUAUAUCACUUUGGGGGUAUGCUCUCCUUACUGCUGCAUAUAUCUUAAACAGAGUGCCUUCUAAAUCUGUUUCUACUACUCCAUAUGAGAUUUGGUUUGGUAGAAAGCCAACUCUUGGUCACCUCAAGAUUUGAGGAUGUCCGGCUUAUGUUAAGAAGUUAAAAAUGGACAAAUUGGAAGUAAGGUCGGAUAAAGGUAGAUUCGUUGGUUAUCCCAAAGAAUCACUGGGAUACUAUUUCUAUUUUUCCCAUGAUCAAAAUAUUAUUGUGAGUCGGCACGCCUCUUUUCUUGAGAAACAAUUUAUUCAAGAAGGAGGUAGUGGGAGGAAAAUAGAACUCAAUGAGAAUGUUUCUGAUGAGCAACGAAUCCACCAUGAUCAACCGAAAAUCUCUGUUCAAUUGGAACCAACAUACACACAACCACUUCGAAGAUCUAGUAGAGUCUCCCAACCUCCAAACAGAUAUUUGGGAUUUGUCGUAGAAGAGGUACAGGAAAUGUUUCUAAUAUGAGAUAAAGAUCACAAACAUGAUCCUACUGGUUAUGAUGAGGCGAUGUCAGACAUCGACUUUGAGAGAUGGAAGGAAGCUAUGAAGUCUGAAAUGGACUCCAUGUAUUCCAACUAGGUUUGGACACUAGUUGAUUUACCAGAGGGUAGAGACCUAUAAAGCAAGGCUUGUGGCGAAAGGUUAUAGUCAAUGAGAAGGUAUUGACUAUCAAGAGACCUUCUCGCCAGUGGCUAUGCUAAAAUCCAUUCGAACCUUACUCGCUAUCGCUGUACAUUAUGAUUAUGAAAUAUGGCAGAUGGAUGUGAAAACCGCGUUCCUUAAUGGAUAUCUUGAGGAAGAUAUCUAUAUGGAACAGCCUCAAGGUUUUACCUCUAGCAAAGAUAAUCAUAAAGUGUGCAAGCUUCAGAUAUCCAUAUACGGAUUAAAACAAGCAUCUCGAAGUUGGAACACUCGUUUCAAUGAGGCAAUCAAAUCGUUUGAUUUCAUCAGAAAUGAGGAAGAACCAUGUGUGUAUAAAAAGAUUAGUGGGAGUGCUGUCACAUUUCUCGUAUUGUACGUGGAUGAUAUUCUUCUAAUAGGGAACGACAUUGGGAUGAUGUCAUCGGUCAAGUUGUGGCUAUCCCAGAAUUUCUCCAUGAAAGACUUAGACAAUGCAUCCUACAUUUUUGGUAUAAAGGUCUAUAGAGAUAGGUCUAGAAGAUUUCUCGGCCUAUCUCAGAGGAUGUACAUAGAAGAAGUGCUGAAGAGGUUUAGCAUGGAAAUUCCAAAAGAGGUCUAUUACCUCUAAGACAUGGAAUUUAUCUCUCCAAAAAGAUGUGUCCUAAAACACCUGAGGAGAGAGAACGCAUGAAUAGAAUCCCAUAUGCUUCAGCUAUUGGGAGUCUAAUGUAUGUAAUGCUAUGUACGAGACCUGACAUCACACAUGCUAUGAGUGUCACGAGCAGAUAUCAAUCUAACCCGGGUUUGGAACACUGGAUUGCAGUUAAGAAUAUCCUCAAGUACUUGAGAAGAACUAAGGAUAUGUGCCUGGUCUUUGGAGGUGGUGAGUUGAAGUUGGAAGGCUUCACAGACUCUGAUUUUAUGUCAGAUGUUGAUGAUAGAAAAUCUACAUCAUGAUAUUUGUUCAUAGGUAAUGGAGGAUCUAUUGUUUGGAAGAGUUCCAAACAAGUGACGAUCGCCGAUUCUACUAUGAAAGCAGAAUAUAUUGCUGCAUCAGAAGCCUCGAAGGAGGGUGUUUGGAUCAGAAAAUUUAUUACAGAACUCGGUGUUGUUCCAGCUAUUGAAGAACCAACACCGCUUUUCUGUGACAAUAAUAGCACCAUAGCUUUAGCUAAGGAGCCAAGAUCUCAUCAGAAAUUCAAACAUAUUGAACGGCGAUAUCAUAUCAUCAGAGAAUAUAUUGAAAAAAAAGGAAUAUCCGUGCAAAAGGUUGAUUUUGCUGACAAUGUAGCAUACCCAUUAACCAAAGCACUCACUCAACAAAAGCUAGAAGGCCAUCUUAAUGUAACAUAUCACAUCCCUCGUAAAUCGUGCCGAGUUCCGUCGAAAUGUGCGGAAUGCGGAGUGGAACAAGUUGGUAUGGGCUAGUAGUACUUUGGAGCCCAUAUAUAGUGCAAAGGGACCUGAGAGAGUGAAAUUCCAAAAUCUGGGUAAGUUCCAGAUUUUGUGCUCUCGGGGACCGGUUGCUGAAGGAGAGACCGGUCCCCGUACGCGUAGCUUGCUAGGAAUCCUGAGGCAACCGGUCCCUGGCAGUGAGACCGAUCCCCGAGGAACCGGUCCUUAAAGGAGAGACCGGUCCCUCACUGCGCAGCCAGCCAAAAACCCCAAAAAUUGGCUAUGUCCUGAAAAUCAGACUUUCGGGAACCGGUCCCUUGUUGGGGAGACCAGUCCCCGACUGCGAAAAUUGCCCAGUAAGGGCUGAUGCAAAUAUUGGGAGUUGGGGGGGUCUUGUUGCUAAUGUUGCAACAUGUUAUGUACCCAUCCCCUCUCACCCUCUCUCCCACAGCCAUUUCUACUCCUUUCUCUCUCAUUUCUCCCUUUCUCUCUCUCUAGAUCAUCCCCUAGAGCUUGGAGAAGUAGGAGAAGAAGCAAGGAGAAGUGGGUUUUGGAGGCUUUGGUGGAUCUAAGAGCUCUCCUAUAAGAAGGAUCUUGGGAGGAGCUUGGGCGAGGUAAGUUUGAGCAAGUAGAACUCUAGGGUUUAGUUUUAAACCCUAAGAUUUGGAGUUUUGAGUUUGUUUCAAGCUUUAGAAACCUUAUAGAGCUCAAGACACCAUGAAACCAUGGUUUCUUGAGGUGCUCUCAUGGUGAACCCCUAGGGUUCAUGCUAGAUGCCCUAGGAAUGUGUAGAAUGGCUUUGUAAAGGUAUUAAAGAGCUUCCUAGGUGAUUCUAAGCUAUCUUUUGCUUAGGGAUGAGAUCAAUUUAGGAGAAAUCUCAUUGUGACAUUGUUAGGGCUCAAAUUUGGGGCUUUUGCCCUAGGAUUUUUCGGGGACGAAUUGACCUCGUAGAAACCUAAUUGGGGGUGUCCUCGACGCGUUGGACAACUCCGUUCAACGUUAUGAAAAUGUCUAAGUAUAGCUUGUGUUUGUAGGGCCUAAUUUGGCACUAUUUUGGUUAUAGGACGCGGAUUCGGCGUUCGUAAAGUUCGGGAGUCAACAUAUUCCUCAUCUACUACCACUCAAGAUGGGAGGUGCACACCGGAAUCAUCGGAUUCCCCUUUAUGUCUAUUUUCACCUUUGUUGAGCAUACUUUUAUAUAGAGUCAUUCAUGCAUAGUAGGGAUAUUUACAUGUGAUUAGUGGUUAGAAUUUUAAUAUUGUACUUCUAACGUAGUUGAACAUAGUGAUUGAACAAGAACCAUAAUGGACAUGUAUGUAGAACCCUAGAAGAUGUAUGAAUGCAAGACUUGGACAUUGAUUGUAGUAAACAAGGGUGGCAAUGACAAUAGAGACAUGAUUGGCCAUGAGAACGAAAUUGUUACACAAGGUUUAACAAUAAUGGCACUGAGACAAGAACAAUAUAGAACAUGACAUGAACAAAAGGUAGAAACCUAUCAUGGCAUCGGCAUUGUGACUAGCGGCUAAGUUUCCUCAACUUGAGGAUUGGAUCGAGGCUCACAUGGAUUUAGGCUUGUGGGAGGUCGCUCCUCCACAAGUGGUGUACUUCUGAGUGUAGACACCAACGGGAAAGUACCCCGUCAACGAUCCCUCGGGUGGUUGUGCUUAAAGCCUCCCCCGGUAGAUGGGAAAUGGAAUGGUGAGCUAUUGGGGUUAACAAAGUUAACCGGUAAGAUUGGGUAAAGAAAGACAAGGUAAAGAAAAGAACAUGCAUGCAUGCAUACUAAAUAUUGUUGAUUACAUAUAUCCACUGACAUUCUUUUGCAGGCAUAGUAUUAGAUGCAUUAGUACUGGUUACUUUUCUUCCUUUGUCAUACUUAUGCCUGGAUAGAUCUAGUGGGUAAGUCGGCGAGGUCGGAUGCCGAACCCACUGGAAACUUCGUUGUAGUUCUCACACCACUAACCCCACAGGUCGUAGCACGAACGGGGCGGCGGAGGACCGAGGCAAGGGUUUAGCGCCGUAGAUAGCGGCCUCCGGGACUUUCUCACAUUUUGUAGUCAUUUUCCUUUUUGCUUACAUGUAUCAACUUCUUUUGUUGAUUUAGAAAGUUGUAAAGUUGAAAACUGUCACGCCCCGGGACCGGCGGAGGCCCUCCCGGUAGCGCGCCCAGACCCGCCAUAUGUCUACACAUAUAAGGCGUCUACAAUAAAAGCGGAAGUAAAGCAAGAGAUAGAAUAAAUAGAAUGAAUAGCAACUAAUGAUAUCAGAGCAAGUAAAGUUCUAUCAUCUAAACCAGAGUAGAAGAAACAUAUAUAAACAAUAAAAGUAACCAUAAGUAGUACAAUAUCUGUCUCAAAGGUACACAAAAGGGUGGUCUCUAGUACACUGGUACAGCUCUCAACCUCUCCAAAAAGAAACAAAGAGAGGUAGACCACCUAAACUCGUCACUCACUGAAGGGCUAACUCGAAGCAACACCCUUCCCAUAGUCCCUAGCCUCUCCCGGCGUGGAAGGCUCUGAAAGAAAACAUAAAACAGGGGGCAUGAGAACUAUAAUUUAUAGUUCCCAGUGGGCAAUUACUGACCUCAGCUCAAUGCACUACUAGGCCCCAAAGAAAAGGGUAAGUCAAAAGAGGACAAUAAUAACGAAUAAAUUGCAUUUAUGAAAGCAUAAUUAAAAUGCUGAAUAAACUACACUGCAAUCAAGCAUGAUGUUUAUAUAAUGCACCUUUACUUUAUCAUAAUCAAUAUGUCUCUACAUGGCCGCAAGUGACUGUCAUGAUUUACUUUAUGGUAUUAUGAAGAUCAUGCUUUACUAUGGUAAACAAUAUUUACAUGAAUGCAAUAAGCAACAUCUCCUAGCAUGCUGUAUGUAUAUGUGUAUACUCAAGUGUCCAAUACUAUGCUAGAAGCAAGUCCAGGUAAUCCAACUACUACUCUCUAUCUAGUAGUGAUUAAAACCCACUCGACACCGUGUCGAUUUCCAUUUCCAAUUAAGGACCUACCCAAGGUAGUCCAGCUUGUGCCGCCUAAGUGUCUGUGGUAGCCCAAAAUUCCUGCUCUUGGAAUGUGUCUGUCCCACUCGACUCCGUAGGCUUCUCAAUACCGCACGAGCGAACAUAGGUCGCGUAGGCUAACUCCGGAGUGCUGGCUUGUAAGGAGCGACCCUCACAAGCAUGUGCGAAUGCGCACAAAUGGCAAGCAAGCAUAGUUCAAGUCUCAAGUAUCCAAUCCUUAUGUUUCUAACAUGGUAUAGUCACUAGCAUCCCGAAGAUCUAGUUCUAAGUCACAAUGUGAAGUUUCGACAUUCUUUAUGCCUAGUGCCUCUUGAUGACACUUAGACAAUUUAAUGUUCAACAUGUUUCCAAUCCCUGAAUGGCCAUAUUCACUAGGUUCAACCAUGUCCCGAGCUCAAUGCCGCUUAAUGAUAUUAGCCAUCUAAAUCACAUAAUAACAAAGUUCGGUGCCUCUAUAUAGCAACUUUGUUAUCUCUCAUGUCUCAAUUAAACUUAAAUUUGAAUGCAUGUAUCAUGACUCAUUUAUACAGUAGAAACAUGAAACCAAGUCUCAUAUAGAACGUCAAUGCAACCCUAUGUCUCUCAAGCAACUCUCUACUACAUAGAGGUACAAAAUUUCAUUAUAUGUAACAUAGACAUUUUAAGCAUUCUAAAAAUCAUAAUAAAUACACGUAACAUGAAUUUGCAUGCUUUUUUAAUUAACGAUACUCAAAUCAUCAUAAAUGAGAUUUUCUCAUUGUGUGGCUAGGUCAAACCCACCGAACCGUCGCGUAGUCCUUCGUUUCGCCGAACGGAGUUGUCCACGAGUCUCAAAAUACCCUAAAAGUAUUGAGCGAAGAGAUACAUGGGCAUUACGAUUAACUAUAAGAUCAAACAUUAACAAUUAUAGCAAAAGGGCUAAAACUCACCUAAUGAGUGGAAAAUCUCUCUCAAGCUCCAAAAGAGAGCUAAAUCCCUUCCAAUCCAAUCCAAAGAAGGGUUCUAAUCCAAAUAAUUUAGCUCCAAAAGCCCUAGAAUCAAAAUGCCCAAAAUAAGCCCUAAAUCUCCAAUCUAGGGCUUCAUCUUGAAUCCAUCAAUAAAACUCGAAUCGAGAGGGAGAGAAUAAGUAGAUUAUCUCUUAGAAGUUACAAUCCAACCUCUAAACUCUCUAAACGCCAAGAUCUCCCCCCAACAAUGCUCCAAAUCCAAGCCCUAAGCUGCAACAAUGGUGGAAAUGCCUCCAACAAGCAAAAAGAGAAGUUUAAUCUCUUUAAAACCCAACAAAAAAAGAUCAAAACCAAAGAGAGGCAAGGUGGGGUUUCUCUAACCUAGUCUCCCUGAGUUCUCAGCUCAAAAGAAGCCCUAGGGGGCGUAGGUGCUGAUAUAAGAAGCCCACAAUCGCGAAAAACCCCCUGCAGUUGAAACUGUACGAAAUCAGCCCCUUUGUACUGGUACACGGGCUCUUGUACCGGUACAAGCCCCACGAAAAUCACAACCCGACGCUCGGGUUGGCGGGUUCAGCGGCUCUGUACCUGUACAAGCCCCUGUACCGGUACAACCAUCAACCCUUGUACCGGUACAACCAUCAACCCUGUACCGGUACAAGGCCUGCUGAAAGCUACCCGAGGACUAACAAAAAAUCCGAUAUUUCGGGUUUUGGUGCACAGCUUUAAACCUCGAUUCUCGGGACGCGAGCCAUAGGUCGGAACACUGUCAACGACCCACCAGAAAGUCUGGAAAUGCUGAGCACACAACUAACCACUCGAACCUCGCAAUUUGCAAAGGUCCAGUGCGUUACAAAAACAAUCAUGUAAUUUUGGUGAAUGGCUAAAUGUAAAGAAUUAUGAAUGAAAGCAAAGAAAUGUAAUAGUUCAGUUUACUAGUAUUUGGUUUAAAUUUAAUCAAAUAUCAUGUAUGUGUAUAUUUUAGCUUAGAGCUUUCGCUUCCGUUGUUGCUUGCCCUCGUGCAAGCCUUGUAUAAUUGCAUAUCCCUUUGUUGAUUGCUUAAUUAUAUUUAUUGUUGGAGCCUUGGGCGGACAGGGGAAAUGCUGUCCGUUCGGCGUCUGUUGACGUGGCCCGAACCCGACCAAAUUGGCGGGGAUUGGGGCGUGACACUUGAGAAGAUGGGAAUGCGCGAUAUGGGUGAUUGGCUUUAGUGCAAGUGGGAGAUUGUUAGUUAUAUGCCCUAUAAGCCAAUCCUGUCAUAACUUAAAGGGUUAAUAUCAGUGUACUUUUCUUUUAUGAUUAAAUCUGGCAUUCUUCAUUCAUAUUAUUGCCAAAUGCAUAUUUAUGAAUCGUUCAUAGAAUUAAUAGUAGAAGAAUUAACUUUCUGAGUUAGAAAUUUGAGACAUAUAUUCUUCUGUAAUUAAUUCUUAAAUGCUCUCGAUCAUAGGAUUAUCAUGAGGGCGGUGGUAAAUCCGGAUAUAUUAGUGCAUGCUAUACUUCCUUUAUGAGAUGACGAGUCUCAAGUCAUUAGUGUUGAAAGUUUUGAGGAGCCCGAGGAUCUAUCUAGAUUGUAUCUAUCACCUAGAGGGGGGUGAAUAGGUGUAACGGCCAAAAACCACAAAUCUCGAUGCAAUAAAAAUAAAUGUGGAAAAUAAAAAGCACACCGAGAUUUACGUGGGAAAACUCCAACUUGGAGAAAAACCUACNGCCGGACCGAGCAAGCCACUAGCUUGUUUCGACCCAAAAAAUGUGGGCCGUGUCGGCCCGGCACGGCCCACAUUAUAUCCCUAGGUGGAUCCAGUAGGGUGGAGCAGCUGAAGUCAGAGCCUAGUUGAGCCAUUAUGAGGCUCGGUCUGCAACGGAGAAACAAGAGUGCCCAGCUCGUGUAGUUAGGCUCUAGACUUACAGCAAAAAAAGGGCCCAAGAGAACGUAGCCAUCAUUAAGCACGUUGAUUGAUGGAGCAAGAGCAGUGAUGGCCAGAGAUGCGAAGGAUUUGGUGGGGCCCAAGGAAGAAGUGGAGCCUACGCAAUUAAUGCCCCAUCUGGACUUAGAAGUGGGGCCUACGCAUUUAAUACCCCAGUUGGACUUGGGAUGGGCAUGGGGCUCGGCUAAAGAUUGAGCAAUUAAUGCACAUUUUCCCUUGGGAUGUCUAGUAGCAGGGCUCGCAUCCCGGGUCGCUUCGGAGUGGACGCCCCUCGGGGGAGUGGGGGGGUAGUUAAAGCGGGAGGAGCAAAAAGGAAUGUCAGGUUCCUAGGAAAAACACUCUUAAAGACGGGUUUCACCGAAAAGGAUGGGCUAAGUGGCGGUAGGAUGGGGCGUUUGAACUGGUCAACGGCUCCUUCUCGGCCAGGGUGCGCAACAAUGGGAAACUCUGGGCCCGACGCAGGGAGGAUGGUCGGAGGUCAGUCACGGCUAGUCGGGCGAGCCCGACCAUCCGCGGCGGUUGGCCGGUCCGGGCGGUUGGCCGGUCGAGGCGGACGGGAUGGUUGUCAGGAAGGAAGUUGCAUCUUCUGUCGCGUAUCUCGGAGGAGUUCCAAGUGUUGGAGGCCGUACUAUGCUGAUCCCCUUCCUCUUCAUUAUGGCCGAGAAGGGCGUCGGAGGUCCGUACGUCAGGAUCGUGGUGAGCAGACCUCUUGUUGUGUGGGGGUGGGGGAUUGCCUCGCGUGUCAACACCAACACGGUCUCACCUUUCAAUUUGAAUGAGAAAUGAGACUGAGAUGUCCCCGAAGGUGAUUUCGAGAUUUUUUGGGAUAUCGUGAAGGUGGUUGACUGCAAUAAGGCAACAAUAUCCAGUGGGGUCGUCCAUCCACGAGCUUCGGUCGUCUGCUCAAAGAAAUCUACCGAAGCCGCCGACGAAGGCUGCCACCACGUGGGAAGACCAACAUUCAUAAGGGAGGCUGACGAAGCAGAUCCAGGCCUGAUAAGGGAUGGGAGAGCGACGAGCCCCAUUGUACGGGUCCCAGGUGAAGCAUCUCAGCCGGAGGUCCCCUAGGGAGAUGUGUUCCCUGUGAACGAGUUGAUUGCUCUGGACCCAUUCCGGGAGAAACACGACAAUGUCUCGCUCGCUAUAACGGGUGACCAAAAAAUCAUUCGGGUAUCCGCCGUAACGGUUCGCGAGCGCAUUGGCAAUGGUUUCCUUCGGGAAGUGUUCGAGGUUCGCUGGGAGGAGCACGUCGGCAAUGAUAGCAUUGCGUCUUUGAUUUUGUCGGGCAAGGAAAUCUUCGGUGAGAGGGACAAAAGCACUCAGGUAGGCCGAUUGAGUACGCAUAGCUCGGUAGAUGCUCAUUGGUAGACGGUUCAUGCAGGAACGAGCUUUGUGUCCCAGCGCGAAGCAGCUAACGCACUGAAGCGCGUCACGACAUUGUGACGCCCGGUGAUCUCUUCCGAGACACCUAAAGCAGUGGUCUUUGAAAGCGCAAAGAUCUGAUCUGGAGGGGGGCUGAGAAGAGGAUCUUGGGAGGGUGGGAGGUUGGGUAGCAGGAGUGGCAGGUGAGAGGAGGGCUUCUUUGUAGGUCUUCUUAAGAGGCGCAGGGACGGAGUUCAUCUGUUGACUGAGCUCGGCGGGUAAAUGCAUGUGUUCCGAAAGGCCCUUAUCAAGGAAACAAUGCCUGGGGGCUUUGCAUCGAUUGUCAGCCAAAGAUGAGUCCACUGAGCUGAAAUGAGUAACGUGAGUUAAUGCGAAUCCUGCGGAAUCGGCCAAACGAACUUUCAUAGGGGUGCAACCAUUAAUGCAGGAGCUGCGAGGGUUGGAGGGCGAAGUAGAUGUGGAAGAAGGUCUCGAGAUGCAUUUGAGUUUCUGGAACCUCAGUUCCGGAUCGGGGUGCAAGUCCCCACGCAAAGCAACUGCCUUCUCAGGUCGAAAGGCCUCCGAGGUCGCCGUGGCCUUCCUGUUCCUUUGCCAGUUCUUGCUGUGUGUGCUGGGGAUCCUUCUCUCAUUCUCUCCUUCAUGGCUAUACGUAGUAAGUGUUGUUUGACUAUUGGUAUUAGAAAAUACCCUUAGAAGACUAAUAUUAAAAGUAUCUUUUUAACGUAUUAAGUUAUUUCAAAUAUAACUCUAGAAUUAAUUCUAUUAGUGAACAGUUGAAAAGAUACUAGAAGACUAUAUUAAAAGUAUCUUUUUAACGUUCUAAAUUAUUUCAAAUAUAACUCUAGAAUUAAAUUAUAUUGUGAACAGUUAGUAAUGGUCGUUAUCUCUGUGAAAUUAUUAGUUUGCCCUUUCAAAUGUACCCUUUUAUAUUUACCAAUUUUUUUUAUUUGCCUUUAAGUUACAGGCAAAAAAAGUAUUUUAAAUUUUUUGUCUUUUCAAAUAUAUUCUUCUACGUACCAUCACCGAUUUUUUUUAUUUGCCUUAAGUUAGGGACAAAAGAGGUAUUUUGACAUCUCUUUAACUUAAGUAGAAAUUCAACUCGGGUUUAACACGAGAUGAUAUAGCGGGUAAAAACAGUAGGGGUAUUUUUGAAUAACAGAGAAAUAUAUGAGUGUAUUUGAAAUAAAAAAAAAAAGUAAAUGUAUAUAUAAGAUAUUUCAAAAGUUUUCAUGGGUAUAUUAGAUAUUAUCCACUAAAAAAAACUAGCAAAUGUAAGUCCAAUGAAUGUAGCACAAAAUAGAUCGAAGAUAUAAAUUGAUUUUUUUAAAAAUAAUUAAUUUGAGCAAAAUAAUUUUUAGGGAUUCAAGAAUUGACGCCUAGAGCAAUUGGAAAUUCAAAAUUUGGCACCUAGAAUAAUGUUAUUUUUUGAACGCACGUUUUGUCUUUUGUUCUUUUCUUACCCGCAGAGAAAUUAAAUUAAAAAAUUAGCACUUGGGAAUUCAAAAUUGACGAAAAAGAUAUGGAAUAUGAGAUUAUAUUAUGACUUUUUCUCUUGAAAAAAAGAAGAUUGAUAUAAAAUAUUGUAGGAUAUGUGUAGUUAAAUAAGGUUGUUAAAACCAUAUUUUAAUGAUACAAAUUAAUAAAGAAUAAAUGAUACAACCUAACAGAUAAGAAAAACUUUGAAAUAAUUUAAAAUUUGAAGUUUGUAAUUUAAAAAUUUGAUUUCGUAAAGAACAAUUCAGACUACAAAAUAAUUCAAAAUAAAAUGUUUUAUUAUUUGUGUAAUACCUUAAAUUUUAGACCCACUUUUUGUAUAAAAGUUUGAAGUUAUUUUAGGCAUUUCUUGUUAGAUUAUUGCAAUUUUUUAGUAGAUUUAUUCGGGCCAAUCUCAGCCGAUUGCACGGUUGGCUGCACGGGACCUCUCAGUUGACCUACCUGAGCUUCCAGCUUCACCAACCCCACCCUAUUUAUUCUUUCUUCUCUUUUUCCUCCGAUCACCCUAUUUUGCCUACGUAUAUAAUUUCUUCUUCUUCUUCUUCUCUCUUGCACUCCUCCACCUCCUCUCAAGUCCAUGUUCUCUCUUUCUCCUCUCUGUCAUGCCCUGGGCUCAAGCAGAAGCUCCCCCAGUAGCGUGUCCAAAUCCAUCGUGUAUAAGGCUCCCUUACUCACACGAAGUAACAACUCACAAUAAUCAACUUAUAUAAAUAAUUAAAUAAGAAAUUCAUACAUGUUAGAGUACCAAAGCAUGAAAAUACUAUUCUUUUACAACUACUAAUCCAAGUGAAUUAUUUCAAGUUUUAGUUCAAAUGUUAGUAUCCUCGAAAUGUCAUUGUUCUACAAAGGUUUCAUCUCUAGACACAUCGAAGAAAGCGGUGGAAAGCUAGCUAUUGCAUAAGCUCCAUGUCUUGAUCACCCAUGAAGAACAAGGGAUACUGUGAAAAAGAAUUCAACAAGAAUGUGUGAGAACUAUAUAAAAUAAUUUUCAGUGGGUACAAUCGCCGUAAGGAGCAUUCUAUCCAUUAGGUCUACUAGAGGCACAGUAUCAAAAUAAUAGAUAGUAGAUGCAGAGAAGAAAAUAAAUACUAACAAAAAUUUAGAUCUACUACCAUGCCUAUACCAUAUCAACGAUGUCAAAUAUCAUCUCUACAUGCAUCAAUUUACAUGCAUAUAAGUUGAGCACUUAACAUCCACUUUACCGAACUAAUCAAGGUCUAUUCAAGCUUUCACCUUACCUAGUGGAAUGUCGAACAAUUGCAUAUGAAUCCAAACAUCAACACUCAACAAUUAUGGCGAGGUGAACAACAACAACCUCCCUUGGCUAUACCUCUGGAGGGUCACGACUUGUUGGGAGCGACCCUCACAAGAAAAUGAGCCCGUUGAGUUUAUUUUGACUCUUGCAAGCUAUAAUCACUAUCCAUAGCCAUCAUGUCACUACUAAACAUAGAUGAAAGUUUUUAACUACAUUGGCAUUUUGUCGAACACCUUAUGUGCACUAUCCUAAAUCCAGCUCUAUAUGUCAUUUUGCCUUAUCCAAUUGAUGUCCCACUACAACAUCAUGUUCACUAAAUAUGUUUAACUUAAGAAACAUAAUAACAAGAUUCACAAGGCAUGCAUGUAUAAAAAAGUUCAACUCCAGUAGGUAGGUUUUCUAUGUUCAAGGAUCAUUGUUUAAUAAGAAAUAUCUACUUUAACUAGGUUUAUCUCAUGCAACAUAUGAUAGAAAAAUAACUAGAAAUAAAAAUGAAAAAGGUAUAAGAGGAGAUUGCCCAUUUCGGAGACUUAAACCCACCAAUUCUUUGAAAAGAAUCAUUGAAAGCUCGAUCAAAUGUGUUGAGUUCACCAAACAACCUUAUAAGAGAGGUUCCAACCCAUCAAUACUAUCUAAAAGCCUUUAAAAAGAAAAUCCUGAAACCUAAAUCCUAAAACCAUAUUCUAUCCCAAAACUAUCAAAAUCAUACUAUUUAAAGCAUAGGGGAAAAUAAGAAAUUAUCCCUUCCAAGCACCACUUUCUGAAUCAAGCCUCUUGAAUCUAGGGUUGGACUCUUCAAGAAAUGGUUUCUCCUCUUCUCUUGCUCCAAUUUUAAAUUAGGUUGAGGUAGAGCAUUCCAAAGAGAGAAAAGAAUGAAGUUGAGGCUUGGAGGAGAUCCAAUAGUGGAUAAGGAGAAGAAAAGAAACGUGGAGGACGGGGGAAGAGUUUUCUCUCUUUUGAAUUAGGAGAGAAUUGGAGGAAGAGAAUGAAAGGGUGUUUUAUAAAUAAUCUAGCCCCCUGCCCUCCAACACAGCCUGCACACAAGCAAGUACUAGUACUCGAAUUGGAGUACUGAUACUCCCUUAUUGAGUACUUGUACACUCCUACAAGUUUUGCAAAAUCCAAGAGUAUCAAUAGUAAAAAAAGCUCAAUGUAUAUUGAUACUUCUUCUUAAGUACUAGUACAUGACAACUAGUACAAGUAUCCAACCUAAGUUCUGCAAAACCAGCGUUCUUCCGCGGAAACUUCUAUUGAGUACCAAUACUCAGAGUUUCAGUACUAAUAUUGAAAGAGAAAACGGUCCAAAUUAUAGGUUGGUUCCAGAAUAUUAUUUUUCACACCAAAACAACCCUAUGUUAGAUGUAUGCCCUAGAAGGCAACUAGGCCGACAUAUGUAUUCUUUUUAGGACAUAAAUUUGUAUUUGAUUUCAAAUAUUAUGAAUAAUUUGGGUUAUUUCCAUUCAUGUUGUAUAUGUGUCUAUGAAUUGUCCAAGUAAUUAAUAAGAUGAUGACACAUAUUCUCAAGAGUUGAGAAUUUGAGACAUGUGUCAUUGGUGGUUAAUUCCUAAAUCCUCCUGGUUCAUGGAUCAUCACGGGGACGGUGAUUGAUCCGGUGAGAUUGGUGCACAGGUCGCUUCCUGUUUUGGAUAGCCGAGUCUUGAGUUAACAGUGUAGGGACACUGGAGUGAAUGUGUAGGUGGUUGUUAGAGAACAAGGGUACUAGGCGUGACCAACACAAGAAGUCACUUGGAUACUCAUUCAUCAGUGACUUACUCAAUGUUGCAGUAGUGUGACUGGUCCUUUGACCUGCAGUGCCUCGACUAUUCACAAUAAGGUUAUUGUAGUUUGACUGUACAUACACUUGGUCUGUAGCCAUUCGGAUCCUUGCGGUGCAUGUUGGUUGUAGUAAGUUCAUUGUAGGAAUAGGGUGUGUACUUAUAUAAAAUCUAUCUCCCUUGGUAGAUAGGGGCGUUAGUUCUAUAUGAUUUAUGAGAUCAAGUUUAGAUUUUUAAUAUUAAAAACUCGAGUUGAAUAAAUUUGAUAUAUGACAGACGAUGGGGUUUGACGAGCUAUUUUAUGACCUUCGUCUAGUCGGGACUCAUGAUAGAAGGACUGUAUCACAUGGUAACUGCACCAAGAGGUUCAGUAUUCUAUUCUACUGGAAUGCCACUACAUAUUGUUAGGUGUCACUGGUGGAUUGUGAAACUCAUGAGAAUUAUCUGAAUAAUCGAUAAUUCUCAUUGGGCAGAGUGAGAAUUGUUCCAACCCACUGAAAGGAGUUUCAGUAAUAUUGUUGAUAGUGAUCAGAAUAUACCUCUCUACUAGAUAGAAUAGAACAUAUUGAGUCACAUACAUAGGAGGUUGUGAUUGAUCAAAUAGUUGGAUCACGAUUUUUGAAUCACCGAAGGACCUAAUUAUCAAUAUAUUAAUAAUUGGACUAAUAUGUAAUUAUUACAAAUUAGUGGUAUUAAAGUGCAAAUAUUGCAAGAGAGGACUUACUAACAGUUAGUGAGUUGUGAGAGAACUUAUGUGCAAAUAUUAUAUUAUUAAUUUGAUUUGAUCAAAUUAGAAUUGAGUUCAAGUCAAUUUAAAUUAGGAUUUAAUCAAUUGAAUUAAUUAAAGGAAAAAUAAAAAUAAACUUAGAUUUAUUCUUAUCCUUAAUGAUAAUUAUAUUAUUAUAAAAGAGAUUAUAUCCCUCUUUAUACGAUACGUGAGUUAUCAGAAAACUCUAGCCGUCAUCUUUUUUCCUCUCUCUCUUCUUUUCUUCAAUCCUCUAGCAAGAAAGAUAUUCUCUGCAAUGGAGCUAGCACAUCGGUGAGGACAUCGAUCAGGUUAGCAAUCUUGUGUGGAUACCUCUAGAGGCCGGACGCUUGUGUAGUUUCAAGAGAAUCAAUUCUACAAUCAUCAGAUUGCGGUGAAAAUCUACCCACACAAAGGUGAAGAUUAGAUCUUUCUUUUUCUCCUUUAAUCUUAAACAAUAUGAGGGAUCCUGUUUGUGUGGUAUUUUGAGAUUGGAUCUGGAGUUUUAAAAAUCAAAUAAGUUUGAUUUUCUUUUUCUACUGCAUUUUAUUGCAUUCAAUAUUCUAACACCUACUCAUUUCAGACUCUUUCGAAACCUCUCAAAUAGAACCAUAAGCCAUUAUUCACUGGACUUUAGCAAUUUCCUAACCGAAUCGAUUGUCCUUCGCCAUUCUAAGAUGUUACUGUCAUUAGGGAGCCAAGCAAAGUGGUAGAGAAGACGAGUUUCAGACAAGAAACUCACACUGGUAAAAGUUUCAUUUGUAAAAUAUGAUUUAUUAUUAUUAUUAUUAUAGAUUUUCUUGGUUUUGAAUAGUUUUACAUGUGUCAUGAUUGACUAUUCUCUAUGUUUGAACAAUUUGUUACUUUUAUUUGUGGUCUGGUGGAGUUUGGGCUCAAAAAGUAGCUUCAGAAUACCGUGUGGUCGACUAACUGUGAUCCAUGGUCAACCAAGAUAAUCUCCAUAUGAAGCUGUAGCUUUUGUUCGUCGAACGUUUGAUUGUCGCCACUUACGACCAUGAACGCCAUAGAGAGCCUAAACUUUAUUUUCUUUUGCUUUGCUGAAGCCUAGUAAUUAUAAUUCUUACUUUAGAAGGCUGUAGUAAUAUAGUCGGGAUUUCUGUGUGUUUUCUCUUUAGAUUCAUUUAUUAUAAGUCCGCAUUUAUCAUCCUUACUUUUCCUUAUCGUCAAGGAUCUUACAAUUUCAAGUGAGUAGUAAACUAUCUCAUUAAAUUAAGCUACCAAAUUAAUAUCUUAAAUUCUUAUUGGUAUUGAUACAUUUGCCCAUUAGAUAUAUUGUUAUGGAGGGUGAUAUUGGAUACAUGAUAUUUAUGUAUUGUAAAAUUGGAUAUAUGAUUGAUGCUUGUUGUAAAAUAUAACUUUUUUUUCCUAGUUAAACCUUAAUUUUAUAAAGAUGUAAAAUAUAAUACUUACAUCGGUCACCCACAAUUCAUAAUGGCACGAUUGGAAUUAACCUUAGAAUUCACCUUGACCAAAUUGUGACCUAAAAUCGCCCACGACUCAUAAUGGCGUGAUUAGAAUAUGGUCUCAUUUACCAAUUUUGAAAUUUGCCGAUCUUAGGAUUCACAAAAAUCUAAACAACUUUUAGUAAAAUAAAAAAGUUGAUGUGAUAAGUAGAAAAUUGAUGGUCCUUAAAUAAAAAGGUUGUAAGAUUUUACACCCUAAUUUGGGGUGUAUCAAUGAAAUUGCUAUCCAAAAAAAGAAAACUUUUGCUUCUACACUCCAAAAGGGGACAUAGAUCUUGCACCUUAUAUCCUAGAGUUCACAAAAAUUCAAAUAAUUUUUAGUAAAAUAAAAAAAUUGAUGCGACAAAUGGAAAAUCGAUAACCCUUAGGUGAAGAGAGUGUAAGAUUUACACCCCCACUUUGGAGUGUACUAAUAACAUUACUCUCCAAUAAAGGAAAAUUUUAUUUUUACACUCCAAAAAGGGGGAUGUAGAUCUUAAACCCACUUUUCUAGGGUUCACAAAAAUCUAAAUAGUUUUUAGUAGAAUAAAAUUAUUUGGAGACCUCUCACCUUUACACUAAUACAAAAGUCAUCCCUCAACAAUUAUAUUCUUUUUUAUGGCUAAGAUGCAGAUAAUUUCUCUCUCUAUAUAACAUGUUGUGCUUUACCUCCAGACAAAAAAAAUAUGGCCUUUUAUCUUCUUAAGAUGUAGAUAAUUUCUCUAUUUUUUUUUCCUUGUUUGUCUUUCUCCUUUCACUAACGAACGGUACAUUUCCCUCCUCGUUAUUUUUUUCUCUCCUUCUCUUCCUGUUUCCUCUUUCUUCUCCUCCUUCUCCACUGCCCUACAUUGACGCUGCGCUCUACUAUCUUACCUCACCCACACCUCCGCCGGUGCUAGCUCGAAUAUGACACAGAUCGCGGAGGUGAGGUUGCGGAGGAGCGCAUGGCCGCUAACUGUGGCGGCUAUGAGAGUGCUAUAGGAUUUGAGGACGACGGGAAGAGAGAGCAUGUUGCAAUGGGGGCAGCGGCUGCAGUAGAGGGCAAGGGGCCGCAAUAGUCGGAAAAGAUGCAGAGGGUAGAAGAAAAAAAAUAAAUAAAUAAAGGAAAAAUAUUUUUUCCUCCUAAGAAGACCAUCAUAUGUCGCAACCGCUAUAGGGAAGGCCAAAAAGUGAAGAAGAAAGAAAAUGAUGACGAAGUUACACAAUUUGAGAUGAAAAUUGCACCAUUUGAGACGAAAAUUUCACUAUUUGAGAUGGAACUUGCAUUAUUUGAGACAAAAGUUGCACUAUUUGAGUCGAAAGUUGUACUAUUUGAUAUGAAAGUUGCACUAUUUGAGAUAAAAGUUGCACUCUUUAAGGCGAAAGUUGCACUAUGUAAACAAUUUGAAAAACCAAACUAAGUUGCAAACAGAAAUUAUUUGAGACUAAGUUGCACUGUUUGAGACUAAAUCUCAAAUAUUUUUUAAAAAAUGCAACUUUCACUUCAAAGAGUGCAGUUGUGCAACUUUCGUCUCAAAUGGUACAACUUUUGUCUCAAAAUGGUGCAACUUUUGUCUUAAACAGUGUUACUUUCUUCUUAAGCUGUGCAACUUUUAUCUCAAAUUGUACAACUUCGUCUUCUUCUUUCUUUUAUGCUUCUUUGCUUUUCUUGUAGCAGCCAUGACAUAUGAUAGCCUUUCCAGAAGAUUAGUACUUUUUUUUCUUUUUUUUUUGUUCUAUCCUCUAUAUCUUUUUAUGCUAUUGCACCUCCUCCCUCACCCUCUAUUCCAACCGCAGCCGUUCCCCUUGCCCUAAUGUGCUUUCUCUUCUUGUCAUUCUCAAAUCCUGUGACACUCUCAUUAUCGUUACUGUCCACAACAAUGCACUCCGCUGCAAUCUCACUUCUGCGAUUUGUGCCCUAUCUAAGCCGGCAUUGCCAGAGGUUUACGCGAGGUAAAAGAGUAAAGAGCAGUGUCGAUAUGGGGGCAGUGAAGAAGGAGGGGAAAGGAGAGGAAGCAUGAGGAGAAUGAGAGGAAGAAACGACGAGGAGAAACGAAAAAUGGAAAUAGAAUGACGAAGAUAGAAAAUAAAAUAGAGAUUGAAAAAGGAAUAAGAAUAUUUUGAUCAGUUUACUAAAAAUUUGGGCCGAAUCUAUAAAAUCCAAAAUGAAAUGAUAGCCGGUUUAGCAAAAAUGUAAAGUCAGUGAAUUUUUUUAUGCAAAUUGGCCUUAAAAAAUAAGUUAAAUAAUCAAAAUACCUCUUUUAUGUAAGUUUUCAGAGGAUUAAGUGCAUACGUUUUUAUCCAAAGUGUUAAGAAUAACACCUAACUAGUGAAAUACCCGCGCGAUGCUGCGGAUAUAAGAAUAUUUUUAUAAUAAAUUUUACUCUUUUUUUCAUAUCUUUAUAUAAUUUUAUAAAUCUAAUUAUUAAUUAAAUAAAAGUUAUAUAAAAAUAAUUGAAUAAUUAAAUCUAUUUAAAUAAAAUUUAUUAAAAUUGGUAUAUGUGCAAAGUAAAUUUAUACAAUAAUUUAUUUUAUAAAUAUUUACACAAAAAGGAUUUGAGAUAAGUCUAUCAUAAUAAUUUUAAGAAAAUCAAUAAAUAGAAGAAAAAUAAAAUUGUAGAAGAAAUUGUUUAAUAAAAUUAAUUAUAUAUACACACAAAUAAAUUAUAUUUCUAAAAUUUUAAAAUUUUACGUGAUUUAAAUUUUAUAGAUACAAAUAGUCUAAACUAUUUAAAAACUAUUUAUAUGUUUUAAAAUUUUAUAAUAAUAAAUGAAAAAAAUGUUGGACUUUAAAAAAAUAUAAAUCAUUUUUUUAGCUCAAAUUUAAAUUAAAUUUUUUCUUUCAAUUUUAAUAUUUUUGUGGCAACUUGGCUUUUACGGUUUUACCUAGCUUUUACCUGUAACUAAGGUUUAUCCAAGCCCUUGUGACACCACCCAAUAAAAAAAAAAUUGAAGAGAGAAGAAGAAGAAAAAAAAAAAAAAUCCACUCCCCUUUCCUCCGGGUGUGGCCAAUCCAAACCAAGCCUACCCUACGCUCGAGCGCCUGCGCGAGCUCGCGCCCGCUCACGCCGCCCGCAUCAGCUUGCACCUGCGCCCCCUCACGCCGCACCCAUGCUCGUGCCGGCUCGCACCCAGCGCCCCGCCCCCCACGUCCGCUCACGCGGUCACGCCGCCGUCGUGGUCUAAGUCGCCACCGCUGCUGUAAUACACUGGACUUUCGCAAAUUGCAGAGUUCGAGUGUGUGGAAGGAAGUGUGGAACUAUUCUACAUGUUCUAAAUGACUUGGACAAGUUUUUGAACAAGUUAGAGAGUGAUUGGAGGGUUAAAAGUGAGAAAUUGCAUCAAACAGGCGAAAUCAGCCUUUUUCUGCUUGUUGUACCGGUACAGCCAUCACCUUGUACCGGUACAGACUGGCAGAAAUCUGGCAGCAAGGCUAAUUUGGUCAUUUCACGUUUUGAUCCUAUCUAUUUGAACCCAGCACGACCUGGGAUACUCAGUGGAGCCUGCUGGAGUCCAGAGAAGUGUUCUCCCAUCUUUCUCUUUCUCUCUCUCUAGGGUUUUUCUCUCUCUACGUCGAAUUCGCCGAUUUCGCUCGUUUUCGUCGCCGCGUGCGUUCUUCGCUGGUGGCAAGCGUUGCUGAGCCUAUGUGGACGUGUGAGAGAGUAUUUUGGAAGGUUCUUUGCAACUCUGAACCAGUGGGUUGCUGGUUGGAAGCUUGAGAAGGUAACGACGCGAUGUUUUUCCGUUAUCGGCAUUCUAUUCGUCGAUUUGAGUAUUGAGUUUGAGUUUUUGCUUCUAACCGAUGUAAACUGAGAAUUCAGCUAUUAUUAAUGAAUUAUUCAGCUGUGAAUUAAGCUCCUUAGACUAGGGAUGAGCUUCUUUGAAGAUUAAUUGAGAGAAUUAGCCAUUUAUGAAGCUUAAUCGGAACUAUACGCGGAUUAUUGACGCAGUUUCGUAUGAUUCCUUCGCAGCAGGUUUUCGAACCAUCUAGAGCUAAUUUGGUGACCUUGGGGAUUGAUUUAGAGGGUGUUCUAACCUGAGGUAAGCAGGAAUUUCCAUUCUAAAACUGAUUUCGCAAGAAUUCGGCUAAAUUCACUAGUAUACAUGCGCGUUGACGUCGUUUAAUGAUUGUUCGCAGCGCGAGUGGAAUCGACCUUCGGAUCACUUUCAGCUGAUUAGUGAGAGCUUUUGGAAGCUUAACUUGAGGUAUUUAUUGAGCCAAAACAGGGAUUUCAGCUAUUACGAUGUACUAAGUGCAAUUGCGCCGAAAUCGGACAUUUCGAUCGUAAUUUUGAUACGAUAUUUAUGCUUCAUGUUCAGCAGGAUUGCGACCUAGUGGAGCUGAUCCUUGGGACUCCUUGGACUGAUUUGGAGCCUAGUACUAGGUGGGUCGGACCUAACCAGAGCAAGUGGAGCUCUCCUAUGUUCUAUAUGUAUCUAUAGAAUAGAAUAAUUGCAUAGGUGCUUCGAGUGCAUAUGUGAUUGAUAGAGAAUUGGAAACAUAUCAUCGUGAUGUGUGAUGCUUAUGUGACGCACUGGACCUUUGCAAAUUGCGAGGUUCGAGUGUUUGGACAGUGUCCCGAGUUUUUCCAGACGUUCUGGUGGGUCGUUGACAGUGUUCCGACCUAUGGCUCGCAUUCCGAGAAUUGUAGUAUUUUAUGUAGCGCUAAGGUCACUAAAAAGUUGGACUUAGCCUACUCUCGGAUUGCAUUCUGCACAAGGUGUACCGGUACACUCUUGAUGGCCGUACCGGUACACACUUUGUACCGGUACACGCUUGAUGGUUGUACCGGUACACUUGUGGCAGAUUACGAACCUGAGCCUCGGGUUUGCAUUUUCGCAGGAUGUGUACCGGUACACUUCCCCGUGUACCGGUACACUUUGGCAGAAUCUGAGCGGUUUGUUCUGCAGGGGGUUUUUCGCAAUUGUGGCAUCUCUAUUAGUACCCCCACGCCCUAGGGGUCUUCCCUGAGCUUGGCACCAGCAAGGAGGAAGGUAAGGGAGCUCUCCACACCUCCUUAUUCCUUUUCUUUGAUUUUGCUUGGAUUUUUAGAGUUUAAGCACAUCUUUUUGCUCCUUUUUGGGUAUUGGAGGCUUUUCCACCAUUAGAGCUUGGAUUUGGAGCUAAGUGGAUGAUAGAUCUUGGGAUUUAAAGGAUUCAAAGCUUGAGUUGAAGCUUCUAAGAGGUAAGCAUCAUGUUCUUUCCUCUAGAUUUGAGUUUUAUUGAUGGAUUCAAGAUGAAACCCUAGUUUUGAGACUUAGGGCUUGUUUUUGGGUAUUUUGAAACUAGGGCUUUUGGGGCCAAAUUGGUUGGAUUAGAACCUUCCUUGGGCUUGGAUUGGAAGGGAUUUAGCUCUCAUUUGGAGCUUGAGAGAGUUUUUCCACGCGUUGGGUGAGUUUUAGCCCUUUUGCUAAAUUUGUUAAAGUUUGAUAUUAUGCGAUGAUCGUAAUGCCCGUGUAUCUUGUCGCUCAUUACUUUUAGGGUAUUUUGAGACUCGGGGACAACUUUGUUCGGCGAAACGAGACCCUACGCGACGGUUCGGUGGGUUUGACCUAGCUUACAUAUGAGAAAUUCUCAUAUAUGGUUUUAUAUGUUCCGUAAAAUGGAAAAGCAUGCAUAAUCAUACUAAAUGUAUUUAUUGUGAUUUUUAGAAUGCUUAAAAUGCAUAUGUUAUGUAUGAUGAAAUUUUGGACCUCUAUGUAAUAGAGAGUUGCUUGAGGGAUCUAUAGUUGCAUUUCGCAUUCUUCAUGAGACUUGGUUUCAUGCUACUAUAGUGUAAAUGAGUUCGGAUUCAUGCAUUUAAGCCUAAGUUUACUUGUGUCAUGAAAGUUGAUAAAAUUGCCAUUAGUAGGUAUGUGAACUAGAGAGCUAAUGUCAUCGAGCGUCAUUGAGCUCAGGACAUGUGGGAACCUAGAGGAUAGGGCCAUUGAGGGAUUUGGAAUACAUGUUGAACAUCAAAUGUCUAAGUGUCAUAAAGGGGCACUAGACCUAGAGAAUAUUGAAACUUCACAUUGUGACUUAAACUAGAUCUUUGGGAUGCUAGUAACUAUACCAUGUUAAAGACAUGAGGAUUGGGUACUUGAGACUUGGACUACGCUUGUUUGCCAUUUGUGCUCAUUCGCACAUGCUUGUGAGGGUCACUCCCUACAAGCCGGCACUCCGGAGUUAGCCUACGCGACUACGUUCGCUCGUGCGGUAUCGAGAAGCCUACGGGGUCGAGUGGGACAGACACAUUCCAUGAGUAGGAAUGUCGGGCUACCACAGGCACUUAGGCGGCACAAGCUGGACUACCUUGGGUAGGUCCCUAAUUGGAAAUGGAAAUCGACACGGUUUGAGAAUGAACACUCACUACUAGAUAGGCUUAGUAGUUGGAGUACAUUUACAUGCAUAUAGCAUAGGGUUGAGACAUGUAGUACACUUGGUUGCCAUGAUAGAACUUCUACAUCAUGUAUUGACAAAGGUUAACAACAUUAAACUAGUGCCACUGGACUUAAUUGUAAUGACAAAAUAGAUGUACAUUUUGGUUGACAUCAUGCUUACUUGAGACACAGUAGACUAGCAUUUCAUUUAUGCUCUCUUUUAGCAGUUAUUUACAUGCUCCUUUUUAUUGCUUAUUACUAUAUGUCGUUGCUUACCCUUAUUUUUGGGGCCUAGUGGAGCAAGAGCUGAGGUCAGUAAUUGCCCACUGGGAACUAUAAAUUAUAGUUCUCACGCCCUCCUUUUCUCGAUGUUUUUCAGAGCCUUCCACUCAGGGUGAGGCCAGGGAUCGCGGAAAGGGUAUCGUGUCACGCCCCGGAUGUCUCGUUCCCCGGGCACGCCGACAAAUCCGCCGUAUACAAGGAAUUUUCCCUGUAUACGAAGCGUCAAAAGUACCUGUAAAUAUACAAUACUACAAACAGUAGCAUAGAGCUGCUCAAUAUACAAAGCUAAACAACUGAGUUUCAUAUACAUAGUCCAAAUCCAAAAUACAAAGCUACUCGCACCGGCGAGUUAAACAACUAUGUACAUAAACUCUAAAAUAGCAACUACCUGCAGUAGGGGGGUGCCUCUAGCUCUGUCAGUCGGGUAGGGCUCUACCUCGCGACGCCCUUGCCUCGAUCCUGAUCCGCGGAAGGCGCAGUAGCCGAAACCUGUGGCUCUGCAAAACAUAGGUAACAACUGGGCGUGAGAACUACUGUAAAAAACAAGUAGUCCUCAGUGGGUACCGCCCAAAACGACAUCGGUCACCCACUAAGUCUACAGAAGGGAGCAAGGAUAGAAGGAAAAGCAGGAAGUACACUCUAUCGCUAUCAUCCACUACACUAUCAUGCUCUACAUUAACCGACUGUAGGAAAUGUCAAAUCUGACCCAAUCCAAUUGGGACUGUAAACAUACCCGUCCCUGGGACUGUGAACACACCCGUCCCUGCCCCGUUGCGACUAUCAGGCUCUAUCCACACUAGCUGGUCUGUGGAGAGCAAGUCCAACUGGCAUGAGCGACACCAACGCAAAAGCACAAGCCUGACUCCGGAGUGGCACUCGUGGGCGCUACCCAACCGAGUAUGCAGCGUAUCUCUGUCGAGCUCAAUCAGGCUCCAACUAUCCAAAGUCAAGUAAUCGACUCAAACUGGCCUAACAACCAACAGGUAACGUGCCCUCGGCACAGUCUGACGCCAAAAAGGUGAUACGGGUCCACCGUCAACUCUGACGGCACCCAACAGUCCGGAACAACCUGAACGACCCUGUAAAAAUCCACUCGGCGAACCAGCACGAGUGUAAAUACAUUCUAAACUACCUGGAGUACUCGUCUCGAAGAAACUGAGACAGUACAAUUUCCUGACGGCUCCUAGAGCUAAAUCAGGUAGUUAAAACUGGUGACAGGUCCAAAUCGCAAGUUUUCUCCUAAUUCAAUUUCCAAGUCCAACAUGUAUAAUCUAAUUACUUAAUAAAAUAUGCUCGCAAAUUCAGAUUUUGCAUUCUAAUAAUAAUCCAUGAAUUUGAGCUAAACUAUUGUAGAAAUCACGAUUUAUAUAUGUUGACUAAUAAUACUUAGGAGUAAAACCGAUGUAACCCACCUAAAAUGCUAAUCCCCUGGCAGCGGUACACCCUCACAGCUGCAGCACCACCUGCUGGUCGAUCUACACCCUCCAAAUCCGGGAGUCGAGCUAACACCACGCUCUACAAAGCACAAAUCACCGUUUCAGUCCCAAAAUUCGCAACAGUCAGGUACAGCACGGAUUCGACCAAUCUAACCUCAACGAAAUCUGGCAAGUAAGGGCUUCGUGGAUUCCUCUCGAAGUCCUGAAUCCAGCGAAUCAAGCCUCGUCGAAAUCCGACGCUCCUACGUCGAGUACGAGCCGAAACGCCAACGGUCGACGCUGGAAAUCUGCAGGGACAGCAACUAGCUCAAAAUUGAAAAAGCUUGGAAAUUAGGAAGCAAUUCUAUGGAACACCCACCUCGACGGCGACUAGCACUGGCGCGACGUCAAGAACGGCGAAGAUCCACGCUCGCCCGGCCUCCUCACGAUGCAACGGCAGCAACCGUAGGUUCGAACGGCUCUGCGGUGCGACGUCGACGGCGAAAUCGGCUCCGUGGCGGCGUCCCUCGCGUGCUUCCUUGGUACGGCCGAACGAAAGAGAAAAGGAGAGAAGAGAGGAGAUAAACUCCUCUCUCUCUCUUCCCUGCAUGCAUAAAAGAGGGGGGGGAGGUGAUGCCACAUGGCAUUACACAUACUCACAUAUGUGCACUCACACACACACACACACACACGUACCCUCACACACACACUUAUAUAUAUAUACUAAGUAUAGGGAUACUAGUAUACUACAUAUCGCCUCGGGCUAGCGCGCUUACCGAGGGAUCGUUCGAUAGGUGGUCUACCUCUCGUGUUUUCUUUUUGUGAGAGGUUGAGAGUUGUACCCGUAUAUAUAUAGAGACCACCAUUUUUGUACUAGAGACAGUUAUUGUACUACUUAUGGUUAUCUUUGUUUGACUAGCUUUAUUCCUUUACUUUGGUGUAGAUGAUAGAACUUUACUUGCUCUGAUAUCUCUAGUUGCUAGUUAUUUCAUUUCUUAUAUUUGUUUUAUCUCUUGCCUUUACUUCCGCUUUUAUUGUAGGCGCCUUAUAUGUGUAGACAUAUGGCGGGUCUGGGCACGCUACCGGGAGGGCCUCCGCCGGUCUCGGGGCGUGACAGCUUAAGUCGAUUGAAUCUCUAUAAAGUAGAGAACAUUUAUACAUGAAAGUAUUUAUAUUCAUAUUCAAUACAGUUGAAUGACUUAUGAAUAAGUGUAGGAUGCACUUUAAAGUAGAGAACAAUGACAUUCUCUUGACUCUAACGUAGAGAACUAUGACAUGCUCAUGACUAUGUUGAUAGUGCCAUACUAGUGGAAAGAUUAUUUUGCCAUGUGAUUUAGCUACACCCUUACAUGAUUACAAUCUAGUGGAUACUAGCUCUUGUUACUAUUUGUGUAUUGACAUUCCGAUCAGAGGAUCGAGGGUAAGAACUUUACAAAUGAAAAUAUGAAAAUUGAGACAUGUGGAUAAUGGACUUUGCUUGCUUGCCAUCGUGCUCAUUCGCACACGCUUGUGAGGGUAGCUCCCUACAAGCCGGUACUCCGGAGUUGGCCUACGCGACAGUUGCUCGCCCGUGCGGGAUUGGGUGCGGAAGUGGAUUGCCGUGGGGAGUGUAUACUACCACGGGGCCAUUAGGCGCGGCGCAAGCUGGACUACCUUGAGUAGGUCCUAGUGAAUGAAAAUGAAAGUGGAAAUGAUAAUGAUAGUAAUGAAUGAGUAUCAGUUGUAGUGUACAGUAAUACUUACACUUCUAUGAUUAUGUUUAUGUUCAUGUUUAUAGUAGUUGCGAUACUUCUAUUAUUCAGUUGAUUCAUUACUGCAGAAAUCAUGUUUACAUGUUGAAUACAUGCCUGUUACCGGUUAGCACUGCAUAUUUCUAUAUCAUGCAUUUAUCGCUUCUACUUACUUUCAGUACAUCAUGAGCCUAGUGGUGUAAUUCGCCGAGACUGGCGGCUUACCCACUGGGAACUAUUGUUAAUAGUUCUCACGCCCUUUUGGUGGUUGUUUUUACAGAGCCAUCUACAGGAAAGGCUAGGGAUCGUGGCAAAGGAGUCGCGUCUAGCUAGACAUUGCUAGAAGCAUGCUAGUCGAUCACCUUGCUACUCGGGCUACGACUGAGGGUGAUGUCCUUUUGUAUAGAGAAACCACCAUUGUACCUAUCCUAUUUUUGUAUACUCGUGAUGUAUAUGUACUACUUGGACUGUGAACUACAGUUGUGAUACUUCUCUUCUGUCGAGAUUUUGGAUUGUAUUUUCCUUUGUUCUUUUACUGAUAGUAUAUUGACUUGUACAUUGCUCUGAUAUCAGGAUAGGACUUUCUUUGUUUUGCUUCCUAUCGACUUGCUUUCUUCGUAGACGCCUUAUAUACUGCAGGUGUAUGGCGGGUCUGUACACGUGCCGGAUAUGCUUCCGCUGGUACCCGGGGGUGACAGCUGCUGCCGUCACCGUCGCCUAAGCCGCCACCGCCACUGCCGUCGUCGCCUAAGCCACCACUGCUGUCGCUGCCUAAGCUGCCACCGCCGUCGCUACGGAAGAGAGAGAGAGAUAGAGAGAGAGAAAUAGAAGAAAUGGGAUAAGAGAGAGAGAGAGAGAAAUAGAAGGAGGGGAUAAGAGAGAGAAAGAGAGAGUAGGGGAGGGAGAAAAAGUGUGGGGGACAACUGGCAAGAGAUAGAGAGAGAGAGUUUAGGGUAGAGAGAGAAAGGGAGAGAGAUGGGUUUCAGAGGGUGUAAGAGAAGAGAGAGAGAGAGAAAGAGAGAAGGGGGUUUACAGCUGUAACAAAUUUUUUUUUGUGAACCCCACUUCAUUAAAAACGUGCCAUGUGGAAUAGACUUACCUCCUCUCGCCACGUGGCUUCAUUGUUCUGUCAAUUUAUAUAUUGUUAGAUAUAUUAAGAAGUACAAAGCAUUAUCAUUUUUUUUUAUUUUAGCAUUAUAAUUUUCAAUUAUUUCAAUUUAACUUUAUUAAAUACAAUUAAUAAAUACUUUAAAAAUUAACAGUUUAAUCAGCUACAAGUCAAUGCAUCGGCAAUAUUAUCAACUAAAAGGUGUUUAAAAUAGUUGGAUUCAAAAUUUUAUUUUCCAAAUUUUAUAAAUCUCCGAUUUAAAUUUUAAAACUUGUACUAAUUAUUUACUAUCACUCAAAAAAUACUAGUGGAAUGACUUUUGCAAAAAGAUUGCAAUAUUAACCGGUUCAUUUUGAUAGAAAUAUGAAAGAUUUAUUGAAUUUAGUAUAUACCAGUUCGGCUUCAUUUGGUUCAGAUAUAAGCAAGAAUUGCCUAUUCCAGUGAAUUCUAAAAAAGUGAUUUUGGUUUGGAGAAGUGAUUUUGGUUAAAAACUGUAGAGCGUUUGGUUGAGUUUAGGUAAAAGUGAUUUUUCUAAAGUGAUUUUGAAAAACUGUUUGGCAAAAUUUUUUUGAUGUAUGCAUAAAUUAAUAUUUUUAUUAAAUUUUAUUUUAAAAUAAUUUAAAAUCUAAAUUAAAAUUAAAAUUAAAAUUUUAAUUAUAAAAUAAUUAUAAUUUAUUGCUUAUAGUAUAGAAAUUUUUUUAAAAAAAUACAAAAUAGAAAAUGAAAAAUAAACUAUAAAAUACAGUAUAAUUAAGCCAAAUGAGAAACCAAAAUAAAUUUCAGUGUUUCCAAAUAGGACCUCAUCAUAAUUGGCAAAGCGCACAAACUCUUUCUUUGGGACCUACCUUGGACAUCCUCUUACGAUUAAGUGACCUUAAUUAUAAUUAUACAUAUCAUUAAAAUUUGUUGAUUUUUGUUGAAUGUAAAUAUUAGAAAUAUUGUUAUAUGAUAGUUUAAACUUGAGUGAAAUACGCGCGUUUUAUAUAAAUUCAUAUGGUAUCAUAGUAGUAGGUCUUAAGUUAAACAUCGUUCUCUAGUAGUUUAAUCGUUUGGAGAAUAACAUUUUUUUAUAUAAUUUCACAAUUUUAAGUACUUGAACAAUAGGUAAAUAGUGUCGAAUAAUCAUGAAAACUGGUUUCUAAGAAGUUAAUGGGAACCUAGAUCGUCGAUUUGGAUUCCUCACAAGUUGAAUAUGAUAUGAAAGAAUUAAGCGUUUGGUCCUUCAACUCUAAUAUGGACACACUCGAUUCGGGACCGGGGAUGAAAAUGAAUCUGGAUUGGUGGAACUCCCGUUCCAAUCUUCUACGAACAGGACGGUAAGUGAGAACUAAAGAUAUAAAUAAAAUGUAACCAAUUUCAAAUUUAUCCCGAUCUGCCUAGGAAAUAGAGCGGGAGACGGGAGACUUUUUUUUUCUUAAAAUUCUUCUCGAUCUGCUAAAAUUUUGCUUCUGUUUCAAUCAGUUUUGAAUAAAAACGAUAAGUGGAGGCAAAAAAAAAAAAAAAUAAUCUAUUCUGAAUUCGUCCUGACCGAUAAGAAUGGGGUGGAAUAUAAGGGACCCCUCCUAAGUCCCACAUCUGGAUCCGCCCCGUUUGCAUCCUUAGUCUAAGGUACUUUCGGGUUCGGGUCAGAUCAUGAUCCGACCGGUCUAAAUUGCGUCCGACCGGUCUAAAUUGGGUUCUCUUUCCGACCCUUUCUCUCAUUCUCGGAAAACAAUAUUAACGGUUGAGAUGAAACGAAACGGACGGCCGAGAUUUGAUCCUGUCAAAACAAUCGGAUCACUAUUUCUUCGAUAUCCUCUCUCCUUUUACCCGUCCCUUCUCUCUCUCCCUCCGGAGACUUUUUAGGGUUUCGUUCCCGUUCGUCGUGACCCUUCGCCCUCCUCCUCUCCCCGAUCCCAAGAGGUGAGCUCCCGCUCUAGCGGUAGAACAUGGGGUUAGGGUUUCUCUCCGUAACUGUUUACUUGGUUCAAUUCGAUUCGUAUCUCAAUGGAUUUGCUUCUCUUCUUUGUAUUUUAAAUUUGUAGUAGUUAAAACGGCUUUCGUUUGAGAUCUGUUGAUGAUGUUCCCAUCUGGGAAAGGAGUAACGAUUUGAUAGUAAUUUUGCUAGAAUUCGUUGGAUUGAACUCAACUUUGUUCUAAAUUAUGAUCAAAUUGUUAUCGUACUCCACUUAGAUUGUAUACGGUGCAACCUAUUCAAUUUGUGGCUUUUGUUGGCCACAGAGAGAAUAUAGGAAUUGAGUUUACAGUGUUAACAUUAGCGUAGGAUGAACGGAUCAUCUUGGUUUUUAUGUCUCUGUUACUGUAUGAAUUAUGUGGCUAAUUAGCUUUUGAAUCAUGGUAUAUACCCAACGAAAUGAGUUGGGUAUAAUCGAGUAACGGCCGGUAUUAUUACAUCAAUUACUUGGCUAAUGGUGUGGAGUACGAGUGUUGAGAUGUUCUAUCAUCAAUUAACAAUGACCAAGUUUGCGGAGCUGAUGUAUGUAUGUUGCUAAGAUAAGAUGGAACUAAAUGUAUGGAAUCUGAUUCUUUUAAGUUGCUCUUUGUUUAUUAUUGAAUUCUCACUCAUAUUACCUGCAUUGACUAAUUAAAUAUUUUCUCAUUACUUAAUCGACAUAGUAAUGCUUUGAAUCAAUGAAUUUAAAUUCUUCUGCAUUAAAUAUUAGCUGAGUGUAUGUUUGUUAGCUGCCAUUUUCUGCUCAAUGAAGAAUUUCUGAUAUUUUGCUUUUGGUGUUUUCUUUUUUAGAUGUCACAAACAAAAGAAGUGAGGUUAGUUUUUCUUUUCAGUGCAAUUUAUGUUAGUUCUAAAUCUCACUGCUACCAUAUGAUUAACUAAAUAUGUUUUCUCCUUCUUCUUCUUCUUCUUUCUUUUUUUUUUUUUUACAAGGUAUACCUCUCAAUCUAUAACACCUCCUCCGAGGGGGCGCAGUAGAUCAAGGUCGUCAUCAAGGUCAAGAGGCAGGAGUCGUUCUAGGCAUGUGGACUUGUUUUGAUGUUUAUUCGUCCCAAAUAUAUGCGAAAUUAAUAUCAGUCAUUCGCUUCAAUCUUAAACUGAUUUAUGCAAGGUUCUGUCAAGGUCUGUUGGCUCACUACCAAUUUUAGUUUUUCUGGUGAUAAUGGGAGUUGCUCUUGUGCUACAGGAGCCAGGAUUCAAGAAACCCCGGUAACAACUUGUAUGUCACAGGAUUGUCCACACGAGUUACUAGCAGUGAUCUUGAGAAGUAUUUUAGCAAAGAAGGGAGGGUAUGGAAUUCUAGUUUGUAUUGUUAUUAUGUAAUUCCUGGAAUUGGUAAUUACUUUUGCGGGUAGAUUCUGUUUUAAGGCUUUGGUAGUGUUGUCUUACUAUAGUAAUCAGGAGUGUGCUGUGUGCAGCUGUUAAUAUCAUCUGGUGCUGCUCAAUGUUUUAAUAAAUUGAAAGUCUUUGGAGUAUUCCAACUUUGUAGAAGUUUAGUUUCUAUUUACCAAUCUGCUGUGAACUAAUUCUUUAAAAUAACUCAUCUAUUUUUAAUGUUUUAAUAUUGUAACAUGAAAUAAUUCUUUUUCUUUGGAGUCCUACUACUAGUGUGUUUUAUAUAUUUAAAUAUUAAUAUUUUAUUUUAAAUUUCAUAAUAUUUAAUAUUUUUAAAUUUAUUUUAAUUUUAAAUUUUAAUUUCAAAUUCACUUUAAAUUAAAAAAAAAAAAAAAAAAAAAAAAAAAAAAAAAAAAAAAAAAAAAUAUUUUAUUUAUAUUUUUUAAUAUUAAAAUUUUAUAUUUUAAUUUCCAUAAUUAUUUAUAAUUGAAAAUUUUAAAUUUUCAUAUUUUAUUUAAAUUAAAUUUUUUUUAAAUUAAAUACAAAUUUUUAAAAUUUUUACAAUUUUAAUUUAAAAAAUUUAAUUUAAUUUUAAUUUAGAUUUAAAUAUUUUAAAUAAAAUUAAAAAAAAUUAAUUUAAUGCAUACAUCAAAAAAAUUUUGCCAAACAGUUUUCAAAACACUUUAAAAAAUUCACUUUUACCUAAAAUUCAGCCAAAACGCUCUACAGUUUUUUUAACCAAAAUCACUUCCCAAACAAAAUACUUUUUUAGAAUCACUGGAAUAGCAAUUCCUGCUUUAUGCUGGAACCAAAUGAAGCGAAAACUGUAUCAUACUCAAUCCAAUAAAUCUUCAUAUUUCUAUCAGAUGACGGUUAAUAUUGCAAUUCUUUUCAAAAGUCCAUCACUAGUAUUUUUGAUGAUAGUAAAUAUUAGUACAAGUUUUAAAAUUUAAAUGGAGAUUUAUAAAAUUUGGAAAUAAAAUUUUUGAAUCCAAUAUUUUAAACAAACUUUUAGUUGAUAAUAUUGGCCGAGCAUUACUUGUAGCUGAUUGAAACUGUUGAAUUUUAAGUAUUUAUUAUUAUUAAAAAUUAAAUUGAAAUAUGAAUUAUAUGAUAAAAUAAAAAAAAUGAAAUAUGCUUUGUACUUCUUAAUAUAAUCUAACAAUAUAUAAAUUGACAGAACAAUGAAGCCACAUGGCGGAGGGGUAAGUCUAUCCACAUGCACGUUUUAAGAAAGUGGGGUCACAAAAAAAAUUGUUACAGCUUAAACCCCUUCCCUCUUUCUCCUCUCUCUCUUCUCUUACACCCGCUCUGAAACCAUCUCUCUCCCCUUUCUCUCUCUACCCUAAACUCUCUCUCUCUAUCUCUUGCCAGUUGUCUCCCCACACUUUUUCUAACCUCCCUACUCUCCCUCUCUCUCUCCUUAUCCCUCCUUCAUUUUCUCUCCUCUCCUUAUCCCAUUUCUUCUAUUUCUGCUCUCUCUAUCGUCUCUCUCUCGUCCGUAGCGACGGCGGUGGCAGCUUAGGCAGCGACAGCAGUGGGUGGCUUAGGCGACGACGCAGUGGCGGUGGCGGCGUAGGCGACGGUGACGCAGGCAGCUGUCACCCCCGGUGUACCAGCGGAACAUAUCCGGCACGCCGUACAACCCGCCAUACACCUGCAGUAUAUAAGCGUCCACGCAAAAAGCCAAAAGGUCGAUAGGAAGCAAACAAAGAAAGUCCUAUCCUGAUAUCAGAGCCAAUGUACAAUAGUCCAUAAUACUAAUCAGUAAAAUGACACAAGGAAAAUACAUCAAAAUCUCGACAGAAGAGAAAGUAUUCACAAACUGUAGUUCCAGUCCAAAGUAGUACAUAUACACUCACGAGAUGACAAAAAUAAGGAUAGGUACAAUGGUGGUCUCUAAUACAAAAGGACUCACCCUCGGCUCCGUAGCCCGAGUAGCAAGGUGAUCGACUAGCAUGCUCCUAGCCAUGUAUAGCUAGACGCGACUCCUUUGCCACGAAUCACUAAGCCCUUUCCUGUAGAUGGCUCUGUAAAAACAACACCAACAAGGGCGUGAGACUAUGUAAAAUGUCCCAGUUGGUAAGCCGCCAGUCUCGGCGAAUUACACACUACUCAAUGAUGUACUGAAAGUAAGUAAAGCGAUAAAUGCAUGGAUAUGAAAUAUGCAGUGCUAACCGGGUAACAGGCAUGUAUUCAAAUUGUACAAAUGAUUUCUGCAGUAAGGGAUCAAUGAAUACAUAAAGGUAAUCGCACUGACUAUAAACAUGAACAUAAACAUAACUCAAUAGGUGUAGCUUUAAUGGUACCUACAACUGAUACUCAUUCCAUUACUAUCUCUAUCAUGUUCCCUUUCAUUUUCAUUCACUAGGGGGAAAAACUCUACUCAGAGGUAGUUCCAGCUUGCGCCGCGCCUAAGACCCGUGGUAGUUAUACACUCCCCACGGCAACCCUUCGCACCCAAUCCGCGCACGGCGGCAACUGUCGGCGUAGGCCAACUCCGGAGUACCGCUUGAGGGAGCUACCCUCACAAGCGGUGUGCGAAUGACCGAUUAAGCAAGCAAGCAAAGUCCAUUAUCCCACAAUGUCUCAAUUUUCAUAUUUUCAUUGUAAAAAGGUUCUUCCCUCGAUCCUCUGAUCGGAAGUCAAUAACAAUAGUAAACAAGAGCUAGUAUCCACUAGAUUGUAAUCAUGUAGGUGUAGCUAAAUCACCAUGGCAAAAUAAUCUUUCACUAGUAUGGCACAUCACUAGUCAUGAGCAUGUCAUACGUUCUCUACGUUAGAGUCCAAGAGAAUGUCAUUGUCUCUCUACUUUAAAGGCCUGCAUCCUACACUUAUUCAUAACGUCCAUUCAACUGUAUUCGAAAUGAAUAAAAUAUUCAGUAUAAAUGUUUCUCUACUAUUAAUAGAGAUUCAACCUUCAAGCUGUCAGCCCCGAGACCGGCGGAGGCCCUCCCGUAGCGGCCCAGCCCGCCUAUGUCUACACAUAUAAGCGCGCACAAUAAAAGCGAGUAAAAGGCAAGAGAUAACAAAUAUAAGAAUAAUAACUAGCAAAUAGCAGAUCAUCAGAGCAAGUCUAAAGUUCCUAUCAUCUACACCAAAGUAAAGGGAAUAAAGCUUAGGCAAAAAAUAACCAUAAGUAUACAAUAACUGUCUCAGUACAAAAAUGGUGUCUCUAUAAUAUACGUAUAACUCUCAACCCCACAAAAGAAAAACCGAGAGGUAGACACCCUACUCGAACGAAUCCCUCGGUAACGCGCGCUAGCCGAGGCGAUAUGUAGUAUAUAGUUCCCUACAACUUAGUAUAUAUAUAUACAGUUGUGUUGUGAGGGUACGUGUGUGUGUGGUGUGGUGUGUGAGUGCACAGUGUGAGUAUGUGUAACUGCCAUGUGGGCAAUCACCUCCCCCCUCUUUUAGCAUCCAGGGAAGAAAGAGGAGUUUUCUUCCUCUCUUCUCUCCUUUUCUCUUUCGUUCGGCCGUACCAAGGAACGCACGCGCAGGGACGCCGCCAACCGGAGCCGAUUCGCCGUCGCCGUCGCACGCGAGCCGUUCGAACCUACGGUUUGCUGCCGUUGCAUCGUGAGGAGGCGGGCGAGCGUCGGAUCUUCGCCGUUCUUGAACGUCGCGCCAGUUGCUAGUCGCCGUCGAGGUGGGUGUUUCCAUAGAUUGCUCCUAAUUUCCAGCUUUUUCAAUUUUUCGAAGCUAGUUCUGUCCUGCAGAUUUCCAGCGUCGACCGUUGGCGGUUUCGGCUCCGUGACUCGACCGUAGGAGCGUCGAUUUCGACGAAGGCUUGAUUCGCUGAUUCAGGCUGUCGAGGGAAUCCCACGAAGCCCUUACUUGCAGAUUUCGUUGAGGUUAGAUUGUACGAUCCGUGCUUGUACCUGACUGUUGCAAUCUUGGGACGAAAACGGUGAUUUGUGCUUUGUAGCGCGUGGUGUUACUCGACUCCGGAUUUGGAGGGUGUAGAUCGGUACAGCAGGAUAGUGCUGGCAGCAUGUGAGGUCGUACCGCGCCCAGGGGAUUAGGCAAUUUUAGGGGUUACAUCGGUUUUACUCUAAAGUAUUAUUAGGUCAACAUGUAUAAAUCCGUGAUUUCUACAAAGUUUAGUUCAAAUUCAUGGAUUCAUUAUUAGAAUGAAAAAAUCGAAUUUGGACAUAUUUUUAUUAAAGUUUAGAUUAUACAUGUUGGACUUGGAAUUGAAUUAGGGAAAACUUGGAUUUGGACUUGUCACAAGUUUCAACUACCUGAUUUAGCUCUAGGAGCCUCAGGACAAUGUACGUCUCAGUUUCCUUUCGAGCGAGUAUCCAGGUAAGUUAGAAUGUAUUUACACUCGUCCUGGUUCGCCGAGUGAUUUUUACAGGGUCGUUCAGGUUGUUCCGGACUGUUGGGUGCGUCAGAGGUUGACGGUGGACCCGUAUCGCUUUUUUGGCGUCAGACUGGCCGAGGGCACGUUACUGUUGUGUUAGGCCAGUUUGAGUCGAUUACUGACUUGGAUAGCUUCUGGAGCCUGAGCUAGCUCGACAGGGUACGCUGCAUACUCGGUUGGGUAGCGCCCACGAGUGCCACUCCGGAUCGAAGGCUUGUGCUUUUUGCGUUGGUGUCCGCCUCAUGCCAGUUGGACUUGCUCUCCACAGACCAGCUAGUGUGGAUAGGAGGCCUGAUAGUCGCAACGGGGCAGGGAACGGGUGAGUUCACAGUCCCAGGGACGGGUAUGUUUACAUCCAAUUGGAUGGGUCGAUUUGACAUUCCUACAGUCGGUUAAUGGUAGAGCAUUGAUAGUGUAGUGGAUGAUAGCGAUAGAGUGUACUUCCUGCUUUUUCCUUCUAUACUGCUCCCCUUCUGUAGAUCUAGUGGGUGCCCGAUGUCGUUUGCGGCUACCCCACUGAGGACUACUUGUUUUUUACAGUAGUUCUCCACGCCAGUUGUUUUACCUAUGUUUUGCAGAGCCAACAAGGUUUCGGCUACUGCCUUCCCGCGGGAUCAGGAUCGAGGGCAAGGGCGUCGCGAGUGAGCCCUACCCGACUGACAGAGCUGAGAGACCCCCCUACUUGCAGGUAGUUUGCUAUUAGAGUUUAUGUAAAUAGUUGUUUUAACCGCCGGUGCGAAGUAGCUUGUAUUUGGGAUUUGGAUUAAUGUAUAUGAAACUCAUUGUUUAGCUUUGGUAUAUCUGAGCAGCUCUAUGCUACUGUUUGUAGUAUUGUAUAUUUCAGGUACUUGUUGACGCUUCGUAUACAGGGAAAUUCCUUGUAUACGGCGAUUUGUCGGCGUGCCCGGGGGGAACGAGGAACAUCCGGGCGUGACACGAUACCCUUUCCGCGAUCCCUGGCUCACCCUGGUGGAAGGCUCUGAAAACAUCGAGAAAGGAGGGCGUGAGAACUAUAAAUUUAUAGUUCCCCCGUGGCAUUAACUGACCUCAGCUCGUUGCUCCACUAGGCCAAAAAAUAGAGAAAGCAACGACAUACUAGUAUAAGCAAUAAGAGCAUGGUAAAUAACUGCUAAAGAGAGCAUAAAUGAAGUGCUAGUCUACUGUGUCUCAAGUAGCAUGAAUGUCAACCCAAAAAAUGUACAUCCUAUUUUGUCAUUACAAUUAAGUUUUCCAGUGGCACUAGUUUAAUGUUGUUAACCUUUGUCAAUACAUGAUGUAGAGAUUCUAUCAUGGCAACCAGUAUACUACAUGUCUCAACCCUAUGCUUAGCAGUGUAAAUGUACUCCCAACUACUAAGCCUAUCUAGUAGUGAGUGUCAUGUCUCAACCGUGUCCGAUUUUCAUUUCCAAUUAGGGGCCUAUCCAAGGUGUCCAGUUGUGCGCCUAAGUGCCUGUGGUAGCCGACAUUACUACUCAUGGAUGUUCUGUCCCCCAACCCUCGCCCGUAGGCUUCUCGAUACCGCACGAGCAACAGUAGUGCGUAGGCUAACUCCGGAGUGCCGCUUGUAGGGAGUGACCCUCAACAAGCAUGUGCGAAUAGCACAAUGCAUAACAGCCGUAGUCCAAGUCCUCAAGUACCCAAUCCUCAUGUCCCUCUAACAUGGUAUAGUUAUAAGCUCCCAAAGAUUAGUUAAGUCACAUGUGAAGUUUCAUAUUCUCUAGGUCUAGUGGCCCCUUUUGACACGUUAGACAUUUGAUGUCAACAUGUUUAACAAAUCCCUCAAGUGGCCUAUCCUCUAGGUUCCCAUUCCUGAUCCCUCAAUGCCGCUCGAUGACAUUAGCUCUCAUUUCAAACAUACCUACUAAUGGCAAUUUUAUCACUUUAUGACACAAGUAAAUGGCUUAAAUGCAUGAAUCGAAUCAUUUACACUAUAAGUAAGCAGAACCAGUCUCAUGAAGAAUGCGAAAUGCAACUAUAGAUCCUCAAGCAACUCUCUAUUACUAGAGGUCCAAAAUUUCAUCAUACAUAACAUAUGCAUUUUAAAGGCUUUCUAAAAUACAAUAAAUACAUUAGUAUAGAUUAUGCAUGCUUUUCCUUUUACGGAAAUAUAAAACCAUAUAUGAGAAUUUNNNNNNNNNNNNNNNNNNNNNNNNNNNNNNNNNNNNNNNNNNNNNNNNNNNNNNNNNNNNNNNNNNNNNNNNNNNNNNNNNNNNNNNNNNNNNNNNNNNNUCGCAGGGAGCGGCGGGAUCUGCAGGAGCGUCGCAUACUGAGCUUGGAGAAAAGGGAAGGGGAAGAGACCCGCGGCCUUGAGGUGCGACGUCAGAGCGCACUCACUGUUUUUUGGAGGCCCCGAGGCAUCCCAGGAGCAGGAGCCAGUCGCGCGAGGACGCGGCCGAGUCUACUCAGGCGAGGAAGGACGCCGAUCGUCGUCAGGCUUCCCCGCUGCGUGAUCUGUGGCGCCUUCGAUUACCCGCGCAGUGUUUCACGCCAGCCGGUGGCAGGUCCUUUCCUUGUGGUGCCAAGGAGGGCCAGCUUCCAGUCGGAGCCGGAGGAGGUCCAUUGCCAGCGCCAUCUGCGGCAUCGGCACAGGCAUCACCAUGUCCGGCAGCGCAGGGGACCGCAUCUUCUGCUGCAUCACCAGGGCCAGGGCGGCCGCCAGUUCUGCGACAGACGGAGGUUUCAUGACAGGCCCGAGCGGGCGCAUGUACGCGGCGCCAGACUGGAUGAGGCGGCGGCAGGCUCCGAGGAAUGUGGUGGCAGGGUAUCAGUUCACUUUGAUCGAGUAUUCGAGCUAGAGCUUGUUGAUACCGGUGCAUCGCAUUUCAUGUUCAGUUGAUCGGCUGUUUGCCGAUCCUGGUUCAUGGCGUCCACUUGUAUCGCCUGUUGCAUCCGCGGCCAGUUUGUGUACGCCGAUUUAAUCUUUGACAUUUCGGGAGUUGGGGCAGUCCCUGUUCGAGUUGGGAGAUUGGAUCGCUGCCCGUGGAGGCUCGCUAGCCUGCAUGAAAGCUCGGGAGUUUGAGGGUGGGGAGUUGGCAUGAUUGGGUGACUGAAGUACUCUUGGCCACCAUCGAUUGUAAGAAUCGAACGGUGAGCACAUUUAGAAGAGCCGGGGCAGGCGGAGUGUGGUGUGACUGAGAUCCAGGGGAGUUCGUAUUUGCGAUGACGAUUACUCUGGUCGUGCGGGAGCUCGGAUUGAUUAGUAGAGCUGCGUAGCCGUACUUUGGCUAGGGGCUGUUAUGCUGCGGGCGAAUGGUGAACGCCCUAGAUUGGAGGGAUUUCCCGUUAAGUUACGGGAGUUUGGAGAUGUGUUUCCAGCGGAGCUACCCGGCAUGCCUCCUGAUAGGAGAUUGAGUUGUGUAGAUCUCGUCUCCGGGGACUACCCCAAUCUCAAAGCGCCUACUAGGAUGGCACCAGCAUAGUUGAAGGAGCGAAGGCACAGUUGCCAGGAUCUGCUGGACAAGGUUUCUGAGACCGAGGUGUCACCUUGGGGGAGCCCGGUUUUUGUUUUGUGAAGAAGAAGGAUGCAUCACUUCGCUUAUGCGUGAGCUAUCGUGAAAACUUAAUAAAGUCACGGAUUUAAGAAACAAGUAAGUUCCAUUGCGAGGAUUGAUGAUCUAUUUGACUCAGCUCUGAGGAUCUUGUAUAUAUUCCAAAUUGACUUGCAUCGGGAUAUCACCGAGGUGAGAUUCAGACCUGAGGAGCGUGUCGAAGAGGCUUUUAGAACACGGUAUGGACAUUCAUGAGUUUACCGUUAUGCCGUUUGGGCCUUACUGAUGCACCGGCAGCUUUUGAGUGGAUCUAAGAACCGGUUUUUCAAGCCCUUUACCUGGAUAAGAUUUUGCCGCUGGGUGUUCAUCGAAGCGACGAUCUUAAGUGAUUCCCGAAGUGAUUGCGGAUCGACGAGAAAUACACUUGAAGACUUGUACUUCAAGUGCUUCGGGAAAGAGAAGCUCUAGCCAAGUUGAAAAAGUGGUGAAAUUGUUGGCUUAGAAGGGGCGUUUUUGGCCAUGUGUUCGGAAUGCAGGUCAUAGCCGUGGACGCGAGGAAAAUUGAAGCUAUGCAAGGAUUGGGGCCGAGGCCACGAGCGUGACCGAGAUACGGAGGCUCAUUGUUUGGUCCGGCUACACCGACGGUUUGUCGAAGGAUUGCGAUAGUUAUCUACUCCCCUCACGAGACUCACGCAUAAGGGCACCAAGUUUAUUUGGAAUGAUGCGUGUGAAAGGAGCUUUCAAGAGUUGAAGCAGCGAUUGACGACUACCCCGAUCCUUACCUUGCCGACUGCUGGAGCAGGGUAUGUGAUUUACAGUGAUGCUUCCUUUAACGGAUUGGGCUGUGUCUUAAUGCAGGACGGGAAAGUGAUCGCGUACGCAUCUCGCCAAUUGAAGGACUAUGAAAAGAAUUACCCCACUCACGACUUGGAGUUGGCGGCCGUAGUCUUUGCAUUGAAGCUAUGGCGCCACUACUUAUAUGGCGAACGGUGCGAAGUAUAUACGGACCACAAGAGCUUAAAGUAUCUAUUCACUCAGAAGGAGUUGAACUUGAGGCAGCGCAGAUGGUUGGAGCUACUCAAGGAUUAUGAUUUGACAAUAUUGUACCACCCGGGCAAGGCUAACGUGGUGGCGGAUGCACUAAGUCGGAAAUCGACGGAAAAUUUAGCAAUGCUUGUGAUUACUCAACCGCCGUUGAUUGAGCAGAUGAAGCGGUUGGAGUUGGAGGUGGUGGCUCCUGAUACACCUUUGAGACUGAUGGCUUUGGUGGUGCAACCUACACUUUUGGAAAGGAUUAAAGAAAAGCAAGCUUCUGAUGUGGAGUUGCAAAAGAUUGAAGGUAAAAUGGUUGAUGGUUGCACCGGUGACUUCACCUUAGACGGUGAUGGAUUGAUGCGUUUCCGCGGACGACUUUGUGUACCGGCGGACUUGGGCAUUAAAGAAGACAUUCUUCAAGAAGCACACCGAGCACCGUAUGCUAUACACCCGGGAGGCACCAAGAUGUACAAGGAUUUGAAGUUACUUUACUGGUGGCCCGGGAUGAAAAUGGAUGUUGGUGAGUUUGUUGCCAGAUGCCUAACUUGCCAACAAGUGAAGGCUGAGCACCGAGUUCCUGCGGGGAAAUUGCAGAGCCUACCGAUUCCAGUGUGGAAGUGGGAAAAGAUCACCAUGGACUUCGUGAUGGGAUUGCCUCGCUCACAGGCCGGGCAUGACGCUAUUUGGGUGAUUGUGGAUAGGUUGACGAAAUCGGCACAUUUCAUACCUAUCCACACUACUUGAACUGGUGAGAGACUCGCACAGAUUUAUUUGGAUGAGAUUGUGCGAUUGCACGGGGUACCUACUUCUAUCGUUUCAGAUCGAGACCCCCGUUUUGUAUCCCAUUUUUGGAGGAGCUUACAGGAUGCUUUAGGUACGCGUUUAGAUUUCAGCACUGCUUUCCACCCCCAGAGUGACGGGCAGUCUGAGCGUACUAUACAGACUCUCGAGGACAUGCUUCGAGCCUGCGUGAUCGACUUCCAGGGAGGAUGGUCGCAGCAUCUACCGAUGGCAGAGUUUGCUUAUAACAACAGUUAUCAAGCAAGCAUUAAGAUGGCACCAUUCGAGGCACUCUAUGGACGGAAGUGUAGAUCGCCACUUCAUUGGAGUGAAGUUGGUGAGAGAAUGGCUUUAGGCCCAGAUGUGCUCCAGGAAGCAGAGGACAAGGUUCGCAUUGCUCGGGAGCGAUUGUUGACGGCCCAGAGUAGGCAGAGGAGUUAUGCUGAUCGGCGUCGACGAGACUUGGAGUUUCAGAUUGGAGACCAUGUGUUCUUGAAAGUCUCGCCGACCAAAGGAAUUAGAAGAUUUGGAAUCCGGGGUAAGUUGAGCCCCCGAUACAUUAGACCAUAUGAGAUUUUGGAGCGUGUAGGCCCGGUGGCGUAUAGACUUGCUCUACCGCCAAACCUAUCGGAUGUACACAAUGUAUUCUAUGUAUCGGUCCUUCGGAAGUACAUCCACGACCCGGCUCAAUGUGUUGGAUGUUGCACCUAUGGAGCUGACGGAGAGGGAUUUGAGCUCUUUGAGGAGCAACCCUUUAGGAUUUGCUCGCCGCGAGGUAAAAAGAUUACGGAACCGAGAAAUCCCUUACCUGUGAAAGUACUUUGAGCAACCACGACGAGCGCGCGAGGGCCACUGGGAUGGUUACGAGAGCGCACUGCGGGAGGCGCUGUUCCCCAUCUUUUCCAGAUGGGGCUUGAGGUUUUGUUGCCUUUGGAGUUCGGCGAGACGAAACUGCCUUUUUAGGGGGCGGUGAAUUGACGCACUGGAUUUGCAAAUUGACGGGGUUCGUAGUGUUGGACAGUGUUCCGAGUCUUUCCACUUUUCUUGGUGGGUGUUGACGUGUUCCGACCUAUGGCUCGUAUUCCGAGACAUUGAGUAGUUUUAUGUAGCGCUAAGGUCCUAAAAGUUGGGACUGUACUCUUCGAUUGCUAUCUAGCACAGAGGUUACCGGUAACACUCUGGGAUGCCGUACCGGUACACACUUUGUACCCGGUACACGCUUGGAUGGUUGUACCGGUACAUUCGUGGCAAAAUUGCGAAACCCGAGGCUCGGGUUUGCAUUUUCGUAGAAUGUGUACCGGUACACGUUUUCCCGUGUACCCGGUACACUUUGGCAGAACUCUGAGGCAGUUGAACAUCAGGGGUUUUCGCAAUUGUGGCAUCUCUAUUAGUACCCCCACGCCCUAGGGGUUCUCCCUGAGCUUGGCACCAGCAAGGAGGGAAGGCUAAGGAGCUCUCCACACCCCUCAUUCCCUUUCUUUGAUUUUGCUUGGACUUUUAGAGUUUAAACACCUCUUUUUGCUCCUUUUUGGGGUAUUGGAGGCUUUUCCACCAUUAGAGCUUGACUUGGAGCUAGGUGGAGGUUUGAUCUGUUGGAAUUCAAAGGGUUUAGAACCUUGAUUGAAGCUUCUAAGAGGUUAGUAACCCCUUCUCUCCCUCUAGAUUUUUGGUUUUUGAAGCUUAUUUACUAAGAUGAAACCCUAGUUUUGGGACUUAGGGUUUAUUUUGGGGCUUUUUGAUCUAGGCUUUUGAGGCUAGAUUAGUGGUUUAGAACCUUCCUUGGGCUUGGAUUGGAAGGGUUCUAGCUCUCUUUUGGAGCUUUGGAAGAGAUUUCUACUCUUGAGGUAAGUUUUGGCCCUUUUUGCUCCUAGGUUAAUGUUGGAUAGUGUAAGAUGGUCGUAAUGCUCUCGUAUCUCUUCGCUGAUCACUUUUAGGAUAUCUUGAGGCUCGUGGACAACUUUGUUCGGCGAAUCGAGACCCUACGCGACGGUUCGGUGGGUUUGACCUAGCCUACAUAUGAGAAAUUCUCAUAUAUGGUUAUUUAUGUUCCGUAAAUUGAAAAAGCAUGCAUGUUCAUAUCAAAUGUAUUUAUUAUGAUUUUUAGAAUGCUUAAAAUGCAUAUAUUAUAUAUGAUGAAAUUUUGGACCUCUAUGUAGUAGAGAGUUGCUAGGGAGAUCUUUGGUUGCAUUUAGCAUUCUCUAUGAGACUUGGUUUCAUGCUUCUAUAGUAUAAAUGAGUUCGGAUUCAUGCAUGUAGACUUGAGGUUACUUGUGACAUGAAAGAUGACAAGAUUGCCAUUUAGAAGGUAAGUGAACUAGAGAGCUAAUGUCAUAAAGCGGCAUUGAGCUCGGGACAUGUGAGAACCUAGUGGAUAGGGCCAUUAAGGGAUUUGGAAUACAUAUUGAACAUCAAAUUGCCUAAGUGUCAUCAAAGGGCACUAGGCGUGGCAAAUGUUGAAACUUCACAUUGUGACUUAAACUAGAUCUUCGGGAUGCUAGUGACCAUACCAUGUUAGAGACAUGCGGAUUGGAUUUUUGAGACUUGGACUUUGCUUGCUUGCCAUUUGUGCUCAUUCGCACAUGCUUGUGAGGGUCGCUCCCUACAAGCCGGCACUCCGGAGUUGGCCUACGCGACUUAUGUUCGCUCGUGCGGUAUUGAGAAGCCUACGGGGUCGAGUGGGAUAGACACAUUCCAAGAGUAGGAAUGUUGGGCUACCACAGGCACUUAGGCUGCACAAGCUGGACUACCCUUGGUAGGUCCUUAAUUGGAAAUGGAAAUCGAUAUGGUGUUGAAUAUGAACUAUCACUACUAGAUAGGAAUAGUAGUUGGAUUACUUGGACACGCUUAUGAUAUAGCAUUGGUACAUUUAGUAUACUUGCCGGUUCCAUUAUUGCAUCGUAGUAUACUAGGUUGUUUGGAUAGAGUUUACCCUUAUACAUUGACAUAUGGCAUCGUGAGGGUUACUUGUUUAUUAUGUUGAGACAUGUUGGUAUGCUUCGGAUAUAUUGCCUUAUGAUAGCGUAGAUGUACAUUACCAUGACAUCGUUUAUUCUUGAGUUUAACAAUUUAGCAUUUUAAUUAUGCCUUUAUAUCGCAGUCAUUAUUGUUAUUAUAAUUGUACUUACCCCUUUUCUUUUGGGGCCUAGUGAUGCAUUGAGCUGUGGUCAGUAAUUGCCCACUGGGAACUAUAAAUUAUAGUUCUCACGCCCUCUUUUUCUCGAUGUUUUUCAGAGCCUUCCACUCAGGGUGAGGCCAGGGACCGCGGGAAGGGAGUUGCUUCGAGCUAGCUUCCUUCGAGGACGAUUCGCUAGGUGGUCUACCUCUCGCUGUGUUUUAUUUUGGAGAGGUUGAGAGUUCUACCAGUGUACUAGUGACCACCAUUUUUGUAUUAGAGGCUGAUACUGUAUAACUUGUGUUUACUUUCAUGUAUUAGUUAUGUUCUAUUACUAUUAGUAUAGAUGCUAGAACUUUACUCGCUCUGAUAUCAUUAGUUGCUUGUUAUUUCACUCCUUUUAUUGGUUCCAUCUCUUGCUUUUACUUCCGCUUUUCUUGUAGACGCCUUAUAUGUGUAGACAUAUGGCGGGUUUGGGCACGCUACCGGGAGGGCCUCCGCCGGUCCCAGGGCGUGACAGUCCUCUCCAUCAAAGGUAAGCGGAUCAAAUUUCUUGACAGCCAUGAGGGCCACCAAAGCUCAUUCCCUUUCCGCCACUACCUCUGGACCAAUAGAAGUCGAGUCGCCCUACCCCGAUGGAAACAUCUCCGCCGCAACUCCCAGCCGUACUCGACGGGCCGCAGCCGGUGCAGCCACCAGCUGAUCCACGGCUUCUUGGAGUCGUUUCAUUCGCUCCUCCUGGCGCAUAACAACCUCCUACUGCCACUGCACCAAGUCAGCUUGUUGCCUCAUCACUCCAACGAGUGUGGCCAACUGAUCACGAAGCUCCAAGUCUCCGCUCACGUCGGUUUGCUCAGAGGCACUACUUGUCCCCUCCCGCGCCGAUCUGAACGAAGAUCGCUUGCGCGGUACCAUCGUUCCCUGAAACAGGACAACUUGAUUAGUUCUCGACCCUCUGGGUCGAACACGAGACCACUAACACCGACUCAAAGUUUAUCUGGCGAAAGUCACGCAAGGGCGUCUAUUCUCGUCACUUGGUUUCAUGUUGUCGCGCGUCAACAUGAACACCCUCGGUCGAGAAUGAACGACACCUCGAGUCUACCUCUAAUAUCCGUCUUAGAGUCUCCGACACAACCCAAUCCAUCAACUUUUCGCCGCAAGUAUCAAGCCCUCGUCUCUCAAGAGCCUUAUUCUUCUAUGGUUUACUGUCCUAGGUCUCCUAGGUCCAUCUAAACUAUUUUUCCAUUCUCUACUUUAUGCUCUUAUACCAACUUAUCUGUCACGACCAGCGACCGCCCGCCUAUUUGGCCGGGUCGCGGCUCCGCCGACAGACCGCCGAACGGACAGAGUUUCCCUUGUACGUCCUAGGCGUCGCAAUCUGUACAAUACGAAGGUUCCUCCCAGGAACCGAUAUCAAUCAAGAUUGCAUAAAAAAGUAUCAGACAUAAAACUACUUGCUAUUACAAGCAUUCAUUUCAUACACGUUACACCACAUUUCAUUUUCUUUUACAUUAGACUUCCAAAUACAAUCUAAAUUAUUACAUCACUUUACAAGUUUGAUACAUUUUGUUUCAUCGUUCUCUAGUCCCCUAAGUUAGACUGUCUCAGGGUACUGCUACCUCGGUCUCUGGGUAUGGCACUAUUUACGGAGCUACGCCCUUGCCUCGCACCGCCGCGCCGCUCACGUGCGAACCUGAAACACCCCAAAACAACGUGGGGUGAGAACCAACUCCAUGGUUCCCAGUAGGUACGGCCACCCAUGGGAAAAGAUCGACCAAUAGGUCCGAGGAGGCACUGCAACAUGUUAGUUCAACAAUAUACAAAUAUAUAUAUUCAAAUUGAAAUUACAUGCCAUGCCUCACAAUAUGCGAUAUGAAAAUCAUGCAACUAUAGUAGAUCAAUUGAUUCUACAUUUACUUGGCUAAUCUUAGCUCAUAUCAUUCACUCUAAGGUUUCUAUUUCCUUAGGAUCUCGCUCAAGUCUACUGGCUUCUAAGGUCUCUAUUACCUCAGCUCAAGCCUCUAUCACUAGCUUAUAAGGGUUCCACUACCCUAUCGAAGCUAUCCACCCGACUCGGCCUCGAGUCAAUCAUCCGCGGAUAUUCCGCGCACUGGCUGCUCAAUAGCCUACCGCUCUCAGUGAUUUAGCAUCUUAGCGGCGAAAUCGUCGCACACGCUGAACCCGGCUCAAGUCCCUUGACAUAGCCAUUCUGGCGGCAAACACAUUGCAUUUACCCAGCGAGGACUCAAGUCAUGACCUAUCCAUCUGGCGGCGAACUAAUCGCACCUCACCCAACAAUGGUUUCAGUCAUAACUCAGCCACCUGGCGGCACCCGUAUCGUACUUACCCAGCAAUGGGUUCAAUCAAUCCCGGCGGUCUGAUCCACAUUCGGCUUAACCAUCUGGCGGCGAAAUCGUCGCACACACCACGACAAUGGUUCAAGCCUCGGGCGGUGAUCUCCAUGUGAUCGCCCCCAAUCCUCCCUCGAUAUCAACCUCGGCGGCAAAAUCGUCGCACACGCCCUAGCCUUGAUACCAAGGUCCUCACAAGUCUUGGGAUUCCGGAAUCCACUUCCACAGGUCGAGGGUCCAUAACCAACCCUAUACUGUCGACCUAGCACAUCCUAGUGGCUAAUACCACUAUACUUAACAACCUAGGUUCAAUACCACUCUAGAUUCUAAGUCUCAGUCACGUAACCUAGGUAAAACCGCUAGGUUCUAUAUCAUCUCUACCUAGAUGUCACUUCUAGGUUCACUUGUUCGACCUAUGUUUACUAACACUAGGUUCGAUGCCACACACCUAGGCUUGUUUGACUCUAGGUUCACUUGUUUAACCUAUGUUCUUUAACACUAGGUUAGGUGCCACUCGAUUUACCUGACAUCCUAGUUGUCCAAUCGAGUACCAUAAAGUUCUCAUGUCAAUCAACUCUACUCAUUCUAGAGUUAUCAUCUAGUUCACAUGCAUAUCUACCUAGCAUAUUCUCACAAUGCUAAUCAUGCAUUCUAUGAUCUAUCUAGCAUUAUUUACAUAUCAAGCUCAUCAUGCAACCUUGCAUACCUAUGUCAUUUCAUCAACAUGCAUCAAUAUGAAAUUACAUUACUUAGACAUACAGGCGACCUAGUCGCUUCGGUAAACAUAGCCCACCUUAGCUUGCUUUUCGAUUGCUCGUCGACACUUGCAAUCGGCCUCCCACGGUGCUCGACACCCGAUUAGGCCCGAUCUCGCAGUUGCGCUCCAACCGCGCGCCGCUUUACAGUUCCGAGAAUUAAAGGUCUUCGCUUUGUUGUUACGGUGCUCGGGACCCAAUCUCGCGAUUUAUGGACGUCACUUUGGCUUUCCAGGCGAUAACGAAGCUCUGGACGUUCGUUUCUUCGAUAUCCUCGCGUGGGCUCGACGAAUCGCCGAACCGACCUCGCCAACGCAUUUCAUUACCUAUCAAUUAAGUUUACAGAGGGUCAAAUGAGAUCAAACCCUCACAAAUACCAAAGCCCCAUUUUGGGUGCCCUAGAUGCUACUAUAGCCAAGUCCACCAAAUCGAUUCAUGAUUUGGGCGCAAUCCAUCUUGAUAGCAUGCUAGGGUUCCAAAUAAUCCAUUUUUAGAGAUCAAAAACCCAUCUCUAAAGAUCUACCAUGAGAGAGCUUAGAAGCUUACCUCUCCAAAGAGCUCCAAUGGUGAGGAGAGGAAGAGAAGAAGAUGGAGAUGAUCUCCUCCAAGCUCUACUCCUUCUCCUUCUUCUCCUUCCUUUCUCUUUCUCUUCUUUUUCUCUUUUCUCUCUUCUUUCCCUUUUUCCUCUUCUUCCACGAUCAGAGAGAGAGAGGGAGCAGUGAGGGAGUUAGGGGAUGAGAGAGAGAGAGAGAGGGACCCCUCUCAUAAACCCUUUCAUGGCCAUUUUGCACAUAAACCCCUCAACUUUCCAUCCCUUACACUACCCAUACUGGGCAAAACCCGCGCAGAGGGACCGGUCUCUCCCUACCUGGGACCGGUCCCAGAGGACCUUCCUCCAAUCCACGUGCUCGGAAACCGGUCUCUCCCUGCUAGGGGAUCGGUUGCCUUGUGCUGCCGUGACCCUCAAUCUCCGGGCAACAUCCCUCCCCCCCGGGGACCGGUCCCCGAGAGCAACUCUGCUCAGGCUACGUUCGGGAACCGAUCCCUCCCACCAGGGACCGAUCCCCGAGAGCAGAAACUGCCAAGUGCAGUUUUGCGCUGUUUGCUCUCGCGGGCUCUAUUCCAAGGUAAUUUUUGUGUUUUGGACAACUCUAGCUUCUCUGAAGCCUACCCACUCAACCAUUAGUCGAUUCAGAGCGAAGUACAACUCUCGGCUUUCGAGAAUUCACUUCGUUACAUCCGUGCUACCAAGUUGUUUUUGAUGAUGCGGCUUCCAAAUUGACGAUCGGCUCCGUUAGACUUGAUCUACACUAUUGAAAGUAUUUGGAAACUAAAUUUCAGAUUUUUUCAAUAUCAUUUGACUAGUGAUCAAAAGAUCUCAAAAUUGACAAUUUUAAUGGCCGAUGUGGUGUGUUUGUGACUUUAACGGUGUAAACUAAUCCAAAUGCAAUGAAAAUUUUAUAGAAAAUUCUUUUCACUAUUUAGAGUAAAAUCGUAUAUCUGAUCUUGAAUUUAAAUCUUUUAUCAUCAUUUUUUAUGAGAUUUUUAUUUUCAGCCGUUCAAUUUUAGACUACUAAUAUCGAAAAAUUAUGAAAUUUAGUUUCUUAAUACUUUUAAUAGUGUAGAUCAAGUUUAACGGAGCCGAUCGUCGAUUUGGAAGCCAUAUCACCAAAAACAACUUGGUUGCACGGAGCUUUCUAUGCUAUCGAUAGUAUAGUAGCCUAGUUCUAUAUAUAUAAUCUAUAUAUAUAUAUAUAUAUAUAUAUAUAUAUAUAUAUAGAGUGGGCUGUAGCUUCUAAACACGGAGGCCUCCGUGCUAAUCCACUUGUUUUCGAUGUUCGACUUUUCGAAUCGACAUCGGCUCGUUAGAGUUGUAUCAUAGAGUAAUUAAUAGUUACCAAGAAAUUAAAUUUGCGAUUUUCAUAUCAUUUGCUAGUAUCGCAAGGGCUCAAAAUCAAUUACAUUUUAACGGCCGUCGGUGAGCCUAGGUGCAAGUUAACGGUCGUAGAAAUAUCCAUAAUAAGCGUGAAAAUUUGCAUGAGAAAAUUCUUUAUACGCAUAAAAAACAAUAUCAAUAACUUUUGUAUCUAAUUAAUUUGAAUGUAAAUAUUCAUCAUAUUUUGUGCAGAUUUUAUUUUCAGCGCGUUGAUAUAUUGAGCCACUUCAUCACUAGGCGCAAAUGAUAUGAAAAAUCGCAGAAAUUAUUUCUACAUACUUCAAAUACUUUAGAUCAGAGGUCUAACGGAGCCGAUCGUCGAUUUGAAAGUCCCAACAUCAAACAAAGUUGGAGCACGGAGCGCUCCGUGCUCGAAGCACCCCAGACGCACUCUAUUAUAUAUAUUAAACAUAAUAUAUAUUAUGUACAUAACAAUAUAUAUAUAUAUAUACAUACAUAUAUAUAUAUAUAUACAUACAUAUAUAUAUAUAUAUACAUACAUACAUACAUAUAUAUAUAUAUACAUACAUACAUAUAUAUAUAUCUACAUACAUACAUAUGUAUGUACAUACAUAUGUGUGUAUGUAUGUACAUACAUAUGUAUGUAUGUAGAUAUAUAUAUAUGUAUGUAUGUAUAUAUAUAUGUAUGUAUGUAUGUAUGUAUAUAUAUAUAUAUAUGUAUGUAUAUAUAUAUAUAUAUGUAUGUAUAUAUAUAUAUAUAUAUAUAAAAGCACGUAUUUCAAAUUUGGGUCUGUCGACAGAUCCAUUUUUUAGCGGGAAAAAUAUUGAUUUCUCUUUCCGUACGUAAAAUAAAUAACGUAAUGAAACAAACUUUUCAUUUCUGUUAAUCUCUAAAAUAGAAAAAAAAUAUAUACUUAUCCAAAUUUUUGCCAACCGAAAGAUAUCUACUGUGAAUCUAUAUUUUAAUUAAUAAAUUAUUUAAUUUUUUAUCUCUAAAAUAGAAAAAUAUUAUGCUUAUCCAAAUUUUUGCCAGAAUAUCUACAGUAAAUCUAUAUUUCAAUUCAACAUUUAAAAUUAAUUUAAAAUUUAAAAUUUUGGGACUAUGAAUAUAUUACAAUAAAAAUAAUUUAAAAGAUAGAUUGGUUGAUAAAUUUGUAAAUCAUAUUUUUGAAUUAAUAUGAUGUACAAAUUUAUGAUCAAUUUGUAAAAAAUUAUCUCAAAUAAGAAAGAACGAUUAUGACUAAUUUGUUAAAAAAAAACAUUUAUAUUUAUUUAUAACUUCAAUUCUACGAAUGAGUAUGAUCAAUUGGUUAAAAAUAUUAAAAAUAAAAAUGAGCGGUUAUGAUUAAUCUGUUAAAAAAAGCUCUUCUAUCCAUUCAUUUUACAUUAAAAUUUAAAUUUGAGUUCAAAUCGUGAAUUAAAUUUAAUUUAAAAAAUAUAGAAAAAUAUCCAAUUUAUAUCUAUAUCUAUCCUAUAUAUAAAUUUUAUAAAAUAAAAAAAUAUAUAUAAUUAUUGUUGACAACAACUCUUUAAAUUUGAGUUAGAAUAUAUAUAACAUGUAUUCUCUAAUAGUACGUAAUAAAUAAAUUUAUUUUUAAAAAAUAUUAUAAAUUUUUGAAUAAAUAUGAUGUACAAUUUCAUAUUAAUUUAAAAUAAUUAUUAAAUAAUUAAUUGUUACGUAUAUUUGUAGGUAGACUUAACUCUUAUAUAUAUAUAUAUAUAUAUAUAUAUAGGUACUUGAUAUUAAGUAAAAAUAUAAUUUAUUUAUUUUAAUAAUUAAAUAUCUAAAAUUUAUAUUUUAAAAUGCCAAGUUUGCCUUUAUGUAUGGCUCAGAUUCAUUUAUUUUAGAUUUAAUUAUAAUUUUAAAUUUAAAGUUAUACUAUAAAUUCAAAAUUUAUUAAUUUUUAAAUUUUAAUUUUAAUUUCAAUAUUUGUAUGAUAUUUGAAUUUACAUAUACUUUUACAUUUUGACUUCGAACUUAAAUUUAAAUUAUAAAAUUAUAUUUUUAUUUUUAUUUUUAUUUAAACAUAAAAUUUAAAAUUUAAAAUGUAAAUUUAAAAUUUAAAAUGUAAUUUAAAUUUAAAAUUUAAAUUAUAAAUUCUAAUUUAAAAUUUAAAUUAUAAAUUCUAUGAAUUUAGAUAGUAAAUUAAAUUUUCUUAACCAAAUAAUAAUAAUAAGUUGAUUCCAAUUUCAAUUCCUGUUGUGAACCAAACAAAUCAAUAAUUAUUUAAAUUCAAAUAUACAUAUAAAAAAAUAUAAUUUAUUUAUUUUACUAAUUAAAUAUUUUAUUAUUAUGAUUUGGCACUAAUAAUUUUCUUAUAUGUACAGUAGGAAAGAGGGUUGUUGGGAUGAGGAUUUGGAGUAAAGUGCGGGAAUUACGAGGAGUUUAGGGAAAAGACAAAGGUCUUUUAUCAACCCUGCCAUUUGUACCUCGAGCGAUAAAGCCUAUUAUAGGGAAAGAGUGGAACUAUUUAAAGUUGGAAUAACAUGUUUUGAUCAGGAUAAAAAAUCUUACCAAAUUUUGUAUGUUUGGUAGAAAAAAGAGAAUAAAAUGAAUUAUUUCUCAGUAAUUCUAAUACCAAAUGCAGUCUUUUAUUAGAGAAUUGACUUUUACCACCUGCAUCCCCUAAUGUUUUAUGCAAUAUACACAGAGACCUCUAUGUUCCUAAGCUAGAAGUCGACAAUCGAUUACUUUAGAUUUGAUCUGAAGUAUUUAAGUUUUUAGAAAAUAAAUAUUAUAGUUUUUUAAUAUUAUUUAUUUAGUGAUCGAAAGAACUAAAGAUUAAUGCUGAAAAUAAAUAUCUCAUAAAAAGUAACGAUAUAACACAAAAAUUUUAAAUCAGAAAUAUUGAUCUUGUUGUAGAUAAUAUAACAAAUUUUUUAUCAAAAUUUUAUCCGAUUGGGUACUUCUACACUCUUAAACUUAUAAACGACACACAUCAAACAUUAAAAAUUGUUACUUCUGAAUCCUUUCGAUCGCUAAGAAAAUGAUAUCGAAAAAUCAUAAAAUUUAUUUUUAAAAAUACUUCAAAUAUAUUAGAUAAAGCCUAGCAAAGCCGAUCGCCGAUAUCGGAUGCCCUAUCACCAAAAACAGCUUUGGAGCACGUAGACUGCUAUGCUCUUAGAGAGAGAGAGAGAGAGAGAGAGAGAGAGAGAGAGAGAGAAUUGAGCUCCUAUAUUUUCAAAAGUAUCAAGUCAUUUUUGCUUAUAGGUUUUCAACCUGUGAAUUAAAGGACGUACGGUUAGAAUGAUAGUGGUAUCCUAGAGUUGAGUAGGUAGUUAGUUGAAUAGUAUAAUUUAAUGAAUGAAAAUGAUCAAAGUGGUAGAUCUAAUGGCAGAAAACUUAUAAACACAAAAUAUUCAGUGCUUUUAGAAGUACCAUAGCCGGACUCUCUCUCUCUCUCUCUCUUUCUCUCUUUAUAUAUAUAUAUAUAUAUAUAUAUAGAGAGAGAGAGAGAGAGAGAGAGAGAGAGAGAGAGAGAGAGAGAGUGUGNNNNNNNNNNNNNNNNNNNNNNNNNGAAAAUAAAAAUCCUAUAAAAAGUGGUGAUAUAGCACUAGAAUUUUCGAUCCGAAAUAUUGAUCUUGUUAUAGAUAGUAUAAAGAAUUUUGUAUUAAAAUUUCAUCUGAUUUGAAUAUUUCUACACCGUUAAACUUGAAAACAGCAGAUAUCAACCAUUAAAAAUUAUAGAUUUUGAAUCCUUUCGAUCACUAGGUGAAUGAUAUCAAAAAAUCGCAAAAAUUAUUUUCUAGAAACGUCAAAUGCGCUAGAUCAAGUCUAACGGAGCCGAUCGUCGAUUCGAAAAUUCCAUCAUCGAAACGGCUCAGGAGCACGGAGGCCUCCGUGCUUCUGAGAGCACAGCAGCCCUGCUCUCUCUCUCUCUCUCUCUCUCUCUCUCUAUAUAUAUAUAUAUAUAGACAGAGAGAGAGAGAGAGAGAGAGAGAGAGAGAGAGAGAGAGUUGAGCAAGAAUACUUCCAAAAGCACCAAAGAGGUGGUGCUUUUGAGUUUUUAGCCUUUGGAUGAAGAAAUACAGAAUUGAGAUGAUGGUGGUAGGUGGUGGUAGGUGGAAUAGUGUUUGAUUCAAAGGCUAUUAGUAAUCAAAGGGUAGAUCCAAGGGCUAAAAACUCAGAAGCACCAAGGAGGUGGUGCUUCUAAAAGUAUUCUAGCUCAAUUAUAUAUAUAUAUAUAUAUAUAUAUAAUUGAGCUAGAAUACUUUUAAAAGUAUCACCCCUUGGCGCUUUUAGGUUUCUAGCUCUUGGAUCUAUUUAUUGAUUACUAAUAGCCAUUAGAUCAAACACUAUUCCACCUACCACCACCUACCACCAUCAUCACAAUCUUACAUUUCUCCAUCCAAGGGUUAAAAACUCAAAAGCACCAACCUUUUGGUGCUUUUGAAAGUAUUCUAGCUCAACUAUAUAUAUAUAUAUAUAUAUAGUAGGUCUUGUGUGCUAUUAGGAGUACGGAGGCCUCCAUGCUCCUAAGCCGUUUUCGAUGAUGAAGCUUCCGAAUCGACGAUCGGCUCCGUUAGACUUGAUUUAGCGUAUUUGAAGUAUCUAGAAAAUAAAUUUUGCGAUUUUUCGAUAUCAUUUACCUAGCGAUCGAAAGGGUUCAAAAUCACUGGCUGAAAAUAAAAAUCUCACAAAAAGUGGUGAUAUAGCAUUAAAAUUUUCGAUCAGAAAUAUUGAUCUUGCUGUAAAUAAUAUAAAGAAUUUUCUAUUAAAAUUUCAUCUGAUUUGAAUCUUUCUACAGCAUUAAACUUGCAAACGGUAUACAUCAAUCAUUAAAAGUUGUUGAUUUUGAACCCUUUCGAUCGCUAGGUAAAUGAUACCGAAAAAUCGCAAAAUUAUUUUCUAGAUAGUUCGAAUACACUAGAUCAAGUCUAACGAAGCCGGUCGUCGAUUCGGAAGCUCUUUCAUCGAAAACGGCUUAAGAGCACAGAGACCUCCGUGCUUCUAAUAGCACACACAAGACCUCUCUCUCUCUCUCUCUCUCUCUCUCUCUAUAUAUAUAUAUAUAUAUAUAUAGGGCAGGGUUGCUGUGCUCUCAGGAGCACGGAGGCCUCCGUGCUCCUGAGCCGUUUUCGAUGAUGAAAUUUUCGAAUCGACGAUCGGCUUCGUUAGACUUGAUCUAGCGCAUUUGAAGUUUCUAGAAAAUAAUUUUUGUGAUUUUUUAAUAUUAUUUACCUAGUGAUCGAAAGGAUUCAAAAUCCAUAAGUUUAAAUGGUUGAUAUAUGCCGUUUUCAAGUUUAACGGUAUAGAAGUAUUCAAAUCAAAUGAAAUUUUGAUACAAAAUUCUUUAUACUAUUUACAACAAGAUCAAUAUUUGAUGAUGUUUUGAAAAUUAUAGUCUUAUAUCACCACUUUUUAUUGGAUUUUAUUUUCAUUGUGUUUAAAAUUAUGGAUUUGAAUUCUUUCGAUUGCUAGGUAAAUGAUAUCGAAAAAUCGCCAAAAUUAUAUUCUAGAAAUUCAAAAUCGCUAGAAUCAAGUUUAACGGAGUCGAUCGUCGAUUCGGAAAACUCAUCAUCGAAAACGGCUCAGGAGCACGGAGCUCCGUGCUCUCGAGAGCACAGCAGCCUUGCUAUAUAUAUAUAUUAUAUAAUAUAUAUAUAUAUAUAUAUAUAUAUAUAUUAUAUAUAUAUAUAUAUAUAUAAUGAUAAGCUAGAGAAAAGCUAUGAAUAUUUCUAAGGUUAUCACCAGAAAAAGGUCUGCUGAUAGUCCAACAAGUCACAUUUAAUUAAUUAAAUUUAUAUUUAUAUUUUUAAUUUAAAUGGUUAUUGGUGAUUUGAGCCUAUUUAUCAAUUGAUUUUUUUUCUAACUUGUCCCCAAUAUAUUUUCACCAAUAUAUUUUCAAUUUAGUUAUAUAGUAAAUAUUUUUCUUAUAUAUUUCACAACAUACUAAUUUUUUUUAAUAUGUACCCAAAUUUUAAAAAAUCAAAAUAGUUCUAAAUUUUAAAUUAAUGAUCAAAUUCAUAUUUAAAUUUUAUGAAUAAAACUCAAAAAUUGAAGUUAAUUUUGAGUCCAUAAUUUGAAUAUAAGUGGUUAUUAGAGACAUAGAUCUAUUUAUCAACCAAUUUAUCUUUCAAACUUGAAUUAUUUUCAAGUUAGUUAAUUAUUUUCAAUUUGAAAUAGUAUGUUCAUAGACGCAAAAUUUAAAUCUAAAAUUAAUUUCAAAUUUUGAAUUAAAAUAUGGAUUUACAUUUAAAAUUAUGAACCAAAUUUAAAAUUUAAAGUCGAUUAGAUAGGCUUAUUUUUAAAUCAUUUUAUUUUUAAAAUCUGAUUUAUUUUUAGCUAAUUAAUUAAUUGAGUGAUAGACUACGAUAUUUUUUAUCUGAAGGUUUAGAGUUAAGGGUUAGGGUUAUUUCAAUGAUGCAUGUGAAGAAUAUUCUAUAAUAGAUAUCCUACGAUUGAAAGAAAUUUGGAAAAGUAUAAUUUUUUUUUCUAUUUUCUCAAAUAAAAUGCAAUAUUUUUUCUGCUAAAAAAUGGAUCUGUCAAAAAUUAUUUUAAUAGUUAUCACAAAUCAAUAUAAAUUUAUAUAUCAUAUUUAUCCAAAAAUUUAUAAUAAAUUAAAUUUUUCAAAAAUUCAUCUAUUAUACUUUAUUUGAAAAUAUCUGUCAUUUCUAAAUUCAAAUUCAAAUAGUUGUUGUCGACAAUAUUUAUAUAGCUCUAUUUUUUAUUUUUAUAUGCACUGAAUAUUUUUCUAUAUUUUUGAAUUCUAACACAUCCAAAAUUAAAGUAUAUGUUUUAAACUGAAACUAUCAAAAUUUUAAAUUCACGUGUAAUUCAAAAUAUAAAAUUUAAUUUUGAUCCACUUUAAUUAAAAAAUUUUAAUUAUUAAUUCAAAUUUAAUAUUCAAAAUUAAAUUUGGCCAGUUUGCAUAAAAAAUUCGCAAGUUUUGAGCAUUUGCAAAACUUGGUCAUCUUUUUCGAUUUUGCAGAUUCGGUCCAAAUUUUCAUCAAACGGACUAAAAUACUUUUAUACCUUUUUCUCUCUCCUUUCUUUUUUUUUUCUUUCGUUUUUCUUUCUCUCCCCGAAGAAGUCCGCAGAGGCGGAGGCGGAGGCGGAGGUGGAAACGGCCCGCCUCGCCUCUCACCCUCAUGCUCUCGCUCUCGCCCACACAUGCCCUCCUUCCUCGCCUCCUACAACAUCGAGGACGUGCCGCGACUCUUUUUUUUUUUCCGCUCCGACCUUCCUUCGCCGUCUCCGACGACGACGCCUUUCUCGCCCUCUCUUGCCCUUCCCCGCCCUUCUCGCCCUUUCUCUCUCUCCUUCUCCGCCUCCGCCUCCGCCUUCUCUGUCGCCUCCGACAACGACGCUUCUCUGUCAACGCUAACGCUAGCUGCGAAGGUCGCUGCGGCAUCCCAGCCUCGGAGCGAGGGGUCUUUAGCGACGUCGCCGCCGACGCCGUGGCCGUUGGCGGAGAGGCGUGAUAAAAAAAAAAAUUAUACAACAAGGAAGAAAAAAUAUAAAGACAAAAAAUUAUAGAAAAAGAAAGAUGAAGAUGAAAUUACACUGUUAAAAUAAAAUUGCACUAUUUUAAAAGAACGUUGCACUAUUAUGGACAUAAAUUAUACUUUUUGAGAUGUAAACUGCAUCCUUUAAGAUGAAAGUUACACUCUUUAAACAAAAAUUACAGUCUUUGGGAGAUAUUUAUAUUGAUUCUCCUCUUAUUGCACUCUUUGAGAUGUAAAUUGUAUCCUUUAAGAUAAAAUUUAUACUUUUUAAACGAAAUUUGCACUCUUUUGAAAUAUAUUUACAUUGUUUCUCCUCUUGUUGCACUCUUUGAGAUGUAAAGUGCACCCUUUAAUCCUUUAAGAUGAAAGUUACACUCUUUAAAUUAAAAUUACACUCUUUGAGAGAUAUUUAUGCUGAUUCUCCUCUUAUUGCACUCUUUGAAAUGUAAAUUGUAUCCUUUAAUAUGAAAGUUAUACUCUUUAAACGAAAUUUGCACUCUUUUGAGAGAUAUUUUGUCACGCCCCGGGAUCCCUUUUAAGUUGAAAACAAAGCGGAAGAGCGUCUGAAUGAAAUUUUUUUUUUUUUGAAAACCUGACCCCAGAGUAUGCCAGAUCCGCCACAAAUACAGGGAAUCCACUGUUCACACGGAUAGAGUCUCCCCUGUAUUUGCACGGCGUCGAUCAAAUACACAGUACAACCAGGAUACAACCACAACCAGAUGAAUAUAAAGAUAACUAUACAUUCAUACAUUCACCAUUCACAUCACAGUUUUACAUUCAAGGUUUAAACAGAAAUCCACAAAACUAGGGGGCGUCCUCCCACAAGAAAAGGCCUUUUCACCAGCAUGUAGGCUGGGCACUCGGGUCGCCACAAGAGAAACACGAUCCCAAUGUACGGUCCACGCUCGUCCAUCACCGAAAACGGACUCCAGGAAUCUGGCUGUGCCGCCAAAACUAACCCAUGAAAACCUGACGAACAGGACAACUGCGUAUAUUGAUAUCAUCGUCACCAGUGAACAUAUAGAAGUCAAGAACGCAAUGUAACAGAACGAUGAUAUCAGAACAAUGUACAUAUGUAGGUCAACAAAUAAUGUCAUCGCCAUCAACAUGAAAGAAAGUAAAUAUACAGAGAAAGUAAGUAAUAAUAACGAUGACAUAAAAGAUGACUGGGCAUGACAACAAAUCGAGAAGGACUAGGUCACUCAUGAGGAGCGGAAGAAGCCGAACGCCAUGGGUGACCCUCCCCUCUGUACAAAUGUACAAGAGUGGAGGGGGUGGUAAAAAGUCCAUAGCGCUCGCUACUCAUCACCCUGCUCUGCACUCCAUGCACACAUCGCCAGCUAUCUCGAAGGCUGGGUCCAAUAAAGCUAAAUCAAGAAUAGGAACCAUAAAGACAACUAUAUAUCAAAUCAACCAAAUACACCAAGUCAUAAAUAAAUGUAAACUUUUACACCUAAAGACCUAAAACAUUUUAUUUUCCAAAAGAUGGGGAGCACCAUCGCAAAAAUUUUCUUAUUUCCAAAGACACAUCCUUUGUCGAAAGUUUUCUAANNNNNNNNNNNNNNNNNNNNNNNNNCAAAAAAUGAGAGAGAUAAUCAUUCGAAGGUUUAAACGAAAUCCACAAAAAUCUUUUGAAACUGUUUCCUACACACGAACCUUUUUCUUUUAAAACGCUAACCAAACGAGGGUAAGAAACCUUUUAUUGACAAACUCCAGAAAUCCACGAUUUUCAUAAUGUUAAAUAAAUACCUUGAGACCACAUAAACCAACUAACUUAUUAAAACAGAAAUAUCAAGGAUUAAGCUAAUCGAAAUAACCUGGGUCGAAGCUUCUAUCGUUUACGCUACCACUACAGCUCACGCUCGUCCUCACUACUCAUCGCUCGCAUACAUGAAGAAAUGGUGGGGAAGGUGAGAACAUGUAAACAUGUCUCCCCUCCAGUGGGUACCUGCAAGCCGAAGAAGGCGAGAGUACUCACUGGAUCAGGAAGAGCUAAACAACAGUACGGGUCAGUAUAAAAUAUGACAGUAGGCAAUAAUAAUGAAUGAAAGAGCCAUAUAAUAUAAAGAAAGUAGCAACCUAACCGCAUGUAGAUAAAACAACUGGAUGUAUACAUCGUAAUAACUAUAAGUAGCAAGACUAAUGUAACGCAAGAACUGAAGAUAUUACACAGUGACGCACUGCUUACUAAGUUAUAGCGAACUGGACAAGCAGUCAACAAGUACCCAAUCUAAACCAACCGUUCGUCGUCUAAGACCUCAGGCAAAGCCAUCACCUCUCGCACCUGGCAUGUUAACCCUAUGCACAAGAGAAACAUCGCGGCUCACGGGUCGGAUGGUACCGACCACUUUCCCGGAAAAGAACAUCCCUCCUGCGGGGGAUCAACCCGGGUGUACGGAAUGCACUCGAGCUGUGGCGACAUGCGGAUGAUGAUCAAUAGCCAAAUGUUCGGCAACCAGCCGACAAUCACCCGCCUCUCGGGCAACCGACCAAUAGGUCAUCAAAACUGAUAAAGAAGCACAAAACCGACCACAGUCAAGGUCAACUAGGAUGGACUGACUCUUAGCCAUCCUCGUCCUGAUAUGCAAUACUGACUAAUCAGUCAACUGGGAUGGAACAACUCAAACUCCGCUAUUACGCAAAAGUAUGUAGAAUACUGAUACAAUAGGUCAAGCUACUGUAUAUAUGCAGAGAACUCGAUCACGCAAAGUCUCUGAGUAUAUAAUCUAGAAACUACCAGGUCGGCCAUGGCCGACAAUCCUACGCCCCUCAGGGUACACGACCUCAAAGUCAUCAAAACCUACACGAAGUUAAGGAACCGAUCGACGCAGUGUUAACCGAUCUCACAAGAAAUCACGAAACCGCUCUACUCUAAACAUGAAACUGGAUAUGCAGAAUAGCUAAGUAGAGCAACAAAGAAACAUGGUGUAGCUACUCUACCCCUACUCAUGAUACUAAAUAUAAAGAGAACAACCGAGUAGAGAGUAACCGAAACAACAUGGUGCUAGGCUCAACACUAUAUAUCAAGAUGUAUAUAUGCUAGAUAAUAAUGAAAGAGCAAAGGUAAGAAACCAUCACCGAGCGUGCACCACUGUACCGACGUCGGAUCGAAGUACCCACCUGUACAACUGUCGCGUCUGUCUCCGGACUGCAAAAGAACGUCAACCGGACCUAAGGAGGGUCCACUGGGUUAGUGUCUAACCCACAACUAAGAAACCCUAAAGGCAUAACCCACAACAAUCCCACAAACAAUUUCACGAGAAUCGGUUUCCCAAAACCGAUUACCGAACAAACCGGAAGUCCAGAAAACCGCACUGGAACUUCACCGUCGCUCACCCGUCGUUUCCAAACCCACGAAACGACGCGGGUGACCAGCCAACAAGGCUCAGCGACGAAACAAAUGAUCCCCAAGUACCGUCGGAAGAAUUCCGAAUUGAAAACGCGUUCUAUCGGCGGAUUUCGCCGAAAAACGCUCCGAAAAUACAUUUUCGAUCUUCGCAAAGGUCCGGGGCCUUGGACAAUCAGUCCAGGGAUCACCCUCAGCCCAAACAUGCUGCCAACAGCAUCUACAACGGAGCAGAAAUCCUAAAAGCCCAUACCGAUACAUGAAAUCACAUCAUUUCAUGUGAUUUCUAGGCUUUUCUGGACCGUGCACGCAAACCAGAGGUCGAUUAAUCCGACCGUCGCACUCGCUGACAGGUUUCAGCAUGUCGGAGGCCGUGCUCACCUUUCGGAGCACUGCCGGCCACUGCGGUGCGCGCACGAGCGACGCGAAGUUCUGUUAAACUGCGUGCACAGUGCGAAGAUCAAGACUAACUCGCUAACCAGGGCAUCUUUGCCGCUGUCGAAGGUGAGUACGAUGUUAAGCACGAACCCUAGAUCAUCGUGCUCACUUCCCGGGGUGUCGGGGAGUCAUCGGAUCACCAAAAAGGUGGCCGGAAAGCUAAGCUACUGUGCUGGAAUCUAAAAACAGCCUUACCGGACCCGAGGAGAGCUAGGGUUCGUCUCCGGCGGCCGAGAGGCGGGAACUCCGGCGGGAGGAGGGUGCGGCCGGUCAGAGGGGUCCGGGUACGGUGCUGGCCGGCGGCGGGCGGCGGCCGGUGGCGCGGCGGAGGAGAUCAAGCCGCGGCUUGCUCUCGGGUUCAAGUGGUCCGCGGCGGCCCGGCGGCGGCCGGAGGAGCUCGGGGCGACGGCGAUCCGUCGCCGGAGGCCGUGGGGAGGGCGGUGCUCCCCGCUGUGGGCUGCAGCGACGCGCGGAUUGGAGGGAAACCCAGCCUCGGCCCGCACCAAGUCUGGGCGGCUGCAGGAGCUUCGGGCGGCAGCCGGCGGUGGUCGGGGACGUCGGGAUCCGUCGCCGGCCGCCUCGAGGCGGCUGCUCAGCCUACGCACCGACAACUGACUCGAACUCGCCCGAGUUGCAGCAGAUUGCCGCAGAAGGUCCCGACGGCGCCGGCGGCGCGCAAGGACGUCGGCUACCGUCGGUGAGGGAUCGUCGGAGGCCUAGAAGGGCGGCGCAGCCCAUCCCAAGCGACGGCGGCGCGAGGGAGAGAGAUCUGGCCACCCACGGCCAGAUCUUGCUCGAGCUGGCCGCAAACAGCAGGAGCAGCGGCCGGCGGUGCGUGCUGAUGGCAGGGACGGCUGAGGUCGACGCCGGAGAGCGGUCUCUGCAGAGGGAAACCUCCAGGGGGGUUAAUGACAGCUUUCCAGGUCACCUCGGCAGGGAGGAGGUCUGGCCGAGGGGAAAGGAGAGGGGAACUUGGCUUUUCCCACGGCCGGGGUCACCUGCCGGCGACUGGGGCGCGAGCACGACGAGGGCAGGGAUGGGUUGAAGUCGUCUAGGGUUUGCUGGGGGAGGAAGGUGACUCGAUCUAGGGUUUCGUGCCCAAAAACCCUAGCUACCAAUAUAUAUACAAGUGGACUUUUGCAGAAAACCCCUCCAACACAAAAUAUUUAAGGUUCAGCCCCUGCCAGGGCAUGCAACUUGUGCGUACAUACCUCCACGUCCGAUCUCCGGCGAUUCGGUACAUAAAAUGCCGCGCUUUUCGCGGAUUAUCCGUUUUGCCAAUUUGACCUCUCAGCGAUAACUUUGCAAUUACCGGAGAUUCGUUCGUCGGAUUUUCGAUCCGACAGCACCAUUGCGUUCGGCACGUCGGGUGCAUCGAAUCUAGCAUUUCGCUUCGUCCGAUUUGACCCCCGAUUCACGACGAAAUCCGUCCGCUCUCCAAUUUCAAAAACCAUACACAUAUAUCAAUGUGUAAACCCGCUAAAUCCUUUAAUUCAAAUUCAAAUUUGAAUCUCCUACCACUAGUUGGUACAUCUAACAUCCCUCACCUUACUCUAGGUCACAUACACAGAUCACGAGGGGUGUCAUAAUGCAAGAAUAGCGAAGAACGAAAACCCUCAUUUUGAUAAAACUCCUUUUUCUCGAAAACCAUGCAUCGGAUCUGAAAUCCGUCAGUGCCAUUGGUUCCAGAAUAGCUGAUCCGAUCGAAACGAGCUAUUGGACCGGUAUGAACGGAGUCCGGUACGCGCCGAUAGCCAGCUCUACUCCGUGGCUUCACCGAAAAACCGGAGUUACUAUUCACUUAAGUGAAAACUAAUAAUCGCGUAACUUCUCCGUUUUAGCUCAGUUUCUCCUGAAACUUGACGAGUGCUUAUGUAAUUAAAUUACCACAUAAACAUCGUCAACAGAGAGUUUAGUAGCACUGUAAAAAUCUCAGUCCUUACAUAUUUACACUGUUUCUCCUCUUCUUGCACUCUUUGAAAUGUAAAUUGUAUCCUUUAAUAUGAAAGUUAUACUCUUUAAAAGAAAUUUGCACUCUUUUGAGAGAUAUUUACACUGUUUCUCCUCUUCUUGCACUCUUUGAGAUGUAAACUGCACCAUUUAAGAGAUAUUUACACUGUUUGAGAGAUAGUUACACUGUUUCUCCUUUUGUUGCACUGUUUCUCCUUUUCAUCCUCAUCCUCCUUUCUCUCAUCCUCAUCCGCAUCCUCUUCUGCCACCAGCCAGCUCUAGCGCGUUUUCGGCCACGUCCAAAACACGGAGCACGGGGAGAGCCGCGAGGGACGCACCCCAAACCAGCCGACAGCCGCAUCUAGGGCGCGCUCCGGACGUGGGCGCGCUCCUCUCGAGACUCGGGUGUGAGUUCGGCACCGGUGAAGAAGAGGGGCAGUGGCCCCGGCGAAGGAGGGCAGCGGCAUGAAGGGGGUUUAACGACGACUGCGGCGGAAAAGUUGGAGAAGGAAGAAGGAGGAGGACGACGAGAAAACAAAGGGGAAGAAGGAGAAGGAAGAAAAAUAGAAUAAGAAAUGGUAUAAAUUUUACCGAAAUAGUGCAACGUUCGCCUAAAGAGUGUAACUCUCAUCCAAAUAGCGUAAUUUCUAUCUCAAAGAGUAUAACUUUCAUAUAAAACAUUGCAAAAAUUCUUUAAAACAGCGUAAUUUUAUUUUGGCAGUGCAAUUUCAUCUUUUUCUUCCUUCUUUUAUGAUUUUUGGUCUUUCCUGUAAAAAAAAUAUAUGCUUUAUUUUAAUUUUUUAUUAUUUCUUAUUUUCUUUCUCUAUAAUUUUUUUUUGUCACAACCUCUCCCUUGCCCUCUAUCGCAACCAUUGCCCUCGCGAGAGUGUAACUAUUUUUCUCUUUUUUCCUCGCCGGCGUGCUUUUGGACCCUGAGAAGCACUUCCUUUUUGUCACCGGUGGCGGCGGUGGGGAUAGUGAGUGGAGGAGGGUCGAAAAGGAAAAAAAAAAGGGUCUCGGUGCGGCCUCGGCGUGGUCGGAGGCGAGGGGGAAGGAGCAUGCACGGGCAAGAGCGAGGGCAUGAGGAGCAGAGGGGGGGGGGGGCAUUUCCGCCUCCGCCUCCGCCUCCGCCUCCGCCUCCGCGGACUUCUGCAGCAAGAAAAAAAAAAGAACAUGAGAAAAAAGAAGGAGAGAGAAAAAGGUAUAAGGGUAUUUUGGUUGGUUUGCAGAAAAUUCGGACCGAAUCUGCAAAAUCGAAAAAGGCGGCCCAGUUUUGCAAAAGGUCAAAGUUUGUGGAUUUUUUAUGCAAAUUGGCCAUUAAAUUAAUUCAUGAUUUAUACUCAAAUUUGAGAGUGCUGGUUGUGUGAGGGAAUAAACAAUCAGACGCCUGAUUUCUAUUUCAGGCGCCUAAUUCAUGAAAGUGGAAAUUGAGCUGGCGUCUGGGCUAAAGACGGGUGCAGCUACGAUGGAUUUGAGUGCCUGAACAUGAGAACUGAGAAUUUGAUUCUGUAGCUAUACUCUUUGUUGACGGUAUUUUGUGUGUAAUUUAAUUACAUAAACACUCGUCAAGUUUCAGAAGAAAACGAGUUAAGAUGGAGAAAUUACGCAACCUUUACUAAUCACUUAAAGUGAAUACUAACUCGAGUUUUCCGGAGAGGCCAAUGAGUGAAGAUGGCUUCGGGUGCGUAUUGGACUCCGUUUAUAGUGAUCCAAUCGCUCAUUUUCAACGGUUCGACUGUUCUGAACCCAAUGGCACUGCUGGAUUUGGAUUUUGAUGCACGAUUUUUGAGAAAAAGAAUUUUUUAUCGCAAUAAGAAUUUUUGGUAAUUGGAGAGAGGAUGGCUUUCGUCGCUAAUCGAUGACCAAUUCGAACUAAACAAAAUUGUGAGUUUGAUGUCCUGGUCGUGCUGAAUGCGCUGGCACCAUCCGUUCACAAAUCCAACUGACAAAUCUCCUGAUAUCGCACGAAGAUCGAGAAUGGGUCGAAAGUUAGCGAAAUGGAAAAUCUGCAAAACAUCCUAUAUUUUAUAUUCCGUUUUGCGUAAAAUCGAACGUUGAGGUGCGUACGCGCGAAAUGCACGCGCUGUGAGGGACUCGGUUGAAAAUAUCGCACUUUGGAGAACUACCAUGCAAUUUACACUUGAUACAUAUAUAAAGGUAUGAAGGUUUCAUGCAUGAAACCCUAACCCUAGUUGUAUCUCCUCCAUCAGCUGAGCUUAGCCGCCUCCCUCGUUUCCCCCGCCCUCGCCGCAUACACCACAACUGCCUGCGCACGCUGUCGGCCGCUGGAACCGGCCGUUUCUUUCUCGAAGCACUGUCAUCAUCCUACUUUCACCACCUUUGUCCGAGCUGCAUCUUAGAGGGGCCCCUCACCUUUGGGCUCCACCCCUAGUCGUGCCCUUAGCUCCGGCGACCCUCCCCCGCUGGUCGCCGCCGUCCAUGCACGCUGCCACCGUCGCCCUUAGCAGCUUGCGGCCAAGCCAUGUAGGCUCCAGCCAAGGUCAUCUCACCUACUGGCCCGCACGCCGCCACCGCUCAGGGCCACCUUGGCCACCCUCCUCCGGCCUCCGACAACCGCCCCUGCCGGUCGCCGCCGUCCCCGCGUGCCGCCGUCACCACCUGGGUGACCUGCGGCCAACCUAGAGCAAGUGCGGGCCGAAGUGUGUCACCCCCUUGCCCCGCGUGCCACUGCCGCCUAGGGCCGACCACGUCGCCUCCCUCCAGCCUCCGGUGAACCACCGCCGUCACCCCGCAGCUUCCCAGCCGCCACGAUGGCCACUAUGACUAGCUGAACCCGAGCCGAGCCCGCACGGGCUCGGGUUGCUCUAGCGUUGCCGCUGCUGCCUUCCGUCGCCGGCCGACCCGCGCGCCGCCUCCCCUGGGUCAACUACACUCGGCUGGCGCCAGCGCCUCGGCAGCCGGAGCCCCUUACUGGCCGGAACUAGCCAAAGCCUCCCUUGGUCCCGUGCGGCUAGGGCAUUGUUGCCUGCCGUCGCUGCCGCCUCUCAUCGCCAGUUGACACGCGCCCUGACCUCCCCGCACUGACCGCACCUACCUGCCGCCGGCAUGCCCGCCGCCCGGCCGCCGCCGCCGGCCGUGCCCUAGCUUUCCCCAGGCCGAUAAGCUUUAUUAAGCCAUUUUUCUGCAUUAUUUCUAGUUUAGGUCAUUGUUCAGGCGACCCGAGGGCACCCUGAUGCUUCUGGAGGUGAGCACGAUGAUCCUGGUUCAGUGCCGACCGACGCGCGCGUCAUCGCCAGCCAUGGCCGCCGCCCGGCCGCCGCCACCAGCCAUGCCCUAGCUUUCCCCAGGCCAAUAAGCUUUAUUAAGCUAUUUUUCUGCAUUAUUUCUAGUUCGGGUCAUUGUUCCGGCGACCUGAGGGCACCCUGAUGCUUCUGGAGGUGAGCACGAUGAUCCUAGUUCAGUGCCGAUCAUCGUGAUCACCUUCUUUGGGGUCAACAAGCCCCUGGUUUGCGAGAUAAGUGCAGUUUACGCAUAGUACGCGCGGUUCGCUGAACUUUGAGUUGCUCCCGCGCCUCCCACAGUGGACGGCCAUGCUCCGGAUCAUGAGCACGACCUCCGGCACGUCGAGACCUAUCAACGUGUGUCUCGGCCAGCCUCGAAAGCCCUCGGUUUGCGGUAUCGAGCCGAAAAACUCCGAAAAUCACAUAAAAUAAUGUGAUUCUACGUAUUAGUGGGGACUUUUAUGCGAUUGUGACUUCGUGGCUGCUUUAGGCAGUUCAUGUGGGCUGCGGGUGACCUCUGGACUGAUUGUCCAAGGUCUGAUGCCCUUCGUGGAAAUCGAAUAUCGAUUUUUGUGCGUUUUUCAGCGAAAUUCGCCGGCAAAAUGCGAUUUCGGUUUGGAUUGCAUCCGACGGUGUUAGAAUGCCCUGAUUUUGUGGCUGAGCCUUGUCGGCUGGUCACCAUAGUCAUCUCGAGAGUUCGGAGAUGACGGGUGGGCGACGGUGGGUUCUGGUGUCGAAAUUAACACUUCCGGAAAUCCAGACCCGAACAAUUAUCUAACGAUAAUUGUUUGGGUGUGUGAUCUUAUGUUUGCUGCCAAGACAUCCAAACGAUGGGUUUUGUAGCAGCGGGUGACUCAUGAUGCGAGUCGGUAAGUCCCGGGAUACUUCAUGGGUCCCGACAGAGUCCCGGUGCGAUUUUUGGGACUUCCGGCGAGUUACGGUAAUGGGCUUUGGGACACCGAUUCCUAUGGGUUUAAAGGUGGGAUUGUUUAGUGUUUCUUAUAUGUGGGUUGGAUUCUAACCCGGUGGACCCUCCGUAGGUUCGGCUGACGAUCUUUCACAAUCGAGAGACAUGCGCAUUAUUCAUUCAUGUUGGUACUUCGACCCGAACUCGGUACAGUGGUGCACGCUCAGUGACAUUCUCUUCACCCUUUCUUAGACCUGACAAACGGGCGGGUUGGGUAACCCGCGGGUGGGUUAUUGUACCCACGAGUUACUUGGGCAUGGGUAAAAUUUACUCACAAACUUUUGGGUAGCCAACAUCAUUACCCAUACCCACUCGCGGGUGGGCGGGUGGGUAUGCGCGUUACCCGCAAAUUUUUUUCUUUUUUUUCUCUUAUAAUUUUUAAAUGCAAAAUACAUAUAUAUAAGUUUUUAAAAUAUAGCAUAACUCAUUAUUUAAAAUAUCAUAACAUACAAUAAAAAUAUUUAAAGUUUUAGAGCUUAAAAAUUUCGUAAUAUAAAAGACGCGAUAAAAAAUUAGAGUUAGAAUUUAUAGAAUGAGUAAAUAAAAAUAUAUAUUUUUUAAUUAAGAAAAUAUAUUUUGUAAUUAAAAAAUAUAUGUGCGGGUACCCGUGGGUACCCGCGGGUUACCCAAAAUGCCCACAGCUUAAUGGGUUCCCACCCGUUUUACCUCUAAUUUUUUGGGUUGAAAAAGUUGGUACCCAUACCCGCAAAUUUGCGGGUAACCCGCGGGCACCCGCAAGUAUGGGUCGAGAUUGCCAAGUCUACCCUUUCCUUAAUAUCACUUUGCAUUUUAUAUGUUGAGCCUAGCACCCUUAUUAUCUCUUUAUUGCUCUACUUGGUUAGUUUGCAUAUCUAGCAUCAUAAGUUAAAAGUAGAGCAGGUUUGUGAUUAUAUGUGAAAUCUAUGACCUAUUCGGUCAGUUCUUUGUUUCUAAUAUUGUGGCCUAUUCAGUUGGUUCAUUGCAUCUGGUAUUGUGACCUAUUCGGCCGGUUCAUUGCAUUUGGCAUUGUGACCUAUUUGGUCAGUUCAACUACUUGGUGACCUACACGGUCGGUGUACCCUGAGGGGCAGGAUUGUCAGCUAGUUGCUGACGGUUGGCUAUUGAGUAUAUCAACAUUGAUCGCCCAAUACUCGUACGCAUUUCACGAACACCAGCGGUCUGAUCCAUCGCUAGGAGGUGUUCUUUUCUGGAAAAGUUGUUGGACAUGCCAACCCAUGAACCUGGCAACCUAGUUUGGGUUAUAUGCAGGUAGAGUGGCAGUGGCACAAGCUUGAGGUCUGCGGACCGAUAUGGCAGGUUUUUGAUUGGGUACUUACUUAUCGUCUGGUUGAUGCAUACAUACAGUAGCGGUAGUGGUUUAUAUAUAUCAUGUUUCCUUUUAUCAUUACUACUGUAUUACCGUUGUUGAUACUCUUAGUUAUCCUCCUUGACUGGUGAGUACCCCUCGCCCUCGUCGGCUUGCGGUACCCACUGGGAGGGGAGACAUAUGUACAUGUUCUCACCCCCCACCUCCUCUCAGGUGACGUUGCUGGUCCGAGUCGGGACGAUUCGUGAGGCACGCGGUUAGUGGUCGUAGAGUGCUCCGGCCCGGUGAAUCACGGUUUAAUUUCUAAUCUAUUUCUCCCGCUUAGACAUUAUGGUUCAGUUGGUUCUAUGUUAUUUGGAUACACGUGGUUUUGUGAAAUUAAUAAAGUAAUGGUUUUCAUAUGAAAUUAUAAAAAUAGUUUUCUACCCCUCGUGGUAGCAUAUUUUUAAAGAAAAAGGGUUUCCGUGUGGAAAACAGUUUUAAAAAAGGUUUUUUGGUUUUCAUGAAUCUUAGUAUUUCAAAAUAAGUUUUUGGGUGGAAAAUGUUUUAAACUGAUAGAUAUAGAAUUAUAAAUAUCAUAUGGUAAACUUGUGAUAGAAUGAAUGUGAUGCGGUGAUUGUAUGUGGAUGAUUAUACUAUGUGGUUGUAUCUUGUACUUGUGUGACGUCGUGCAAAUAUAGGAGAGACUAUGUCCGUGUGAACAGCGGAUUCCUAUAUUUGUGGCGGAUCUUCCGUCCUCUAGGGUCAAGACUUUCAAAAAACAAAAAUUGGGCACUUCCGCAUCGAUUUUAAAACCAAAAGGGAUCCCGGGGUGUGACACUGAAAGUUUAGCUGGGCACCAUAAACUUGGCGUAAAUACAGUGAUGGAUUAAUUGGGAAUUUGGAUUGUUGAGACUCUAUUCGUGUGAACAGCGGAUUCCCUAUAUUUGUGGCGGAUUUGACGUCCUCUGGGGUCAAGGCUUUCAAGAAAAAAAAUUUGGGCACUUCCGCAUCGAUUUUAAAACUAAAAGGGACCCCGGGGUGUGACACUAAAAGUUUAGGUGGGCACCAUAAACUUGGCGUAAAUACAGUGAUGGAUUUAAUUGGGACUUUGGAUUGUUGAGGGGUUUAUGUGCUAUUGUAGCACUCCUACGUAAAGGCUCUUCACCAACCAACCCUAAUCCUUUUCCUCAUUUCCCUUUUCACUCCCUCUCCAUCUUCUUCCUCUUUCUAGAAGGAAACAAACUCCACUUUCCCCAUUGAUGGAGUUUGGAGAUCCAAUUCAUUGGAGACUUGGGGGAGCUCAGGUUGGUGAAGGCAAACCUCUCAACGCGUUUUUCUUGUCUAGAAGGUGGAGAGGUGAUGAAGAACUUUUGAGGUUCUAACUUCUUUAGAACUUUUUUUAGAGUUUUUUUGAGUUUUUAGGAGAUCAAGGAUCACCCCUUAAAAGAAUCUAAAAGAAGGUGGGGAAUAUCAUUGAAAUUGAUCUUAUCUCUUCUUUAACUAAAAUUUUAUUUGACUAAUAGCGUGUAUUAUGGGUAUUAAGUAAACUAAUUAAAUGUAUUUUAGUUUCAUGCUAGGAAAUCUAGUAGGUCAAGGUAAUGUAUGAACAUUUGACCUAGAGGAGAAUAGGGUUUCAACCCUUAUGGUGUUAAAAGUAAAAUAUUUGACGUGUUAGGCAUUAUAGGACAUGAAUGUAUAAAUGAAAAAAAUGCAUUUAUAUGCACGAUUGGGUACCAUGUGAAUCUUCAAACAUAGGGAAUAAGUGUGGCCUUUAAUCCAGGUUGGAACCUAAGGUGUGAAAAUAGUGGCAUUGAAUCUAGGAUGAAACUUAGGGUAUGAGACAUAGGCGAUAUGUGAACUCUAAGGUAAACUUGAGCUAGAGGAUAAGAGAAUGAUAAAUGAAUAAUGUGGAUAACUAAAAGUCAUGAACUUAGAGUGAAAUGAUGAUAUGUGUGACCUGUCCAACUUGGGAGAUGUCGAUCUCCCUCGACACUUAAUGUUGCAAAGGGAGAUACUUUUCCUCUCAACUCUCAAUGGUACUUGGUGAUGUUCACCAAUUAGAGAGAAGUUCGAUCUCCCUCAACUUUCCAUGGGAUGUGAUAAGAAAGUAAACCAAGCUAAAAAGUUUAUAAAAGUAACGAAAUGGAAUGAGAUGAAUGUAUAGGCUAAUGACAUAGUAAACCAUUGUUACAUAUUGUAUAUACAUUAAGGCAUUGUAUAGGUUGGUAUAUGUUCCGCUUCGUGUGGGUAGAGAAGACCUUACCCAUUGUGUGGGUCUAUUGCACAUGCCCGAACGGGUCAAAUUGGCAGGACAAGGAGUAACAUCAAUGCUUCUAAUAGCACCAAGCACUCAACGCUUGUGGAUUUUUAGCCUUUGGAUCAGUGAGUUGAAUGAUUUCCCUAAGAUUUAGUGGUGGUUGGUGGAAUAGUAUAAUUUAAAAGGUAAAAUUGGCCAAUGGGCGAUUGUGGUGGCUGGUGGAAUAGUACAACCCAAAAGGUAGAAAUGGUCAAUGGGCAAGGUGUGUUUAAAAGACUUAGGCCCUGUUUGGCCAAGCUUCUGAAAAAGUGAUUUCUGAAAAAGUGAUUUUGGUUUAGAAAAGUGAUUUAUGUUAAAAGCUGUAGAGCGUUUGGCUGAGUCUGAUAGAAAAGUGAUUGUGCUGAAGUGAUUUUAGANGUCAUCACCAUUUGUUUGAGAUUCAUCCAGCACAAGAUUUGUGACUUCAUGAUCCCUCAAUCUUUUCGAUCGAACCAUUGUUCAAAAUCUAAAAAUGUAGUAGCAUAUUCAGAAAUUUCAUAGCAGAUUAAAAGUUAAAAAAAUUCAAAAAAUUCAUUUAUCUAAACCUAUAUUAUAUUAAAACUCACCUAAUACAAGACAUCACUACUACAGGUACAAGAUUUAGUAGCGACAAAUGUCGCCACCAUAGGCCAAAUUGUCGCCACGAAAAACGUUUUAGUGGCGACAAUUUGUCCCACUGAAUAACAUAUAUGACACAAAAAUUUACAACAGCCUCAAAAUCAACCACAAUAAAAUGUGUUUUUCCUGUAGAGAGCAACUACUAGAGCUAACUUACUAGAGCUAGGAACUCGAACUCGCCGAACGCUUGGAAGAUCUGGAUCUUGAACAGGAUCUGCAAAAAGAAUUGGAGAAACGACGGCCAAAUCAUUAUCGGUUAAACAGAACAAAAUUGCAAAGUUUUAGGCCUUGUUUGGAAUUGCAAAGUUUGAUCAAAUAGUCAACAAUUCAUCAUAAUACCAAUGAAAUUAACUUGUGGAUUAAACAUAACAAAAUUGAUCAAACCUUCAUACAUAAUAUACAAUGUUUUAAUACUUAUGUAAAACAACUUAUUACUAUAAAAACUUAAGCAGGCAAAGAGCAAAGUUUUUAAUAUUUCAUACUUAAUAGGUACCACCUUGAUCAAAUAACAAUCGCGACAACCCCCGGGCCAAGUGUGAGCAACUAUUUGCCAGGAUGGCUUGCAUAAGGUAAUUAAGCUCAUCUCAAAUGCUUAAUUAGAAUAAUCUACUUGUAAUCUCUUUGUCUCUCAAUAGCCUGGCAGCAACAGUUGAUUGCAUGCUGCCUGCUGCUGGUGCUGCCUGCAGCAGCAGCCCUGCUGCAGCUGCUACUGCAAGAAUUUCCUGCAGUAGCAGUAGCAGGGAAGGGGAAUAGGAAGGAAGGAAGAGAACGGAAGAGAAAGGAGAAGAAAAGAAAAGAGGGAAGAAGGAAAAGAAAGAGAGAGAGGAUUACCUAAUGAUUUUCUUAAAAUUUAAGCAAUCGUCAAGCUGCGUGAAAAUUUAACUUGAUCUAAUAACUGUAAAACUACAGAUACAUAUUAACAAUAUAUAUAUAGAAGGUCGAAUUUCUGUUUCUUUAUACAAAAUCAUUUGUUUGAUGAUCAACAAAGUAUACUCACCUUUUAAUUAUGAAUGUGAGUCUUAGAUCCCAUUGACUGAGCAACAACUUCCAUACUCAACAAGACAACUUUUGCUAGUUUGCGUGAUAGAAAAUGAGUUUGAUGUUUCACAUUAUCCUGUCAAAAUAUUCAAAAAUCAUAUCGCAGUGAAAAAUAUAUUCAAUAUGUCAAAUAUAUGCAGUGAUGAAGAAUCAUAAUGUGGCAAUAUGGUGGAUUUUAUCAUGCAACUAAGAGAAUCAUAAAAGAAUAGAGGUACUGUUUAUUAAAUUACUUGAUUGGGAGUGAUGAAAUAGAAAUUAUAAGUGAAUCAAGUAGAACUAACGAUUUCAAAGGUACUAGGCUUCAAGAUGAAAGAUGCCAAUACAUAUAAGUCCAACUAUAUAUAAUAGUAGAAUCCAGAGAAAUCUAAUUAAAAUUUGAUGAAACGAAUAGAAUAACACAAGUUAUCAAAAACUGAAAUUCAUUUGGCCUUGAUGACAAGUUCUUUCAUUUCCAAAACAAAUUUAGAGCAUUUCAAUCUAUAAAUAACACAAGUUAUCAAAAAUUGAAAUUCAUUCUUUGCAUGAUUUACACAUAUAGAAUAACAAGCAGGCGUACAAAGACUUGAUGACAAUCUAUGUUAUUAAGAUCAAAAUACCAUUUGGCCUAAUAACUGCAAAACUGCUACAAGAUGAUCCUAAUCAAACUUUCAAUGCUCUCUUUUCAAGCUGAUGGUGACAUGUAGAGACUUCCUUAUCCUACAUUGCUAUAACAACGAAAACCCCUUACCAGGUUAGCGCAAAGGUACUAGGCUUCAAGUAGAACUAACGAUUUCAAGCCAUAAAGAUGAAGUUGCUAAAACCGAAGUUCAUUUAAGGAAUCAAAAGACUCAAGUCAAGUGGGUUUGUUAUAUUAAGCAAAGUGGAGGAAAAAAGUUCUCAAGUUUGAAAAUAGAAGUUGGAAAUUGAAAAAUCUUUACCAGGGAAUCCAUGAUUUAGAUGAGUCUCAUACAAGUUUUGGUUCAUGUAUCAGAAUGCAGAAAUAAGAAAGAUAAAUCAAUUACUAAGUUCCAGUUGUUGGCUGUUGGCUGUUGACUGUUAACUGUUGACUUGUACUUACCAAGUCCAAGUGCCUCUGAACCCUUCAUGAUCCUCAGCCUCCGGCAAAAGUCCGUGAACAUCCUGAAAUUCAAACAAUCGAGAAAAAAAAAAUCAGUAAAAAAAAAUCAGUACUCAAGCAUCACUGAAAUGCAUACUCAAAUUGAAAAGUUAUAUAACAUCAAUGUCGUCCUUACUUUGCAGAAGAAUUGGUGUAAUAGAAACGGAUCGAUAAAUUCCAAGAACUGAGUAUUGAACUACACAAUAUUACCCAAUUGAGUAUGUUACUAUGAAUAAGACUUCUUAUCAUUCGCUUGGUAAUCCAAUUAUAUAACAACCAGCUUCAACAAAAAGAAUAGUGGCCAAUACUGAAAAAAUGAAUGCCGACUUGAAUAAAUCAACAGAUUAGCAUAGCAAAUGGCAUCUUGCUCCAAGCCAGGAAGAAAAUGAAGAGGAGAAGGGCACCUUCUAGGGGUCUUGCUUAUGUACCAAGGCCACUAAAAAAAUGAAGUUUGAGGGUUUCAUCUUAGCCAUCAAUUUUUUUUCUUUGAUGGAAAUUUAAUCUAAUACAAACUGCUAUGCGCUUUCCAAUUCUCAAAUCCACUUAUUACUAAUUUUUUUUCUUAUCAAGUUUAAGGUAUAGAAGCUACAAAGCCAACAACUUAGACUCCAACCUCGUUUGAUCAGAAACCUACUUAUGCAUUCAGCUUAAGCAACUAAAGCACUUCACAGUCAAGUGAAUGAGAGGGUGAUCACUCGUGUGAUUUGGGGUUUAGGGGUUUUUUUCCCUGUACAUAUUAUUUACCCCUUUUUAAUUUGUCAAAAGACUAAAUAAUCCAACUAUUUACAUACAACAUAUACAAUAAGUAAGGGUAUAAUAGUCCAAAAAAAAAAGAUAGUGCUUGUUGGUGAAAAAAGGAAGAGGGAAGUAAUGGCGCGAUGUAUGAAAACAUUCUGCAGCGACAUUAGUCGCCACUAAUGGUCUAACUUCUUUCUUUUUGUUGUAGUGCAUCUUAGUCAAGUGAAUGUCUAAAAAAAUAAUCCAUAACAAUUAUAAGUAUUGUGAAAAUCUUAUACUAAUUAUUUUGAUGUAAGCAAACAGAAUCUAAAAGGUAAACAAAAAAAAGAAAGCAUAUAAUACUUUAAUGCCAUAAUGAAAAGAUGAUACGUUAAUGCCAUAAUGAAAGGGUCACAAAAGCCAUAUCAAAGACUAUUCUCUCCUUCAACAUCUGUUCUUGCCCAACUUGCACAAUUAUCUAAUUGGUUAGCAUCAAUAACAUUAAACGGCAUGCAUUGAGUGUAUGUCUGAUCAUCAUCAUCCUCUCCUUGCAAUGUUGUUCCCAUAUCAUACAAGUCUCUUGGCUUUGUUAUAAGAACAUAAGACCAUUCUUCAUUCUUCACGUCUUGAAUAUAGAAAACUUGUUUUGCUUGAGAUGAGAAUAUGAAUAGAUCAUCUUUCAAUAAGUGCCAAGUGUGCAUUAACUUAGAAAAAUUCACAAGAACAAAGCCAUUUGUAUCCUUUUUCAUUCCUCUUGGUGACCUAAUAUCAACCCACUCACAACGAAACAAGACGACCUUAAAGUUUCCAUAGUAAUCUAACUGAAAAAUAUCUGUGAGUUUGCCAUAAUAAUCUUGUCCUUCUGCUUCAACCAUCACUCCAGAAUUCUGGGUUUUUCUUAAUUUCUCACGAUUUUUUGUAUGGAAUCUAAACCCAUUAAUAACAAAGCCACUAUAUCUCUUAGCGACAUUAUUUGGACCUCGGGCAAUUGCAAUAAUUUCCUCUGGGCAAUUGUUCUCGGCCAUCUUUGGAACCUAACAUUUUUAGUAGAGGAAAUGUCAAGUAACUUUCUGUAUUUAAUAUAAUAAUAUAAUAUACUUAAUCAAGAAUAAAGUAUAUGAUUCGCAUGAGUAUCUUGAUAUUGUUACUUAAUCCUUAUAUUUUCACGAGUAUCUCAAUUUUUUGUGCUAACCUUUGUAAGAAGCCAAUUAGAAAAAUUUUCAACCAGCCAUUUAUGCUCGAUACUUGGGUUAGCUCGAAUGUUACGAUUUGCUCUUCGCUGAGCAACCAAAAAUUCACUGCAUGACAAUUGAUAAAGUUAUAUAUGUAGAAUACAUUGAGAAAGUUAAAGUCAAUUAUAUAAUGAAAAAGUUAUAGUGAUAUUUCACCUACGAUAGGAGGAUAUCUUAUCACAAUGGAGUAACACAUAACGAUGUGCUUGCAAUAGAGAAAUUUCAUCAAGAAUAACACUCUCAAACUGUCCUAGAACUCGUCCACUAGAUGAGAACAUAUAAUCAUCUGCAUUAUGCACAUUGUCAUAGUUUCGUUGCGGUCGAUUGAAAAUUGUCUCCACACCUUCAAGAUACCUCGAACAAAAUGUCAAACACUCUUCGGCAAUGUACCCUUCUGCAAUAGAGCCCUCAGGUUGAGCUCUAUUGCGUACAUAUGACUUUAAGCGUACUAAAUACCUUCGAUCAGAAAUACAGGAUGAAGAUAUAAUAUAAUCUGAUAAUGUCAAUAAUAUUAUUCAAGAUAUUAAACCUAACAAAAUUAAAAUUCGUACCUCUCAAUUGGAUACAUCCAUCUAUAGUGUACAAGCCCACCCAAUUUUGCUUCAGAUACUAGAUGAAUUACUAGGUAAACCAUUACGGUGAAAAAACUGGGAGGAAAUAUUUUCUCCAUGAGACAAAGUGUCAGUGCAACUCGAGAUUGUAACCGAUCAAGCUCCUCAAUGUCGAGAGCCUUUAAGCAUAAUGCUUUAAAACAAGAUGAUAACUCCGAAACAAUAGCAACAACUGCUACUUGCUUGGGCAUAGCAACCCUCAAAGCUAUUGGUAGGAUGUCUUGCAUCAAAAUGUGACCGUCAUGAGACUUAAGGUUUGUUAGUGUGCGUUCCUUUAGAUUUACACCACGUGAGAUGUUAGAGGCAUAACCAUCUGGAACUUUGAGAUUCUUCAAAACAGUUAAGAAAAUGACUUUUUCAUCAGCCGACAUAGUAUAACAUGCAACAGGCAAAUGAGUUUUAUUAUUAGGCAAAACCUCAGGAUGGAGGUCAUGCCUUAUACCUAUAUCUUUCAAAUCAAGACGUGCUUUUAAGUUGUCUUUAGUCCUUCCAACAAUAUUCAACAUAGUACCUACAAGAUUAUCACACACAUUUUUUUCAAUAUGCAUUACAUCUAAAUUGUGUCGAAGAAGAUUAUUCUUCCAAUAAGGUAGAUAAAAAAAGAUGCUUCUUUUUUUCCAUAGUUGUUGAUCUACCCUAUGUACUCCAUCCUCAUCCAAGUUUUGAGGACCGUUGAUGAAAUCGUCGGCAUCCUCAAAGACUGCAACAUGGCUUGUAUUGUUAUCCUUUUCCACUAGCUCUUCAUUAAUAACGUUACGAACUUCCUCUCUUGCCCUUUUCUUAAACUUAGCACCUUUUCCAUAUUGAAAGUUGAUGCCCUCUAGUUGCCUAAGAGUGUCAAUUCUCGAUAGUGUAGUUGGAGCAGACCGCAACUCUAUAGAACCAUCAAAGUCAUCCUUUUUAAAUCGAAAUGGGUGGCUUUCUUCUAACCAUCUACGAUGGCCCAUAUAGCAAAAUUUUCCUCCAUGCUUUAGCCAACGUGAAUGAGUUGAAUUACCACAACAAGGACAAGCAAUUCGUCCUUUAGUACUCCAACCAGAUAAGAUUGCAUAGGCAGGAAAAUCAUUGAUGGUCCAAAGUAGAGCAGCCCGCAUGUUAAAGUUUUGCUUUGUGAAAGCAUCAAAUGCAUCGACACCAUUCCACAAUAUUUUCAAUUCAUGUAUCAAAGGCUGCAAAUAGACAUCAAUAUCAUUGCCUGGACCCUUCUCACCAGGGAUAACCAUAGAUAGUAUUAAUGCUGAUUUUUUCAUACACAACUAUGGUGGAAGAUUAUAUGGGAUCAGCAUAACAGGCCACGUACUAUAUGUGGAGCUCAUUGUUCUAAAAGGGUUAAAUCCAUCGCUUGCUAGUCCGAGUCUAAUACUACGAGGAUCAGAAGAAAAAUCUGGAUGGUGAUCAUUAAAUGAUCUCCAUGCUAAGGCAUCAGCUGGGUGCCUUAAGAUUCCAUCCUUUGUACGGCCUUCUUCAUGCCAUCUCAUGGAGGAAGCCAUCUUCGACGACAUAUAAAUUCUUUUUAAUCUUGGAAUCAGAGGAAAAUACCGCAAUAUUUUGGCCGGCUUUUUCUUCUUAGUCGUAUCUUCAUCCUCUCCUAAAGUGUCAUCUUCAUCUUCUUUAUUCUUUAACCACCUUGAAGAUCCACAUACAUGACAAGUUUUUUCGUUUAUCUUGUCAUUCCAAUAUNGUUGUAUUAAAAUGUAUAAUCAAAACCACAAGAUACAAGUAACUAAAUUUUAUAAAUGGAGCUACAGUCAAGUAAGAAAUAAGAUUAUAAAGCAAACUUCUCUCCGAACGGAACCGAUGAUGAACUUACCGCAGCAAAAAGAAAUAUGCAUCAGAUAGGGUAUUGGCAGUGAAAAAGAAAUGGAAUUAAUGCUUCAAAUUGAACAAGAAGUGUGCAAAAAAAAAAGCAGAUUCUACAAAUGAAAAAAAAAUAUAGCAUAUGAGAUGGGCCUCCUCUUCGACCACAACCACUCAAUUUCCAUCUUGAUUUUGCUAAGUUCAUCAUCAUGAUGCAGUCCCGAUGCAGAUCCGACCAAGCCGGCGGGAUCCGUCUUUGUCGGAUCCCGCGGGCGCUGACCCGAGCUCGGAUCGAGGUCAAAGGUGGAUCCGGGGCCGGAUCCGGCAAAACCGGACCCCGUCGGCGCCAAUCCAGCCAAGUCGGCGAGAUCCAUCUUUGCCGGAUCUUGCCGGCGUGAUCCACGCCCAGAUCUGGCUCAAAGGCGGAUCCGAGGCUGGAUCCGGCAAAGCUGGAGCUCGCCGGCGCGGAUCCGGCCAAGGCGGCAGGAUCCGUCUUUGCCGGAUCACGCCAGCGCGGAUCUAGGGUCGGGCGCGGAUUAGGGAGAGAAAUCAAGAGAGGGAGAGAGAUAAUCUGUAUGAAAAAAAAAAACACUCUCCUUGAAAAAAAAAAAAAGAGAGUACCUUGGAGGUUCGCCGGAGAAAAACUCGCCGGAGAAGAAACUUGCCGGUGGAAAACGCGUCGCCGGAGAGGAAAAAAGGAGAGAGAUGAAGAAGAGAGGGAAGGAGAGGGGAGUGAUUAGAUGAAGAAGAGAGGAGAGGAGAGUGUUUUUUUUUUUUUGGGAGUAGGAGUGGGAGUUGGCUGUGAGAGUAAUAGGAGAGUAAUAAGAGAUAUAUUAUUAAUUAUAAAAGGAUAUGAUAGAAUUGUAAUGUUUGUUUAAGGGUAAUUUCGGUAUUUUAGUAAAAAAAUUUAAGUUGUGAAACAGCUUGUGCGGGAAUCUGUUUUGGAAAAGCAGGUUUUUUCAGCUUCUGCUUUUGGAGGUUGAAGAAUCAGUUUUCAGCUUUUAGGAAGCAGAAUCAGAUUUCUAAAUACCUUUACCAAACACUCUAGCUUGGCCUAAAAGUGAUUUUCAGCUGAAAAUCACUUUGCAAAAGCUUAGCCAAACAGGGCCAUAAACCUACUUAGUAUAAGCAAUUUCCAUCAGAAUGAAUUGGUGUGAAUCAAAUUUUGGACCGCGUUCCUUUGGCCCUAACUUCAGCUACCACACAUAUAAUAUAGACUUUUUUAUCAUGAGUCUAUGCAUUAAUGACUAUGCACAAUAUCUUAAUUUUUCAUAAGAAUUUUUAUGAACAACCCACAUCUCAUAGCCGCAGCUAAAUACAAAUACACUUACAUAGGUGGUCUCCUCCAAGGAUAUGUGUAUGUAGAGUCACAUCUCUAGAAAAUUACCGCCUUAGAUUCCAUUAGAUAUAAGCUCAACCUCAAUCACUAUACAGAGUACUACUCACCGUAGGGAUGAUAGUAGAGCUAAAGCUCUUAUAUGUAGACGGUAGAAAGUGCUCUUUGGCCAAUCUGACAGCUUCUUUUUACCACAUUGAACCUUUAUAAGCAAAAUCUCAUCCCCCUCGAUGACUCCAGAUCUUUAAUCCUAUUUAGGCCUUUCAACAAGGAAUAUGCAAGAUUCUGCUCAAAUUUGGUAACAUUCAAAGAAAUAUCAUCAUGAGUAAAUAACCAUAUAACAGACUUUUGUCUUAACUUAAUAUGUUUGCUAGACUUAGAUUUAUCAAUUUCUUUUUACAAAAAUCUAUUAUAGCUUGAGUGUCACGCCCCGCCGUCCUUUCCCCAAUUUGGUGGAAGAAAUCUCGCACGGGCGCAUAUGCCAAACCCGCCGAACGGACAGAGUUGUCCUUGUUUGCUCGCCCAAGGCGUCGCAAUCAAUACAAAUUCAAGAUGUUCCAAACAGGAACCGAAUUCAUACACGGAUUGUAUAAGGAAAACAUCAUAAACAUAAACCAAUAUGCUAUUAUAAGCAUUCACAUUUCAUUCACUUAUUACGUUUUUGGUUCAUUCUUUUCAAAUACAAUCAAGUUGUUAUUAUAAUUUUCUUUCAUUCUUUUCAUUUCAAUUUCCCUAAGCUAUCUAGUAGAGGAUAUUUCUAUCCUGGUCACCAUGGUAGGGCGCUAUCUACUGAGCUGCGCUCUUUCCAUGCGCCGCCGCGCCGCUCAUGUGUGGAUUUGAAAAUUAUAGGGGUGAGAACUAUAAAUAUAGUUCCCAGUGGGUACGGCCACCCAAGGGAAGAGCUCGAUCCACCAGGUCCAAAGGAGGCAACAUAAGUAGGUUAGUCCAACAUAUAAAUAUAUGACUCAACUAUGUGCAAGUAAUUAAACAUCCAUACUUAUGCCUCAACUAAAUGCGAUAAUAAAAAUCAUGCAAGUAGAUCUACCUUUCUACUUUCUAUUUCACUAUCCACCUCAUUCCCAAUCCGCUCUAAGGUUCUUUUAUCUUAGCCAAGCUAUACCACCCGACUCAGUUUUGAGUCAAUCAUUAGCAAACUACCGCUCAUAUCCAGGCCUGAGGAGAAGGACGUCUCACAUAUACCUCAGCCUUAAAUCCACUCGACUAUAGGUUAUCCGUAGAAUGAGGGAAUACCAACAUACCCUUGACCCAACUCAUUUAUCCGGCGAGGAGAACCACAAACCCGCAAUCAUAUAUCACUGUCGGGCGAGGAGAACCACAUACCCACAGUCAUAUAUGAUUCACUGCCAGGCGAGGAGAACCACAUACCCGUAAUCAUAUAUGAUUCACUGCCAGGCGAGGAGAACAACAUACCCGCAGUCAUUAAACGCUGCCGGGCGAGGAGAACCACAUACCUGCAGUCAUGCAUCACUUGCCGAGUAAGGAUAACCACAUAGCCGCAAGUACCAGUCCUAGGGAUUAUGGAAUCCAUUUCCCAAGUCUCAAGGUUCAAAUUCACCCUAUAUUAUAUAUCAACCUUUCUAGGUUUAUAUUCUCAUGUCCAAGUGGUCAUCCUACUACUAUAUUCCAUAACCUAUGUUCAACAACACUAGGUCCUAAGUCUUUCCCACCUAGGUUCACUCGACUCUAGGUUUAAUGGCAUUCCAAUACAAGUGUUCUUCCUACCACUACAUUUCCCAAUCUAUGUUCAAUGACACUAUGUCACGCCCCGAGCCCGAUCCUUUUUGGCCGGUUCGAGAGUGUGAAACAGACGCCGAAUGGACAGAGCCUCCCCCGUCCGCCCAAGGCUCAACAACAGGUACAGAUAGAGUAUAGAAAUUGCAUAAGCGGAAGCAUACACAAUGGCUUGCACAAGGGCAAGCAAUAGCCAAGAGUGAAAGUAAACAACUACACUUAUAGAAUCUAUUACAACUUUGCAUCAUUUCUUUUUACAUCUCAUUUCAUCCAAAAUAUAACUUUUGACAUUUAAAGUAAAUAUGCCUUACAUCAUUCAUUAAGGUAAGUUCGUCAUCGAGGUACAAAAGAUAAUAUAAUAAAGGGUAUGCAACUAAGGUAAAUGAACAACUCGGGCGGUCUCUAUCUAGGGCGCGAUGCCCUUACCGCGAUCGUCCGCCGGCACGCUGGGUCCCGGCUCUGAGGAAAAAGGGGUGUGAGAACUACAACGAAGUUCCCAGUGGGUUCGGCAACCAACCACGCCGACUAUCCCACUAGGUCUAAUCAGGCAUAAUAGAAUAAAGGAAAGUAAGUAACCAACUAGCAAAUGCACUAAUAUGCCUGAACAAUAUAAAAUGAUAUGCUCAAUAUAAUGCUCAUGAUGAAUGCAAGGUCAUAGUGUCAAUACCCAAUCUCUUGGCUAACCCAUAGGUUUCGCCCUCAACAAACUCACCAACUCAAAAUCCCAAUAUUCGGGGAGAUACUCGCUACAACCCGAUGGGACCGCCCACUGGGGAGAUACUCGCUACAAUCCAGUGAUGUCGACUCCGGAGCACAUCGCCCGAGGGGGAGCUACCACAACCUCGAGCAAGGACUAAUGUGAGUACGAUCAAUCCUACAUUCGAGGAUUCCAAGUUCAAUCCAUUUCUUAACUUUAAGGGAGACUAUGCUCAAAUGACUCUUAACACUAAGGUUGAAGGUCAUAAUAUCUCGGUCGUUCUUGUUCUUGCGUUCUUUGCUAUCACCAAUGUCAUAUACGCUAUCAAGUUCUUGUACUCAUGCCACAUUUGUUUACUAAAUGUUCUAUAUUCUUGUUCUCACGUCAAAUGCCACACUUGUUUACUAAGUGUUCUAGACUCGUCGAUGCCACUUGCUAAAUCUAUGUCAUAGUGUCACUUUGGUUUACUAACCCUUCUAGGUUCUUGUCACAAUCAUGCAUACAUAGGAUUUAUAAUUCUCACAUUCCUUUAAACAUUCAACAUGCAAUUGAAUAUACAUUAUGCAAAUAAAAGCUCACAAUUUAACCCUAUUAUGCAAAAUGCUCAAGUAUACUCAUAUGCUCAAAACAUGACACUUAGACAUAAAGAGAUUUCCGAUGUCCUUGGAAUGCACCACCCACCUCGAGGGGUAGUAGUAGCAAGGUGUGAAGUCUCGUGCGCCACACGGACGUCGAACUCGUGUCCUACAACCAAAAUAGUGCCAAUUAGGCCCUAUGUACAUGAACUAUUUCCCAACAUUCUCGAAUGCCUAAACGGAGUUGUCCAACGCGUUUAGAACACCCCCAAUUAGGUUUCUACGGGUUCAAUUUGUCCCCGAAAAUCCUAGGACAAAAGCCCCAAUUUUCAAACCCUAACAAUGUCAUUUUGGCAUAUUCCCUAGAUUGAUCUCAUUGCUAAGCAAAAGAUAGCUUAGAAUCAACCUAGAAGCUUUCUAAUACCAUUCGUAACCCAUUUGAACCAACCCUAGGGCAUCUACUUUGAGCCCUAGUGAUCCACCAUGAGAGGGCUUUAUGAAAACCAUGGAUUUCAUGGUUCCAUAGCUCCUCAAGGUUUCUAAAUCUAGAAACAAGCUCAAAACCCUAAAACUUUGGAUUAAAAUCCAAACCCUAGACUCAAAUAAGUGAUUAAACUCACCUUUGUCCAAGCCCUAGCAAGCUCCUUCUUGUUGGAGAGCUUCUUGACCCUCCAAAACUCCAAAAUCCCAAGCCUCACCACCUCCUCCUUCUCUUCUUCUUCUUCUUUUAGUUCUUUAGAGAGAAAGAGGAGAGAAAAUGAGAGAGGAGUGUGUGUGUGUGUGGCUGCUGAGGGAGAGGGGUGUUUGGGGUGUUAUAGUGUUGUAACAAUUGCAACUAAACCCUCCCUUUCUUUUUAUUUGCGCCAGACCUUACUGUGCUGUCGGGGGCCUCUUGUACCGGUACACGGGGUCUUGUACCGGUACAAGGCCAAUUAGCAGGCCAAACCCGAGAGCUCGGUUCUCGGUUUCAUCGGGCUUGUACCGGUACAAGGUCCCUUGUACCGGUACAGCGCCUGAAGCCCAGCCAAACCCGAGAGCUCGGUUUCUCGGUUUCGUCGGGCUUGUACCGGUACAAGGUCCCUUGUACCGGUACAGCGCCUGAAGCCCAGCCAACCCGAGAGCUCAGUUUCUCGGUUUCGUCGGGCUUGUACCGGUACAAGGAGACCUUGUACCGGUACAGCAAUCAGAGCACUGUUCCGUGAUGGUUGUACCGGUACAGCCAUCACCUUGUACCGGUACAACAGCUCCAGAAUGCUGUUUUUCGCUUUUCCUCGGCUCUAUUUCGCGUCGGUCGAUGCUAAAAGCAUUAUAAGUCUUUCCAAACUCAUUUGUCCCCCUUCCAACUCGUUGGAAUGCAAGAGGAACUGGUUCAUCGCUUUCCUUCGAUGCUUUAACCAAUUUGGUCAAAGUUCGAAUAUCGUUUCCAGGUUUUGAUACGUUACAAAAGGUGUUUCUUUUGGUGGAGCUUUGGGCUCAUCUACUUGUGCAGAGUUGGUGAAGCCACACGANAAUAAUUCCUUAUCAAACAAACAGAAUAAAAUUUCUAUAUUUAAAUUAAGAAAAUAAAAAUGACCACAUCCUUUUUCAAAUCAACAGCAUGCAAAGUGUUGAAAAAAUAAUAGAGUGAAGACAAGAAAAGAAAAAUUAAACAAUGGUCUACAAGGUUAGCUAUUGUGAUAACCUUGUAGACGACAUACUUACCAUACAUGCACUAAAUAUAUAAAAAAAAAAAAAAAAGGUAUGAAGAAAUCUAGAAAAUAUGCCAAGCAGCAAAACAAUUCUUUAUUCGCAUAUAAUCAAAUCAAAUGUAGAUAAAUUGACCGACAUUCAUCAAAAUCAACUGAUAUUGAAAAGUUUGGCGAAAACAGAAUACUGACUGCGUCAUUUUCCAAACGAGGACAGCACCAAAAGCACUUUCAGUCAAAUCUUUAUAAGCAGUGCACAAAAUACUUCUACAAUUCUCUGGAGCAGUUAACUAUAACGAUAAGCAAUUGCUAGACAAAAAUUUGGCAAUGAAUAGUAAAAAAGGACACAAAUAGGCAUUCACAAUUUGGCAAUGAAUUGUGAAUGCUCUUUUUUUUUUUCCCCUGCAAUUGAUCUAGUGUGCAUCUAACCAAAUUUUUUUUUCUUUUUUCAUAAAAAUAUGAAGAAAUAACAUAGCCCCAUCAUCAAUUAAAAUUAUUACUAAUUAUGAACAAAAAUAUAUAUAAAAUCUACAAUAAUUAUUUGCAUCCAAAAUUAAUUUAGUACAAUAGGAGUCCUAAUUAAAGACACAAAAAACACCAAUCAGAUCACACAUUUUAGACAAGAUAUAUCACAAACUUCUUUCUCAAUAAAAAAAAUAUGCUUACCCUAAAAUAAAAAAAAAUAUGCUAAAAUAAACACAUAGUAAACUAACCUCCAAUGUGGACUGCAAUUAUAGAAUGAUAUCUUAGUCCAUAGCAAGUAGCCAAAGGUUGUAUUUUUCAGUUGAAGAUUGCAAAAAUCCUCCAAUAUGCAUGCUUCGUACUUAAAAAGAUUUAGCCCUAAUUCUUGAGUGCCUUUGCUCUUCCCUUCAAAAGAGUAGAAAAAUUUGUAAGGUAAGGAAGAGCACCCUAGAGAUACAAAGAAAAAAAAAUAUUUUCACAAAAUAAAUAAAUAAAUAAAAGGAAGAGAGUAACUUGGAGAAGAAGGGGGUGGAAGCAGAGUUAGGGCAACUACAAUCCAAAGCGAAAGCAGAGUCGGCGGCGACUGGAGCAGCGAGGGAGAGUCGGCAGCAACGGCGACAGUGACGACGACGGCAACGGCGACGGCAAUGGCGACGGCCGCAGUGAGGGCGACGGCCGCGAUGAGGGCGAAUGGCGACGGCCGCGGUGAGGGCUAACGGCGACGACCUUUCCCUCUGUUUUUGCUAAUAAUAGAGGGAGAGGGAUAGAGCUAGAGAGAGGAGGAGAAUCUGGUGGUUUUGGGGGAAAAAAAAAGUGGGUUUUGUGGUUUCGGGGAAAAAAUAAGUGGGUUUUGUGGUUUCGGGGGAAAAAGAAGUGGGUUUUGGAAGAUUUUUUUUGCUCUGGACCCCAAGGCGCGAACGGGAAAAAGUUCCCGCACAGGAACUUGGCGACACGAGGCGUUACAGUCGCAAUAUUAACGACAGAUGGUUAAAAGUGCCGACCCGCUACGCAUGCAUCGGCAAAAAAGCGUAGCUACAAGCUACUUUUUCUGUAGUGGUGGAACCUCAAAAUCGUUGUCAAGUGAAUCUUAUAAUAUCCUCACAUCAGAAGCCGAUCCUUCUCAGCCCUACAUAUACAAAAUGAAGAUCAAAAUCAUAAGCAACCAUAACAUUUUAUAACAAAGUUUGUUUUCUAUUACGAUAUAGUUCUUACAAACUUGUCGAGAUUUUUAUACGAAUAUAUAUACCAUCUAUAACACCAAUAUGGUUCUGAAAUUUGUAAAGAAAAAGCUAUUAACUUUAGUAUACUCAUUCUUGUUGUUACAUUUUAUUAUUAAUAUGAAUUUUAUUAACCUUGUAUAACCUAUACUUGCAUUUAUAGUUGUGCAUGUGAAUUUACCACUUCAUUUAGUUUGCAUUCAUUGUGAACUUAUAUGUGAACCUACUUCAAUAAGGUGAAUAUAAUUAAGUUCAUUUACGUAUGUAAACUCCUAUAGCACUAACUAUGUAACCUAUGGGUUUAAUACUUUCGUAACCUAUACUUUUUAGAGCCUAUAUAUAGAGAGCUCUUUUUCUCUAUUCAAACACAACUCAAAAAACUAUAAAGCUAUUUCUAUUAUACUUGAGAGAGAGAAGGUCAAAGAAAGGUGUUUCUUUUGGUGGAGCUUUGGGCUCAUCUACUUGUGCAGAGUUGGUGAAGCCACACGAUGAGGGUCGAGCCGUUGUAUCCUGGAGGGGACAAGUCAGUGCUCUGCUGCAUCGGUUCAAAGGCUUUGCCAACCGCAGAGGGCUUGAAUCUCCUUAAAGAGAGCGAGAUAUCCGUGCCUCGGCUUGAUCGACUCGUUGAUAUUUUUUAAAUUAUUUUGUAGCUAACCUCUAUUUUUUGAAUAUUUACACCAACAAUUCUCAAUAUUGAAUUAAAUAUAAAAAAUUUUAAAAAAUCAAGAGUAUCUCAAAAUAAGAAAAAAAAUUGAAUUAUUUUUUAUUUUUGACCGGGUGAUAGAGCAUGGCAAACAAAUAAAAUCUCUACUGAGUUAUGCAACUGCAUACAACACUUGACGAAAAUGUCGACUAGUAGUUUCGCCACUAUGUUGAAACCGUUCUUGUAAAGUUCGGUUACUUACAUUUUUUGUUAAGGUGUUUAAAAACAAAGCUAUCUGCUUUUCAACGGUGACGUAUCUUGUGUCACGUAGAAAACCUUUAUCUUUCAAACAUUUUAUUAAUGAAUGAAAAAUGUGAGUUUCUAUUCAAAACUCUCUCUUACAUCUAAGUUCAUGACCCUGGAAAACUUUAUUGACAUAACAUGCUCUUGUUUGAUUUGAGGUGUGAAUAUGUGUUCUCGCUUGGUUAUUUAUUAUAGAAAAAAAGGUAUGUCACGAAUUAUCCUUUAUCUUUUUUAUCUUCGUCCAAUAAUCAUAGUCUUCUUACUCUCUUCUCAAAUAAUUUUUAUGUCAUCAUAAUGGCUAAUUUGAUCGCUUUUGAGUGUAUAUAUGAGAUUCAAAUUGCUCUCAUGGAUAAUUUUGGAAAAGUUAGCAGUUAGUUUUAUUUUUCAAAAAAGUAGCCAAUUUUCAAUCCCGCGAAAAUUAAGUAUUUAUCCAAAUAUAAAAAAAUAAAGUAAAAUAUUUUAGGGUAUUCAAAAUUUCAUACCAAUCUAAUACAACAUAAUAUAAAACUCCUUUUUAAAUUCACGUAAUUGCCAAACGGCCCCUAAUAGGAAAAAGACAAGGCGGCGGAAAUAGAGGAGAAUGUGCUGGUCCGAUAUAUCCGGAUGAUACUGAUACCAGCGCUGUUCUCCGCCAACCAACCAUCACUCCCGCAGCCGCAAGCCGAAACGCCAUCAUCAUCAGCAAGAAGAAGAGGGAGAGCAAAACCUUCUCCUUUUUUUAUGAUCAAGAGAUGGCGGUGCUCCGGAUAGGGAUGGCGGCCGUUGUUUCCGCCACGCCGCCCUCCGCCGCCCGCUCCCACCGCCGUUUCCUUCUCCAUCGCCGCCGUUCCUCCGCCUGCGCCGCCGCCGCCGCCUUCCCCUUCUUCCCACGUCUUCCCUCCUCCGCCGGCCGCCGCCCCGCGCCUCCCGUCUUGGCUUCCGCUCCCGCCGUCUCCGCCGAGGCCCCUGCUCCUACCUCUGCCGCCGCAGGUUCCAUUCCUCUGCUUCUUCUCCUACUUCUUCGUCUAGCUUAUUAUUGGCCAUUUGCUCCACUCUUCUGGUGGUACUUCGUCUAUGAUGCUAGUGAUGCGGUCUCUUGGUUUGGAUUAGAAUGCUUUGUGUGCAGGUGUCCAGUAACUGAAUAUUUAGUAUCUUCUUGAUUAGCCAAAUUUGUCUAAAUUGAGUUUGAUAUUCAAAGAGUUUGGUCAUUGAUGCUAGUUCUAUUGAUUUACUCAAGGCAGUUGGGAUAUAGAAGGAAAGGAGAUGGAAGAGGGAAGCUUACUUGUCUGUGUUCUCCUUUUUUGGUCACUAACUCAAUUAUUAUCUUUUCGCUUGCGAAAUAGUUUUUGCUUUGCUACUGAAUGGCGGUGAAUGUGCAGUUGCUUGAUGUUGAUUAGAAAUGCUUUGUUCGCAAGUGACAAGUAACUGAAUAUUUUGUGUCGUCUUGCUUAGCUAAACUUGCUGAAAUUGAGUUUCAAAUUUAAAGAUUUCGGUCUUUGAUGCUGGGCUUGUUUGGUUCACCUAUCUUAGACUCUGGAUUCAGAAUAGGAUAGUGAUUUCGAUAGUUGUUGUUUGUUUUACAAAGGGCAGAUUCGGAUUCCCAUUCUACUUUGGAACUGGAAUGACUGGUUCUGAAUCCUGGAUUGAUCCAUUUUAGAGUAAACCAUUCAAAUCCCUCUCUAACAAACACCUACCCCUUCUCUCUCUUCAUCACUCUCCUCUCCCUUAACAAAAGCCUUCUUUCAAAAUCCUAGGUGUCCCAAUUGUCCUUUCCGAUUUCCAUUCCAAUAAUGAACCAAACAUUUGUGGAUGAUUCGUCAUUCCAUUUUUCAUUUCCCAUUCUCAUUUCAAUCAUGAACUAAACAUGCCCGUAGUUACUGUUUUAAGUGUUUGAGGCAUUGCACAAGGACAAAUGGAAGAAGGGAAGCUUACUUGUUUCUUCUUUUAUUUCCUCCCCCCCUCCGUGAAGAGUAGAGUUCUAGUGUGAUCUUGAAAUUAGUCACUGUAUUAUUCUUAUUUAUUCACGUGUGAGGUAGAUUUACUUUAUGCCAAGAAUUUUUGUGCCACUGACAUGGGGUGUGCCUGUGUGACGUAGGUGUGGCAUGGCACAACCGCACCUCUCGCGCCAAGGCACGGUUCUCCAUGCUAGUGGAACACAACUAGCACACUAGCACAGAUUUAGUUUUUCGUGAAAAUUAUUUUCUUGGAGCAGUUUAAUGCCUCUUAUGUCUUUAAAAAUGCUCCAAGUGUUAAUAUUUCACAAUUUUUUUUUUUUUGAGAGAUAGGUAGCACGCUACCCGCUUCGUUUAUUUCAUUUAGAAAUAAACUUAGCUGAAAAUGUGAAUUAACUAGGAUUUGAACUUGGGACCUCGGGUACCAACCACCAAGUCCUUUGCCACUUGCUCUAGAGACAGUCGGUAUUUCACAAAAUUUAUUAAGAAUAGAAUUGUAGAUUUCUUAGUAACUAAAGAAUACCAUAUUAACGUAUCGUAAAAAUACAUUAAUAUAGACGAAAUUAAAGUCAUAAAUGAAAGAAAAUUAUAGGAAGACACUACCAUCACUAGAUCAAUAUGACAAAAGAUUGGUAGCAAUCUUCAUUUUUAGUUUUUUUUUUUUUUUUAACUACAUCUUGGUCUAAUUAUGCAACAGGAUCCAUUAUUUGCUCCAAAAAUUUGUAGAUUUAUAAGAUCUACAUUUUUUUAGUCAAAAGACCAUUAGAUAACCUUUUCAUUUCAAAAAAGAAAACUGAAAAAGGGACCCAAAAAAUGCAAAAAAAAAGACGUUUUUGUAUAGCAAGACCUUAUGCCACGUGUAGGCACAACCUCAACACGAUAUGACAAUGUUGGCAUGGGGUGGCAUGGCCAGCAUGGGCAAUCCUUGCUUUGUGUAGUCACUAGUCAAUAUUGGUUAAUUCAGUUAAUGCCUUUAGUGUUACACUUUAAGCCUGCUGCAUAAGCAUUAAGGCCAUAUUUGGAUGCAUGAAUAUCUUGUUUGUUAUAUCUUCUUGAUUUACUAAAGAAAUUUGUACAUUUGGUAGGUGAGGAGUGUGAUCAAAUAUUUAGAAUUGAAUAUUAUAUUCUGCCUUCAAGUUAUGUUUUAGAAUACGAUAAAUCACCUCAUAAGUGAAAUAUGCUAUUCUACCAAAUCAUGAAUACCAAGACCUUCUAUGUAAUAAAAAAACAAACCCCUUUUGUACAGUCACACUAGAAAAUCUUCAUAGCUAAUAAGUUAUUCUUGGGUAAAUUAUUCUGAUAUCCAAACUGGGCCUAAAACUUCCAGUUGUUAGAGAAAUGUGAAUUAAAGAAAACCUCUCUUGCAAGGUUUAAAGUGCAGUGGCACGGAGGCGUGUCGCUGCCUGCCUGGCAUGGUACGGCACCGGCACGCUUCCGUGCCGACACAUGGUACGCUUGCGUGCUGAUGGAUACGCAUGACCUCCUACUGGCACGCUUUGCGUAACGACCCAGCCCACUAGCAACAAUAACUCGUUGGGCCCAACAACCGGCCCAAAAUGCUUAAGCCCAGUUAUUAUUAGUAGUGUCUAAGUCUCUUAUAAACCCAAUGACAACCCCAUUCCCAUCCGAUGUGGGACUACUGGGGUGUCACAGACUCCCCCCGUUAAGGCCCUGACGUCCUCGUCAGUCCAAUCACACACAGCCCAAGAUCACUAGGUGAUGUGAGACUCGUCUCGCUAGCCCGUCAUCCAGACCCUGGUUCAGCCGAGACUCGCUACACAUGUCCAGCUGGUGAACCGGCUCUGAUACCAAAAUGUAACGACCCAGCCCACUAGCAACAAUAACUCGUUGGGCCCAACAACCGGCUCAAAAUGCUUAAGCCCAGUUAUUAUUAGUAGUGUCUAAGUCUCUUAUAAACCCAAUGACAACCCCAUUCCCAUCCGAUGUGGGACUACUGGGGUGUCACACUUUGGCACGGACUUAUUUCAGUUUUUUUGAUUUCAAUAAACUCUUAUAAUAUUAUUUUGAAAGAUUUAAUUAAUUAAUUAUGAAUAUUUGCUAUGUAUAGCUUACUAUACUCAUCAAUUAACAUACUUGUAAGCUUUUUUGUAUGUAAAGUACAACUAUACCUGAUGCAGAAUAGAAAUUUUUACAGGUUAGAAUUUUUAAAAUGCAAAGACAUCCUUUUUUUUUUCUUUUGACCAUAUUACAGUCUUUCUUUUAUUAAAUACUAAAAAAUAAUUUUUAAAAUUAUUUUAAAAAAAUAUUUUUAAUUAAUUUUUUAAAAAAAUUGCUAGAUCUAUCAAAAAAUUAAGCGAUAAAUUAUAUGAAAAAUAAAUUAAAUAAAUUUAAAUAUCAAUUAAUUUAAUUUAACUUUUAAUUUUAUCAGUAUUUUCAAUCUUCUAACGCAAAAAUAAAAUUUUAUAUUUGAUGUGCCUUAAAAUUUAUUUAUUGAGUUCGAUUUUGUUUUCCUAAUUUGGCAAAAGUUUCGCGCUACGACAAAUUUUGAUAAAAUAAUUUGUGAAGAAAAAAGGAUGUUUGUGGGGGAAGCGGAGGGAUUGGAUAUGUAAAUUAAAAAUUUGCCCUCUAUUGAUAAACAAAAAUAAUUAAAUUAUAAUUUUUUUGACUUGCCUAACAAAUAGGUUUUCGAUUUGCAAUAUUUUUUGGGGGUUGUAGGGUACCCAGAAUGCUUCAGGUACCCUAAAAAAUAAAACAAACAAAAAAAAACAAAAAACAAAAAAAAAGCAAAAAAUUUUUUUUGCACAGUGCCGUACCACGGCACGCAUUGCCGUGCCGCUCUGUCUCAUGCGGCACAGGCCUGCAUGCCGUGGCACGGAGGGGGGGGUCCGAGACCCCUCCUGUACCGUGCCCUUUUUUUGGUGGCACGGUACGUCCGGCACCGGCACGAUGCGGCACAGUACGUGCGGCACCGGCACUGUGCGGCACAGCCGGCACUUGAAUCACCGCCGACACUUGAAUCCUUGCUCUCUUGUUUAUUCUUGACACAUUUAGUAAGCUAAAGAUACUUAUAUUGACAGUAAAUGAGUGGAAGUUUUAAUAUUGAGAGGCAAAUACCUGUGGUAGUACUGUAACUUAACUAUGUAGAGCUUAAAGUUUAAGUAUUAUCAGUUACUUAAUGCCAAUGAUUUAAGUGCCCAUCAGGAUGGGCCAUAUCUACCGUGUCGUAUCGUGACAACAAGAUAUUGGUAUGAUAUAGCCCCCGUGUCGAUGGCAUAGCUCAAAACUCUCUAUUCUUUAAAUUAAUAAGUAAUUUUCUCAAUAAAGUUGAAAAUAUUGGACAAAAAUAUAUAAUAAACAAUUAGAAUAUUUUGUUGCUCAAGAAAAUAAAUAUUUCAUGUUGUGUGUCGGCACAGAUGAAUUUUUUGUGACCAGCACACAUCGGCACGGCCCGGCACGCACCGUGCAGUACUGUACUGGCAAGUUUUCGGCACGACUUUGUGCCACGACACUUAAAUCCUUGCUUAAUUCUACCAAAUUGUUAUAUGGUUUUAUUGUGAUGUACUAGAAUGUCGCCAAUUAGUCGGAUUUUUGUUAAAAUUCAAACCACACCAUACUGUGUUGGGAAUCGGAUGGAUCGUCCGUCAUGCGUAUCAACAAAGAUGCACGAAAAAAUAGAGAAAGUCGAACAAACGGUAAAAAAAAUAAAUGCAGAAAGAAGACGCCAAGAUUUACGUGGUUCGACAAUUGCCUGCGUCCACAGGGAGAGCGAGAGAGAUGUAUUCCACUAAAUGAAGAAACAGAAGUACAAGCUUAUACCUUAUGUCUUCUCCAGAUAAAAAACCAAGAACCUUGUGGUGAAUCCUACCUUCCUCUUGUUCCAACGAAAACUCCAAGAAUAACCGGAAAAUGCUUUUCGUAAAACCGUAUUGAGAAGACUAAAUUAGAGAAGUAUAGAAAACUGUGACCAAAAUCCUUUAAGCCGUUGCUUCGAUGAAUCCGAACCGCUCAGGCAAUUGGUCGAGAACCUCCGCUCCGCUGUCGACUCCGAUCCAGACGUCGCAUGUAAGGCUGCCUCUCUCUUGCCAUCGUACGGCCACCCGGCGUCGUGAAUUAAUUAGCCCGUGUAUACUAAUUAAUUUUCCCACAUAUGCACGCACGCCGUUCACGUCCGUACAUGCAUAUAAAUAGAUGCAUUAGCCGGUCAAAGUCAACUCUUAAGUUGAAUUAGGAGUAGUUCUCAGCAGUAGAGCCUCAAUCCGAGCCCAACUCUCAUCCGACUUAAAUUGGAAUCCAUCAAUGAGAAUCCACUUUAGACCUCUCAUUAAUUUCUAUGAACUUGGUGCAUGGACCAAACCAAUAAAAAGGCAUAUCUUUAACAUUCGGAACAUAAACAUCCCUAAUUCCAGGUCUGCUGUAGUUUGCACGCUAUUUUUAGAAGUUAAAUUGUUCAUAUACCAUUCAUUGAGAUAUCUUUUGCUUUUGCAGUUCCUUAUAAAGGAGUAGAGAAUUUGGUGAUAGUAGGUUCUGGUCCAGCUGGAUACACUGCAGCAAUUUAUGCAGCACGUGCAAAUUUGAAGCCAAUUGUAUUUGAAGGGUAUCAAAUAGGUGGUGUUCCAGGAGGGCAAUUAAUGACCACUACUGACGUUGAAAAUUUUCCUGGAUUUCCAGAUGGAAUAAGUGGUCCUGAUUUAAUGGAUAGGUAUCUUAGUUAUUCUUGCAAUUUGUAAAUGCAUUUGAUAUUCUGCCACUUGCUGCUGUGGUCCUGAUUUAAUGGUUAAGUAUCUUGGUUAUUCUUGCAAUCUGUAAAUGCAUUUGAUCUUCUGCUUCUUGCUACUAACUUGGUUUAUCUUUUCAUUCUUUGUGUGUUGUUGCAUGGAUUAGAAUGCGACAACAAGCUGAGCGUUGGGGUGCUGUGCUUUUUCAAGAAGAUGUUGAAUUUGUUGAUGUGAGAAAUAGUCCAUUUACCAUCCGCAGCAGUGAACGCCAGGUUAAAUUUUUUGCAUAAUGCAAUGUUAAUUUCUUGUAAAUGUAGCGUUCAGGACAUGAGAGUUGCAGGAUUUGUAGUAUACGGUAAUUGUGUUGCUAUUGAUUCUUUUUUCCUGUCUUCAAGCAGAGGUCGUCAAAAAUAUGGGAUUAAAAGGGAUGAGAUAAAAGGAGUAGUGGUCAGCCCAUAAAACAUCUUUGUCUAUUAACUAGUUGUAGACGUCAUUUAUUAAUCUAUUAGGUUUCUUCUACCUAAUUGUUAUUUCAAUUCCAUGAAAUCUUCCUUUUCAUGUUUGAUAGUUGAAUAUUGAAGCCCCAUCAUCAUUAUACCUGAAAUUAAAAGGUAAAAGAAAAAUCUAAUAAUGACAUAGUCAGAUUGAGAUGCAAGGUGUUGGGAAUCCGGUACUCGCCCCAGUACCGGAUUUUGCGAAUCUGCAACCCGCUCCGAUACCGACUGUUGUUGAUCCGGUACCGAUUGUUGGGAUUCCGCAACGGAAGCGUCGAAUCGGGUUUUUACCAUAAACCCGUCUCUUCAGCAGAAGCUGAUACAAUCACAAAAGAGAGAAAACUCAAAACAAAAAAUAUGCGGAUAAAAUAAGAUUCAUUAAAUAAGAGAAAAUUACACUUGACUCCUCUUCUGCAACUGAGUAGCUACAAUCCAAGCCCUUUUUUCUGAAUCUUUUCUACCAUUCUCCCGUCUUCUAUAAACCCACAAAGAAGACAACCCUUCACUUUUUCUCUCUCACAUGCACCCGUGCACUAGGUGCAUGCAACUCAUGGCCAAACUUCUCUUUGGUACGAUCCACCAAUGUCUUCAAGACACCUCACUAUACAAUCACGCCCCGGGACCCGGCAUAGGCCCGCCCGAGGCGCGCCCAGACCCGCCAAAUGCCUGCACAUAUAAGGCAUCUACAACGAUAGAGAUAUGAAAGUAAGGAAAAAGUAAGACAACUAAAGAUAUCAGAGCAACCAGCAGCUAAAAUUCUAACAACAAGUAGAGGAAAAGAAAGCUAAUCUACUAAAGUAAAACGUAAGGUAAAUACAACAUCUAUCUCAAAAUACAAAAGGGGGUGGUUUCUACACAUGGUACAACUCUCAACUUCUCCAAAAUAAUAUCAAUAAGAGGUAGACCAUCUAUCGAUACGUCCCUCGCCAAAGAGCUAGCUCGAAGCGACGCCCUUUCCGUGGUCCCUAGCCUCGCCCGGUGUGGAAGGCUCUGAAAGGAAACAAGAAACAGGGGGCGUGAGAACUAUAAUUUAUAGUUCCCAGUGGGCAAUUACUGACCUCAACGCAAUGCACCACUAGGCCCCAAAAAGUAAGGGUAGAUACGGAAAGUAAUAAUACUAACAAAAUAACUGCGGGUAUGAAAGCAUGAAAUAUGUGCUAAAUCACUAUGUCAUAAGUAACAUGAUAUCAACAUUUUGUACAUUCACUCUAUCACGAUGAAGUAAGUCCAAUGCAUGACUAAUAUGUUCCAACAUAAUAAGCAAUAGGCAUUAUGAUCCGAUCUAUCAAUAUAUGAUGAACAUACUCUAUUAUGGCAACCAAGUAUACUAUGAUGCAACAAGUAAAACUAUCAAGUAUACUACAUGUCCCAAAGCUAUGCUAUAAGCAUGUCAAAGUAAUCAAACUACUAUGCCUAUCUAGUAGUGAUUGUCAUAUCCCGGUUUAAUGUCAUUUUUCUAUCAUGUUCUAGGACCUACAUAAGUGUGGUCCAGCUUGUGCCGUCUAAGUGUUGGUGGUAGCUCCAGCAUUCCCACUCUAGGAAUGAGUCUAUCCUUUCCGACCCCGUAGGUUUCUCGAUACUGCACGAGCGAGCAUAAGUCGCGUAGGCCAACUCCGUAGUGCCGGCUUGUAAAGAGCGACCCUCACAAGCAUGUGCGAAUGAGCACAAAUGGCAAACAAGCGUAGUCAAUAGCUCAAGUAUCCAAUCAUCAUGUCUCUAACAUGGUAUAAGCCAUUAGCAACCCAACGGUCUAGUUCUAUGUCUCGAGUGAAGUUCCAACAUACACUAUGUUUAGUACCUCUUUAUGACACUUAAACAUUUACAUAACCCAUGCACACUUCACAUUCUAUGCCGCUUUAUGGCACUACCUUACUAGAUUCACAAAUAACCCGAGCUCAAUGCCGCUUUAUGACAUUAGUUCCAUAGUUCGCGAAUAGUGCAAGUUCCAAGCCUCUUUAUGGCUUACUAAAAUUCCUUAUGUCUCAUUUAGGCAUAGGUUUAAAUGCAUAAUACAAGUCUCACUUUCAUCAUAGGAGAAUAAGGUUUCAAGUUCAACUAGAAUGCCCGAACACAUGCAUGAAUCCCUUUAUGCAAGCUCUCUACUACAUAGAAGUCCAAAAAUUUUAUUGUACACAACAUAGGAAUUUUAAACAUUUUAAAAUUCAUAAAUAAUGCAUCUGACAUGAAUGUGCAUGAUUUUCCAUUUUACAAUACUCAAAUCAUCAUAAAUGAGUUUUUCUUAUUAUACGGCUAGGUCAAACCCACCGAACGGUGCGCAACCCUUCGUUUGCUCCAACGAACGUAUCCACUAAGCUCCUAGCACCCUAGAAGCAUCAAAAGGUGAGCUACAAGAAGUAAACGAACAACUACUAGCUCAAACAUUAACCUACUAGGCAAAAGGGCCAAAAAUCUCACCUAUAGUGUAAAAUCCCUCUUUAUAGCUCAAAUGGAAGUCAAAUCCCUUCCAAAGCAACCUAAACCAAGGUUCUAAUCCCAUUAGAUUAGUUCCAAAAGCCUCUAAUCAAAAAGCCCCAAAUAAACCCUAGUUUUCCAAUUCCUAGGGUUUCAUCUAGUUUCAAGCAUCAAAACUAGAAUCUAGAGGAAAGAAAGUUGCUACUUACCUUUUAGAAGCUUCGAUCCAAGCUCAAGGUUCACCAAGUGUGGAAAUCUCCCUCUUCUCAAGCUCCAAACCCAAGGUCCAAGUUUCUCCAAGGUGGAAAAUACACCAAAAAGCACAAAGAAGGAAUUAAUCCUCUAAAAACCAAGCAAAAUGGAGAUCAAAUCCAAAGAGGGGAAAAAGAGAGGCUCCCCUACCUUAUCUCCUCAAUCCUCAGCUCAGGGAAAGCCCUAAGGGGCGUAGGUGCUGAUAUAGAGAGGCUACAAUCACAAAAACACCCCUGCAGUUCGGCCAGUUCAGAAACUGCCAAAGUGUACCGGUACACGGGCCCGUGUACGGGUACAAGCCCCACGAAAUUGCAACCUGAGGCUCGGGUUGGCGGGGUAAUCGGCCGUGUACCGGUACACGACCCUGUACCGGUACAACCAUCAACCCUGUACCGGUACAGCCACCAACCCUGUACCGGUACACAUCCUGCUGAAGGCUACCUGAGAGCUGACCAAAAAUCCGACUUUUUGGCUUUUGGCGCUAGGCUUUAAACCUCAAUUCUCGGGAGUCGAACCAUAAGUCGGAACACUGUCUACGACCCUCCACAGAGUGUGGAAAAAGCUCGGAACACAAAUCAAACACUCGAACCUCGCGAUUUGCAAAGGUCCAGUGUGUUACAUAUACCCUCCUCAAGAAUCUCAACUUGGCCGGACUACUUCUUAAGCUCUCCACCAAUGGAGCUAUUUAUAAAGCUUACAUCAAAACGUACCCGAAUCCUAAUAUAUUUAGGAUUACGUACCCCAAUCCUAAUAUAUUUAGGAUUCCUACUCCAAUAAAUAUUUAAAUCGUAAUUGAUUUAUCUCUAAUAGAUUUAAAUAUUUAUCCUAAUCUAGUUAGAUUCGUAUGUAAUUAAUAUUUAAAUCUUAAUUUAUCUCCAAUAGAUUUAAAUAUUAAUCCUAAUCCAACUAGAAAAUUAACUACAAAUCUAACCAAAUCCUAACACAAGGUCUACUGUAAAACCAUGUAUCACUUGUUAUGUAAAUCUUGUACGCAGAACUCUUAUAAUUGAGAUGAAUAUAUAAAUCAAGCAGAGAUCAUGUAGAUCUUCUUGCUUUGCAUGCUUAGACCUGCAAAAAUAUCAUAGUUAAUUAAAUUCACUGAUUAAAGAGUUUACCUUCGAAAAUUAAGUCUCAGUGCAUAAAACUUUACCAACUAGUAAGAAAUUAGUCAAUACGAGAGAAGUGAUUUGCAAUUUCAAAGCAGCAUGAAUGGGACGUAAAAAUUGUUAGACGAACCGAGGGACGGAAAUAGAGAGGAGAUGGAGCACUCUCUUCUAAACUUCCAAAUUAUUUGUCCUCAGUCCAAAAGAUUCAGAAUUGCCUACUUCCCCUUUUCAAUGUUGAACCAGCUUAAUAGUCAUAUCUUUUUUGACUAUUAAGUGCACAGUGAGCCAAUUGCAACAAAAGAGAAAGUGAUUUGGUGAUUUCAUAGUUCCUAGCUGAACCUGACAAAAAAAAAAUUGAAUUGCCAGAAUUGCUCAAUGUUGUUUCAGUUUAAACAGCGAAAACUGUUUCGUGAUUGAUUGGCCUUACUGGUACUUUCUUAAGCUGUGCAACAUGAUUUUACUAUCUGUAGAUUACUGAUUUGUUAAUGAGGAAAGCAAAGCGGAAUGGUGGGAAGAGGAAAGUAGUUAUGAAGCGGAAUGGUGGGAAGAGGAAAGUAGUUAUGAAGGCUGGUGUAGUGAAGAUUGAGACUACUAGUUUGCUGAAAGCAAGAAGAUAGGAGUUUAUGUUAGAAAAAGAACUAGAGGCAGCUUCGUCAUCAAAUGUAGUAUUGUUUUUGAAUUUUAGUGCCCCUUGUAGAAUCCAAGGCAGGAAGAAUCUUCCUGUGCUGUAAUUUGUGUUUGUUUUGGUAAUAUUUUCUGUUUUUCCUUGCUACUAUCUUUUGGAAUGUAUGCAUAAUGGACUUGUGCAGAAACCAACCUGUUGGAACAGGAUCAUCUUGUACGUCAAUCUUAUGCAAGAAGCACAUUAUUCAGGCAAUAUUUGAGAGAAUAAUUAACAAACUGUAGAUGGAACAAGCUAGAUAAAUAAUGGGAUGUGUGUGGGUCGAUGAACGGCAUAGAAAAUGAUAGUAAUAGCCCAAAUAUCCCCACAUUGAAAGAUGACGGGAAACUAUUUCUGUACUGAAGGAUUAAGAUACUAAUUUAUAUGCAUUUUGGGCCAUGUGAUUAUGGGUGUGCUAAAACUAAUAGGCUUGUUGGGUUGUUAGGAUGAUAAAGGCCUGUAGGCCCAAGGAAGAAAAUUAAUUUUGUAUAUCUUAAAAGCCAUUGAUUACAUGUCCUACAUAUGAUACUGACAUACACUUUUUGACUCGUAUUACGCUGGGACCCUCCCAAUCUUGUAAAAUAGGAAGCAAAUAAAUCAAUUAUGACAAUAUUGGAUACAAUACUAUUCAACUUGGAUUUGGAUAUUCUUAUGCCAAGCUUGGAACUUGAAACAUGAAUUCAGGUUUUCUUUAUUUGCAUAUUGUAGGUAAAAUGCCAUAGUCUUAUCAUAGCAACAGGGGCAACUGCUAAAAGGCUUAGGUUACCUCGUGAGGAUGAAUUUUGGAGUAGAGGUAUAAGUGCUUGUGCAAUAUGUGAUGGAGCGUCACCGCUAUUUAAGGGACAAGUUCUUGCUGUUGUUGGGGGAGGUGACACAGCCACCGAGGAAGCUUUGUAUCUGACCAAAUAUGCUCGCCAUGUACAUUUACUUGUUCGUAGAAAUCAUCUGCGGGCAUCUAAAGCUAUGCAAGAUCGGUACAUAAACUUACCUUUUUAUAUGGUUCUUGCAAUUUCAAUGCAAAGUGCUUCUUUUUCCUUCUCAAAUGAACUUCAUUAGCUUCAUCUCUAGAAUUUUGUCAAUACUCUGUAGGUGAUGUUUAGUAGACUUGUUUGUCUUGUUUCUUGUUUGUUUUUUCUAAUAGAAUCAGGUCACUUGUAGUGAUUUCUAGUAAGACUGAUGCGUAAUUCAACAUUUGAGAAAAGCUAGAUGGUUUCUUGUGAAGGUAAAAAUUUCACAAUCUCAUGUAGUCUAAAUAGCUAAUAAAAGGUUAUUUCAUGUAUAUUCUUUCUUUUCCUCCGGUGUUAAUUGAUAUGUUGUUUUUAAUAUAAGCAAUACACCUAAGUAGAAAUUUGAUAAAACGGCUCUCCAUAUGGUGGAUUCAGAUUGGUUCGUCACAUCAACACAACUGUUUUUGCACUAUGCAGAACAAUUGGUCCAUGUAUAUUAGAUGACUUGCUAAUCUCACGUAAAUAAACUCAUAUGAGUUAGUAGUCCUAAGUUUGCUAUAUUUACAUGAGUGAGAAUCACCAUACAUGGAAUAUUUAGUGUAUCACCUUUUUUCCAUGCAGACAAAAGUGCUGAAGCAAGGACUUUCCAUCCAAGAUCUUGAGGGGAAUUAAUAAGUUGUUAUUAUUAUAUUUAGAGCUUUCCAUAGAUGUUCUGAUCUGUCCCAUUGUAUCUCCUUUCCCUCCUGUCCGCACUUCAUUAACUUUUUAUUGAUCUCGAUAGAAUUCUGCAGAUAUGAGAUAAAAGGGAAAAAAACUACUUGAUUGGAGCGACUUUACAACUUAUCUUCUUGACAGCUUGUUAAUUAUCACGUAAAUCUAUUAGUAACUACACAAUGAUUGCUUUCUGCUUUCGAUGAAACAGUGUAUUUGACAUUCAUUUCCUAUAUGACUAUUUGGUUCGAGAUAACCUUGAUUAGUUAAAGGGCUUAUUUAGCUUUGCUGUAGCUUCUGCAUUUUGGGGCCUAAGUUACUUUUGAGAUCCCACUGCAACCAAAAAGCUCCAUAACUUUUGUUUCUCAAACACUUGGUUUCUACCUCAUCCUGUAGAAAGCAGUUCCAGAAUAAACUGUUUGAUGGCCCUUUGUGCAAGUUGAUCAGCCAAAGCCUUACCUAAAAGUCAUUGCAAAGUAGUCCCUAGUAGUGGUCGGGAGAUUGAUUCAAUCAGCUAAGAGUUCAAUUUGUUAGUCAUUGUUAGGUUUGGUUUUGGCUGAGUUGAGAACUCUCUUCCAUCUUUCGAAAAGAUCUGGGCAAAACAAAAUGGUUAUGAGGAGAUGCUAGUUAUCUCCAUUUUCGAAAGUAGUAAGCUGUUAUUCUAUACUACUUUUACCAAGCAUAUACAAUCUUUAUUUUUGCUUUCUGUUGAAGAGAUCAAUAUAUGAUAGCAGAAAUUUUGUGAAUAAUCUGUAUGCACCUAGUCUUUUCGGUUGUAAUUAUUUUUAAAAAUUUAUCUUCACUUCUAUUUCGUAGCCUUCCUAUCCUAUUCCUUUUAAUUUAGGCCAGAAAUGUGAUUGGAUUGUGAGACUUACUAGUUUGAAGGCAUUUAGAGCUAUAUGUUUUAUUUGUAGUGUAGAAAAGUUCCUAAACUGCAAUAUUUUCUUGUAUUUUUGCUAUCUACUCGUCCUUUACCACUGCAAGUUUCUCUCUCAUCUGCAGUGAUUACUUGACCAUUCUUGCUAUUGCAGUUGAUUUGCCGAAGGAUAGUUGGCACGAAUUCUAAGAGCCUUUAAAGAACAAUAUAUAAGUUAGAGCUGUUGUAGCUUGCAAUAUAAUUUGUUGCUUAUUUAGCCAACAAGCCUAAUGAUUCAAGAAAACUGAUGUAGACAUUAAGAAUAGUUCAAGCCAAAGAGCCAUAGUUGAUAGACUUGCUUUUAUUUUUUAUUUUGUGGUUAAAAUUGAUUGAAUUAUUAGAUUUUUUUUUUAAUUUAGUAGUUUUAUUUCUGAGGUUUAGAUAAUAAAAGAUUCUUCACUGCGAUGCAUGCUGAUAAGUGGUUGGCCCAGUGAAAAUGGCACAUAUUGCUAAGGGUGUCAACGAGUCGAACACGAGCUAGCUGGGGCUAGCUCGUAUUCAACUCGUUUAAUAAACGAGACGAACAUGAGCUGGCUCGUUAAAGUAUCGAGCCAAAAAAUUCAGCUCGUGUUCGGCUCGUUAACAAACAAGGCGAACACGAGCUGGCCAACGCACAACAAGUUAAAAGGAUUAUAUUGGAUAUAUAUAAAAAAUAAAUUUAUAAAAUCUUAUCCGUUAGACUUUGAUCUAAUGGUUGAAACUUUACAUAUAAAUGAGUCUUUUUAUAAUUGAGCUCACCUUUAUAUUUUUAUUUUGCUAAAAAUCAAAUAAUAAAAAUAUAUAUUGUAUAUAUAUAAUUAUUUAUUUAUAUAUAUAAAUAUAUAUAAAUAUAAAUUAAAUAAAUUAUAUAAAUAUAAAAUAUAUGUAUUCGAGCUGUUAUCGAGCCGAACAUCAACUCACCUGUAUUCCACUCGUUUAUUAAAUAAGUUAAAAAAUUUAACUCAUGUUUGGUUCGUUUACUGAAUGAACGAUUCCAUCUCGAACUAAUUUCGAGUGAAACACGAACUAAUUUCAAGUCGAACAUGAACUGGUUUGCGAACAAAGAGCUGGAUUGCCACCAAAUUGUAUAUGGGUUGUUGGGAAUUUUAUUUAGUUACGAUGAUUAUAUUNGCUCGCGAACAGCGAGCUGGAUUGCCACCUCUACAUAUUGCACUGGCUGGUUGGCCAACUAGGCUUGCCUUAGGCAAUUACAAGAUGCAUUUCCAUAGUUUGGAUUUGGGUUUAAUGUUUCUUUUUAUUUGAGAUUAACAUUUGCUGAGAAGCAAGAGAAAAAGAUUUGCUUCGUUAAUAACAUUGCUAUAGGAAUAUUGUAAGAAGGGCAAAAGAGCAUACCCUCUUGGGUUGUAUUAACGAAUAUAUAUAGUACAAGAGAUUGUUUUACUAUAGUAACAAUGGCUACUAUAGUAAGAGUAUAACUAGGAUUACAUACUAUAUAAUUCUACUCUAUAGAAGGCAAUAAUACAUAGUAUCCUAAUAUAGAUAAACUAUAAAAAUAUAUUGUAACAUUCCCCCGUAAGCUAAGUAUCCGGUAGUCGGAUGCGAAGAUUGAGCUGUAAUAUUGAAAACCGAGAGGGUGACAGGGGCUUGGUGAAAAUGUCGGCAAGUUGCUUGUCAGAAAGGAUAUGAAUUAAGGCCAAAUCACCAGACUGAAUUUUUUCCCACAAGAACUGAUGGUCAAGUUCAAUGUGCUUCGUGCGAGCAUGGAGAACAGGAUUGGCCGCAAGGUAGGUGGUGCUGAGAUUAUCGCAAUAAAUACUGAUAGAGCGCCAUAAGAAAACACAAAGGUCACGAAGGAGACGAUGAAUCCAGACUGUCUCAGCAAGUGUGUAGGCUACAGCACGAUACUCCGCUUCAGAACUAGAACAAGAAAUGGUGGGUUGUUUCUUAGCGGACUAGGAGAUGAGAUUUGGCCCAAGAAAAAUGCAAUAUCCAGAAGUAAAGCGAUGUGUAUCCGGGCAAUCAGCCCAAUCAGCAUCAGCGAAGGCCACAAAAGAAGGAUUGUCGCAGUGAGAGAUAGAAAGGCCAUAAGACAGCGCCCCCGAAUAUAACGCAGAAUACGCUUGACCGCUUGUAUGUGCGGUUCACGAGGUGCAUGGAGAUACUGGGCAACAGAGUUGACGGUAUAUGAAACGUCCGGUCUGGUGAAAGUGAGAUACUGGAGAGCACCAACUAUCUGACGAUAAGUGUAUAGAUCCUCAAGAAGACGCCUCUCAUGGGAAGAGAGACGAGACGUUGGCGAAAGAGGAGUAGAAACAGGCUUACUGUCAAGAAAACAAUGUCGCUGAAGCAGUUGAUGAGCAUAUUUUUGUUGAGAUAGAUGAAGACCAGAGAGGGAGCGAUGAACCUCAAUACCCAAAAGUUAAUGCAGCGGUCCGAGAUCCUUCAUGGCAAAUUCGCGUUGUAAUUUGUAAAGUGACGAUAAGAGCAUCGAAAAGAGAUGAGGAACUGCCGGUGACAAUAAUAUCAUCAACAUACAAGAAGAGAACAAGAGUGCCAGAGGAGGAAUGACAAACAAAUAUCGAGGGAUCAACAGUGCUACCAACAAAACCAAUCUCAGAAAGAAAGGAAGUAAAGCGUUGAAACCAAGCCCGAGGAGCUUGUUUGAGACCAUAUAUCGCUUUGCGUAGACGGCAAACGUGACUAGGAAGCGAAGGAUGCACGAAGCCAGGUGGUUUCAUAUAAAACUCCUCAGAGAGAGUACCAUGAAGAAAGGCAUUCUUCAUAUCAAGUUGUCGGAGAGACCAUCCAGAGGAGAGAGCGACCGAAAGAACAGUACGAAUAGUGGUCGACUUGACAACCGGAGAAAAAGUCUCAUCAAAAUCAAUGCCUUGUUGUUGUUUGUAACCCCGAGCCACUAGUCGAGCUUUCAGACGCUCAAGAGAGCCAUCCGCCUUCUGUUUGACUUUGUAGACCCAUUUACAGCCAAUAAGAUUGACGGAAGGAGGAGCAAGAACAAACUCCCAAGUAUCAUUGGUGAGUAAUGCAUCAAAUUCUUCAGCCAUGGCAGCACGCCAACCUGCAUCCUGAAAAGCUUCAUGAAAAGUGGUAGGCUCAGUAGGAAGAGUAGUAUGUGUAGAAGCUAGAAAGAAGGUAGACCCGGCAAAAUUCUUAGUCAUAGAUCGAGUAAACAUAGAGUGUGUUCGGAGUGGUAAAGAAGGCUCAGUAGGCUGAGGUGAAGGUGGCCGGUCAGAUGUGGAAGGCGUCAACUCAACAGGAGAAGGUAAAGCUGUAGGAGCAGUAGGUCGGAGGGUGUGUUGUCUGGUAUAGACUCGGAGUUCAGGUGGACCAGUAACAGUGGCAGCAUGUUCGUCACUAACCUGUGUGGCAUCAUGAUUCAAGGUAGAAGAAAAAGUUGAUACAGUCUCAGACGGUGAAAUAGGUGCAUUUGAACCAAUGUAGAAGGGCGUGUGAAGAAAAAACCAGAGAUGGCAUCAAUAGUGGAAGGACUUUCGCCCAGUAAGGGAGGAUUAGAAAGAAAACGUUGAAACGUUUGAAAGUUUAAGGUAGCGGAGGAAGGUGAAGAAGAAAACUUAGAAAGACAAGAAUACGGAAAAACAGAUUCAACAAAAGUAACAUGGCGAAAAAUAAAAACUUUACCAGUGCUUGGAUAGAGGCAGCGAAAACCUUUAUGUUUGUCAGACUGACCCAAAAAAACGCAAGGAAGUGAUCGGGGAGAGAGCUUAUGAUCUGCAAUGUCCUGAAUAUCGGGAUAACACAAACAUCCAAAGACUCUGAUAAGUUGAAAGUCAGGAGAAGCACAACUAUGAAGAAUGUCGUAUGGUGAUCGCCCAUUUAAAACAGUAAGAGAUGGGAGUCGAUUUACAAAAAAAAACAGCAGUUUGAAUGGCAUCAGCCCAAAAACAAAGAGGCAAGCCAGCUUGAAACAGUAGACUUCUAACAAUGUUAGAUAAAUGCCUGUGUUUUCUCUCUGCAAGGCCAUUUUGCUGAGGAGUGUAAGGACAAGAAAAACGGUGAAUAAUUCCAUUUUGUGAACAAAAAGUAGAAAACUUGUCAUUUACAAACUCCGUACCAUUGUCAGAUUUAUUAUUGAGCUGUGAAAUAUGUUUUCAACCAUCAUCUUGAACUCGAGAAAUUUGUCAAAAACCUCAUGCUUAAAUUUUAAAAGAUAAAGCCAAGAAAAUCUAGAAUAAUCAUCGAUAAAAAUAACAUAAUAUUUGUAUCCAGAAAUCGAGGGCACAGGUGAUUGCCAUACAUUAGAAUGAACAAUAUGAAAAGGAAAAGCAGACUGAGAUUCUGAAUCAUGAAAGGAGAGUUUAACAUGUUUUCUCAUAUGACAAGCAUUGCAGACAGAUAAUUUCAACGCAAAAUCAGAAAUGAUUUUAUAGUUUUUAAUAAAUGUAGAAAGAACAGGAAGACUAGGAUGGCCUAACCGCCUAUGCCAGACAUCUCCACUAAACCUAGAUGCAACAAGAGCUAGCUGUUGCUUAUUCACUACACUUGCAAGCUUAGAAGAAAUUGGAUAAAGUGAUGUUCCCGAGCUAGGACAUCAAAAAAGCUCCUUUCCUGUUUCCUUGUGCUUCACAGAAAAACCAUUGGAGUCAAAUUCAAAAAGAGAAUUAUUAUCAUGACAAAACUUAUGCACUGAAAGUAAAUUUCGCUUAAUAGCAGGAACAACAAUAACAUUUUUAAGAGCAAAGGAGUUAGAAGAUGUAUUCAAUUGAGUUUCACCUGUCUGAGUAAUAUCAAGUAAAUUUCCAUUACCAACAAGAAUCUUUUCAUGCCUACUAUAAGGUUUAGAAGAUGAGAGAAUACUAGAGUUUGCGUCAUAUGAUUUGAUGCUCCGGUAUCUGGAUACCAGAUCUACUCACCGGGUUCGUGAAGGUUUAUAGCAGCAAAGGUCUGAGGAACAUCAUCGAUAAUGAAAGAAUGAUUAAAGCGUUGUCUGCACUGAAGAGCAGAAUGAUUGAACUUUCCACAAAUUUGACAUUGUAUACCAAACUUCGUAGUGUAAGAUUGUUGAGGAUAAUUGGGUUGAGACUGUGGAUAGGUUCCAGGAGAUCCACGACCAGAGUUGUGUCAACCACGCUGUCCUCGGCCUCCACGAUAUCUACCUCCACGGCCUCCAUGAUUACCACGUCCAUGAUUGGCAUAAAGAGCUUCAUCAUCAAUAGUGGGAAUAGCAGAGGACGUCGUCACACUAGUACGACGUUGAACUUCCGUUUCUUCUUGCAUCAAGAGUGGACGAAGUUGUUCAAAAGUGGGCUUAUUUCUGUGUGUUUAGAGCACUAACAAAACCUCGAUAUUCUUCUAGUAGCCCUAGAAGAACAGUCAUGACCAAAUUAUGGUCUGACUCGGUUUCACCAAUCGCCUGAAGAGCAUCACCAAUCGAGUUGAUCUUUUGCAUGUAAUCACUCAUACUCAUUGAGCCUUUCUUGAUGCUCCGCAAUUCAGACUUCAGAGAAAAAGCCGUGGAAGCAGUCUUAUCAAGAAAAUAUGCCUCAAUGAUUCUCCAAACAUCAUAUGCAGUUUUAGGUGAGCUAGAAAUAACCAUUUGUAAUAUGCUAAAAGAUAAAGUGGCAUUAAUCCAUGAAAGUAUAGUGGUGUCUUCCUUUUUCCAACUUAAAUAUUCGGGAUUUAUAACCAUCUUCUUAUCAGCAGAAUCGAUAGUUUGAGAAGGCACAACACCAGUUUCGUCCACAUGUGAUGUACCACCAAAACUUUCUAGAACAUUAAGAAAGACUUGUUUCCACACAAGACAUGUGGAAUCAGUGAGUUCUAGUGGUAUGAGAGUUUUGAUGUUAACAACUGGUAAUUUUGAAGUAGAAGAAGACAUGUUUGCUACCUUAAGAGAAGGAUCCACCACUAGAUAUGAAAGAAAGAUAAAUCAUAAUGUAGCGGAUGAGAAAAAGGAAGAACCUAGUUUCUACCAAACUAGCUGUACCCAACGCACAAGAGAGGAACCACUUAUCACCAAACAAGAACGGCCGCACCAGGGAAAAGACCGAGCGACACGAGCAACCAACGAGCGGUAGUAGGAUAGUCCGAGCGACCCCAGAAGAGCAAAGAAGAAUCAUAAAAAGGCUGAAAUUACUGUAGCAAAAGCACUGUAGCGACAUUGUAGCGACGUACUAUGGCAGUAUUGUAGCGCCGGUACUAUGGUAGUACUGUAGAGCCAUUACUGUGGCAGUACUGUAGUGCCGAUACUGUAGCAGAGAGAUAGAAGUUCAAGGAUAAGGAGAGAUAGAACACCAAAAAGAAAAGAACACCUAUGGAAGAAGGUGAGUCUUAAAGUGGAUGAUGGCUAUAGAUCGAUAUCUCCAAAUUAGGGUUCCCGCUCUGAUACCAUGUAAGAAGGGCAAAAGAGAAUACCCUCUUGGGUUGUAUUAACGAAUAUAUAUAGUACAAGAGAUUGUCUUACUAUAGUAACAAUGACUACUAUAGUAAGUGUUAAAUUUUGGUUUAGAUUUGUAGUUAUCUAAAUUGAGGAUAAAUCCUAAUCUAAUUAGGAUUAGAUAUUAUUUAGAUUUAAUUUGGCAUAUAUGGAUUAUUAUUAGGAGUGUAAUUCUAAUUGAAUUAGAAUUAGACUCUAGUUAGGAGACAUGUUGUCACGCCCCGGGACCCAGCGGAAGCCCGCCCGGCGCGUGCCCAGACCCGCCAUAUGUCUAAAACAUACAAGGCGUUUAAAAUAAAACGAUAAAUAAAGCAGUGGAACAAAAGAAUCUAACGAUAUCAAAGCAAAGUAAAUAACUAAGUUCUACACAGAGGGGUAAGUAUAAAACUGAAAUUCGUUGAUAAAGCCAUAAAGUAGUACAAAGGACAAACCCAAAUACAAAGACUAAACAUAAAGAGUAUAUAGGUGGUCUCUCUAUACAUGGUACUCAAAAUCUCUCUCUCUCUAACACAAACGAAAGAAGGAGUAACCACCUAUAGCAAAACGGACUCUCUCCGAGCUAGCUACGCGACACCCUUGCCGCGAUCCCGUGCCUCUGCCGGUGCCGAAGGCUCUGAAAAGGAAACAUAAAAACAGGGGCGUGAGAACUAUUAAAUAAUAGUUCCUAGUGAGCAAUUACUGACUUCAGUGAAAUACGCCACUAGGCCCAAACUACAGCAAAUGGGGUCAGUGUAUAAGCAUGAGCAAAAGCGAUCAAUACAACGGGUAAGUAAAGAUGAAUACUGCUCAACCAUGAUGUCUCUACUUAGCAUGAUUUGCAUAAGUAAUAAAACAACUACCACAGGUAUGUAUAUGAGAGUAACCAAUAUGUAAAUGCAUGAGUAUGCAACUAUCCCAAAGUCCACAAUGUGAAUAGCAAUAAUGUCAAUGUUCACUACUCUAGUCAAUGUCCACUUGUCACUUUAACUGUUUAAAGUUCAACUCUGAUAAGACCCACCCGAAGGUUGUCUGGCAUAAGACCCACCCAAAGGCUGUCUGGCUUUACCGUGCCUAAUGGUCCCGUGGUAGUCAACAUUCCCACCCUAAGAACGAGCCUUUCCCACGACAAUCCACUUCGACGCCCAAUCCCGCACGGCGAACGUAUCACGAUGGCCAACUCCGGAGUGCCGGCUUGUAGGGAGCGACCCUCACAAGCAUGUGCGAAUGAGCACAAUGGCAAGCAUGCGUAUCAGUCCGUCUCAAGUCUCAAGUCCUCAUGUCGAAGAACAUGGAAUAUAUCGAAUGUCACAAAGGCCCAUCACUAUGUCGUCAUGUCUCUAACAUGGAAUAUAGUCGAUGUCCAAUGACCUAUCACUAUGUCUCUAUGUUGCAUUUUCAUAUUUUACUAGUUUUAAGUGCCCCUUUAUGACACUAUUGUUCAACGAAUCCAAGCAUGGUAUUUAUGUUCAUGAAUAUAUAGUUCUACUUAUUUCAAACAUAGGAGACAUGUUCUCAACUUGCGAGGCUAACCACCUUUCACAAUGCAUACAGUCUACACAUAUAGCUCUACUAUAUAGAGUGCGAAUUUCAUGAUAUAUAAGGCAUGCAUUUCAAGUGUUCUAAAAUUCACAUAAAUCAUGUUUAACAUGGAUUUGCUCUAAAAAAGACUUUACGAAGAGUUUAGAAAGCAUAGGGGCCAUUUUGCCCCAUUUUCAUGAAGUCAAACCACCGAUGAUACCGAAAUCCUUCGUAAGCUCCGACGAAGGUGUCGACUAGUCGCCUAGCACCCUAAAGAUGUAGGAACAAGGGUCAAACAAAUCUUACGAUCAACCCUAAGCUCAAUCAAUAAGCAACAUAGACUAAGGUGGAGAAAAACUCAUCUAGGUGAAGAAAUCCUCUCUCAAGCUCCAAAUAGGAGUUAGAGUUAUUCAAAUCCAACCUAAAUAAAGGUUCUAAACCCAUCAAUUAGGUUUCAAAGCCCUCAAAUCAAAAAUUCCCAAAAUAAACCCUAAAUCCCAAAAUUUAAGGUUUCAUAAGGUAAAAUCUAGAAAAACUUGUAUUAAAGGAAAAAUACAAGCUACCAACCUCAAGAGAAGCUCCAAUCCAAGCUCUAAACCAAGUAGGGUUGGAGUUUGAUCCUCCACAAGGCUCCAACUGCAAGCUCCAAGCCACCAAAGGUGAGGAAUGAGGGGAAGAAGAUGAUUCAAAGCCUCCAAGUUGCUCCUCCUCUUCUCCUUCUUCUUCUCCUCCUUCUUUUUCUCUCUCUAGAAGUGUAGGGAGAGUGUGAGGGAGAAGAAAUAAGAAUGAGAGGGAGAAGAGAGGCUUCCUAUAGCCUCUAAGGUAACAAAAUCCACUUAGGCCCCUAAAAAAUCCACUCUGUGCACUGCCCGGUCUGGGCCGUUUUCGCGCUGAGGGACCGGUCUCCCCGACACCUGGGACCGGUCUCUCAGUUCGUCCCGCAAAACCAACGUUCGGGAACCGGUCUCUCCCCGCCAGGGACUGGUCUCUCGGACCCCUCUCGCAAAAUACGCGUUCGGGAACCGGUCUCUCCCAGCCAGGGACCGGUUGCCUCAAGCCCUGCCGCAGCACUGUUCUGAGGAGACCGGUCUCUCCUAUCAGGGACCGGUCCCCGAGAGUGAAAACUCUCAGAACAAAAUCAAAACCCUAGAGAUCGAACUUUUAGGCCGGAAUACCAUCUACGGCCUUCCACCAAGUGUGGAAAAGUUCGGAGUACACACCAAACACUCGAACCUCACAAAUUGCAAAGGUCCAGUGCGCUACACAUGUAUUAUAAAUACAUGCUACGGCCAAAUUAAUCUUGCGGCGACCAAAUUGAGAUGCCAUGCGCUAAUUAUUCCGAGUUGCCGGAGCUCUAAUUAAGUCAUCCAUGCAUGUUGGAGUCCGUACGGGUGGUGAGAGAGAAGCAUCCUUUGAAGUCUUUUAUGCAGUGAGUGAGAAGCUCUAAUUAAUUAAGCCUCAUGUGGUUCGUCCGGUGUUGAGAGAGAAACAAAUUUUGGGAUCUCUUAUCCGGUGCGCAUUUCGGCGUUUUUCGAUCUAAUUAAGUUUUGGUCUUUUGGGAGAUCUUCUUUGUACUCUGCCUUUUCGACAUUAAUAAAGUUUUUGCUCCGUCUUCGCCCGUGGACGUAGGCCGUUGGCCGAACCACGUAAAUAUCGGUGUGUUCUUUCCUCUUUUCUUUUCGUUUCCUGCAUUAAAUUAUUUUCUGGAUCUAUUUUUCGCCGUUCCGAUUUUAACAGUAAGAGUAUUACUAGGAUUACAUACUAUAUAAUCCUACUCUAUAGAAGGCAAUAAUACUACUCUAUAGAAAGCAAUAAUACACAGUAUCCUAAUAUAGGUAAACUAUAAAAAUAUAUCGUAACAAGUAUAUAUGCUGAUGUAUUGCUUCCAUGAAUAUGUCAUGCCUCUUAGAUCUAUAUAAACUCCAUACAAUACUUUUGAAGGCAUGCAUAGCUGCUACUCAGUUGCAACAAGUAUUGAUGAGGUAAACUUUCAACUCCCUGGAUUUUGUUUAACAGGUUAAUUAUGGCGAAUGUUUCACAGAGUUCUCAACAACCCGAAUAUUACAGUGCACUUCAAUACUGAAGCCAUGGAUGUCGUCAGCAAUACCAAAGGUCAGAUGUCCGGUGUUCUAUUAAAAAGAGUCGACACCGGAGAGGAAUCAGUUCUAGAGGUGAAAGGUCUAUUUUAUGGAAUUGGUCAUACUCCAAACAGCCAAAUAUUAGAAGGUCAGAUUGAACUCGACAGUGCUGGGUACAUUGUCGUGAAAGAAGGCACGGCGAGAACUUCGGUUGAAGGUGUCUUUGCUGCUGGUGAUGUACAGGUAAUGCUCAGAAGACCUCUCUUACCUCUAUUAGCAACAAGUGUUUUAUUAUUAGUUGUUAAUAUUGAUCCUCUGAUAUUCAUUAUCACAAUAAACAGUUAUUAGCAUAUAUUAUACUAUUUGAUUCUCUUUGUAAAAUGGGAGCAUUUCAGCAUUCUUAAUUUAAUGGUUACAGUGUGAUUUUCUCCUUCAUGUUACAUCAAAAUGUGAAAAAGAACUGUUAAAUGUAUUGUUUUUUUAAUUUCUUUAUCCUUUUGAUGGCAACUAGAGUAAAUUAGGGCCACAUCAGCAUAUUAACUUUACAAGCCAUCAAGAGGGCCUUACAAAUAUUGAAUGCUUAUUACCAUUGUCCUACAAGCCGUUAUUUAAGGACAUAUGCUCGUUAUAUUACUUUCUAAAUAGUGGAUUAAUUUGAGGAAGAAUUUGUAUAUAACUUGAUAUAUUUAGUAAUUAGAUUUUUUGUAGAAGUAGAUGCAGUAAAGCAGUACAACAAGAAAUUUUGUGAAGGUGAAUAGUCUGACUAUUUAAUGCUCCAUGAUGCGCCUUGUAAGUUAUGAAAGCCUAGGAUCUAAUAGGUUAGAUUAAUAUCUAGAGGGGGGUGAAUAGGUGAGACUAGUAAAACACUAUAAACUCACAAUUAAAAAUUAAAUCCGGAAAUUAAAAUCAGCACACUGAAUUUUAACGUGGGAAAACCUCCAAAUAGGAGUAAAAACUCAUGGGACCGGUUGGAGUCGACAGUUGUGCUGAAGGAAAAAAUGAUUGGAAUUGGUUGCAUUGACUCCGGUUUUUUGGCCUUUGGAAGAAUAGCAUAUCGGGUGCAAUUGUCAUGAAAGAUAUAUUUAUUUCUCUCCACGGCUAGAAAGCACUUUUUGCCUCAUGCCAUGGUCGUCCAAGUAAUAUAUCACAUUUCUCCAUAUCAACCAUGACAAAUACAAUUUCGUCUUUGUAUUCAUCUUGCAAUGUGAGCAUACCAUAUUUGCUGUACUUGGAUUCGAUAAUAGUGUCAUCAUAAGACACAAGAAAAGGAGAAACACAACGUUACGGAAAAAGGCUUAAUUUGUCCACAAAUGUUCUCGAAAUAAGAUCAUGAGACAAUCGAUGAUCAAUUUAUACUCGACAAAGAACUCCAUCAAAUCUCAUAGAAGUUUGAAAAGAAGAUAGAUAUUCGCUGACACACAUGGCAAGAGAAAGAGAAAGAAGAUACUAUGACCGCAAUCAAAACACAAUACGCUAAAUUUUACUCUAUCUUAACUCAUCUCUAAAAUUACAAGCCUUAGGUUAUACUUAUAGCCUUCAAAACAUAAUCCUAAUAUAAAACAAAUCCCAUGAUUUUAGGGAUUUUUUUCUAAUUCAUAUAUAUCUAAAAAAGCCCUAAACCAUAUCUCUAAUUUUUAGGGAUCUAUUCCACAUGAUAAAUCCUAAAAAUCUAAAAAAAUCACCCCUUAAAUUAACAAAAAUAAUUAUUCCAAAAAUUUAAAAAAAUUCAAACCUUUACGACUGGAAUACUGGAUCAAACUUACUAUAAAAAAUUGACUCAAAUAAAUAAAUGAUGACUCGACCAAACCCUAUCCGCAUCCGACUCUGCAUCAGAAAUUAUUCAUGCAAGUUCAUAUUAACUGGUGAACCAUAUGCACCUGCGUAAAUGGUCAUUUCCAUUCAAAUUCCAAUCUGGUUCCAUUUCUGCCAUCUGAUUCCAACAGUAAACCAGAUACAACUUAUGCUUCUACUCUAUAAACGUAGAAACAAGUAGAAAUCAAACAUAGGAUCUCAGUAUCACUAUACACUCACUAAAGAUCUUGUUCUGUUUGCUACAAAUUUCACAAUGUUUACUAAUAAAAAUUUGUCAAUUGCAAGAACUAUCUAAAAUUUAUUUCUUUCAAGCAUCAUUUCUUCUGCUAUUGAUGCUAUUAUAUAUUUGACUGAUAGGAUCAUGAAUGGAGGCAAGCAGUAACUGCAGCUGGGUCUGGAUGUGUAGCUGCUUUGUCUGUUGAGAGAUAUUUGGUUUCCAAUGAUCUUCUUAUUGAAUUUCACCAGGUGCUGAGCAAUAUAUUUUUUUAAAUAUCUUAUGUGGUUCCUUCUUGUGUUACUAUGUAUCAUCUGGUUUCCAUUUUUAGGGUUGAGAUUGAUUGUCCAAUUGGCAUUCACUUAAUUAAAGUUUGUUACUGUCUUGGAUUCCCUUUUGUUUGUCCAAUUGGCAUUCGCUUAAUUAAAGUUAGUUACUGUCUUGGAUUCCCUUUUGUUUGUCCAAUUGGCAUUCACUUAAUUAAACUUUGUCACUGUCUUGGAUUCCUUUUUGUGACAGUAUCGGUGAUCUGUUUUCCUUUUGUUGGGCUGAAGUUAAUUGUCCAAUUUGCAUCUCUCCUAGUUAAAAAUUGUAAUUUUUUGCCCCGAUAGCUCUAAACACCAUGCGAGACAACCAGUUGACACUCAAAGGUUAAGCCACUAGAGAAUGGUUUUCAGAAUUUGUAUACUCAAUUCUUCCUCUUUUGUACUAGGACUCUAGUAGACUCAGGAUGCUAGCAUGAGUUAGAUGAGAGUAAACGAAAUAGCGGAUGAGCCUGGUGGGACUCAAACCGAAACCUCUUACUCUAAUACCAUAUGUUUGUUCAGGGAAUACGAUUUGAGAGGGUUAGGGUCUUACCCAAUGCUUCAUUUAUAUGAGGAGGAUUUUACAUUAGGACCCUGAAACAUCGAUGGAUGGAAAAAGAACAAUAAUAUCUAAGCACCUUUCUUUGUUUUGCUGUGGUUUCAUUGUGCAAUGCAUAUUCUUUUACUUUAAUCUAACUCUUCCAUAAGGACCGGCACAGACCGGCAUGAACAGCAUGGCCAUUCACCCACUCUCUGUGUGAUAUAUUUUCAAACUAUACAGCCUGUCACUGAAGAGGUGAAGAAGAAGGAACUUUCAGACAGAGAUGUAGAUAUGGGCUUUGAUAUCACUAUGACAAAGCACAAAGGCCAGGUACGUGAUAAAAUAUGACUUUUGCAUUAAGGGGGUGCCAUUUUAAAGAAAUCACUUUUAGUUGUCUUUUGCAGUAUGCACUUCGGAAACUAUACCAUGAAAGCCCAAGGCUUCUUUGUGUUUUAUAUACUUCACCGACAUGUGGUCCAUGCAGGACUUUGAAGCCGAUAUUAAGCAAGGUGGGUUUUUCUGCAGUGUAAUAAUAUAUAUGCUACUAUACUGAGAUAAAAAGCCAUUUCAGAUUAUCCCUGAGCUUGGUGCUUAUUUUUCUUUUCUGAUUUGAUUAUAGCCAUCAUGUUAUCUUGUUUAAAUUUCAUCUCUUAAUUCAUGGAGCAGAGGAAGAAGUUAGGUCUUUAAUAAUUGUUUUCUUUUUUGUUACGUGAAUAAUGUGUUUUAUUUAUUUGUCGCCCUUGCUCUCUUUGGAUAAUACGUAAAUUCAUGACAAUUUGAUGGAAUUUUCCUAAUCAUUGAUUUGAUCUUAUCAUUCUGGUUAAUACAGUCACUAUGGCAUGAGAAACUAGUGGUAGUUUGUCAUUUUUUAAGAGCAUUUGUCUGUAUUUUGCAUUUAGCCUUUGCCUCUGCGAAUAAUGUGCUCACUCCUCUUCCUAACCAUGAUAUCUGGUGGCAGUUGCUAUAGUUUCUUUUCAUCAAAAAUUAGUUUUAACUGCCAUCAACAAACUAGAAUUAGUUUUAACUAAUAAAUAGGCAUGCUUGAUGAAGUAAUUUUCUGAAAGUAAUAGAAGAGUAUUCUCUCCAGUUAUAACGAUUGUUAAUGCAGUCUUAUUGGAGGUCUUAGAAAAUCACUUAUUUAUCAUUUCUGAAGGUUGCUAUGCAAAUAAGAUGUUAGUGUGAAAUAAAACCAAUCUAAAGGAGUUACUUAACUAUUUACUGAUGAAUGGAAGUCCAUGGAUAGGUUAUGUUAAAUUAUGCGAAAGAACUGUUGUUUUCCAAUAGCUUAAGGUUUCAGAGAAUGGUAUUUUAAAUUUUUAUAUCCAACAAUCCCCUUUAUGUCUGUACUCGAGACUUUUCGAUAGGCUCAGGAUGUGGACAUGAAUUAAAUGGGAGGAAGUUAAUUAUGCUAAGACCUUGGCGAGACUCGAACUCAGGACUUCCCACUCUGUACCUUGUUAAAUUAUGCAAAACAAUCAUUGUUCUCCAAAAGUUUAAGCUAUCAGAGAACAAUGUUUUUAAUUUUUAUAUUCAACAGUUGAGAUAGCAAAAUUUUCAUACAGUAUAGUUUUUACAUUGAAUAUUCUCACUUUGUUAUUCUGUGUUCUCUUUUAUUUUCCAAAAAAGAAUUGAAGCCAAAACUUGAGAUUGACCUGUAUUGAUAUUGUUUUUGGGUUUGUUAUUUUAUCAUGUUGUUUGCCAUAUGUCUGCUAUUAAACUGAAACAUAUAUGGAAUAAAUGUUAGGAUUUGGUUAGAUUUGUAGUUAAAUCCUAUUUGGAUAAGAAUUAAUAUUUAAAUCUGUUUGAGAUAAAUUAAGAUUUAAAUAUUAAUUAGAGGAUAAACCUAACUAGAUUAGGAUUAAUAUUUAAAUCUAUUAGAGAUUAAUUAAGAUAGAUUUAGAUAUUAAUUGGAGUAGAAAUCCUAAAUAUAUUAGGAUUGGGGUACGUUUUAGUAGAGCCUUAUAAAUAGCUCUUUGUGGGUUUGCUUUUGAUGUGAAGUACGGUAGGAGCUUUGGGGUGCUGUACCAAAGAGAGAAAAAGAGAGAGAGAUAAUGAGUUGGAUGCACCUUGUGCACGGGUGCGUUCAUGAGUGAGUAGUCUUUUAGAUUAAUAAAAGACAAGAGAAGGAUAGAAGAGAUUCAGAAAGAGGGCUCGGGUUGUAGCUACUCUGUGCAGAAGAGGAGUCAGGUGUAAUCUUCUCUUAUUUAAUGAAUCUUAUUUUACCUGCAUAUUUUUCUCUUUUAUGAUUGUAUCAGCUUUUGCUGAGGAGACGGGUUUAUGGUAAAAAUCCGAUUCAACGCUUCCGUUGCGGAAUCCCAACAAUCGAUACCGGAUCCACAGCAGUCGGUAUCGGAGCGGGUUGCGGAUUCACGAGAUCCGGUACCGGGGCGAGUACCGAUUCCAACAUGGUAUCAGAGCCGAAGGUUACCUGAUCUGCGGGAGAGAUCGACGGACGAUGGCCACGAAAUGCGAAUCGAGAAGUUCGAAACGGCAAAAGAACAAUUUCGGAUUAGGCUAAAUUAAAGUACGAGCUAUCUCGUACAGCAAGAAUUGGGAAGAGACGUUGAAAACGGUAAUGGAAGUGAAGCCGGCGAGGUAAACGGAUGCGGCCAGUGGACGAAGAUAGGAGCGGAAGGCCGCUGAGUACGCGUUCAUUAUCAUUACAGGAAUGAGGUUGCUUUAGCAGAUGUAGGCAGGCUGAGACGACACUCAGGCGAAAAUUGUGAACGAAAUUGGAUAGAUCUGUUAGCAUGACCUAAACCUGACGCAACAGGUAUUGUACGAAGCAGCGACGUGUUUACGGUUGGGGCGGAUAAGAAGCGGGUCGAGUCUACAUGAUCAUCUAAAUGAGUUCAACAAGGUGGUGGCCCAGUUAACUAGCAUCGAGUUCAAUCUGGAUGACGAAGACAAGCGUUGAUUCCUAACUCAUCUCGCUUAAACCGCGGACAGACAUUGAGCAUGUCUGGUGACCACGGUUGCUUUUAUGGCAAAGGCUCUAUUAAGCGUGGAGGUGGGUCACGAGCGUCCGGCUUCCCGGAACGAGAUGCGGAAGAUGACGUCAGGAGUCCGGACGCAUAAGUCAGGAUGUAGACUGGUGGUGAUUGCGAAGAAGGAGCGAGAAUAUCGGCCGACAGCGAUAGUCGAUAGAAGAAACGCUAUCUUGAGGUAGAAAUGCUUAUUAAACUCGUCACAGGAGGGCCAUAUCAAGCGACAAUUGUCGAAAACUUCAGGAUGAUGCUGAAGAGUUAAAGCGACAGAAGGAGCAAACUGUCGUAAAACCAGGACGAGACGGUAUUCAGGCUGACGCGCGCAAGACAGCAAGAGUCGGAGAUGAUCGAUUUCUUGAUGUGCUAGUAGCGGGACCGAGGUGAGAAAUUUCGGAACGAUGCUGGGUGUCGACGUCGGCGUGUUCUUUCAAGUAUGGCCCGGAGGAAGGGUCUUUGCGCACCUACAAGCGAUCAAGGUGGAAAGGCGCUGAUUGGAGAACGGGAAGCAGCGUGCAAAAGUUUUGGGAGUCGGGCAAGGUAAGAUCGAAUUGCAUCGAUGGGGUCGUGAGGUACGCUGUAAUGGGUGUUCGACAUGUUCCUGGAUGAAGCGAAAAUUUUGGUCUCGUUAGCCAUUGAAUCGAUAGGGUUGCGAUAUUUCUCAAGCUUCAGUGUGGAGCUAUGAGGGUUCCGAAAAACGAAUCGGGUCGUUGAAGCGAACUAAGCGUGGGAACUUAUACGUUCCAGAACGGAGCUAACAAGCAGAACGGAAGCAUAAAGCGGUUUGGAGUUCGAAAAGUUCGCAGGAGGUGCAGUCGCUUCGAGGCAAGCGACGAUGCAGCGACAUCGAGCGAGGAGACAAGGCUCAAGGUGGAAGCUUGCCAUGGUGAAACUCGACUUAGGGGUUGAAAUUACAAAUCAAAACCAAGGGUGGAAGAAUGUUAGAUUUGGUUAGAGUUGUAGUUAAAUCCUAAUUGGAUAAGAAUUAAUAUGUAAAUCUGUUUGAAAAAAUAAGAUUUAAAUAUUAAUUAGAGGAUAAACCUAACUAGAUUAGGAUUAAUGAUUAGAAUCUAUAGAGAUUAAUUAAGAUAGAUUUAGAUAUUAAAUGGAGUAGAAAUCUAAAUUAUAUAGAUUGGGUAACGUUUUAGCUAGAAAGCCUUAUAAAAUAGCUCUUUGUGGUUUGCUUUGAUGUGAAGUACGGUAGGACUUUGGGGUGCUGUACCAAAGAGAGAAAAGAGAGAGAGACUAAUGAGUCUGGAUGCACUUUGUGGCAGCGGGUGCGUUAUGAGUGAGUAUUCUUUUAGAACAAGAGAAGGGUAGAAGAAGAUUCAGCAAAAGAGCUCGGGUUGUAGCACUCAUGUGCAGAAGAGGAGUAGGGUGUUAAUAUUUCUCUUAUUUAAAUGAAUCUUAUUUUACGCAUAUUUUCUUCUUUUAUGAUUGUAUCAGCUUUUGCUGAGGAGCGCAGUUUAGGUAAAAAAUCCGAUUCAAGGUUCCUUGCGGAAUCCAACAUCGAUACCGGAUCACAAGCAUCGUCCGGUAUCGGAGGCGGGUUGACGGCAUUCACGAAUCCGUACCUGGGCGAACGAUACCGGAUUCCCAACAUUAAACAGAGUUCUUAUGUUAUCAUGCUGCGGAUAUAUAAGCUAUAAUGUAAAACCAGGAUAUCUUGGAAUGUGAGUAUAGAUAAGUGUGACUCCUUAGACCAAGGAAUAGGUAAACAAGCCAUAGUGGAUUGCAUAUAGGUUAAAGUCAUUUAAGUUGGUUUGAAUAUGUCAGAUGAAGACUUAUGUAGUGCGCUGGUGAUGAUAUGGGGCUUUCUUCAGGUGGAAGGGUCCCAAGGAGGACAUGCUAUCUAAAAACACGUGGUUGUUAUUCAUCAAUAUCAUGAAGAGCUCGGAACUCAUUUUUGUUGACAAAGUUGUCUUACCAAAGAGUGGUUAAAAGUUCAAUGUGGAAUAUUUUUUCUCCAAGGCUGCUGCCUUUCGCAUUAUCACAUAAAAUCGUCAAUUUGUUGUAAGGAUUUUUCAUCCUGAAGUGUCACAGUGAGUUUGAUUAGGAAGUCCAAUGGCAAAAGGCGAUUUAUAUAGUUCUUCUUUCUUCUACUUAAUUGAGGGAACCCUUGGAAUUAACACCAUCUAGAAGAAAUUCCAGGAGUACCAUUUGAGGUCAGUAACUCAAAAAUUUUGAUAGUGCAACCAAUUUUGGAUGAACUGCUUUUGAAUACACUAUAUUCCUUGAAAAACAUCACACAAGUUUAAAUUGUCACAACAAGAACUAAAUGCGAAAGUGGAAGCACCAAAGGGUCUAAGGAAAUUAAUUUUUACGAAGUGAUACUCUUCUUCUGGAGAGAAAUGCCACCUACUUCAUCAAUAUGCUCACAUUGUACUGCCUUUUUUUUUUUUUUUUUUUUCCGGCCUUAUGUUUUAUUUUCUGACUAAGUAGGUAAGAUGCACACUUUUUUUAUGGCUGUCUACUCCAGCUUGCACAGACAGCUUGAGAUAUCUUUCUAAAUAAGAAAAUUCGAAAUUUACUGUAAAUAUAAAGUAGUUCUUUUAACCUGAUCUGCGAUAUCCCAAUUCCCAAAAUAAGAGCGUCCCAAAUCAUACUCCUAAUUCCUAAGCACAAAAUAUUUUCUUCUACAAGCCAUGUUGCUUUACUAACAUUUUCUUUGUGCACGUUUUAUUUGGUAAUUAUUUAUUGAAUUGACGAAGAAAUUUUUUUUUCUUAUUGUUUCUUGUAUCUUUGAUAAGUAUAGGUAUUAACUCUUGCUUUUCUAUAAUAUCUAAUCAAACAUUCUAUUAUUUGUUGUGCCAGGUAAUUGAUGAAUUCGACCAAGAUGUGCACUUCGUUGAAAUUGAUAUUGAGGAAGAUCCCGAAAUAGCAGAAGCAGCAGAAAUUAUGGGGACACCUUGCGUGCAAUUUUUUAAGAAUAAAGAAAUGCUCAGGUGAGAUAUAUUUCAUUAGGAUAUUUGGAUUAAGCUUGUUUACAUAGCUUUAUUUAGAUUUUAAUUUCCUGCUCAUGCUCUUACCGACAAAAGAUAAAUUGUGGACUUUCUUUAUCGAAACAAUACUUGUCAAUUUGAUUUGUAUUGCGGGUAGACGCAAUGCACCAACAAUCAAGUUACUAAAGUAUUGAAUGUUCGUAGUUUAUGACUAUUGUGGAUGACGUUCUUACUUGCAAUGCUAUCAUCUGAAGAUGUUGAAACUUAUGUUGAGUUCCCUGUCUCUUGGUGAUACUUUCUUCAAUAAAUUACGGAUCUAGUAGGUUACAAGAUUUACAAACUUUCUUCUUGAUGAAAGUCAAUAAUAAUUAUUUUUAUUUCAAUUGCUUUUUCUUGUUCAUAAAUAACAGACAGCAUGACCACCUGUAUCUCCACUUAGCAUUUUGAGGAGUAAUUUUAGCAUUUUUAAAUUGCAUGUGGCUGUCAUGGGGACUUUCCUGAUGUUAUCCGUCUUUGGACCUGCAGGACGGUGUCUGGUGUGAAAAUGAAGAAGGAAUACAGAGAGUUUAUUGAAGCUAACAAAUGAGUUGGUCUUGCCGCUUGUGCUAUUAAGCAUUUCUUCUUAGAUAUAUGUCCAAAUUCUAAAAUGUACCUGCCUUGAGCCGCCGUUUAAGUGAUCAAUUUUUUGGUAGCAUACCCCAAAUGCAGAAAUAUGUUUAUUUUCCUGAUGUUGAAGGCAAUGCUAGCUGUAUCACCUUUUGAACACCUGCAUUUCAUGCAGCAAAUUUGACUGUAAAUCAGAAAUUGUUUUCCUUUGAAAUUGAAGUCCAAAAUAAAAUUUCUGGAGUAGUCGUAUCUUCUUGGCAAUGGAGACUGCUGCAUAGCUCAUUUCAGUUGAAUCUCUUUGCCUAUUUUAUGCUUGUGUAAUUUUGCCUUUAUAUACAUGCGUGAUGCUUUUUUUCAAAACAGAGUUAGAAAGAACAGCAAAUAGUUGUUGUGUCUUGAUGGUGAUGAAGUUAUAAAAUGCUAUAAUCUUCCCCUCUCGCGUAUCAGUUAUGCUUUAUAAUAUGUUACUGGUUAUCUAAUGCCAAUUACAUCUAUGCUCUGUUCAUUUCUUUUUUAGUGGAUAAUCCUGUUUUCAUUCCAAUUAGAUACUGUGCACAAUGGUGGUUGGAUUUUUUUUUUUUUUUUGAUCUGAUUUGAUGGUGUGCCGCAUACGUGUAGCCUUACAAGAUCUUGUUAAUAUAUGUAUAACAUAUGCUCACAAAAUAGCAAACUGGUUUCAGUUAAUCACAAGCUCCCUACUUAGUAUAUCACAUACAAUGUGGGUAUUCCGGGUCUGGUUAAACAAUUCUUUAGGCUAUCUGAGACAUGGUUGUGGCAGCAGCAGGAGCAGCUUGGGAUCAGAUUUUGUUCUCCUCGGAGCUUCUAAUGAUUUAUUCUCGUAGAUGCAGUUGCUUUGAAAAUUGUAUGAAACAUUUGGGUCAGUAUUUUUCCUAGUUUUAAGUAUUAUUGUGUUUCAGUUUCUUCUUUUUUUUUGGGGCGGGGAGCUUUUCGUCCAGCUGUUGUGUCAUUUCUGCCAAUUGGGUCAAUGAGCAUCUUUAAGUACGAUCCAGUUUGUUUGAAUAAUCACAUAAAUUGAAUUUUAUAAUCACACUCCUCGUUUAGAGUUGAUCCAAUUAGAUGCUACUCCAUUGAACAGGACGGCUAUCUUAGAAUUACAGAUGCAUUUGUUAACCCAUCAACACCACUUAUCGUUAAAACCUAGCCACACUAAAACCUUUCGAAGAAAAGACCAGUUAACUUUAUCAUACGCCUUCUCGAAAUCUACUUUGACCCUAACUCCCUCCACACCCUCCUUAAACCCCCAGGCCAUUAGUUCGUUUGCAGUUAUGAACGCAUCAGCCAAGAGAUGCCCUUUUAAAAACGCUGAUUGAGAAGUAGAGAUGAGGUCCUGCAUAACCCCUUCCAUUCGAUUAUCUAAGACCUUGGAGAUAACCUUUUGAAUCCCGUUCAGUAAGCUAAUAGGCCUAAAAUCAUUAGCCCUCGAUGCACCUUCUUUCUUCGGGAUAAGGCAUAUGUACGUGCAGUAAACAUCACGUGUCGAGAGCCGUCCUUCGUAGAGCACCUGGAAGAUCCAAAGGACAUUAUCAUUCUUGAUGACGUCCCAAAGGGUCUGAUAGAAACUCAUAGGAAAUCCAUUAGGUCCCGGUGUCUUCUCCCCCCCAAGCUGGAACACCGCCAUUUUGAUCUCCUCUAAGUCGAAAGGGAUAGUUAAAAGAUCAGGGUUGGUCAUCCGUCUAGUUUGAAAAAGUCCACUCCAGUCCCCAACAAAAGUGGUACAUGGGACUCCGAGGCGUAUAGCUCCUUAAAUUUACGCCAAAAGUAAUAUCUUUUUUCAUCUUCUUUCGUAAUUCUUUUUCCAUCUUUUUUCAUCUAUAAUUAUCCCAAUUGCAUUCGCACGUCUCUUGUUAUUAGCUAUAACAUGAAGGAACUUAGUAUUAUCGUCUCCACCCUGAAGCCAUUGUUGUUUGGCGCGUAUUUUCCAUAGCCCUUCUUCGUCUUCGAGAAUUGUAGAGAGAUGGGUCUUGUAGCUCCUGCAUCAAAAAGAUUCCUCUUCUAAUGCAUUGAUCUUCUGUAUUUUUUGUAUGAUUUCAGUUUUAGACUUUAAAAUGCUAUAAAAAUUUGAGGCACACUAUCUGUUAAUUUGCUUCCGACAGUGUCUGAGCUUAGCGUUGAAAGAGAGAAUCGCUGAAUUAUUUUGCUGAAUUUCCCUCCACCACACAGGUAUGUUCUUAACAAAGUCUUCAUUACGUAGCCAGACCUCUUCCAACCGAAAUAAUUUACGCUUGAGUUUACUUCUAUUAGAGAGCAAAAUAGAACAAUGGUCAGAAGUAAUUCUAGGAACUGUCUCCACUUCUGAGAGAGGGAAUUGUUGGUCCUAUUCGGUUGAGAUAAGGAACCAAUCAAGUUUAGCUAGGGUAGGGCAGCUUUGCAUAUUUGACCAAGUGAACGUUUGAUUCUUCAUCGGUGAGUCCAUUACCUCUAGGUAUCGAAUAAGAUCAUUGAACAUGUUUGUUGCCUUCACACUCUAGGUUUUACCCUUGCGUUCCAUUCGGCUUCUAGUGAAGUUGAAAUCUCCACAGAUAACCCAACACCCUCUGCAAACGUCUUUAAGGUGAGCCAGUUCUGAACAAAACUCCUCCUUACCCUCCCAGGUAGGAGGGCCAUAAACGUUGGUGACAUAGAAAAAAGUUCCGCUAAGAGUAUGUGAAAGUCGGAGAGUAAUAGAAAAUUGCUUCACAUAAGUUUUGCUACAAGAAAACGCCUGGGAGCUCCAACACGUCCAAAGACCGCUAGAUACACCAAUAGCUUCAAUAAACUAAAAUUUGUUGUAAAACGAUUCACAGAAGCUAUGCAAAAAAAGAAAGAGAAAAGGAGCUAAUUUUAGUUUCUUGUAGAUAGACCACACAUUUCACAGCAUGUCUUUUGCAAGAAUCACCUAGUAGCCUAACAUUCCAGCUACAUAUGUUAAACAUAAUAAAACAAAAAAGAACAACAGUUCAAAAAACAAAAAUCAUAGAGGACCAAGAUCUCAGGCACUGCCCCGGAGGAAGAUCUCAAAUGCAUGUGCAUCGGAGUCGCUAAGUAGAACCCUGCACUUUCUGCUCUUCUUCACAAGUUUCUUUCUCCUAUAAAUAUGAAAGUCCUCUAGUCCACCUGUCCUAGGGCCUUCCCGAAGCAUGAUUUUCCUGGAUAUGGCUUUCAGAGUCAUGGAACCCAUGGGUACAUUAGAAAGUCAUGGCUUUCAGAGUCAUUAGCAAAUCGAGCGUUUAGAUGUUCGAGUUCCAGUAGCGUGUUCGGAUGGCAACGGUAUCACUAGGGAUGCAAACGGGGCGCAUCUGGGGCGAGGCUCCUCCUACCCCGACUAGCAAAAUCCCGCCCCGCCUCCCGCCCCGAAUCCGUGACGGGUUAAAAAAUACGUCCCAUAAUCCGCCCCGCCUCAUAACCCGCCUCCCGCUGGCGCUCCGAAUCCGCCCCGCAACAAAUAUUUUUUAUAAAAUUAAAAUAUUAUUAAUAUUUUGUAAAAUAUAAAUUAAUAAUUUUUAAUAAUAUUAUAUAUAUAUAUAAUUUAACAAUAUCAAUUAUAAAAAUAAAAAAUAUCAAUCAUAAUUCAAAACAAAAUUCAAAAGUUUCAAAUACAUUAGAAAUGAUAGUACUAAUUUAUUUGUAUUUUAAUUUUUUUUGUAAAUACAUUAUUUUUAGGAAUAUUUUUUUAAAAUAUAAAUAAUUUUCGGGGCGGAUCGUGUCUCGGAUCGUAAAAUUUAUCCCGUUUCCCGCCCCGAAUCCGUUUAUUUUCUCCGAUUUACUGCCCCAUCAAGACGGAUCGGAGCGGGAGCUCCAUAAACCCGUAUUCGUUUGCAUCCCUAGGUAUCACCUAGACUCCUAAUUCCGGGCCUCAUAUUCCAGGUUCAAAUCUUCUACACGAUCGCCACUUUAGUCUCGAGCAUGGAGUGUGUCAGCCUAGACAAAUCAUCUAUACCAAGUGAAUGGUCAAGGACAAUUUCAGAGAUCAAGUUGUCUCCAGUGGCAACACGACGAAUCAAAAGCCCAGUCCACUUAAAUAAGCCACAGUCAAACAUAAAGUUCGGGGUCAUCAUGGUGGGUACAUGGGGAGAGUACUCCACGAUAAAAUCCCCAACUGUUAGAUGUGACUCGAAAUCUACUAUCGAUUCAGGUUCGGGUUUACGACUCGGCGACAGCUUCGCGGUGCGACCAAUUUGGAAAAGAAAAUUAUGGAGGAAAAAUGAAUGUCUGUGGUGGGUAGCGGAGGGCUCGGGCCGACAGGCCCGAGCCCGUAGCCCACCACUGACAUUCGCCAGGGGGUGCGGGGGGCUCCGCCCCCCGCGGUAUGGAUCGGAUCCGAAACCCGUUAUGAGUUUUCCUUUUCGUUUAUCGUUUAUGCCCUAGAGGCGUGUGAUCGUGGUUGGUUGUAACCUGAAGAACAUUGUAUUCCCUUUUCGUUCCAUAGUGAAGNGGAUCGGAUCCGAAACCCGUUAUGAGUUUUUUCUUUUCUCGUUUAUCGUUUAUGCCCUAGAGGCGUGUGAUCGUGGUUGGUUGUAACCUGAAAAACUUUGUAUUCCCUUUUCGUUCCAUAGUGAAGAUCUCUCCUUCCUCGCCCGUGGUUUUUCCCUGCAAAGGGUUUUCCACGUAAAUCUGUGUUUCUUUAUUUUUCUGCUUGUGGUUUGAUUGUUUUUGUGUUCGUCAUUUUCGUUUCCGUUUGUGCGUUUGUCGUAACACCAACUCUAGCAAGAAAGUCAAAACCGUGAACCCCUUCCUUCCCAGUGGCAUCGGUGAGCACCAGAAAAUUGGGCCCAAGAAAGAAUAGCAAAGGGCUCUCAUGGUCCGCACAUAUUCCGAAACCAAAAGAACUCAUGGUUAGCUCUAUCCCAUGCAUCCGAAAUAAAUGCUCAUAGAAGAAAGAGCCCCUUUUUGAAAUAGCAGACCCCUUGAAACCCUCAUCAGAACAAGCCAGAAAAAGUUGGGGUCUAACAGCUCCAUCCAAGUAAUCAAUAUUCAAAAUAAUUUCCCAAAAGGUGAAAGCUUCGAUUUUGUCGACCAUCAACUGCUGCUGAACACCUUGGAGAUGAGUCUGAAAUGUCAACUUCUCGGAGAAAGUGCAGCCGAAGUCCGUUGGGGCGACAGCGGCUGCGACUGAACGAAGCAGAGGUCUCCUUGUCGAUGGGGAGACCAGCUCAGCACCGACGGCGAGUGUCAGGGCCCAUGGUUUGUCAGUUCCCAGAGAAACUCGGCGCUUGUGUUUUCCACCAUGAUGGUUGCGCACCCAGCAUGUGGAGUAAGCCUCUGCUCGACGCGGGUGCGACGCAGCGCUAAGGUUGGGGACUCUGAGUUGACAAGCCGUGCCUCCCUGCAUCUCCUUUGGCCAUUGACCGAACUUUGUGAUAUGUCCGCCUCAGGUCUGGCAUCGAGAUUCUCCAUCUCCACACCACCCCUGUCAUCAUCCCCUCCCCCAGGGCCAUGGCGCGCCGGCAUUUGAUUAUGAGUGGCCACGUCGUUUUGUCUCCCAGGCAGUGGUGGCGGCGGAGGUUGAGCAUCGUCGCCACUGUCCUCCUCCCAGCUCUCGAGUGUGACCAUGAUGGGAAACGACUCAUCCCCAAACACCGAAGAUAAGUUCUCGGGAAUAUCCGUCAGCUCGUGAACAGCAACACGACAUCGGUAGGCCCUCAAGUCGGCCAUUGAUUUGGAGUUUCAAUCAGCCCUCAAGAAUCGCCCAAACCCACCGACGACGAUUGCGGCCACUCUAGGGAUCGACCAGCAUUCGAAGGGAACGUUGAACAGUUGUAUCCAAGACUUGAAGGGAAGUCUAUGCGGAGUGGUGUGCCGAUACUGUCCCCACUCGAAGCAGUUCAUCUAAAAACCUUCCAAAGUAAUCAUAUACCUCCUUACAAGCCUCUCCGCCAACACCCACUCCGGCGGGAACACAACGUAAUCAUGGUCCCUAUGACGCGCCACCAUGAAGUCAGUUGGGUAGUCGCCGAACCGCUCUGCUACAGCAUUGGCAAUCGUUUGCUUGCUGUUGGGAUUAACCAAGGUUCGCCGGUUGGACGAUAUCUACAAGUAUUGCAUUUUGGCGUAGCUCUCUACGUGUGAAAAAGUCCACAGUGUAUGGAACGACAGCUCGUAAGGAUCGGGUGCGUCGGCUCAGUGAGCUCACAGCAUGUUGGAGUAGCUUUCAGAGGGCUUGAGUUUGCACCGAAAACCUUUAUGUCCAGUUCUGAAACACCGGAGACACCUGAUCAGAUCUCGAUAGUCGAUCACUUUAUGAUCGAGACCCAGACACCUAAAGCACCUCCCAACAAAAUUACGACGCUAUCCGCUUGCAGCACUCUUAAGGGCGUCCUUGGUAGAAGCAAGUUGGUGGCACUCAGCUUGGAGCAAGAGAGCCUCUUUAUAGGAUUUUCUACUCCCAACUUCAAGGUGAUGUAAAUGUUGCUUCCCAGGUUGGUUCUUCCCCCCUCAGCUCUGAAUCCACCAAAAUCAUUACCAGUUUGAUGAAAAGCAUCACUACCUCUGUAAUAUUCUAUGUUGAUGAUGUUUUGUGUGUAAUGUAAUUACAUAAGCAUUCGUCAAGUUUCAAGAGAAAACGAGUUAGAAUGGAGAAGUUACGCGACCUGUGCUAAUCACUUAAAGUGAAUAAUAACUUCGGUUUUUCGGAGAAGCCAAUGAGUGGAGAUGGCUUCUGGUGCGUAUUGGACUCCGUUCAUAGUGAUCCAAUAGCUCGUUUUCGACGGUUCGACUGUCCUGAACCCAAUGGCACUGACGGAUUUGGAUUCUGAAGCACGAUUUUCGAGAAAAAUGAAUUUUAUCGUAAAAUAGAGUUUUUGGCAAUUGGAGAAGGGAUGGGUUUCGUCACAAAUCAACGAUCGAAUUUAACGAAACAAAAAUGUAGAUUCGAUGCCCCAGCCAUGUUGAACGCGCUGGAGCAAUCCGAUCAGAAAUCCGACGGACGAAUCUCCAGGAAUCGCGUAAAGUUCGCUGAGGGGUCGAAAUUGGCAAAACGAAAAAUCUGCGAAAAGCCUAAUAUUUUUUUGUACCGUUUUGCGUGAUUUCGAACGUGGAGGUGCUUCUGUGCAAAAUACAUGCGCUGGCAGGGACUUAGCUGAAAAUAAUCAACUUUGGGGGACUUUUUUUUGCAAAAGUGCACAUGGUAUGUAAUUUGCAACUAGGGUUUCUUUGCACGAAACCCUAGAUCUAGCUGACCCAGCUACGCCCUAGCCGUCAUCAGCAAGUCCCUGCCCUAGCCGUGCGUGCACCCCGGCCGCUGGCAAGUGCCUCGGCCGCUAGAAAAGCUUGGCUCGGCCUCUCCUCCAUCAUCUCCUCCACCUAGCCGCCACCAUCCUCGGCCAUUGACCCCAAAGAGUCACAUGCACCCUGGGAAACUUGAUCCCCUGGCCGAGUUCCCCCUCCGACGUCGUCCCCGUCGGCCCCUACCGUCUGUGCGUGCCGCCGGUGCCGCCCGUGCUCUGUGCGGCCAACCAAGAUCCAGUUUUGGCCGGGCUAAAUCUAGCUCGAGCUCGCGAGCUGCCGUCGCCUCUGAUCGGCCGCAUCGCCCUCCGGGAUCUCCGUCGACCCCCUCACUGUCGUCGUCACCGUCCCCGCGGACCCCGGCAGCCGGCAUUGCUCCCUGCGGCUGCCCAGACUCAGCUCGGGCCGAGCCUGGGCUGGCACUAUCUCUGCGCACCGCCGCCGCCCACCGUCGGUCGCACCGUCUUCCCUCGACUUUCGGCAACCGUCGCCGUCGCCCCGGCGCUUCCCCGGCCGCCGAUUGGCAGCCGUUGAGCCGUGAGCCCUAGCCGAGCCGCACUGGCUGCCUCCCGCCGCCAGCCAGCACGUUCCUUGUCACGCCUCGGGGUCCUUUUUAGUUUAAAUGCAUAGCGGAAGCGUCCAAAUUUUUUUAAAAAAAAAAAAAACUGACCCCCAGGGUAUGCCAGAUCCGCCACAAAUACAGGAAGCCCACUGUUCACACGGACAGAGUCUCUCCUGUAUUUGCACGGUGUCGCACAAGUAUAAGACAUAUAACCAUGAUACAACCACUACAAAUGAAUAUACAAUAUUCAAUCAUUUAUACAUUCAUACACCAUUCACAACAGAUUUGCAUUUAGAGUUUAAUCAUAAAUCCAUGAAAAUAUUUUUAAAUCUAUUUUUCACACGGAAACCUUUUUCUUUAAACGCUACCACGAGGGGUAGAAAACCAUUUCCAAUACUUUACAUGAAAACCACGAGUGUUUUAUUUAACUUCACAAACCAUGUGUAUAUAUAUCCAAGUAAACAAAACCAACUGAACCAUAUGUCUAAGAUAUAUCAAUAGAAGUAAAGAGGGUAGAAACUAAACCAACAAACCGGGUCGGAAGCUCUAUCGACUGCUACGAACGUGUCUCACGUCUCGUCUCAACCCUCACUGCCCGCUAUACCUGAAAAAUGGUGGGGGAGGUGAGAACAUAUAAACAUGUCUCCCCUCCCAGUGGGUACCGCAAGCCGAAGAAAGCGAGGAGUACUCACCGGAUCAGGAAGAGAUAAAUAAGAUCAUGAGCAGAUAUACUAAGUACAGUAGUAACAAUAAUACAUGAACAGGAUGUAUAAGAACAAUUACUGCUACUAUAAAGAAGAACUGAAUGCAUACAUGGGUAUCGAAACUAUAGUAGCAAGAUAAGUAUAUGGAAAAUGCAUGCAACAACUACUACUAUAGACAUAUGCGUCAACCGCACGUAUAGACCAAAUAUACCCAAUCUGGAAUGGCCGUAUUGGUACACAACACCUCAAGCCCAUGCCACAACUGCUCUAAACAGAAAUAAGCCGUAUUGGUUCGCAACACCUCAGGCAAGCCGUAUUGGUCCGCAAUACCUCAGGCUGAAAGCAUAUAACCUCUCUUGGGCUCACGGGUUGACACUAGUAACCACUUUUUCGGAAAAGAACACCAUCUUGCGGUGGAUUAGACCGCUGGUGUUCGUGAAAUGCGCACGAGUAAUGGCGAUCGAUGCUGAUAUGCUCAAAAGCCAAACAUCGGCAACUAGCCGACAAUCCAACCCCUCAGGGUAAACCGACCGUAUAGGUCAUCGAACAGUAAGGAACACAAGUACCGACCACUCAGGUCCACUAGGAUGGAACAACUCAACAUCCUAUCAAAGAUGUGCAAGUAUAAUCUAGAACUAACCGUCAGCCACUAGCCGACAAUCCUACCCCUCAGGGUACACCGACCUCAUAGAUCAUCACUCGACAAGAGUCAGAACUAACUAACUAGGUCACAGAUAUAUCAAAUAAUGGGUAUGAGUAAACUAUAAUUAUCUGUCGGCAACUAACCGACAAUCUCACCCCUCAGGGUAUACCGACCUCAAAGUUCAUCGAACGAUAGGAGUCAAGGAACAGACCGAAUAUGUCACAGAUACGAGAUACAAGAACCGACCAAUCAGGUCACUGAUAUAAAGUACGAGAACCGACCAACCAGGUCAACGGGUACUGAAUGCAACAACCGACCAACUGGGUCAACAUUUAUCACAAGUAGAUAAAACUACUCUACUCCUACUCAGGAUACUAAUCAUGCAAACAGCGAGUAGAGUAAGAUGUAAACGAUAUGGGUGCAAGGCUCAAUAUACUAUACUACGCAAUAGUAAUAACAGGAGAACAGGGAUAGAAGGAUAUCUAUCACCGAGCGUGCACCACUGUACCGACGUCGGAUCGAAGUACCCACCUGUACAGCUAUGGAACUGAUCUCUCAACUGCGGAGACGGAACGACUGAACCUACGAAAGGUCCAUCGGGUUAGAAUCUAACCUACUAACAUGUAACGCUACUCACAAUCCCCACUCAUGGCCCGACGGGAAUCGGUUUUCCAAAAUCGAUUGCCAAAUACACCGGAAGUCCCGAAAACCGCACCGGAACUCCGCCGAGACCUACGAACAAUCCCGGGACACACCGACUCAGGAUAAGAGUCGCCCGCUGCCACUAAACACCUAUUUUAGUGUGACUUGGCAGCAAAAACAUUAAUUCGCCACGAAACGACUAUCGUUGGAUAAUCGUUCCGAUUCGGGUUCCCGGAAGUGUCAAUUUCGACACCGGAACCCACCGUCGCUCACCGGUCAUUUCCAAACCCUCGAAACGAUGCGGGUGACCAGCCAACAAGGCUCCGCGACACCACAAUUACUCACGAGGCACCGUCAGAAGAAUUCCGAACAUAAACCGCGUUUCGUCGGCGGAUUCGCCAAAAAACGCACCGAAAAUCACUUUCUGAUUUUCGCAAAGGCCUGGAACCUUGGACAAUCAAUCCAGAGGUUACCCACAGCCUGCACACACUGCCAACAGCAGCCACUAAAAGUACAAUUGCACAAAAACCCUCCCGAUUACACGAAUUCGCAUUAUUUCAUGCGAUUUUCGAGAUUUUAUAGCCCGACAGUGCAAACCGAUAUUAAUUCAAUCAAACCGGGACACCCGCUGACAGGUCUCGGCAUGCCGGAGGCCGUGCUCACCUUUCGGAGCAGUUUCGGCCACUGUGGGAAGCGCGGGAGCGACUCGAAGUUCAGCGAACAUUGCGCGCUGAAACUAAAACGCCUCUAACUCACUCAUCUGGAGCUUGUUGACCCUAAAUGAGGUGAGCACUGUGAUCAGAACUGACUGAAGAUCACCGUGCUCACCUCCAGAGGCAUCGGAACAGCCCCGGGUCGCCGAAAUAGUGAUCCUAAACCGAAACAGUGCGCAGAACAGCAAAAACUUUGCUUACCGGCCAUGGGAGAGCUAGGGCUGGCCGGCGACGGCCGUACGGUGGGCGAUCCAGUCGAGGACGAGCGCGGCAGGUCGGUGGGGUCCAGGGCAGGUGCUGGCCGGCGACGGAAGGCGGCCGGUGGCGCGGCGGCACAGAUCAACCCGCGACUUGCUCUCGGGUUCAUGGGGUCCGCGGUGGUCCAGCGGCGACCGGAGGAGCUCCGGGAGGCGACGAUCUAUCGCCGGAGGUCGAGGAGGAGGUGAUGCGCUCCGCUGUGGGCGGCGGCGAUGCGCGGAGGCCAUGAGGGCUCCGCCUUGGCCAGCACCAGGUCUUGGUGGCCGCAGGACCUAGGGCGGCGCCGGCGGCGCACGGGGAUGGCCGGGAAUGCGCGCCUGAGGUAGCCGGAUGCCGGAGGGAGGCGGGGCGGCUGAACUAGGACGGUUGCUGCACGCCGGCCUCAUGCUGGGCCGAGCUCGGCUCAAGUGGUUCCGGGUUGGCCGCAGCGAGCUCGGACGGCGCCGGCAACGCACGGGGACGGAGGGGGCCGGCGGGGAAGAUGCCGGAGAUGGGCCUCGACCCGAGGAUGAAGACUCCACAGGUCAGGGUGACAUCCAGAGGCCGACAGCCACGGUGGUGGGAACAAAAUGAGAGAGAAGUUGAGAGGGAGGUUCUUCCGGCGGCCGGAGCAGCUUGCCGGCGGCCGGGGCGCGAGCACGGUGACGGCAGAGAAGGGCUGAGGUCAGCUAGGGUUGGCUGGGGGUGAUGGGUCGGCUAGGGCUAGGGUUUGAGCAAGAAAACCCUAACAUCCCUAUUUAUACCAAACGUAAUUUUGCAGCGAACCCCCUCAAGGUUGAUUACUUACAGUCCAACCCUCGACAGCACGUGCACUUUGCACGCCCGCACCUCGACGUUCGAAACCGCGCAAAACGGUACAUAAAAUAUUGGACCUUUCGCAAUUUUUUCGUUUUGCCGAUUUCGACCCCUUAGCGAAGAUUUUGCUAUUCCCGAAUAUUCGUCCAUCGGAUUUCCGAUCAGAUUGUGCCAGUGCGUUCAGCACGAUUGGGGCAUUGAAUCUACAACUUUGUUGCAUCUGAUUCGAUUACCGAUUUGCGACGAAACCCAUCCUCUCUCCAACUAAUCCAAAUAUCACACAUAGGCCUAUGUGGAAACCCAAAAACCUUUAAUUAAAAUUCGAAUUUGAAUUCCCUACCACCAGUAGGUACCAGAAACAUCUCUCACCCAACCCCAGGUCACAAGCACAGAGCACGAGGAGCUUUAUAAUGCAAGAACAGCAAAGAGCGAAAACCGUCUUUUCGAUAAAACUCUCUUUUCUCGAAAAUCGUGCAUCAAAUCUAAAAUUCAUCAGCACCAUUGGUUCCAGAAUAGCUGAAACGAGCUAUUGGAUCGCUAUGAACGGAGUCCGAUACGUGCCGAAAGCCAACUCUACUUCGUGGCUCCUCCGGAAAACCAAAGUUACUAUUCACUUAAAUAAUUAGUAGUUAUCGCGUAACUUCUCUAUUCUAACUCUUUUUCUCCUGAAACUUGACGAGUGCUUAUGUAGUUAAAUAACACAUAAAAACAUCUUCAAUGGAGAGUUUAGCUACACUGUUAAAAUCUCAGUCCUUACAUUCCUGGGCCCCCUCCUACCGGCCGCAACCCUCGCCGGCCAGCUCUCCCGCCGUCUGGCCGCCGCCGGCCAUCGUGUGCUCCUGCGGGCUCCGGUAAGCUUUAAUUAGUGUUCUGCGCACUGUUUUGGGAUUCCGGACGCUUUUUCGACGAUCCGAGGACACCCCGACACUCCCAAAAGUGAGCACGAUGAUCCUUGAUCCUUGCAGAACAUCGUGCUCACCUCCUUUGGGGUCAGCGAAGCCCUGGUUUGUGAUAUAAGCAUUGUUCAGGCAUUGUGCAUGUUAUUCGCAGAACUUAGUGUCGCUCCGGCGCACGCCACAGUGGGCGGCCGUGCUCCGAAGAGUAAGCACGGCCUCAGGCACAUCGAGACCUAUCAGCGGUUGUCUCAACUAGGCUAGAAAGCCCUCGAUUUGCGCUGUGGGGCUGUAAAACCCCGAAAAUCACAUAAAAUGAUGUGAUUUUUGAAAGUUGUAGGGGGUUUUAUGCAAUUGUAUGUUUCAUGGUUGCUGUUGGCAGUGUGUGCGGGCAAUGGGUGACCUCUGGACUGGUUGUCCAAGGCCCCAGGCCUUUGCGGAAAUCAGAUGUUGAUUUUCGGUGUGUUUUUCGCGAAAUCCGCCGACGAAACAAGAUUUUGGUUCGAAAUUCUUCCGACGGUGCCUCACGAUUAAUUGUGUAAUCGCUGAGCCUUGUUGGCUGGUCACUUGUAUCGUUUUGAGAGUUCGGAAACGACGGGAGAGCGACGGUGGGUUCCAGUGUUGAAUUUGACACUCCCGGGAACCCGGAUCGGAACGAUUAUCCAACGAUAAUCGUUUCGAUGUGAGGAGGUGUGUUCGCUGCCAGGUCCUACUAAUAAUUGAGUUUAGUGGCAGCGUAUGACUCGUAGCGCGAGUCGGUGAGUUCCGGAACAGUUCGUGGGUCCCGACGGAGUCUCGGUGUGAGUUUCGGGACUUCUGGCGUGUUACGGCAAUCGGUUUUGAGAAACUAAUUCCCGUGGGUUUACAUGUAGGGAUUGUGAGUUAGUGGUUCGUGUUUGUGGAUUGUAUGCUAACCUGGUGGACCUUUCGUAGGUCCGAUUGAUAUUUCCUCCGCAGUCGGAAGGCCAGUAUCGUAUACGUACAGGUGGGUACUUCGACCCGAAGUCGGUAAAGUGGUCCACGCUCGGUGACAUUCCCUAUACUUUUUUCUUAUUGUUUCCCUUGCAUAUUAUAUGUUGAGCCUAGCACUUGUACCAUAUCUCUUUAUUGCUCUACUUAGUUGGUUUGCAUACCGAGUAUCAUGUUUUAGAAGUAAAGCGGUUUUAUGAUUAUUUGUGAGAUCUAUGACCUAGUCGGUCAGUUCGUUGCAUCUGGUAUUGUGACCUAGUUGGUCGGUUCUUGUAUCUCGUACCUCUGAUCUAUUCGGUCAAUUCACUGCAUCUGUUAUUGUGAUCUACUUAGUCGGUUGGACUCCUUGGUGACCUGCCGGUCAGUAUACCCUGAGGGGUUGGAUUGUCGGCUAGUUGCCGAUGUUUGGCUAUUGAGCAUAUUAGCAUCGAUCGCCACUGCUCGUAUGCAUUUCACGUACACCAACUGUCUGAUCCAUCGCAAGAGGGUGUUCUUUUUCAGAAAAGUGGUUAAGAGUGCCAGCCCGUGAGCCCAAAAGGGGUUAUAUGCUUUCAGACCUAAGAGCUUAUGCUUGGGUCAUUUACAGAUUAGAGCAGUUGCAGCACAGGCCUGAGGUGUGGGGACCAAUAUGGCAUGUUUCAGAUUGGGUAUUUUUGGAUUUGUCGUCCGGUUGAUGCAUACAUACAGUAGCAGUAGUUGUUUAUUUAUACAUCCCGUUCGUUUAUUAUCGUUGAUACUGUAUUAUCCUUACCUAUACCUUUGUUUAUUCUCCGUGACUGAUGAGUCCUCCUUGCCCUCAUCGGCUUACAGUACCCACUGGGAGGGGAGACAUGUGUACAUGUUCUCACCCCCCACCCCCAUUACAGAUGACGUCGCGGGGCCUAGUGGGACGGUUCGUGAGGAGCGUAUUUAGAGAUUGGUAGAGCUUUCGGACCAGUCUAUUCGGUUUAACUCUUAAACUUGCUUUCUUAAAUAAUUGGCAUAGAUGAUAUGGUUCAGUGAUUUAUUUUAUUUGCAUUCAUAUGGUUUUAUGAAUAUAAUAAAGUUCACGGAAUUUUAUAAAUUAAAUGUGGUUUUCUACCCCUCGUGGUAGCGCGUUUUUUAAAGAAAAAGGUUUCCGUGUAGGAAACGAUUUUUAAAAGGAUUUUCUGGUUUUCCUGGUUAUUAGUAUUUUAAAAUGAGUUUCCGAGUAGGAAACGUUUUAAACUAAUAGAUGUGAACUUAUGAAUAUUUGUGAUGAACUGAAUGUGGAUGUGAAUGGUGUAUGAAUAUGGGUGUUCAUAUGUUGUGGUUGUAUAUUGUACUUGUGCGAUGCCGUGCAAAUAUAGGGGAGGUUUUGUUCGCGUGAACAGUGGACUUCAUGUAUUUGUGGUGGAUUUGGCAUACCCUGGGGGUCAGGAUUUUCAAAAAAAUAAAAUAAAAUUGGGCACUUCCGCAUUGUUUUUAUAUCAAGAAGAGACCCUAGGGCGUGACAGCCUCCAUUAUGAAUGCACUCUUUGGUGUGGCUAAUAUCUCUGUGAAUGUGGAAUUCCCUCUCGGUGGGCUGAGAAAGAGAUCCUUUCCUUGUGGAAUUAUGUCUCGCAUUAACGUCUCCGCCAACCUCAUCAGCCCCUUCCUCCAUAAAUAUCAAAUUCUGAAGCCUACAACCCUUUUCUUGCUAGGAAUUAAUCGGCACAUCAAUUUAAACGCAGCGGAAAAUAGUUUUCGCACUUUUAAAAUUUUUCGGAACCCAAAUACAUAUCACAUAUGGAAACCGAAAACUAAUAAAUCAAACCGUUGCCGGCAGAUCAUUCUCAUGUUACUAUGCAAAAAUUUAAUCUAAACAAAAACUCCUUAUGUUUAAAGAUCUUACCGUAGACCAGUUAAGGUCUCUUGAUCUACUGUACGGUUGAAACUGAAUAUGAUGAACAGAGGUUCCGAUUAGCCGCGCACAUGCCCAGCCUCUACGCGUAUCUACACGGAAUCGGUGCAUACCCGAUCGACCUUCGUCUCACGAACCGGAUGAGUCACGGACCAUCUGGACGGUGCUAGCAAUCCCUCAUGAUCCACCAUUCGAUGAAGAGUAGAGAAGUUGAUCGAAAAGAAACAUGUGCGCGGGAGAGAAAUCGGAGAGAUUGACCUCUAUAUGUAUAUAGAUCAAUAGCUAACAUUCAUCAAAUUAAUUAAGGUCCAUGGCGUACAUUGAACUUAUUAAUAAGCAUAUUUUGAGCUGAAUGUCAUGUUUGAUUUAUUUCAAUACCUGUUGCAUUUACUUGCUUAUCUAGUAUCGUUUACUCAUGCCACAAUUGACCUAGUGGUGUACUUCGCCACUCUCGGCGGCUUAUCCACUGGGAACUAUUGUUUAAUAGUUCUCACACCCUCUUUGUUGUUGUUUUUACAGAGCCUUCCAUCGCGGGAAAGGCUAGGGUUCCUGGUAAGAAGUCAGCGGCUAGCUAGAGCCUUCUUGACGUUAAAUAGACAACCCUUACAAAUUUAUACAGUUUUCUUCAGUGUUGUAUAUUAAGUUAUGUAAAUUGUGCUUUAGCCUUAUCUGUUGUAAUAGAGUUUUGAGUUGUAUAAGUUUAAACUUUUAAUUGUGCUCUGAUUACCCAGUGCAGUUAAGAUUUGGAUACUACUUUGUUGAUUCUUGUUGUAGACGCCUAGUGUACAUUGUGAUAGUUUGGUGUACACGGCGGGUCUGUGCACAUUACUAUGAGCUUUCGCUGAAGUCCAGGACGUGACAUUAGGUUCAAUGCCACUAUACUCAUAGCCUAGAUUCAUUAACACUAGGUCCAAUGUCCUUUACUACCUAGGUUCAUUCGACUCUAGAUUCAAUGUCACUAUAUUCAUAACCUAGAUUUACUUGACUCUAGGUUCAAUGCCACUCAUGUUCUUUUUUUCCUAAUUUUUCACACUUAGGAAUCAUACUUGACAUGCCACUCAUGAAUCACCUAUGUUCAUUGAUACUAGGUUUCAUUGCCACUCAUGAUAGUUAUUAUCUUAAUUAUCCACAGUUAGGAUUCUUUACAUAUCACCCUUGUCAAGUUCUUUACUAUACUUAAGAGUUCAUCGACUCAAGUUUAACAUUCAUGUCAUUCUAGCAUAUUCUCAUAAUAUGUCAUCAUGCAUAUAUUCUUUAGCAUCUCAUACACAUGCCUAUGUUCUUAUCGAAAUGGUAGUCAACAUAUCUCAUGCAUUCUUUGGUAUACAUCUUAUGCAUUCAUCAUAAUCUAUCAUAUGCAUUCAUUAUCACCUAUCUUAUGCAUUCAUUAGCAUAUAACUCAUGCAUUCAUUUACUUUGCAGUUGGCUACCAUUACAUGCAUCAAUGACGAAAUACACUACACUUUGGCAUGGAAGCAAUCUAAUCGCUUCGGUGAGCACAACCCACGUCAAAUCGCUUUCCGAUUACUUGUCGACACUUGCAAUCGGCCGCCCGCGGCACUCGGUGUCCGGUUCGGCUCGAUCUUGCUAAUACUCACCAACCGUGCGUCGAUUCGCAGCCUCGAAUUUUAAAGCUCUAUAACUUGAUGUCGUGAUGCUAGGAAUCCGUUUUCGUGAUUUUUGGACAUCGUCUCGGCCUUCCAGGCGGAAACGAAACCAAAAACGUCCUUUUUGGCCAUAUCUUUGCGUAGGCUCGACGGAUCGCCGAAUUGACUUCACCAACGAUCUAGAAAACCUAGCAAUUAGGUUUACAUAGGGUCAAUUUACAUUUAAACCCAUCUAUGACAAAAACCCUAAUUUUCGUGCCCUAACAAUGUCAUUUGCAACAUACACCAAAUAGAUCUCUAAAACAAGCAAAUGCAAGCUUGUUGAACCUCUAGGAACUCAUCUAGAACCAUUUAAACCAUUCGUAGGGUGUUUAGAACAAAUCCUAGAAAUCCACCAUGAGAGCACUAUGAAGAAACAUAGAUUUUCAUGUGUUUCAUGGCCUCAAAAAGAUUUAUAUACUUUUAAGAAGAUCAAAACCAAAGAUUUAUGGCAUAAAACCAAACCCUAACCUUGUUCUUACAAGAAAACCUCACCUUAACCCAAAGCACUCCAAGGUCCACCUUGUAGAAGAGCUCUAGGUCUUCCAAAAGCUCCAAAUCUCUAAAUCCUUCUCCAAUCUCCUCCAAAUCCACCUUGGAGUAGAGUUUCUAGAGAGAGAAAGGGAGAAAAGAGAGGGAAGAAGGGUUCUCAACCACUGGUAACAAGAGAGGGUGCUGGGGGUUUUUAUAAGAUGCUACAAUUGCAUUUAAACCCUCCCUUUCUUCAUAUUUGCAGCAGAUCAAAUUAUGCUGCGAAGUACACUUAGUACCGGUACUAAAUAUUUUGUCACUGGUUACAUGAUUACGUACAGCUAAACCGGAGAGUUAUUUUCUCGGAUAACAGUACUGGUACCGGUACUAACCAGGGAUGUGACCGGUUUAACAGUCUGGUACCCAUACCACUUCAAUGCAUUACUGGUAAUGUAAGGACUGAGAUUUUGGCAGUGUAGCUAAAAUCUUUGUUGCUGAUGUUUUUGUGUGUAAUUUAAUUACAAAAGCGCUCGUCAAGUUUCGGAAGAAAACGAGUUAGAACGGAGAAGUUAUGCGAUCGUUAGUUUUCACUUAAAGUGAAUAGUAAUCCGGUUUUCCGGAAAGGCCACGAAGUAGAGUUGGCUUCCGACACGUAUCAGACUCCGUACAUAGCGAUCCAAUAGCUCGUUUUAAACGGUUCAGCUAUUCUGGAACGAAUGGCGUUGAUGGAUUUCAGAUUCGAUGCACGAUAUUCAAGAAAAGGGAGUUUAUGGGUUUUACACAUAUAUUUAUGUGUGGUUUUGGAAAGUUGGAGAGUGGAUGGGUUUAGUCGCAAAUCGGCGACCAGAUCGAACGAAUCAAAAUGGUAGAAUCGAUGUCCCAGUCGUGCUGAAUGCGCUGGCGCGAUCCGAUCGAAAAUCCGACGGGUGGAUCUUUGAGAAAAGCGAAAUGUUCGUUGAGAGGUCGAAAUUGGCAAGACGGAAAAAUUGCGGAAAACCUAAUAUUUUAUGCACCGUUUUGCGCGAUUUCGAACGUCGAGGGGCUGGUGUGCAUAAUACACGUACUGGCAGGGACUGAGCUGAAAGUAAUUGUCUAUGGGGGACCUUUUUGCAAUUGUACACAAACAUAUAAGGGGGCAAAGUGUAGAUUUUUAAAUGACAGUGGGAAAAGUGAAAAAUCGGAUUUUGAUAGGAAGGUUUUAUGUAUUUUAGCCUACAAAUUAACCAAAUAACCUAGCUGAAUAAUAAAAAUAAAAACCGAGACAUAAAACCAAUAACUAGAAUGGAAUAGGUUAGCUAAUUACAUAGUUAUUAAUUGAGUAAACACACUAAUCAGCGUUUUAUUUGAUUAAUGAUUGGCUACAAAUAGUAAAUCGCUUGCUAGUGCAAGCGAUUAGGAGCCAUAUAUUAUUAAUUAGCAAUGCUGCAUAAUUAUCAGAAACUAAUUAAUGAAAAAAUUAUUUGAGUUCUCGAGUUGCUAAGAAUUAAGAAUAUAAUUACGAAAAUAAACUAAAUAGCUUAGAUGCAGCUAUUAAUUGAAUAAGCACACUAAUCAAUUUAUUAUUUGAUUAGCAACUGAUUAUAAAUAAUAAAUAACUUGCCCAAAUAGUUAAUUAACAUAUAUAUAUUAAUUUAAGUGCUCAAGCAGUUAGUGUGUAACUAAAUAAGUCAAUUAUAAUAUCAAUUAUAAUAUUAAUUAGCAAUGUUAUAUACAUUUAUCAGAAACUAAUUAAUAAAAAAUUAGUAAAGAUUUUGAUUUGUUAAGAAUAUAAUUAUGAAAACCAAGGAAAUAACCUAGAUGAAUGGAGUUGGAAAUAAUUUACAAAAAGUGAUCUGUGCAGUGCAAAUUUUAAAAUCGAACAAAGUAUAAAGUAACCUUAUACAGUAGUCACCACCUGGGGGGAGGGACAAAAGACUCACAGAAGAAGCUAAAUACAUAGGCUCAGAUGAAAGGCAUAUUUAAUCAGGAGGGGGAAAAAACUCACAGAAGAAGCUAAAUAAAUAUGAACCAAUUGAAAUUUUUUGUUUGAGGCUCAGAUGAAAGACAUAUUUAAUUAGGAGUGUGCACUCCUAUCGACCAAGAGGACAUUCGAAGUGAGAUUUCUUUCAUCUAUCAUCAUCGCCUAGAAAAUACAUUAGAAAAAUUAGUAUUAAUCACAAAUAUAUUCUGCUAUUCUUCUUAAUUCUAACAUAAUGUCUCGGAAAAAAAAAAGGAAAAAUUUAAGCAGUCUUCACAAAAAAAACUAAAAAGGUAAGGCUCAGUUAAAUUGGCAAAAAUGCUCAUAAGCAUAGAAUAGUAAUAGAAGCAAUAGAUUACCGUAGGAGGAACAUGUGUGCAACGACCAAGGAUAAGAACAAUAGGAAGUGGUUGCCUAUAAAUAGGCCGUCCAAACUUCCGCUUGUUCGAAGCCAUCAUUUUUCACGUUUUCCUCUACUUAUCAUCAUCGCCUCAAAGAAGAGAUAGAAAAUAGCAAGAAACAGAAAAGAAUAAAAGAAACAAAGGAGUAUUAGUAAAACAACAAUGUAUCGAAGCAGUCGAGUCCAUGCAAAGCUACCACAUUUAAUCCAAAACAAAGACAGGAAUAUCAUAUUUGAGUACAACCAAUUAUCUGUAAAACUGACUCUAUCCAAAUCUACCACAUUUAAUCCCAAACAAAGAUACGAAUACCAAAUUUUGAAUACAAAAAAACAUAUGUAAAACUGCUUUCUCACAAAUAAUCCGACAACCAAUCAAAAAUAAAAUAUCAGAGGAUCAUAUUUGGCCACCAACUAAACAUGAGGUGAUCCAAUCUCACAGCUUGUGCAAGUAAAGAAUGCAAAUAAGAGAACUGUUGGCAAAUUUUGAAUCAGUAGGUUAGAAUCACAUGUGUACACCAAAAUUUGAACAACAUCAGAACACUAAAUCACAGUUAAUUGCCCAAGGAUUACGUUCCCCAAAAGGUAGAAUCGCAAUUUUCAGUACAACUAAAUAUCAGCACAUUGUUGUACCAACUACCAUCGGUAAAUCCAAGCCACCUCAUGCAUUGAGUAUAUAGAAGUUUCUUAAUUUAAAACAAAGGCAUCAACUUAAAUUUCAAAUAAAUGAAGUAGCAAUCGGUUGCCUAUGAUGCAGGCCAUCCAAAGUGCUCUAACCACCAGCCAAGAAGGCCCGGGCCCCUCUCAAUUAUCGCAAUUAUUUCACAUUCAAGGGAAGGUCAGCAUAGUAUGGGACAAUAACAGGCGAAAGCUCAAUUGUCGCAGUCAUCUAACAUUCAAGGGAAGGUAAUCAUAGUAUGGGACAAAAAGAGGCGAAAGUAAAGUACCCCCCGCAAAGGACAAAACAUUAUUAUAAACUACACAGGACACAGCUAUGAAGAACAACAAAGAGCCGACAGCCAGCAGGAAGACAUUGGGAACCUGCAGAAACCAAAAAAGGGACUUGCGGAUUCCACGGCAUAUAAUUUUUUUUUGUUUUGAAAAUCAGGUUGAAGGAAAAGCAAAAGAACAGAGUUUUAUCUGUAGAAAACCUUGAAAUAAUGAUGUAAAAUAACUAAGUCUUCAAAGGAUGUUGAAACAAAAAGGGAAAAAGAAAUCGAAUGCAGGUAAAAGCAAGCCGAAAACACAGAUUUGACAAAUCAAAGCCAAAGAUGCAAUUUGGGAAAAUCCCAAUAGCUUAAAAAAAUAUGAGAACACUGUUUACAAAGAAGAGAAAAGUGAAGAGGAGCAGCAAACAUGAGUAGGUAUGGAAAUAAAUAAAUAAAUUUUGCCCACACUACCCUAGUGAUCGAGCAUUAUUAGAUUGGCAGCGAAGCCUUCCUGAUUAGUAGUGCUGACCGAGCUAGAAACCAUGCACACGUCGAAACUAUUCUUAGCACAAAUGAGAACAACCGGUUGCUUACGAAGUAAGCCAUCCAAAGUACUCUCAUUACCAAUCAAGAAGGCGCAGGCCCCUCUCAAUUAUCACAACCAUCUAACAUUGGGAAGGUCAUCAUAGCACGGGAGGAAAGCAGGGAAGACAAAGCCUCGGGGAAUAGAAGGUUCAAAUUCUUAUCACAUUCAGGUGCAAGCAAAGUAACCCACAACAGACAAAACAUUGCUAUAAACCGCACAGGACAGAACUACAGAUAUCAAGAAAGAAUCUGCAGCCAUCAGGUAGACAUAGGGAACAUCUAGAAACCAAAAAAGGGGCUUGCGGAUUCCAAGGCGCAUCCAAUAUAUACUUUUUAAACCAUGCUGAAGGAAAGGGGGAAGGAGGGGCCUGCAGAUUCCAGGGUUUUUUUUUUCUUUGAAACCAUGCUGAAGGAAAGGGGAAAGGAAAGAGUUUUACCUGGACCAAACCUCAGAACAAUGAUGUAAAAUAACCAAGUAAUCGAAGGACACUAAAACACACACAGGAAAAAGGAAGUAAAGAAAAAACAAAUGUAUGUAAAAGUGAGUUGGAAAACACAAUUUGCAGUUUCCAGAAAUCCCAAGGACCAAAAAAACAUGAAGCCAGUGUUAGCAAAAAAGGAGUAGAGCAAAAACAUUAAACUAAUGACAAACAUAGCAGAAAUCUCCAUCUUCUAAUGUUCGGAAUCUACGUAAAAAUAAGUAAAAAAAACAGAGCUUGCAGGUUUGGAAAAUCUCAAGGGUGUAAAAAAACAUGAAACCAGGGUUCGCAACGAAGAGAACAGUGAAGAGAAGUAGAGGGCAAAGAUUAAACGAAUGACAAACAUGCACUUUAGGAAAAUCUAAAUAGGAAAAAUAUUCUAAGAGUAAAUCCAAAAAUAGAGAGUUUUGACAAAUGAGCAGAAAUUUCCAGAUUCUCUUUCAAUCACCGGAAAACUAUAAAGCACACCAUGAAAACCAAACCAGGGAAGGAAUGUUUGCAAAGAACAGAAGAUCACUAAUGUUUGAAAAGAAGAAUCGUAAAUUUGAUAAAAAAUUAGGAUACGAAAACCAUACAAAAUAACCUAGCUAAAUUCAGAUGGAAAUAGUUUAUUCAUAAGUACAGAAUAGUAAUGAGAACAAAAUCUGAUAGGCAAGGUAAAUAUAUUUUGCUCAGACUCCCCCAUUUAUCAAGCAUUAGUCAGAUCCACGCCAUUUUUUUAAUUUUUUCUUUUUUGCUUUAGUAGCGUCGAGUGGAUUGAAACAGAUAUGCAGAACCAAAUUACCCUAGAAUGAGACCCACCGGUUGCCUGCAAAGCAGGCCAUCCAUAGUGUUCCCAUUUCUCUCGGCAGUGUAGCACCUUCGUACUUAGCACACUAGUACUUAGCACACUCGUUCUUAGCACACUAUGCCAAUGGCUUUCCAUAGUGUUCCCAUAGUGUUCAGUAGCUUGGGCAAGAGAUAAAAAAACAAAAGACAUGGUUGCCGAGGGAUUAGUCCUUUCAAGUCUCCGUUUUUCCAAAAAGAUUAUACACCAAGACUUAAGAGAUGGUUGCCGACGGAUUAGGCCAUCCAAAUCUCUUUUUUUUGUUCUCUUUGUAGCAUCACUGCCUCAAAAGAGAUUGAAAGAACUAAAAUGUCAAACGUUCCCACAAAUUAGCACAUGAGCAAUAGCUAUCAUCCACACUUAUCUUUACAUAUCAUCAUCGCCUCAAAAAAUAGCUAGAAAAUGGACAGGAUCGCAAAGAAAUGAAGAAAAUAAAGUAAUAUUAGGAAAAUAACAAUACACUGAAUAAUAUGAAUAACCAAGAGCAAGGAGUGGCAGGAAGAGCAUGUAAAAAAUCUCGAGUGUAAAGCACAUGUACUAUUUUUUCAGAAAUUACAAUCCGAAUAAAACAAACCUUAAAAUGUAUCAAAAGUAUCUGUAAAUACUAAGCAAUCCAAAUCUCCGUUUUUUCCAAAAAUAUUAAACACCAAGACUUAAGAGAAGGUUGCCGAGGGAUUAGGCCACCCAAACCCUUUUUUUUCUUUUUGUAGCAUCACUGCCUCGAAAGAGAUUGAAAGAACUAAAAUGCCAAAAGUUUCCAGAAAUAAGCACAUGAGCAAUAGCUAUCAUUCAAGUUAUCCUUACUUAUCAUCAUCACCUCAAAGAAGAGCUAGAAAAAGGACAGGAUCACAAAGAAAUCAAGGAAAUCAAGUAAUAUUAGAGAAAUAACAAUUUACUGAAGAAUAUGAAUAACCAGGAGAAAGAGUGGCAGGAAGAGCAUGUAAGAAAUCUCAAGUGUAAAGCACAUGUACUAAUUUUCCAGAAAUUAGAAUCUGAAUAAAACAAACCUAAAAAAGUAUCAAAAGCACCAGUAAAUAGUAAGCAAACUUCAUACUAUCUAUUAUUAUCCCAACUAUAAGCAAGCAGUGGAGAAAAGAAUCCCAAUUCAUAAAAAAGAAAGGUAAAAAAAAAAAAACUGCAAAACACUAUUGAUAAAAAGCUUUGAAAUUAAGCAAAGAUAGGAAAUGAAUACAAACAUAUGUCAACCAAGGAAAGUAGAUAGAUGCAAACGAUAUUAGCAGGCAAAAAUUAUAAAAAAAAUACCUGUAUCAAAAUAUAUUCAUCUUAAUGAAGCAAAUAUAUUCACACUUUUCCUUAUUUAUCAUCAUCGCCUCAAAACAGAGCCAGAAGCAAGACCACAAAAAAAAUUAAAACUGAAGUAAGAGAACGAAAAACGUGAAGAAUAAACAACGAAAAAAAAGAUGAUAUAGGAUUUGAAAAAGGGCAAGAUUGAUGAACUUAGAGAGAAAGAACAUCUUCAUUCUUUUUGUCACACAUUUGAUGCAUAUUUUUUUAGCCAACAAUAGGUGCAUGCGUUGCCCUAAGACCAUCAAUCUUGCCCUUUUUCAAAUCCUAUAUCAUCAUUGCCUAGCAAAUUAUUUGAAGCCACGAAUUAGCCAUUUUUUUAUGCCACUAUUUUUAUAAUAUUAUGAUUAACAUUUUGAUUAGUUAUAUUAAGUAUAAGGAGUCUCCUUUGUCAGAUUCUAAAAGUCCACCAUCCAUAUAUAUAUAUAUAUAUAUAUAUAUAUAUAUAUAUAUAUAUAUAUAUAUAUAUAUAUAUAUAUAUAUAUAUAUAUAUAUAUAUAUAGAAAGAGAGAGAGAGAGAGCGAGAGAGAGCAGAACUACUAUGCUCUUAGGAGCACUAAGGCCUCUGUGCUCCGAAGUCGUUUUUGAUGAUAGAAUGUCCCAAUCAAUGAUCGACCCCCUUAAACUUGAUCUAGCAUAUUUGAAAUAUCUGGAAAAUAAACUUUACGAUUUUUCGAUGUCAUUUACCCAACGAUCAAAAGGUUUCAAAAUCAACGGUUGAAAAUAAAAAUCUCACAAAAAGUGGUGAUAUGACACUAAAAUUUUCGAUCAGAUAUAUUGAUCUUGCUGUAAAGAGUAUAUAAAAUUUUUUAUCAAAAUUUCAUAUGAUUUGGAUACUUCUACACCGUUAAACUUGAAAACAGUAGACAUCAACCAUUAAAAAUUAUUAAUUUUGAACUCUUUCGAUUGCUAGGUAAAUGACAUCAAAAAAUCACAAAAUUUAUUUUCUAGAUCAAAUACAAUAGAUCAAGUCUAAUGGAAUCGAUCGGCGAUUCGAAAAUUUGAUCAUCUAAAACAGCUUAGGAGCAUAGCACAGCAGCCCUGCUCUCUAUAUAUAUAGAGAGAAAGAGAGAGAGAGAGAGAGAGAGAGAGAGAGAGAAAGAGAGAAAGUAGGUCUUGUGCGUUAUUAGAAGCAGGGAGGCCUCUGUGCUCGUAAGCCGUUUUCAAUGAUAUAACUUCCAAAUCGAUGAUCGGUUCUGUUAGACUUGAUCUAGCGUAUUUGAACUAUCUAGAAAAUAAAUUUUACGAUUUUUUAAUAUCAUUUACCUAGUGAUCAGAAGGACUCAAAAUCAACAGAUGAAAAUAAAAAUCUCACAAAAAGUUAUGAUGUAGCACUAAAAUUUUUUAUCAAAGAUAUUGAUCUUGUUGUAGAUAAUAUAAAGAAUUUUCUAUCAAAAUUUCAUCUGAUUUGAAUACUUCUACAUUGUUAAAUUUGCAAACGGCAUACAUUAACCAUUAAAAAUUGUUGAUUUUGUACCUCUUCAAUCGCUAGGUAAAUGAUAUCGAACAACCGCAAAAUUUAUUUUCUACAUACUUCAAAUACGUUAGAUCAAGUCUAACGGAGCCGAUCGCCGAUUAGGAAGCUCCAUCAUUGAAAACGGCUUAGGAGCACCGAGGCCUCCAUGCUCCUAAUAGCACACAAGUAUAUAUAUAUAUAUAUAUAUAUACUUGUGUGCUUUUAGAAGCACAGUAACCUUCGUGUUAUCAAGUCAUUUUCGAUACUGAGAAUUCCAAAAAUGAUUGGAUUCAUUAAAUUUGAUCUAAAGAAUUCGAAGUACCUAGAAAAUAAAUUUCGCGAUUAAAUCGAGAUCAUUUACCUAUUGACCAAAAAGGCCCAAAAUCAACAAUUGAAUAUAAAAUUCUCACAAAACGUAAUAAUAUGACACAAAUUUUAAAUCAAAAAUAUUGAUCUUGCUUUAUAUGGUAUAAAGAAUUUUUGGCAAAAUUUAAUGUGAUUUCGAUAUUUCUACACCAUUAAACUUGCAAACGACAUUUGUGCAACAAGUUUAACGUGUAGAAAUAUCUAAAUCACGUUAAAUUUUGACAAAAAAUUCUUUAUACUAUAUAAAGAAAUAUCAAUACUUUUUAUCUGAAAUUUGUGCCAUAUCAUCACUUUUGAAAUUUGUGCCACAUCAUCACUUUUUGUGAGAUUUUUAUUUUCAACCGUUGAUUUUGAGCCCUUUCAAUCAUUAGGUACAUGAUAAUAAAAAAUCACAAAAUUUAUUUUCUAUAUACUUUGAAUAUUCUAGAUCAAGUCUAAUAGAGCCGAUCGUCAAUUUGGAAGCCCCAGCAUCGAAAACGACUUGAAAGAACGGAGGUUCACACUUCACAGUGCUUCUAAAAGCACACAAGCCUCUCUAGCUCUCUCUCUCUCUCUCUUUAUAUAUAUACACACACCAUGCAACAUGCAUUAUUGCAUAAACUCCCGUGAGAAAUAGGUAUCUGGAUAUGUGAUUUUCAAAACCAUAUUUAUUUGCAUUCAUGCCUCUGCUAGGAGUAUAUGAGCUUAACAACCAAAUUCCCCAAUGGAAGACAUCAAGCUAGAGCUUUUCUCGAUGUAGUCUUUGAAAGAGAUGGUCAAGCUACCAAAUUGCUAGAGAAUUCUAUUCCACUUAGGGCUGAAAUGAUAUAAUAUAGGCGAUAUAUCUUGAAUAAGCAAUUAAAUAUUAACUUAUAGUUUUUUUUUUUUGCAUAUAUAUACACUACAAGUCUUCAAUAUGAGAAGUUGUUUAACUACCGACCUCAAAGUUGGUAAGAAAAUUUUCCAUGUUAUGUAUGCACAUAUCAAUUUUAUGAAGGCAUUUGUGCAAUUUUCUGUAUUUGCCAGGAUAUAUAUAAAUACAAACAUAUAUGAGAAGUAGGUAUCUAAAUGUGUGACCUUCAAAGCCAUAUGUAUUUGCAUUCAUGCCUUCACUAAGGGUUUAUGAAAGUAAGAUCCAAACGAAAUUCCGCACCUUGUCCCCAGUAGAAGACAUCACUCCGGAGCUCUUCUUGAUGUAGUCUUUAGCAGAGACGGUCAAGCUGCCCAAUUGCUAGAGAAUUCUAUUCCACUUAGGCCAAAAUGAUAUAAUAUAGGCAUAUAUCUUGAAUAAGCAAUUAAGUAUUACUUAUAGUUUUUCUUGCAUAUAUAUACACACACACUACAGUUUUCAUGAAUGAGUACAUGAGCAAUAGCCACCAUUGAUAAGAAUAAUAAGAAGUGGUUGCCUAUGAGCAGGCUGUCCAAACUGCCUAUCUUUUAAAAGAGCCGACAUAACUGUGAUGCACGUUAGAAACAAAAACAGCAACACAAAUUGCAGUAAUUGCAUCACAUUAUAAACAAAAAAAUGCCAAAGCUCUCAAGUAUGCAAAGAGGGCCCAAAAGGUUUUGAUGGCUUGGGGGUGAGACCAUCCAAACUCUCCAGCAUUUUUCUCACAAAAAAAUAGCCCCAGACUACACCAAUAAUCAAUGCCAAUCUCUCUUCUUUUUUUUUUUCUUUAUAGUAUCACUGCCUCAAAAGACUUCAAAACAACUAAAACUCCAAAAGAUCAUGCAAUAAAAAGCCCACUCAAUUAAGGACAAAAGAAUGAUAUCUUCCAACUGAAACAAAUUCCUAUCAUAACAAAAAAAACUUAAAAAGAAUAGAGGCUAAGUAAUAUCACAAUAGACAAUAAACAAAAAAAUAGAAAAAUAGAGGCUCAGGUAGUGUAAAACAAAUUUCAACCAAGAUCAGUAGCUUGGGCAAGAGGAAAAAAAAUAGAAGAGAUGGUUGCCGAGGGAUUAGCCUGUUCAAAUCUCCGUUUUUCCAAAAAGAUUAUACACCAAGACUUAAGAGAUGGUUGCCGAUGGAUUAGACCACCCAAAUCUCUUUUUUUGUUCUCUUUGUACCAUCACGGACUCAAAAGAGAUCGAAAGAACUAAAAUGUCAAAAGUUCCUACAAAUUAGCACAUGAGCAAUAGCUAUCAUCCACACUUAUCCUUACAUAUCAUCAUCGCCUCAAAAAAAUAGCUAGAAAAUGGACAGGAUCGCAAAGAAACCUAGAAAAUAAAGUAAUAUCAGGAAAAUACCAAUACAGUUAAUAAUAUGAAUAACCAAGAGCAAGGAGUGGCAGGAAGAGCAUGCAAAAAAUCUCGAGUGUAAAGAACACGCACAAUUUUUCCAGAAAUUACAAUCCGAAUAAAACAAACCUCAAAAUGUAUCAAAAGUAUCUGUAAAUACUAAGCAACCGAAAUCUCCGUUUCUCCAAAAAGAUUAAACACCAAGACUUAAGAGAUGGUUGCCGGGGGAUUAGGCCAUCCAAACCACCUUCUUUUAUUUCUUUUUGGAGCAUCACCGUCUCGAAAGUGCCUCGAAAGAGAUCGAAAGAACUAAAAAUGCCAAAAGAUUCCAGAAAUAAGCACAUGAGCAAUAGCUAUCAUUCAAGUUAUCCUUACUUAUCAUCAUCACCUCAAAGAAGGGCUAGAAAAUGGACAGGAUCACAAAGAAAUCAAGGAAAUCAAGUAAUAUUAGGGAAACACCAAGACUUAAGAGAUGUUUGUCGAGGGAUUAGGCCAUCCAAACCACCCCUUUUUUUUUUAUUUUUGUAGCAUCACCACCUUGAAAGAGAUCGAAAGAACUAAAAUGCCAAAAGUUUCCAGAAAUAAGCACAUGAGCAAUAGCUAUCAUUCAAGUUAUUCUUACUUAUUAUCAUCACCUCAAAGAAGAGCUAGAAAAUGGAGAGAAUCACAAAGAAAUCAAGGAAAUCAAGUAAUAUUAGUGAAAUAACAAUACACUGAAGAAUAUGAAUAACCAAGAGAAAGAGUGGCAGGAAGAGCAUGUGAGAAAUCUCAAGUGUAAAGCACAUGUACUAAUUUUUCAGAAAUUAGAAUCCGAAUAAAACAAACCUAAAAGAGUAUCAAAAGCAUCAGUAAAUAGUAAGCAAACUUCAUACUAUCUAUUAUUAUCCCAACUAUAAGCAAGCAGUGGAGAAAAGAAUCCCAAUUCGUAAAAAAGAAAGGAGGAAAAAAACCUGACAUGUACAUUAGAAAUAUUGUCACACAUAUAGUACAGCUUAUCCGUUGAUCUUCAUUUUCAACAGAUUGCACAAAUCAUAGUAAUAUGGCACAAAGCAAGCACGUUUCAGUCAAGCAAUUAUAUUUUUUUCCUCACAGUUUGUCCUAAGGCAACAUACAACAACCUACAGUCCCUAAUUAAAUAAUCCAAUUUUAUAUGUGGUCUUGGUCAUCAUGUAGAGCAAUUAUCAUGCACUAAGGAGAGAUGCUCCUGAGAAAUGAGGUAAAAAAGGGCAUCACUUAAAUAUAUUUUUUAGUUACAGCAGAAUCAUCUAAAAUUUAAAAAACUAGAGAAGCUAAACCUUGCCAAAUGUAGCAAUUCAUUGCAGUGUCACAGGUUUCAGAACAGAGUGUGCUUGUUUGACAGGAAACAAAAUCUUUAUUUGCCGCUAGAUUCGGUAGAAAAGCUCUCACAUAGUCAGCAAAGCCGAUCAAAAAAGGUUUAAAGUGAUUUAGGGAAAAAUAAAUAAAUAAUCUAUGGGGUAUAAAACCCUAGCAAAUAGUUUUUCAAAUUUGACAACAGAUGAACCCAAGUGGGGUUUUUGAUAGAUCAUGGUCAUAGUCGAACAAUGGUUGACUGCAUCUCAUGAAAGAGCCUUCUCAACCUCGGUGGUGACUUCUUUGGGGGGUUUCUCAGCAUGAAGCUGCACCACUAAUCCCUUCUUAGAGUAGUAGUCAAUGACCUGCAAUACGGAAAUAAUACGAAACAAUUCAAAUUUCCGAACUAUAGAAAACAGCAUUUAUUGCGAGUAAUUGAAGGAACCAGGAAAGCUCUAAUAUACCAAUCUAAGAAGAAAGAAUAUAGAUAAAAAAAAAAAAGGAUACACAAUCAGGCAAUAUAUGAAAAUUCAGCAGAUGUGGGAAAAGUCGAGCUGAAUUAAAUUCUUUUAACCAAAGUUUUCUGGCCAAGAGUGAACCCAAUCAAUAUCCCCAAAAAUAGUGGUAAUGCAAAAGUUGUCGCAACUGGCAACAGCUUCCAUUGAAACCUUACCAUGCCACAAAAGGGACAGCAAAGUAUUAUGUAAAAAGAGAAUCAUUUUGUAAUGAAAGAUUCAAAGUGAGAGGAUACAAAAUUAAAAAAGAAAAGGAAAUAAGAAAGAAGUUAAACAGAAAAAGAGGAGGUAGAAUGAUGUAACAGAGUCUUUGAAAAAGAAGAAAGAGGUAGGAGGGCAAGAUUCGACACUCUCGUGUAUCAAAGAAGCAAGGUAUAUUAUCGUUGUAUAUAUGCCAUCUGAAGAAUUUACAGUUAAACUAUAUACCCUCAGACUUUAAUGCAGAUAUGUGUGAUCACCCAAAAUUUAAGUGCAUAUAACUCAUUUGAUAUGUGGUACCAUCAAAAUGCAACUCAAUUGUAACAUGGCAUGAAGAAUUAUUUAAAUAGUAAAGAGAAAAAGGACCAUCAAAAUAAUGAAAAUAUAGAUAAAAACUAGAAAUGAAAUAAAACUGAACUUUCUAAUUACAUGCUGUUGGGUGGCAGGUAGACGCGUGUGUAAUCCUGACUUGACACUUCAUGGUUGGAUAUAGCCUGACCGGACUGACUACUACAGCAAAACUAAGCAUAUUCUUUCAGCAGUGUGGGAACGCUGAUCAGAUACUAUGAGACUACUCUCUUGGUUCGUCAUUUGUUGGCCCAUAUUUACCAAUAUUCAUACAAGGCCUUGCAACAAUUCCCUACUUGGAAGUGCUUUCCAUAACCAUACCUUUUCCAAAGUUGUAAGCAUCUUUAUUUUUCUUUAUUUUUCUCUUUUAUUUUUCUUCUUUUUUCCUUUUCUGUAUUUUUUUAUUUUAAGGUUUUGUUUUCCCUUGACAGCUGCACACAGUCGUCAGCUAUUACAUAUCAAUUUGAUAUCCAUGCACCUAUUAAAUUCUGGACGGAAAUAGAAAAUGCGAUCAAAAAGAAUUUGCAGAAGGAUUCCAUUUAGCAUGAUAUUACUAACAGAAAUCGGAAAUCCAUCAAAUGUAUUCAGUAGAUUGCCUACUAUAGUUAUUGUUGCUAGACUUGUGUAACCAAUAUUAUAAAUCAUCUAUAUAUAAUUUCACAUACAAGUAAAAAGUCCUAUUCAUACAUAACCAACAUAAAGAGGAGGCUUGUUAAAUGGAAAAUUUUCACUAAUUUCUUGUUAACAGUUAAAAAUUGUUAAAAGGACCUAGUACAACACUUUACUAGUCAAGAAGGAACGAAAGAGAUGACGUACAGGUUCAGUUUGCCUGUGGAAAGCUUCAAGCCUUGACUUGAGGACUUCAGCAGUGUCAUCUUUCCUUUGAAUCAAUGGCUCUCCAGAGACCUUGAAACGAAAAGAAAAGAUUAAAAAAAAAAGAAGAGAGUAAUAUAAGCACAUAAGAGAAUAAGUUCCACAACUAAAGUAACGCCUGAGUUUAAGUCACACAAAGACUCAAGAUAUGUAUACAGCUAAUAAACCAUACAAGAAGAAAUUUGUCACGUAACAGCACGAAAGAUGUUUAGGCAAAAUAACCCCUGAUGCACUUACAAAAGUAGCAUGAAAGAGAAAGGACUCGUCUACUCAUCCACUACUUCUUUAAUUUGAGAUAUGAGAAAUAUUCUACCAAGCCCGUUGCUUUAUAAAACAGUGAAUAAUAGCUAAGCUUAGAAACAGAAAGUUCAAGUAUUGCAAGGUGAAGAGCACGCAAUAUGAAGUGAUAGAUCAAAUGGUCAGAUACUAUUCACACCAAUUGAAAUAUUAUGUGUAUAGUAUAGAGUAAAUAUCAUGAUUAAUUUAAUGAAUAAGCUGCUUGUUCUUCCACUUACAUCAUCAAUUCCUGAAACCUUUGGAGGUGCAAACUUGGAAUGGUAGGUCCUUCCGCUAGAGGGAUGAAUCCAACGGCCAGUAAUUCUUUCUUCCAAUAUAACAUCGUCGAUUGCAAAGUUGAGAACCUUGUCAAUUUUGCUGCCCUGCUUGGCCAACAUCUCGUCAAGCUGCAUCCAACAGUUGAUUCAGUAGUGACCAAAAUAAACCUUUCACGCAAAAUUAGAAAAUGAAUUCCAAAACCAACAGGUCUAUUUUACUCGUCAAAGAGUACAGGCAUCUGACCUUUUGUGCUUGAACAACAGUCCGAGGAAAUCCAUCAAGAAUGAAACCCUUUUGACAGGAUGGCUUUUUCAUUGCUUCGUCAAUAAUUCCAACAACCAAAUCAUCAGAGACAAGCUCUCCCUAAAAAAGCAAGAACAGAAUUUUCAAUGAGCAAAUGCGAACAAGUGUUUUAACCUUUUCUCUUCCCUUUCCCUUCUGUCAAAUAAGCUCCAGUAUAAUACCUUGUCCAUAGCCUCUUUUGCUUUAAUUCCAAGAGGGGUCUUAGCAGUAACAGCAGCUCUCAACAUAUCACCAGUAGCCAGAUGGCACAAGCAGUAUUCGUCCUUAAUAAUAGGCGAUUGAGUUCCCUUUCCAGAUCCCGGCGGACCUGCAAAAUAAAGCAAAAAAAAUCAAAGUUAAGAUUAAAAAAAAGGGUAACUAAUUUUGACUUACUUGAAAAAUGGCACCAAUAAGCUGAUAAAUUUUAGAAAAAGGGCUUUAGUGAACAGGAGGCUUGAAAAAGGUUCUCUCUUGCCUUUCAGAAAAAUGCAAGAGAGAAAUAUGCCAUAAGCCAUAAUAAAUUGUUCCAUCCCACACAAAACAAAGUUACAAAUGAUAACAUAUUUCCGCACCAAACAUUAAAGUAUAAAUAUUCAUCUAUGGUUCUAUGUGUUGUUUUACGUCGAAAGUAGUGUCAGAAUGCCAAAAGCAGAUUUAUUGAUGAAACAAGCUAAAUGACUUACAAAGAAAAUCCAAAAGACAGAAUUUUCGACUGCAUACAUGAAAAACAAAAGAAGGAAUACCGCAUCGGAGAAAUACGACCAACAACUAUAAUGAUUUGCAUAUGGGCAACCAGAUAGGCGAAUAUCUACCAUCAUCGAAAUUACAUCGACUAUAAACAAACUUCAAUCACAUCACCGUUGGUGUUAAUUGUGCAGUUAGAAAAGGCUGAAUUUUUAUGAUUCAUACCAACACUAUAGAGUUAUUUUGCCUUAUAUAUGACAACAACUAUCCACCUCUAUUUACAUACCUAAUAUGUGAUAAUUUAACAUGAUCAUAACAGUAUCUAAAACCAACAGAUAAUAGACUUGAAACGACAUAAAGUUACACAAAAAUGUCCAUGAACACAACAAACUAUCUAAUAUAACAUCAACAACGACUAAAUAUUUUUCGCAAAUGAACAGGAAAUUUCCCAAACACAAGAGAUAAACAACAUACCAAAACCGAAUCCCUCUUAGAUCCUAAGCUACACGGCCCUAAUCUCAAUCGGAGCACUUCAAGCAUCAAUCGAAAGCAUAAAUCGCGUAUAGAAACCAGAAAACAGCAUCAAAAGGGGUCAAUGUCGGAUCUAAAACUAGGGUUUUGGCGAGAAGCCAAAACAAAAAAAACAGAAGGGGAGAUCGAUCGAUCGAUGGAUCGAUGGAUCUACGGGUGAAGCGAUUAGAGUACCGAUGAGGAUGAGGCGCUUGUCGGGCUUGGAGGCGCACUUCAUGCGGCGGAGCAGCUCCGUCAUCAGAUCCGGCGUCGGCACGUCCUCGAGAUUCGCCAUUUUCCCUCUCCUCUCUCUCUGUAAUGACCCUGAAGAAUAAAUGGUAAAAGUAAUACUAGUAGCAGCAGUUAGCAUGGGAGAAUAGUAAAAAUAGCAACUUUACGUAGAAGAGGAAUAAAUGGUAGCAGCAAGGUGGGUGCGAGCUCGGGUGGAACUCCGGCGAAGCUAGAGCAUCCUGGGUGCUCCGAAGGAGAAGAGGGAGGAUCGAGGUAGGUGAGCGGAGGACCCUGCAGAUCUGGAGAGCGGAGAAACAGAGCGGAGGAAGUAGAAACACCUCGGUAGCGGGUAGCGGGCGAUCCCAUUCCGGGUCGGAUGGAAAAGGCGGACCCAAGACCCGCCGGAUUGCAGAUGGCGCGGAUAAGAGAGUAACCGGCGCCCGUGUGCCCGAGAACCGCAGCCUGGACCAGGAAGGCCCAAACCGAGGCCCAAGUACCGCCGAAAUUGCAAUCCACCGGCCUAUACUCAUAUUUUUCCACUUUUGCAAUGCAGCCCUCUUAGCAAGUUAAUUUUACAUUUUAGUAGAUGUAUAAAUAUUAAGAUGUAAGGUAAACAGGGCAUGAAUGGAAAUGAAUUAGCUCGUCUUCUCCUCUACUAUUCUCCUCUUCUCUUCCCCUCUAAACCCUCCUCUGCUUCUAAUCUCUACCUCUCUACUGUAUCUCUCUCUAUCUCUACUUCUCUAUCCCUCUCUACCCCUAUUUCUCUCUACUUCUCCUUCUUUUCCCUUCUUUUCCUUACCUCGGGUACCUCGGAUCCGCGACUCGGGAGCACCUAUCAUCCUCACCGCCAUCCGACCUCAGAGCAAUUUCAUCAUCGGUGGUUGCGGAUCGACCGGGGAUGUUACACUCUCUCUCUCUCUCUCUACUUCGCUCUAUCUCUCUCUACACACACCUAGGCUAGAAAAAAAAGAGAGGAAAAUAGGUGUAGGUGAGGUGAGAGAGAGAGAGAUAGAGAGAGACGCGCUCGCUUAGGAUUUCUCUCACGACUUUCGCCCGUUGCCGCCUCGAGGACCAAUAGAGCAUUUAAUUAUAAGAUUUUUGAAGGGCUCACCAAGCAUUUUAUAGGAGUUAAGUAGGAACAUACCCUAUUAAAAAAUAGAUUUUAUUUUUAUUUUUUUGAAUGAAAUUAUAAAAAAAAUAAAAAAAUUUUAAAUACCACUCUAUGGUUUCACACUUUUUCACUUUCUCACUUUAGUAUUAUGUGGUUUAAAGUGUAGCAAUUUAGUAGCUUGUGGUUUUAUUUUUCUUUUUUUAUUAUACAUUCAAAGUUAAAACUAAAAAGUAUUAAAAUAAAUAUUCGAUAAACCUAAGUAGAGUAUUUGAAGUUUUUUGUAUAUAAUUUAGUAAAAUAUUAACAAAUGAGCUGACGAAAAGAAAAAAAAUAAAACUACAUAAUACUAACUUGAUAUACUUUUAACCAUAGGGUACUGAGGUGAGAAAGUACAAAACUAUAUAGGUGGUAUUUAAAGUUUACCCUAAAAAAUAUAAUAUAACUAAAUUAAUAAAUGAAAUAUUUCUUAUCUUAUUUUUUUUUACUGAACUUAUUGUAAUUUUUCUGCAAGUUCACGUAAAACCUUUUUAAGUUAAUUUUGUCGGUAUUUACUUUAUUCAGUUGAUUAUUGAAGGGGUACGUAGUUUCAUUUCACAACGUCUUUUUUUGGAUAAAGCAUAUAGCAGGAACAAAAAGAUUGUGAAUUAUAUGAUGCAUAACAAAUUUGCUAGUGAUAUUGCUUGGAUCAGUUGGUAAAUAUUUUUUAAAAAAAAUAUUUUGUGUCAGUAAAAUUUAAAUGCUAAUUAGGCAUCAAGGCAAUAAUGAGAUGCAAAACAAGAAAAGGCAACAAAAAUUAAAUUUUUCCGAAAUUUAAAUGAAAAUAUUGUUUUCGGAUUUGUUUUUUUUUAAACCAGUACGAGUCUGAUUUGAAUCAUGAAAGCUCGAUUUUCAGGUGCAACUCUGACUUUCUUUUUCUUUUUGGCCCUUCUUUUUGUUCUGUUUUAAGAUGGUCUUGGAGAGUAUCAUUUAUGAUGUAAAAAUCAAAUAUUAGUUGUGAUUUAAUCGCACAACUUUGGCUCACCUAAUAAUGAAAGCUUGAGCUAAUCACUUCCUAAAUACCCACGCGGGUCAAAGAGUGAAAAUACUAUUCGCAUCUCAAAAUGUACUCUAAAAUAUAGUUAAUAAAUGGACUUCAGUCAUGGCGGCGGUCGUUAAUCAGUAAUUUAGUUUUUCAGGUCACACUAGAAAUUAUAUGCAGUGCUAUACUGAAAAUUAUGGUAUGAAAAGAAAUUGACCCACCGACUAUUUCUAGUGCAAAUAGCAAAAGGCUUGAUGGUUGAUACCCGAGAUCCCAAAUUUGAAUUUUAGUUGAUUCACAUUUCUAGCUAAAUUUAUUUUUAAAUGAAAUAAACGAAACGGAUAACAUGCUAACUCUCUCAAAAUGGAAAAAAAAAAAAAAAAGAUUGGGCAUUAGUCAAAAAAAAGAUUGGGCAUUAGUCAACUAAUUCUAGUCGCGUUUACUGUGGGGACUAGACCCGAGAGUGUGGCGGAGAAAGCUUCUGUUGGUUGGUGUUUUAGGUGUACAACUACUUCAACAGCCUAUUGGAUCCACAAGUUAGACCAAGCAACGUGGUCUGAUCCACGGGAUCGCAUUUGACCAUUGGGAUCAUGAAAGCUUCACAAAAAAUAACCCAAAUUUGAUUUUCAAAGGUAUCGCUAAAGCUAUCUAUAUCUAUACAUCUAUACAUAUAAUAAAAGGCGAACUCUAAACUGUCACGCGUCGCCUCCCCAGCAACCCCCCUUCUUUUUAGUUCCGAGGGAGGGGCGGGCUCUUCCUCUCUCUCUUUCUCUUUCCCUCUCUCCCUCUCUNCUAGGAGCGCUGGAGGCGUGCGGAGAAGAGACGUAUUAAUAUCGGUUUUUUUUUCCCUUUUUUAGUUUGUUUAAUCAGAUUAAACCAACGUUAAAGAGUGUUUCCUUUUUUAUUUAUUUUUAACAUCGUACUUAUAACUUUGAUGUUUGGUUCAAGUACAAAAUUGAAUUUUCUUGAGGAGCGGUAAAUGGGACGCUACUCUUUCAUACUUUUCUUUUGUUUAAUUUAGUGUUUUUAAGUUUGUGUAGUACUAUUUUCCUUGUUAAUCUCUUUUGUGUAUGUUUACAUCCCUUUUACUUUAAAAUCCUAGUUUUAUACCCCUUUUUUAAACUUUAACUUCCCCUUUAUCCUAUGACCUUCCUUUUUAAUCUCUUUGGGUAAAUGUUUUUAGGUUAUAACCCUAGCUUUUGAGGGGCGCGGGCUAAGGCCUGGGUUGGGCGCGGCGGGUGCGGCGAAAGCGGGGAGCGCGGGCGGGUGGGGGUGCGGGCGCAGCCGAGCACGGGAGCGCGCGACGCGCGGGCGGGUGCGAGCGGGGGAGCGGCGCGGGCGAACGCCCGCGUUGCGGGAGCUGGCACGGACGCGGGCGCCGGCGAGCGAGCGCGAUUCCUCUCCCCCUCUCUCUCCCUCUCUCGAUCCCAGGGAGAAGUACCCAGAUAGAAUCCNCCCUGUAAGGGUUUUAAUUUUUCCUUUGUUUUGAUCUGCCCUAGGGUUUGUUUCUUGAUUACAUUGUUGUUCAUGUUUGCUGUUAUUGUAGUGAAAUGUUUAGUUCUUGAUUAAUCAUAAGAAGAAAUGAAUCGGUUGCUGCGGGCUUCGCCGGCGCCCGUCCGUGGUCGGAUACCGGCGGUGGUGGCGGCGCAGCUGCUGCUCCGGCAGGGCAAGCCCAAAGACGAGAGCCUCGAUCUCUUCUCCGCGAUCCCGCUGAGCGAAUCGCCGACGAUCUCCUCCCCCGCCGUCGCCGGUAACCGGAAAUAAAUUUCCCCCUCCCCCAUUGAUUUCUUCUUUUUUUUAAGGCCCCGUUUGGAUCGCAGGAUAAGCGGAGAUAACGCAGGUUAUCCCCACUAUUCCGCCAAACGGGGUGAAAUUUGGCCGGGAUAUUUUAUCCCGGUCAAACCUUGCUAUUCUCGGUUAUCCUGGAAUAGCAAGGGAUUUGCUAUUCCACCAUUUUGGUGGAAUAGUGCUAUUCCAAUGCUUAAUUUCAAACUUAAUUAAACUUAUAAAUUGAAUUAAACUAAAUUAUAUAAAUAUAAUAUGUUAUAUAUUAUAAUACAUUAUUUUUAUUAUAAAAUUAUUAAUUGUACUAUAUUAAUACAUAUUAUUUAUAUUUAAAUAUUAUAAUAAAAUUUAUAAUAAAUUAUAUUUAAAUAUUAUAAUAAAUUCUUUUUAUUAAAUUUAAAUUUAAGUAGAAUUUUUAAAAAAUUUAUAAAUUUAUUAUAAUAAAUUAUUUUUAUUAAUUGUUCCCACCACUAUUCUUAUUUUAAAAUUUUAAAAAUUUAAAUUUUUAAAAUUUAUAUUAUGAUCAAUCUUCAAAAUGAAAGUUUAAAAUCUUAAACUUUAAAUUUUAAUUUAAUUUAAAUUUUGAUAUCGUUUAAAUUUUUGAUACAUUUUAAAUUUGAUAUUUGUAUAUUUUUUAAGUUUAAAAUAUGAUUUAAAUUUAAACAUUUGACAUUUAAAAUUUAAAAUUUUUGAUUUAAAAUUUGAAUUUUAAAUUUCAGAUGUAAAUUUUAAAUUUAGAUAAUAUACAUUUAAAAAUUUAAAAAUUCAAAAAUUCAAAUAUAAUAAGUGGAUAUAUCAUGUAUUUUUUAUUUACAAAACCAUAUCUUUCUUAUUCCAUCUACCUAACAACCUAUUUUUUUAUUCCAGGAAUAACCCAAUUUUCAUCCAAACGCAAAAUUGAUCUAAUCCUCGCUUAUACCUCAAUUUAUACCUAUCCCUGGAAUAGCCACUUUUUCCUUAUCCCCGAACCAAACGAUACCUAAGGGUUUUUAUUUUUAUUUUUUUUUAUUUUAUAGAGGAGGGAGUGUUGGGGAGAGCAGUGGAGUGGAGGAUGAUGAUCUGUUCUACGUGGGCGUUGAAAAGAGCGAUUACGAUUGGUAAUCAAUAAACCUCUUUAACUUCCUUUGUUUUUUCCCUUUUUUAUUCUUAAUGCUACAUUUUCUCUCUAUUUUUUUGGUUGAAAAAUUAGCUACACCGUGAACAUUUUAAAUUAACAUCAAUUUUGGUUAUAUUUCAAUAUCAAAUCAAUUUUGAACUGAGUUGUGCUAUGUUCCAUAUAGAAUGAAAUGGAUGAACCAAAGAGGGAUAAUGUUCUUAAUUAAUUUUCUCUCUAUUUUUUUUUACAAAAAAAAUUAUUUAAAAAUUACUCAAUUUCACUUCCAAAUUUUUUUUGCAUAAAACAGGCUACUUACACCCCCUGGAACUCCUCUCUUUUCCUCAUGCAAUGGAGUUGAACACCAACCAUCUUCAGCUUCUGCAAAAAGCACUUCAGAAGUUGGAUCAGCUUUAGCUAUAAAGCCUUCAAGGGUAUACUUGCUUUUUUUUUGAUGAGUGCUUAAAAAAUAUCAGUAAGUAGCAGUUAGACAUUUGACAAAUAAAAAACAGCACUGGCGCUGGCGAGAGACCCAGUCCUCUGUCUGUCUCUCUCUUUUUCCCCUCUUUUAUAGUUUUUUUUUUUUUGUUAUGAUCCAUGUACAAAAAAAAAAUAAAAUUUUAAAUUUAAUUGUAUAAUUAAUUUUAAGCUGGGUCUGGCUCCGGCUGCGGCGGCCUUCGGCGGGGUCGGCUCCGCCGCAGCAGCGGAGGUGGCAUACUCGACGACGCAAGAGAGGAGGAACCCGGCAGGGGAGGGGUGGCGCCGGCAGUCACCGCAGCCGCGGCCGGCCGGGCGCCGGCAAUCUGCCGGCAGAGGAGCGGGGCGGAGGCGGGUUCCGGCUAGCAUUUUUGUUUUAUCUUACUUUUUCUUUUUUUCUUUAUAAUCAAAUCUAAUUAUUUUCUCUUAUUAUAAAAAUUUUAAAAUAUAUAAUAUUUUCCAUGUUUUAAAAAUAAUUUAAAUUAUCUAUACAUAUAUUAAAUGGGGAUAGAAGCUUCCCUAAAUUUUACAAUUUUACAAUUAAAAAAUUUAAAAUUUUAGGUUUCAAAUAUUAGAUUUUAAAUUUUAUACCCUUUUUCUCUCACUCACUCUCUCUCUCACUCACUCUCUCUCUCUAUCUAAAUUUAAAGUUAAAUAUUUAAAAUUUAAAAGUUUUUAUUAUUUAAAAUGUAAAGCGAGUUAUUCGAUGCAUAUAAAUCUUUAGAAUUUAGAAAAAUUAGGAUUCAACAAAACUCUAUAUAAAAUCAUAUAUUCAAAAUAUACAAACUGAAUUAAGAUAAAAUAUAUUUUUUAAAAUUUAAAUUUUUUAAAUUGUAAAUUUCAAAUUUCAGAUUCUAAAUCAAAGGGAGUUAGAAAGUUAAAUUUCAAAUAAAUUAUAUAAAUUUUCCGCCGCGAAGCGCGGGCCUACACUAGUAUCACAUUAGUCUUUGAAUGUUUUCUCAUUUCACAUCUAUGAUGCGCCCCAGUAAUGUGCUAAGGGGUUAUUUGGAAGUGGAGAGUUGGAAAGCAGAGAAUCUGUCACGCUCCAAGCUCGGCCUAUUUGGUCGGUUCGGAUACGUCGAACAGACGUCGAACGGACAGUACCUCCCCUGUCCGCCCAGACUCAACAACAAGUACAGAGCAAGUAUAUAAAUUGCACAGCGGGAACAUGAAUAUAUUUGGCUCGCACGAGGGCAAGCAAUAGCCAAAGUAAAAGUAUUAUCUAAUCAACGUACAAGUAAUAUGAUUAACUUUAAAUCACAUACAUGCAUUCAACUUUUAUAUUUGCAUUCUUUUCUUUAUCAUCAUUUCUUCUCUUUUACAUCGCAUGAUACCUCAAAACAUAACCUUUUGCAUUUAAAUAUAAAUUCUUUUACAUCAUUUAACAUGUUCAUAAUACUAAAAUCAUCAAAGACAAAAGAUAUUUGUUUGAAGUGAAAAAAAAACAAGAAGAAAAAAAAAGAAAAAAAAAUUGGGGUAAAGUAAUCCUAAUCAUAAUCAAAACUGAUUAAAUUCGGAUUCAUACAAUUCUAAUAGGACUCAUCUUGACCAUUAAAUUUUAGGGGCAAUAAUCAUAAUUUAAAUCCAUCAUAGGCCUGUUUAUAAACGUGAAUUGGUGGGCCUCAUGAAAGCUUUUUAAAAUUUUAGGCCUACAAAAUAAUUCGGGCCUCAUUUCAGCCCAUUGAAUAUUAUCAUUUGUGCCCAACAUUUCAUGAAAGUGAGCCCGAUCAAUGACGGCCCAUAUCCACACCCUAUAAAAUAUCUGUUCGAAAUUCGAUUUCAAUCCGCAACCGAUUCAAAAUUCGAUUUCGAAUUUUGAAUUCCCAACCAACUCCCAAAAUUUCUUCCAACCAUCCAACAAUCGAUUCAAAAUACGAUUUCGAAUUUCGAAUCCCAACCAACUCCUAAAAUAUCUCCCAACCAACCAUAUCCAUUCGAAUUUUGAAUACCUAUCCACCCAACAACCGAUUCAAAAUUCGAUUUCGAAUUUCGAAUCCCUAACCGAUUCCUCAAAAUAUCUUUCGCCUAACCCCACGAAUCGCUCCGAUUCCUCAGAUCUCCCCUUCUAUUAUAAAUAUGGGAAUAAAAAUCAAACGGGGAGGAUACAAAAAAAAAGAAGGAGAGAGAACAAAUAGAUAGAGAGAGACGAUAGCGAUACUGAGAAAGGUUACGAUAAAAAGAGGAGAAAUAAUAUUAUUUCCACCCUUACUACACACGUUCCUACGUACAAAAAAACAUCCAAAGGAGGAGAGAUCGCCGAGCCGCUUCAUCCAAUCCGUCAUCAGAUCAAGGAGGAGAGAUCGCCGUCGCCAAGCCGCUUCAUCCGAUCUGGCAUCUGAUCAACAGGUAAAGAUAAAAAAAAAAAGAAGAAAGAAAAAAAAAGAAAAAAAUAUAAUAAAACAUAAAUAAUAAUAAUAAUAAUAAAACACAUAAAUAAUAAUAAAAAAAGGAUCUCUUUUCUUCCUCUUUUCUUUUUUUCUUUUUUUUGAGGUCCUACUACCGUAGUCAUCCAUACCAUCUAGACGGUUUCGAUGGGAGAGUGGAGGGGAGCCAAUAGUUUCAUGUUUCUUCGGACCUCUCAAUACCCCAGUCGAAGCCGUUAAUUGAUGGAAUGAGUGAUCUACAUUGCUGUGACCACCUCCAGCAUCGCCAGUUUUGUAUUUUCGAAAGAAAAUGGGAGAAGAAUAAAAAAUUUCCCGUUUCUCCGGACCUUUCAAACCCUCUUGAAAAUAAUCAAGUUCACAUAAAAGCCCCGAAACCUACAAAAUCUAAACUCAAAUCCAAUCCGGACCACAAAUGGAACCCAAAUCCAAUUUCCGACUUGGACUCAAAUCAAUACCCAAGUUCGUGAACCAAAUACCACGAAUCAUAACCCAAGUUCAUGAAUCAAGGCCUAUGAACCAAAAUAAACCAAGUUCAUGAACCACGAACCAAAUCUAUGAACCUCACCCAAGUUCGUGAACCAAAUACCACGAAUCAUAACCCAAGUUCAUGAAUCAAGGCCUAUGAACCAAAAUAAACCAAGUUCAUGAACCACGAACCAAAUCUAUGAACCUCACCCAAGUUCGUGAACCAAAUACCACGAAUCAUAAACCAAGUUUGUGAACCAAACACCACGAAUCAUACCCAAGUUCAUGAACCAUACUCAAGUUCGUGAACCAAACCCAAUGAACCAUAUCCAAGUUUAUAAAACAAAUCCCAUACACUAAACCUCAUGAACCAUGAACCAAAUUACAUGGAUCAUAAACCAAAUCCCAUACCUAAAUAUCAUGAAUUAUGGAGCAAAUGCCAUACACUGAAUCCCAUAAACCAUAAACCAUAAAUCAAAUCCAUGAACCAUAUCCAAGUUCAUGAACCAAAUCCCAAAUACCCAAACCUCAUGAACUAAAUGUCAUAUACCAAAUUCUAUAAACCACACCCAAGUUCAUGAACCAAACCUCAUGAAUCAUAUACCAAACCCUAUAAACCAUACCCAAGUUCAUGAACCAAAUCUCAUGAACCACAUCAAAGUUCAUGGACCAUAAAUCAAAACCAAGUACUAUACACCAAAUUCAUGAACCAUACACUAUACACCAAGUUCACGAACCAUACUCCAAACCUCAUGAACCAAUACCCAAAUCUCAUAAACCUUACCCAAGUUCGUGAACCAAACACCAUGGACCAUACCCAAAUUCAUGAACCAAACACCAUCGACCAUACCCAAAUUCAUGAACCAAAACACCACGAACCAUACACCAAGUUUAUGAACCAUACACCAUAUCCCAUAAACUAUACACCAAGUUCAUGAACCAUACUCCAAACCUCGUGAACAAAUAUACCAAAUCUCAUGAACCAAAUACCCAAAUCUCAUGAACCAUACAUCGUGAACUUUUUCUUUACUUUAGCUCAUAUACCUAGAGUAAAAAAUUAAAUGCAAAAUCGACUACCCCUAAUACAUAUACUUAGGGCUAAGAUAACAUCGACUAGGUCUUAACACAUAUACUUAGGAUCUAGUCAGCCUCAAAUCCAACUAAAUUCUAAUACAUAUACUUAGGAUUCAAUAAACCAAGAUAUGAUCCAUUCAAUCCCAUCUUUACAAAGAUCUCUUAAUCGAAGGUGCCCCAAUCUCUAGGGGGUAAUUAACAAUAGGUGCUUGCAUCUAUUGGAAGCCAUGGACCCGCAAUACCUGAUACCCACAUACAUAUAAAUAUUAAUCUGAAUCAUGAAUACUACCCCACGGCAGAAAUUUCAUCGACCGUGCGAGGUGCGUCAUUCGUGGUGGCAGACAAAAUGGCACGCCCGGUGGGAGUAGUCAUGAGCCAAACGAUUCUGGACAUAUACUUGGUUUAUGGUUCAUGAGAAUGGGUAUUUGGGAUUUGGUUCAUGAACUUGGAUAUGGUUCAUGGAUUUGGUUUAUGGUUUAUGGUUUAUGGGAUUCGGUGUAUGGCAUUUGCUCCAUAAUUCAUGAUAUUUAGGUAUGGGAUUUGGUUUAUGAUCUAUGUAAUUUGGUUCAUGGUUCAUGAGGUUUAAUGUAUAGGAUUUGUUUUAUGAACUUGGAUACUAAGCUCAUGAACCAAACUCAUAAACCAUGAACCAUACUCAUAAACUAUGAACCAUACUCAUGAACCAUGAACCAAAUCUCAUGGACCAAACCAUACCUAAAUCUCAUGAACCAUAUCCAAGUUCAUGAAACAAAUACAAUACCCAAAUCUCAUGAACCAUACAUCAAGUUCAUGCCCAAAGAUCGUUACAAAGUUCGUGAACCAAACCCAAUGAACCAUAUCCAAGUUCAUAAAACAAAUCCUAGUGUUUAUGUUUAGGGUUUAGGGUUUAGGGUUUAGGGUUUUAGGGUUUAGGGUUUUAGGGUUUUAGGGUUUAGGGUUCGGGCUGCGGUGUCUUUUGGUUUUUGCAGAUGUUUUUACAAAUCUAUCUCCCCCAUUUGUGCCGAACUCCUUUAAAUAAAGAUUCGGCUGCUCAUUUUGAUUCUUAUGGGCUGGUUCUUGGCUGCCCUCCGCCGUUGACAUCCGACCAUCCUUCCGACUUCCAAAUUUAUUUUAAAAUGUUUUAUGAAUCUCGCCCUCAUUUCACUAUUCAUUGGUCCCCUUUUGCGGAUCGUGUCACCGGCCCAUCUUGGUUUUUAGCAAGAUAUGAGUCUCUUCAAAACGAUCUAGCUUCCUCUCGCGCCGGUGAAUAUGCAGACGUUUGGUAUUCAUUCCUGGCCCCAAGGGAUUUGCACAUUGGCCUGAAGUCGCGCUCAAAAUUGUUGCCUAGCACUGAAGUUUACUCUCCUCAGUUUGUAGCGCGUCAAUUUGGCUUCACUCAAGCAAUCCUUGCUCCGGCCAAAUUCUUUACUACUAAUACCGCCUUUAACCGACCCCCUACCAAGAGCAUAGCUGAUGCUGAUCGGAUUUCGGCGAUGGGGAAUCGUCUUCGGCGAUUCUUCAAAUUAGUGAGUUUCAGGCCGAAUUACACAGGGGUAUUGGGUUUUCGUUUUACUGUUACUUGGGAUCAUUUUACCGAUCGUAUUUUUAAUCGGUCCACUGUACAACCAUUUCGCCAAACCAUUCUUCCUCUUGGUACGUCUCUUUGCUCAUGUUCACCCUUCUUCCAUUUUUAGCCUUUAUAAUCUCAAUUUUUAUUUCUUUUAUUUUCAGAUACAGCAACACCUGCCUCUAUUGAUCCCCUUAUACCAAAAGAAGAACCAGAAGAGGUUUCUGAUACUUCACCUCUUUCUUCUUUCUUGUCCUUGCUUUUAGAUUUUUGAGAUACAUAUAUAUUUCAUUUCUAUCUUACAGUCAAUUCCAAAUUCUUCGUCGGUCCUGGCUUCAGAUAAAAGACCGAUUGAGACUGUACAAUCCACUCCUCCGCUGUCUUCAAAGCAGCGCAAAUCAAUUGUCAAAAGGCAAUUUCGACAAACCGAAGGUACCCCUUCGGCUGACACUACCGAAGACAGAGCCGAGAAUAUUCCCUCGGCUUCAAUUCCAGAAAUAGUAACCGAGGACAUACCUUCGGCUGAUAUCCCAUUAGAGGAAACUACUGUACCCUUCUCGGCUACUGAACAAGGCUCUGUUCUUACCGAACCGAUUGAUAUCGGGGUAAGCCAAGUCAGUUGUUCGUAAAAGAAAACAUUUAUUAUUUAUUUAUCGUUUUCUUUUAAACCACAGUCCUCUCCUGAGCGAGCCCCUUUUGCUUAUUCUUCAAAGACGCAGAUGGAAAGACAACUUCGCAGGGAGGCCCGUCUUGAGAAGAAACAAGAGAUAGAGAAAAAGAAAAAGUCUGUUGAAACAGCGAGCAUGACGCCAUUACCAAGUAAGGUUGCGUCACCUCUUUCUGUCCCUGCCCCAAUACCAACUACAGGGGAUGAACAAGUAAACGUACCUCUUGGGCAAAGUUCUGGAGAUGCAAGUACCGUACCUCCUUAUUCGACUCAGGGAGCUUCCCUUCCUGUUUCUGAUGAUCCUCUAUCUACUAGUCUCUAUUCUUUACUGGUCUCAAGCCCUGAUUCUAAUGAGGGAGAUGAUUCUUCAACUAUUGUCGUAUCUUCAAACACUCAAAGCAAAUUUGAUGAGUGUCUUAAGAUAUAUAGCAAUGGUAUCCCUAACUUAGCUCAGAAUCCAGAACAAUUUGAUCGGCUAUAUGCUCUUUUACUCGAUUUGGCCGAUCAAGCAGAUAUUACUUCUAGUAUUAAAUGUUUUGUAGAGACUCUGUCAUCUCAACUUUCUUCUUUUUUAGCUCGGCAACGAUCUUUGAGUGCCGAACUUUUAUCUUUAGAUCAACAUUUUCAUCGUGUUGAUCACUUUUAGAGGAAUAUCCCUAAAGUGGUGGCUCCAAUUGCUGAAGUGAACCGCGAAGAUCAAUCUCUGGCAAACCAGGAAUCAGUUUUACGGCAACGCAUUCUAACCCUCAAAGAAGAAUUAGCUGCACUUGAGUUUACUCUGGCGCAAACUUCUGAACGCCGUCUUCAAUUACGGGAUCUACUGAAGUCUAAAAAAAAAGAGGGAGUGAAAAUUCAAGAAUAGCUCUCUCGGCUCUAUAGGUGCAUCCUUUGAUGAAGCGCCGACGAAAAGCUGCUGAAACCGCCCAAGCCAAUCUUAUAGCCGAAUGGAAUCAAAUUAGGGAUUUAUUAUCUUGAUUCAGCUUAUAAUUUUCUAACUUUGAUUUAAUUUCUCCUUUGUGUAUUCUAACUUUGAUGCUUCUCCCACAUAGAUGGGUAGUAUUUCCUCAAAUACUAUCCAUUAAUAGAUUUUUCAUUUUCUAAACCAUCUCUGUUCUGCAAGUAAUAUGCAUUUCCUUUUCUGAUUCGGCUGACUUGAAAUGGCCCUUUCCAAUUUGAAGAUCAUUUUCCAUACGUUCGGUCUUUUUGAUCGAUUGGAAAAAUCAGCCGAAGUACUAAAUCACCGACGACAAAUGUCUUUGAUCGAACUCUCUUAUUGUAUGCGCUAUGGACUCGGCUUUGGUAUGCUUGCAUAUUAUCUAAAGCUAUCAACCGAGUAUCAUAUACUUCCUCUGCUUUGUCUUUUAUUAAAUUACUGUAUUCAUCAGCCGACAAAUCUUUUUGCUUUUCUGUCCUCAAAGAAGGAACUGUUAUCUCGGUUGGAAUUACGGCCUUAUGUCCGUAAACUAAUUGGAAUGGUGUCAUCCCUGUUGCCGUUUUCACUGAAGUUCGGCAUGCCCAUAAUACUUUGAAAAGUUUUUCAUUCUAUUUUCUCGGAUGCUUUCCGAUAUGCCAUUUCAUAAGGUUAAUGACUAUUUUAUUCGCUGCUUCUACUUGUCCAUUCGCUUGGGCAUAAUAAGGAGACGAAUGGAGCAACUUUAUCUUUCGAGACUCGAUGAACCGAACGAACUGUCGUCCUAUGAACAUUGUCCCUUGAUCGGUCGUAAUUGUCUCGGGAAUCCCAAAGCGAUGAAUUAUAUGAUCUUCAACAAAAUCAAUAAUUUCUUUUUGGGUAACCAACCGAGUGGGUUUUGCUUUCACCCACUUGGUGAAAUAAUCGACAGCCACUAUUAAAAAUUUGUGACCAGCCGAGGAGUUCGGCUGAAUUUCUCCAAUUAAAUCCAUGGCCCAACCUCGAAAAGGCCAUGGUUUGACGAAUGCGUACAUCUCAGAGACCGGAACUCUCUGGAUUGAGCCAUGAAAUUGACAAUCCUGACAACCUUUGGCAUAUUCUAUACAAUCUUGAUACAUUGUUGGCCAAUAAUAUCCUAAGUGCCGAAUUGUCCAUCUUAACUUUUUUUCGGCUAAAUGGGUUCCACAUAUUCCUUCAUGUGUUUCUCCCAUUAUCAACAGAGCUUCUUCAGGCCCUAAACACUUUAAUAGAACUUCUUCAGCUGUUCUCUUAUAAAGUUGACCAUCUAACAAACAACAGCCGAUAGCUCUUCUUCGAAUAUUAUAGUCGACUCUUGUAUUAGGAUCUUCCAGAUAUUUGAUUAAUAAUUUUCUCCAGUCUUCCUUCACUUCUAUGGGAGCCAUAAUCGGUUCUCGUACAAGAACCGAAGGUAGCAACCUCCUCUGUAUUACUAUUGACUCUGACUUCGGCUCUCUAUAUCCUGAAGCCGACUGAGCUAGUUCAUUUGCCUUUUCAUUUUUCUGUCUGCUCAAAUGUUCGAAUUCAGUUUCUCUGAAUUCACAUAGUGUAAUACACUGAACUUUUGCAAAUUGCGGAGUUCGAGUGUGUGGAAUGGAAUGCGGAACUAUCCUACAUGUCCUAAAAGGCUUGGACAAGUUUUUGGACAAGUUAGAGGAUGAUUGAAAAGCUAGAAGCAAGAAAGUGCAUUGAACGGGCAAAAUUCAGCAUUUUCUGCAUUGUGUAUCGGUACAGCCAUCACACUGUACCGGUACAGCAAGCAGCAGCAGCUGCAGCUGCGUUGCUGCAGGGCUACUUUGGUAUUUUCACUUCCCAUACUUAUCCCCAACACCCCAGCAGGACUCCAGAAGCUGAGGGAUGGUUGCUGGAGCUCAGGGCAAGCCUCUUUCAUCUUCUCCAUUUUCUCUCUCUAGGGUUCUCUCUCUCUACAAGUAAAAGGCGCCGUUUUGCACCGAUUUCGCGUCUCGCUCGACGCUUGCUGGUUGGGUGGACUUGGGGUCAGCUUUUAAGAGGUUAAGUGAAGUGUUUUUAGCAGUGUUUUCAUGUUUAUUGCUGGGAGUUGUUGAAAGGAAGCUUUAGAGAGGGUUUUAGCUCAAUCACCCUCUAGUUUAUGGUUUAGUAUCCGAUUUUGACGCGUUUCUGUUUUAUUGCUCCCAGCUGAGCUCGAGGAGGAUUUCAGCAACUUGAGAGGAGUUAAUUAGCUGUACUUUAACUACCUUGGAUCAGGGAUAAGUUGCUUCAAAGCUGGACAAAGGUAAUUAGUCGAUUAUUGACAUAAUUUUAGGACUCUAUGAAGUUUAAUCGGGUAAUUGACGCAAUUUGAGAUUGCUUCUUCGCAGCAGGUUUCCGAAUUAAUUUGAGCUUAUUUGGUGACCUUGGGGACUGGUCUAAAAGGUGUUUUAACCUGAGGUAAGCAGGAAUUUCAGUUCUAAAAUUGAUUUAGUAAGAAUUCGACUAUACUAGCUUAUACGUAAGCAUAUUGAUGCCGUUUAGUGGUUGUCCGCAGUGAGAGUGCUACCGACCUUGGGAUCACCUUCAGUUGGCAUUGGAGAGCAAUUAGAGGCUUAACUUGAGGUAUUAAGUUGGCCCAAAAUAGGGAUUUAAGUUACUACUUCGUAUUAAGUACAAGUGUACCGAAAUUGGACAUUUCGGAUAUAUGUUUGAUACGGUUUUGAUGCAUUAUUUUUCAGCAGGGUUGAGGCUUGAUUGAGCUAAAUUUUUGGACUCUUGUGGACUGAUUUGGAGCCUAGUACUAGGUGGGUUUGACCUAACCAGAGCAAGUGAAGCUCCCCUAUGUUCUAUAUGUAACUAUAGAAUCGGUUUAGUAGCGCAUUUUUAUGAUUAUGCGAUUAAUAAAGGGUUUAGUACAUAUCAUCAUAACAUUUGAUAUAAUUGAAACAGAACCUCUAUGAAGUAGAGUGGACACACAUGCGUAAAGUAUCUAUGUUCAUGUUAAAUGCAGUUGAACGACAUUCUAGUACGAGUUGCUAUGUUCCUAGAAAGUAAAGAACAAUGAUAUGCUUGUAACUUUAUCGAUUAUAAAGUCAAGAACAAGAAUAUGUUUUAUGACUAUAAUGGUAAUGCCAUGAUAGUAGAAAGUUCUUAAUGCCAGAUGUAAAUUUAGCAUUAUUCUUGCAUGUUUAUUAAUCUAGUGGAUACUAGUUACUGCCAAUAGUUGUCAUGUUGAGAAUUCCGAUCAAAGGAUUGAGAGCGAGAACAUUGCAAGUUGGAAAAUGAGGAUUGAGACAUAUUGGACUGUGAAAUUGCUUGCUGCCAUUGUGCUCAUUCGCACAUGCUUGUGAGGGUCGCUCCCUACAAGCCGGCACUCCGGAGUUGGCCUACGCGACAAUUGCUCGCCCGUGCGGGAUUAGGUGCCGAAGUGGAUUGCCGUGGGGAGUGUUACUACCACGGGGCCAUUAGGCGCAGCGCAAGCUGGAAUACCUUGAGUAAGUCCUGAUAAAUGAAACGAGAGUACUAAAUGGCAAAGGACAGUAAUGAAUGCUCAUCAGUAUAGUGUACAGUAUUUACUUACACAUCCAUGUUUAUGUUCGUGUUUAUAGUAGUUGCUAUGCUUCUAUUACUCAGCUGAUUCAUUACUGCAGAAAUCAUUGUUACAUGUUGCUUACAUGUCCAUUAAUUGUUAACAUUGAAAAUAUAUCAUGCAAAUUACUGCUUUUACUUUCAUUUAGUACAUCAUGAGCCUAGUGGUGUAAUUCGCCGAGGCUGGCGGCUUACCCACUGGGAACUAUUGUUAAUAGUUCUCACGCCCUUUUUAUUAUUGUUUUUACAGAGCCAUCUACAGGAGACGCUAGGGAUCGUGGCAAGGGAGUCGCGUCUAGCUAGACAUUGCUAGGAGCGUGCUAGUCGAUCACCUUGCUACUCGAGCUACGGCCGAGGGUGAUAUCCUGUGUAUAGAGAGACUAUCAUUAUACAGAUGUUUUGUGUUGUCUAUGAUGUAUAUGAGUAUUGGAUCCAGAUGUUAUAGUUUUAGUACUUUCUUUCGUACUUAUAUUUUGAGUUGGACCCUAUUGUUCUUUUAUUGACAGUAUUGGGAACUUAUACUUUGCUCUGAUAUCAAGAUAGGAUUUUUCUAUGUUUUUCUCCUAUCGCCUUGCUUUCUUGUAGACGCCUUAUACACUGCAGGUGUAUGGCGGGUCUGUGCACGUACCGGAUAUGCUUCCGCUGGUACCUGGGCGUGACACAUAGUAACUCUAAUGUCUUCCUUAAAUAAUUUUGUAAAUUCGGGUUUUCACAUCGGUAUUCUCCAUUCACUUGUUUGAUUACUAGCUGUGAGUUACCGAUGACUUUGAUUGACUUUGCUUUCAAUUCUUGUAAAAUUUCUAGGCCAAUUAUUAAGGCCUCAUAUUCGGCUUGAUUGUUAGAGCAGCCGAAAUCUAGCUCGAAAGAAAAUUGGCAUGAAUACCUUUCAGGAGAUUGGAUAACUAUUCCAGCUCCUGCUGAUUCCGUUGUUUUCGAACCGUCGAAAUACAAAACCCAAGGUCGACAGCCGAUAAAAUUCUGUUUCGGCUCCUCAAUCUCUACACAUGGGUGAUCAGCCAGAAAAUCAGCUAUAGCUUGGCCUUUGACGGCUUUGGCAGGAACGUAAUUAAGGGAAAACUCGAAUAAUGCUAAAGUGCAUUUUUCGAUUCGUCCCCGUAAUACUGGUCUAGAUAACCUGUACUUUACAAGAUCGGUUUUACAUAUUACCGAUACUUCGGUUGAUAAAAUAUAAUAUCUCAAUUUUGUGCAUGAAUAGUAUAAAGCCAAAAAUAAUUUUUCAAUAGCCGAAUACCGUUUCUCGGUAUCUAAAAGACGUCGGCUCAAAUAAUAAAUGGCUUGUUCUUCCUUUUCCUCAUUUUCUUGGGCUAGUAAGCAUCCCAAAUUUUCUUCUGUAGCCAAUAUGUAUAAUUUCAUCGGCUGACUUAUUUUUGGAGGUACUAAUACAGGAGGGUUUGACAAAUACCUUUUUAUGUUGUCAAAAGCCUCUUGUUGCUCCUCUGUCCAUACGAAUUCUUCUUUAUCUUUUAACCGAAGUAGUGGAGUAAAAACUCCUAUCUUUCCGGCCAAAUUAAAUAUAAACCACCGAAGAUAGUUAAUCUUUCCCAACAAACUUUGCAGUUCCUUUUUGCACUUUGGUGGUGGUAAUUCUAAUAUCGCUUUCGCCUUAUUUUUAUCAAUUUCGAUCCCUUUUUUGUGCACUAAAAAUCCUAGAAAGUUUCCUGCUGAAACUCCAAAAGCACAUUUCAAAGGGUUCAUUUUCAAAUUAUAUUUUCUCAUUCUUUCAAAGGCAAGCUUUAAAUCAAUCCAAUGUUCGGCUUGUGACUUGGAUUUUACGACUAUAUCAUCGAUGUAUAUUUCCAACAUCUUGCCGAUUAAAUCAUGAAAAAUAAAAUUCAUUGCCCUCUGAUAAGUAGCUCCGGCAUUCUUUAAACCGAACGGCAUGACAACCCAUUCAAAAGUUCCAAUCGAACCAGGGCAUCUGAAAGCCGUUUUAGCUAUAUCACCCUCAGCGAUAUAGAUUUGAUUAUACCCAGCAUGUCCGUCCAUAAAGGACAAGAUCUCGUUACCGGAAACCGAAUCUACUAACAUAUCGGCUAUUGGCAUGGGGUACUCAUCUUUUGGUGUGGCUAAGUUUAAGUUCCUGAAAUCAAUGCAAACUCUAAGUUUACCAUUCUUUUUUCGUACUGGAACUAUGUUAGACACCCAAUCAACAUAACGGGCCGCUCUAAUAAAUCCGGCCUUCAAAAGAUUUUCUAUUUCAUUCUUAAUUUGGAAUACAAUACUUUGCUCAAAUCUACGAGCCGGUUGUUUAAAAGGCUUAAACCCUUUUUUGAUAGGCAGCCUAUGCUUUACAAUUAUUCAGCUUAAACCUGGCAUUUCUUCAUAACUCCAGGCGAAGCAGUCCUUGUACUCCUUCAAUAGUUCUUUCAGCUCCUUCUGCUGUCGAGCCGAAAGCUUUGCGCUUAUAAACGUCGGUCUCUUAUUUUCGUCGGAUCCCAAAUUUACUUCAAUCAGCAGGUCUUGGGUCUCCAACUUUUUCUCACUGACUUUAAUAGGCAAUUCUUCUAGAUUCAAUUCGUUCGCUUGCCUAUUCAUUUCGUGUAAUUUGUCGGUCUCGGUGACCGACUUCAUUUGACUUUCUUCUUCGGCCCUGUAAACCGAAUCUAUUAUAACUUCUUCAGCUUUAUUAGCCAAGUCAUCAAGUGUUAACACAUCGCCUAUGGCAGCCGAAUCAUCCUCAUAGCCGAUCUUGUUGAUUGGCUUAUCCUGUCGAGGCUCUUGACAAGCCUCUAUUCUCAAUUUUUCGGACUCCAUUUUAACCAUCUUGCUGGCUCUUCAUCAACCACCAUACCAUUGACAUCUUUGGAAAGGAUUAAUUGAAUCCCCUCCUCUGUUACUCUGACAAAAGAAAUCUGAUCUGGAUCUGCAUCGGCCCAAUUGGUGUGGCCGAUGUCUUUCAUGUUGACAUCUAUCAUUUGGGGCCGUCCUUCGGUACGGAUUUCUUCUACCUUGUCUUCUAUCCACAGGAACAAUUUUCCGUGGAGUGUAGAGGGUACACACUCAUUCGAAUGUAUCCAAUCUUGUCCAAGUAAUAAAUUGUAUUAGCUAUCUGCAUCCACCACGAAAAACGCAGUUUUCAAAGUUUUGGAGCCUACCGUGAGUUCGGUGGUGAGUACUCCUCGAGCUUGUUGACCGUUUUCGGUGAAGUCGGUCAUGAUUGAGUCAGUGGGCUUCAACUCAUCCUCAUCUUUGCCCAGCUUCUUGAAAAAAAAAGUAGACAUCACAUUGACCAUGGCACUACCAUCUACCAUAACUCGGCCUACCGGCCGACCCUCGAUUAAGGCCUUUAUAAAGAGAGGCCUUAUGAAUCUUGUCUGCAUAGCCGAUGGUUUCUCGAAAACCACUCCAUCGGCCGGUUGAACAUCUUCCAAUUUCAACUGGGCUACUUUAUGCCCGUAUUCCUUCUCGUCUUUGAACUCUUCAUACUCGACAAACUCUGCCUUGAAAGAUUGAGGUAAGGCAUAUACCAUAUUCACCUCAGCUGGUGACUCGUCAGCCGAUUUUUCCUUAAUUCUCUAUUUCUUCUCUUUCGACUCGGCCAUUUUGGCUGAAGAGUCACUCUCCAUGCGGACCUCUCUUUCCUUAGGAGGCCAUCGUUCUCUCUUAAUAAUCGUUUCAAGGGAGGCUAUUUUAUCUUCUAGUUCUCUUAUGGUCAUCUUUUCUUCGGACUAGGCCUCAGUUCGCCGUUCUACUUUUGACUUUAUCCAAGGGACAGGUGAUGAGCCACUUGCCUCGUGGUCAUUUUUCAUUAGGCGAAAAGGGUGUGCUUGCUCAUUAGGACGCCUCCAUACGUUGAGCCUCAUUCCUUUCGCUUCUUCGUAGUGUUGUCUUGCCUCGGCUUGCAUCCUCUGCUGCCGACGCUUUUGAGUUUUUGUUAACAUCGGCCCUUGCCACCUGGCCGAUGGUUUGACUUCAACUUCGUGCCAUUCAUCCACUGGCAUAUUCGCCGGUACCUUUACCGACUUCAAAUGGUUUUUCAAAAUUUCUCUUCUCUCCCAAGGUCUCGGCCAAGGCUGAAUGCCGAGUUCGUUGACUAGUCUCCGACCGAGGAAUUCUAUGUCUCCUUCGGUCAUUCCCUCGAAUUCUGGUUCUCGUCUCGGCCUCGUUUGAUACUGCCAGUGUGGCCAAUAUCCAGGAAUUCUUGGCUUGGUGCCGAAGGGUCUACCCUGGUAGUCCCAUCGGCUUUGACGCUCGCCGCGCCUGUUGUUGUAAUAAUCAUGCAGAAUCUUCUGCAUCAACAUGUCUUAUUUGCGUUGAACCGAUUUGACUUUUGGUUAAGUAUCAUUGGAGGCCUCGUCUGAGCCUUCUUCUUCUCGAUCUUCACCAUCAGGAAUGUCAUCCCAUUCCUCAGGGAACGCCAUCAACUCAUUCUACUCGUUGCCUCUUUUCUUGGCAUUGACGAUGGCUUCCCAAUCUUUCUUCGUCAUUUCGGCCUUGCACCUUAUGCAAAGCCGAAGAUGUUUUUAGGCAUGUGCCACGUUAUCUGCGGUCACCUAGUCCGCAGUCUCUUUCACUUUAAUAUUCACUAUAUUGACCUGAAAAGGAAACGAACUUUCGUCAAUUAUCUUAUUUUCAUUUUCUUUCCUCGUCUAUUUCUUCUUGGAUCUGCCUUUUUGCAGCCGCUUUUCCUUUUCCUUUCAUGUUCACGGCGUUGACCUGUGAUGGAAAAGGAUUCUUAUCAAUUUUCAUAUUUUUGUUUUCUUGGUCGGUAAAGAUGAGCCGACCUUCGUUUAUCUCUUUUUGUAUCUGCCUUUUGAAAGCAGUACACUCACUAGUUUUAUGGCUCCAUGAAUGGUGCCACAUACAAUAUCUUCUGCGUUUUAAUUCUUCUACAGGAGGUAUAGUUUGGCCCUCUUGUAGUUUAAUUCGUCCAUCCUUUAGCAACCGAUCAAAAAUCAGAUCGGUCUUUGCUAUAUCAAACGAAUAACUAAAUGCAGACACAUAUGCUUUCGCCUCUCUUGACUUGGCGGGUUUUAACAAAGCACAUUUAUAGGGUUGAUUAUUUCUCACCAUCUCGGCAGCGCAAAUUUCGGCUUCAUCAGCCGAAUCCUCAUUCUCUUCAGACGAAUUCGGCUCUUCAUGAGCCGAAGAUUCUUCAAGGAAAAAGAUAUUUUUCUCCUUUUUUUUGCUCCAAUCUUUCUUUCGGCUCCAUCUGGGCCGAUCUUCAUUGUUACAUUUUCGAAAUUGCUUGUAUUGGGCAACUUGAACUCCCAAAUCAAGAAGAUUUGAAAAGACUUUAUCCUCAAAAUGAUCUUUAAUUUUAAAAUGCAUGCCGUUGAAUGCCAUUUUGGCAAAUUCCAAUUCCGGCAUUCUUACGAAACAACGGCUUCGAGCAGUUUUAAAUCGAUUCAAAUAUUCAUCAACCGAUUCUUCUGUUCUUUGUUUGAAUUGAGCCAAAUCCGCAGCUGAUAAUUCUGGCUCUGUUUUAUAAAACUGUUCAUGAAAUUUACCUUCUAACUCGUUCCAGUCUCGGACGGAGUUAGCAGGUAAACUCGUGUACCAAGUGAAAGCCGUCUUAGUCAAUGAGGUAUUAAAUAACCUCAACUUUAAAAACGAAUCUGCCGCGGCCUCACGGCACUGAGCUGUAAACCGCGCGAUGUGCUCGACCGUAUUUUCGGUCUUGCUGCCGGAAAACUUGUCAAACUUCGGCAUCUUCCAAUUUGCCGGAUAUGGGUGUUCUAUAUCUAUAUUUGCAGGGUAUGGUGACCUGAAUACGGGCCGCAUUGCCGGCCUUGCACCUACUCCGAAAGUAUUCUGGAUAGCUUUUUCUAUUUGCGCAUAAAUCUCGUUAUUAAUCCCCUGUAAAGGGGCUUGCGCUAGUGCUGGGUUCGGUGGCUGUGGCGCACCGAGAUUCUGCACCAAAGGAUUAACCCCUUGUGCAUUUGGAGACUGCCCCCUAGCCCCUACAUUUUGGGGCUGGUACACUGCUACCGGUGGAGGCGGUGGCAGCCCCCAAGCUAUCUCUGGCUUUUGACCGGCAUUAACUACAGCCGGUCUAUAAGUCGCUUGAUAUUGUGCCCCCUGGUAUUGGGGCUGGCCAAUCACUGCUGUUGCAUGAUUUUGUAACACUGGUGCCAUCAUAGAUGUUUGUAAACCUAAUGUUGGCUGAUCAUUCCGAGUCAACAAUUGCCCUAUUCGGGCUAUAUUCUCAUUAGAGGCCGUGAUUGCGGCCAAUACGGCAUCCAGCCGUGCAGUACUUGCAUGACUAUUUUGGUCCAAAACUUGCAGGACCCGAGUCAUUUGUCCAAACGCUUGAGCCAGUCUAGUCUCUUGUUGGCCAGAUUGACCACUGGUCUCACUUUCAGCAGGUAAGACUGCUUGGCGCUCUACAACAUUCUCUGAAUUACUAGGCUGUUCACUCCCAGAAUUUCUAGGAAUAGCACUAUUACGGAGAUUCAUGGCAUUAUCAUCAGCCAUACUUUAUAUAAAAUGUAAAUUUACCUUAUAUUAGAGUCCCACCGGGCGUGCCAAAAAAUUGUUGAAAGCCGUUGUUUCCCGUCCUCGGGAUACGCGUCGGGAUAAUGAACGGCUGCGAAUGAUGACCCUCAAAGUCUGCGCCCUUUGAUCUAUCAAGCGAUUCGGUCGAUGAGGGAUCCAAUCAACCAUGUCCGUAAACUCUAUUCUCUCUUCUGUUUGGCCGGAUGAACCGAAUGCACAGGAGAAGCCAGAAUUUUGACCAAGAAAUGAGCCGAAUGGCUAAUACAGCACAGAAACUAGUCGGCCUGAAGAGCCGAACACUGCCUUCUAUUGAAGUAGAACGGGGAAAGUACAGGAGAGAAGAGGUUUAGUCUACAGCGGAGUGAUGCCCAAAGGGCAGACAGACUCCAGGAUGCUAAGUUGCAGGACCUACUCCUAUGAAAAGCGGUAAAUGCAGGAAAGAAAGAUGCAGGAAAAUAAGGGUGGUCUUUUGUUCGCAGGGGCAAAGACCCAUUUUCAGGGUAUCAUCGACCUAUUUAUCCUAUCGCCCCUGAUACAGUUAUUGCACGAUUAGCCACUAUUUCCUAGUAUUCCGGACCCACAUUGGCUGAUCAAAACCGCCCACAACUGCACGCAGUUGUUAUAACUUUAUGCUGGCGUGGCGGUUCAUAUUUUUCUUCAUACUCCCGGCUCACAUCAAGACUGUGACUCCUGCCUAGGCCGGGUGUGCCAACUGUCCGCGUCAGAUCGGCUCAACAGCAAGUAUAAUAUUAUUUGUAACCAUACAUAAUUUCGCCAUAAUUUGUACGACACUAUUUGUAGCCAAGUACUUAAUUUCGCCACUAUAGUUGCAACUAAAAUUGUGGCCGAUAUUGCAUUUUGCCACAAAAUAUCUGACAUCAUGUGUGGCCAACAAAUAAAUUUUGUCAUAAUAAAUUCAAUGCUAUUUGUAGCUGGUAUUAAAAUUUGCCAUAAAUUAUACAAUGCCAAUUGUGACCAAAAAUAAUUUUCUCACAAAAUAUUAGGUAUUUUAUUAUUAUUUUAAUCAAUAUCUGUAGCCAUAUGGUAACUAAUUGUGGCGGAUGUUAGAAGUAUUGAGGCGAAUUAUAUCGCUGCAAAUUCAUAGAAGAAUUUGUGGCGACUUUUAUUUUGGCCAUUAAAACCUUUUGUAGCGGUCCUAUUGUGGCGAAGCUGUGGCAAAAUCAGUUUCGCCACAAAAGACCUUUUAUGACGAAUUUGUUUGAUUUUGUGGCUAUUAAAUUUGCCACAAAACGCUACCACGAGGAAUAGAGAACCAUUUCCACUUUAUAGAAAUCCAAAAGCGUUAUUAUAUUUAUAAAACCAACUGAAAUCUCAAUUAUUCACAUGUGAUAAUAAAACUGAACCAUAAUAAUAAUGUAAGUCAUUUAUUUGGAGAACUGAGAUAGAAGUUUAACCAAUGACGGGACGAUGGCUCUAACGAUCACUAGACGCGCUCCUCACGAACCGUCCCACUCAGACCUAUGACGUUACCUGUAAUUGGGGCGAGGGAUGAAAACAUGUAAACAUGUCUCCCCUCCCAGUAGGUACCGCAAGCCGACGGAGGCGAGGAUACGCACCAACAAAGGAGGAUAGCAACAAUAUGGGUAAAUGAAAUACAGUAGCAACGAUAAUAAAUGAACAUGUAUAUACAUAUAAAAUGACAACUACCGCUAUUGUAUGUAUGCAUCAACGGACAACGAGUCCAAAGUACCCAAUCUGGAAUGGCCGUAUUGGUACGCAACACCUCAGGCCCAUGCCACAACUGCUUUAAACAGAAACAAGCCAUAUUGGUCCGCAACACCUCAGGCUGAAAGCAUAUUGUAAUAUAUGGCAUCUUGGAGUUACGAUGUCAACUUUGAUCUAGGGGAUCAAAGUGAGGAUUGAGCUAGUUGGACAUCAUCCUCGAGUGAUUUGUGAUGCGUGUGAAUGAAUUCUGGAGAUAAAUAAGUGUUUCGGCGCAAAUUGGGCGCGAAACGAAAUGUAAAGAGAAUUUUCGGAUUUCCGAUGCUAACUUUGAUUAAAAGAAUUAAAGUGAGCAAAAUAAUAUAAAAAUGGUGUGAGAUAAUAUUUUAUUGGACUUAAGGGUGUAAAAUAUAAGUCUGGAAUGACUCGUGUUGGAAUCGGAGUGAAAACAGAAAAUUUAGAAUUUUCUGUAAAGAACGGGACUGAUAAAUUAGCAGAAAAUGCACAGUGUCAGAAAAUUAUGAAAACUGGAGGACAUGUCAGAAAUAUUUUUAUGAGGCUAGAUUUGAAGUUUUAUAUUAUUCUGACACUUGUAGAGAGAGAAAUAGCAUCCGAAAGUUAUCUGAUAAAGAUUACAGUUCGGGACAGUUCGCAGUGACCAAACGGGGUCGGAACUGAAAUGUUAAAAUUUCUUUGGACUUAUUAAGUAAAACCGAACAUGCCUGUCAAAUUUGAGCGCAAAUGGACAUUCAGAAGGGCUCCAAUUAAAUGUAUCAGACUAGAAUUGGACUAAGUGAUAAUAAUUGAUGAUUUGUGGACCUAAAGGCAAUUGUUACAUUGCUUACAAGGACUUCCACUAGGCUGCCAGGGGACUUCCAUUCUUAUCCUCUCCCUGUACGCAUGAGAGAGAGAGUGAAAGGAAGAGAAAAGGGAAUAGAGAGAAGAAGAAGAAGAAAGUAACAAAUUUUGGUGCCGUUUGUCGUUUGUCGAGCCGAUCGAAACGCCGCGCAUCGGAUUUUUAGCAUUUCGACAUUCGGGUUAGUAUUAUAAUAUUAUUAUAAUUUCAAACCAGAUUUUUUGGUGGAUUCUUGAUAGUGGAUGUUCGGAGAGGUCAUUUUGAUGGAUCUAUGUUGAAUCUAUGCUAAAAUUGAAAUUUAGAAAUCGAUUUCUAUGUGAUUUAGGAGCCGAUUUUGCGAGCGUUUCGUCGACGGAUUUUUCCGUGACUUUCGGAUUGUUGUGGCUGCCAUGCGGAUUGGGUUUGGGCUGUUAGGUAAUUCCAGAGCAAGGUAAUAAUAUGCUGUUCUUUUGCUAAAGAAUUUAGAUGUGCAUGUUAACAACCUGCAUGUAAGCUUGGAUUAGUUGUAUAUAUGGUUAUAUGAAGUCUGGGGUGAUGUGAAGUAGGUAGGAGUGAUCAUGACAGAAAGCUAAUUUCUUAUACUCUUAAAUAGUGGGUUCAUGUUCUUGAGUUAUUGGAGUUCUGGAAAUCUGAAGCUUGUUUUUGUUAUGUAACCUGGAAAAAGGCUUCAUAUGUACUAGUACUAUGUGUACACUUUAAUAGUUGGGAAUUAAAGAAGCUAUCAUGCAAAUUUUAAUUAAGAGGUUGAUGUAAAAUCCUCUAAACUAAUUUGUUUGAGGUUCAUGGGGAAUUAAGGUGAAUUAACCUAUAAUUUCUGGUUAAGACUUGGGUUUGUUGAAGACUAAGGCAUAUGCUGCCAUGAAGACUAGAGAAGAGCUUUAUGUUGAACCUAAACCCGAUAAUGCUAACUUGUAGGUUCGGAAGCUUAGCUCGGAAUUGAUCACCUGUCAACCUAAUUGGGGGUAAAGCGAAUGCGUUGGAAAACUCGGAUCGACGUUUCGACGAGUCUACGGCACGCUAACGAGGAAAACCUCCUUUUAGCCUAAGUUAUUGCGAGCAAGGAUUGUGAUCAUUCGUAAAGUACGGGAAGUGGAAUUUUGGCAUUCCAAUAUCAAGUAAAGGUGGAUUGUGCUUUACCGAAGUGAUUAGGUCACUUCCAUGCCAAAGUAAAGUAUAAUUAUUUUGACGCAUACAUGUAUAGUGGUAGAUUGUGAGUAAUAAUAUGAAAGCUUAAAUCGUAUUGUAUCAAUCAUUGUUAUCUACCAUUAGAAUAUGCAUGUCAAUAUCUUGUGGAUAAUACCCGAUGAUGCAUGAAUAUGAACAUAAUGUGAGCCUGUUAGAAUCAUACAAGCAGAAUAUGGGUCGAUAACUCUAAAUUGAUUAGAGAAUCCGACAGUUACAAAUAAGAUUGUGUAAGCAAUAAUCCUAGAUAUGGACAACUAGGAUAAUACAUAGAUGUUAGAGCAUAUAUGAUUGUUGACAUAUUAUGAUAAUCGACAUAUGAAUAUGAAUGCUAGUUGCAUAAGAUUAAACAUGUAUGAAAGUGAAUGCUAGAGACAUAUGAAUAAAUACUUAUGAAUGUGAAUCUCAUGCUAGAUGAUAUAUGAUGAUUGUCAUAUGACAAACAUACUAGAUGCAUACGAAUGCAUUGUAGUUCAUGCUAAAUGCAUAGGAAUGUCGGUAUAUGAACAUAUGAAUGAUAAAUGAUAUAUGAAUGUUGAUACAUAGACUAAAGUCAUGUAAAUUGAACAUGAAACGUAUAAACUAUAAUUCUAGACGUGGAUAACUAGGAUAAUAAAUAGAUCGAGUGGCAUGAACCUAGUGUUAUUAAACAUAGGUUGGAUAUGGAAUAAACCUAGUGUUAUUAAAUAUAGGUUGAAUUAGUAAACCUAGAGUCGAAAUCUCGGUGAUAGAACAUGAAACCUAGUGUAAAUGAACCUAGGUUAUGAGGUGUAGUGACACUUAGUAAAAUUGAACUAAGUUAUGAAUUAUAGUGGUAGUAGGACCACUAGAAAUUGAAUGAUAUAGACCUUGGAAGGUCGUCAGCAUAGGGUAAGUGAUUAAACCCUUAAGUUGUGAAAGUGGGUUCCGGAAUCCAUAUAAGUGGUGCUGUUGGCAAAAUAGAAUCAGAACUACGGGAUCGACGGUUCUCCUCUCCCGGUAGUGAUUCAACGGGAUCGACGGUUCUCCUCUCCCGGUAUGCCAGAAAACAAGUGAAUCAGAACUACGGGAUCGACGGUUCUCCUCGCCCGGUAGUGAUUCAACGGGAUCGACGGUUCUCCUCUCCCGGUAUAAGCUCAACGGGUUUGACGGUUCUCCUCGCCCGUUAAGCUUGAGCGACUUAGGGUCACGGGGAUCGACGGUUCUCCUCUCCCUGUGAUGGACCUAGUGUCGCGUGGACUUAAGGCUGAGGUUCUUGUGAGACAUCCUUCACCUCGAGCCUGACUUGACGCGGUACUCCGCGGAUGAUUGACUCAAGACCGAGUCGAGUGGCAUAGUUGACUAAGGUAAAGUAACCUUAAAAAAGAAUGAAAAAUGAGCUUAAUGUGGCCCCUUACUAAAGAAUAAAGAAUAAAGAAUAAAGAGUGAAAACUAAAGAGUAAAGAACGGCUAAUGUCGAAGAAUAACACUUGCUAAAGAAUGCUAAGAGUAAAGAAUGAUUAGCGAUAAAGAAUGCUAAUGAAUAAAGAAUGGUUAAGAAUAAAGAGUAGAAUCAAUAGAUCUACUUUUAUAUUGUUGCAUGAUUUACAUAUUGCAUAUUGUGAGGCAUACAUGUUUAAUAUCUGCAUAAAUUAUUAUGAUUAUCUGUUGGACUAACAUGUUUCAAUGCCUCCUUUGGAUCUGGUGGGUCGAGCUCUUCUCUUGGGUGGCCGUACCCACUGGGAACUAUAUUUAUAUAGUUCUCACCCCCGUGUUGUUUUGGGGGUACAGGUUAGCACGUGAGCGGCGCGACGGCGCGAGGACAGGGCGUAGCUUCAUAGAUAGCGCCCUACCACCGAGACCAGAGAUAGCAGUACCCAGAAGCAGUCUAGCUCAGAGUAUAAGUGUGAAAGAAACAAACUUGUAUCAAAUUUGUAUAAAUUGUAAUAAUUUAAAGGCUUAUAAAAUUUUGUAAAUGUAAAAUCUGUAAGAUGAAUGCUUGUAAUAGCAUAGUUAGCCUUUUAUGUCUUUGAUACUUAUGCAAUCUAUGUUUGAAUGCUGUUCCUGGUUGGGACCUCUUCUGUUGCAUUAUAUGGAUUGUGACGCCUAGGACGUAUAGGGAAAGCUCUGUCCGUUCGGCGGCCUGUCGGCGUGCCCGAAUCUGACCAAAU